rnacentral:lncRNA from 1 species
CUUUCAUGUGGAAACUUCCUCCCCUGGAUCACCCAGCUUUUACCUCAUACCAACCUCAAAAGAUGAGGACCCUGCAUGUUCCUGUAUUGCAGCUUCACCCUCACUGCUAUUGUGGGGUAAAAAGCAGCAAAGGGAUGGUUCGGAAACCAGGUCCAAAACAAGGGAGUUUCUUUUUUGGGUGUGGGAACUGGACUGCUGCUAGAGGUGCCCGUUGUCAUUACUUUGAAUGGGCUUCAAUAUGACCUAUGAAGGAUGAGAAAGUGACAUCUUUAUCCUUCCUGGUCGCUGCUUAUGCAUUAUUAUCUCAUGUAAAAAAGGGCGAGUGUGGUGGUUUUCUCCCAGAGGAAGCUGUGUCUUUGCUUGGGGUAAUGGUUAUUUAGGAAGUAUGUGUAGAUAGUUGGCUUAAUCUUGCGUCUAGUUACCGCUUGAAGUUGUUUAGGUAUAAGGGACGUGCAACCAGUUUAACAGACAUUGUGUUGACAAGAGAUUGAAUUUGUGGAAUAUUCAUUAUUGCUAGUUAUAGGUUGCUUAAAUGCUCGGACAUGCUUAAUUAUCACUGAAUAAUGUGUGAAUUGUGAAUUAGGAAUGCAGCCUGGCAUAUUCAAUGAGAUUAUUGGAGUUGCUUGAACUCCCUUUCUUUGCUGUCUAUUUUCUGUGGUUAUGGCGUUUUUACUGCUUUAGUAGUUCAGACUUCAGAGAUGUUGGUGGGUAAACAUCUUCGACUGUUGGUAUGGGCGUCUGAAAAUGCAAAAACAAAACUUUCGUACUUUUUAACUCUGACUGAAAGGAAUAGCAUUUAAGGGUAAAGUAGCAAAUAUACUGAUGGAAGAAUCAAGAGGGAAAUGAAUGAGGUGGGCAUGUAGUUUGUUGUAUGAUUUCUUGAGUUCAACCGCAAGCUAGUUUGUUGUAUGAUUUCUUUUGGAUAGAGUAUUAUUUGAAAUAAUUAUUCGAGCACUUUUUGUGAUGUGAUGUAUGUAAGAUAAAAAGUAGUUGGAAUAUAAAAGGUAAAUUGAAAAUUGUGUUUAUGAUGUAAGUGAAAUAUUAUUUGAGAUAAUUUGGUAAUCCAAACACGCUUAACUACUCUUUAACAAAUAUAAAUUCUUCUAACGUCUUGAGAAACAAACAAUUUGUACAAAACUUGGGGUCUGUAUGAAAAAAAAAAUUAAAGUGCCUAUUGGUAUUUGGUGGACGUAUCUCUAUUUGUAGUAAAGUAGAAGUGUCGUAUAACAAAUAUGAAUAGGGAUAAUUUCAGAAACCUCCGCUGAGGUUUCUGGCUAUUUCACUAGCUUUUUUUUAAUUUUUAAAAAUUACACUAAUCUUCCUUGAGGUUUAUUAUUUUGUAACACCUAGGUUCGACCAAUAAUUAAAAAGUAAUAUUAGGAGAGACAAAAUAAUAUGAUUUCACCAUUGUUCAUCAUCUGUUAAAUUGUUUAAUUAAUCUAAUACCUGCCUAAACAUUAAAGAAAAUACUAGAAUUCACUGUUUAUCAUCAGAUAUUAAACCACAUAUGGCAUCAAAAAUAUUAUAUCAGUCUAUAUAUUUUAUUUAAUGUAAGACCUAAAUUGCUCUUUUCAAUUACAAACUCAUCAUCAAACAUGAUCAACAACAAAUAAUAAAAAAUUUGUAGCCAAAUAUUAGAAACAAUGAACUUUAAUAUUAUAAAAUUCUCAACAAUUAAUUUUAAUAUGUUGAUAAGAAUAUUUAUAUGUUAAAGUUUGUUCUCUGUAAUAUUUUGGUUGCAAUUUUUUUAAUUAUUUGUUGUUAAUCAUAUUUGACAAUAGGUAUGUAAUUAAAAAUUCCAGCAAAUGUAUCAGUUGAUGUCCUUCUAAAUAGAAAUUUCCCCAAGUCGUAUAUUAAAGGAAAGUCUGAUUAUGUAAAGAGUAAUUUAGAUCUUAUAUUAAGUGAAAAUAUAACAUGAUAUACUAUUUUUUGACACUAUAUGUGAUUUAAUCCCUAAUGAUAAAUAGCAAAUUUUAGUGUUUUUCUUUAAUGUGUGGGUUAGUAUUAAAUUAAUUAAAUAAUGUAGUAGAUAAGGAGCAAGGAUGGAAUCAUAUUAUUUUCGUUCUCCUAAUAUUAUUUUUUAAUUAUCGAUUGGAUCUAAAUGCUACAAGAUAAUUAAUCUUAGAAACCUUAGGGGAGACUAGUAAAAUAGUCAGAAACCUUAGGGGAGGUCUAUGAAAUUAUCCCAUAUAGAUAUGACUUAGGGCAAAGAAGUAGAAUCUUACUAUCUCUCGAUUGGUUUGUCAACUAAUUAACUAAACUUGAUGAAUAUUUUGUAUUUGGCAAAAUUAGUUCAACUCGUUAACAAAUUUUUAUUAUAUGUGGUUUAAUAAAUAUACAAAUUGGAUUUGAACAGGACCAUAGAGGAAUAUAGAGGUUUUCGGUUUUAAAAUUCUUUUGUCCUCUCCUCACUUCUUAAAUUCCACCUCUUUUUUAUUAAAAAAGAUUUAAAAAAAGUUAGAUUUGAAUCCAAAUUCUCUUGUCCCUUCUCCACUUCUUAAAUUCACCCAAAUUUUUAUCAUACACGGUUUAGUAAAUAUACAAGUUCGAUUUGAACAAGAAAAUAGAAGAAUAUAGAUGUUUUUAGGUUUUAAAAAUUCUUCCAUCCCCUCCCCAUUUCUUAAAUCCCACCACCUCCUUCCUUGCAAAAAAUAAAUAAAUAAAUGGAAUUUGAACUCAAGUUUACCUACUUCUUCCCCACUUCCUAAAUUUCAUUCCCUCCCUGCAAAAUUUUUUUUUAAAAAGGUUAGAUUUGAACGCAAUUUUGAGUUUGUUAAAAUAAAAUAAUUAAAAUAGAAAUAAAAGUUUAAAUAUUAGAUGGUUUAAAAAAAGUUGGAUUUGAACGCAAUUUCGAGUUUGUUAAAAUAAAAUAAUUACAAUAGAAAUAAAAAGUUUGAAGCUUGAUUAAGUUGACAUAUUUACAUUCUAUUUGUCGUAUACUCAACACCUUGUACCAAAACAUUUUUGUUGCUAAAUGUAGAUUAUUCAAACCUCGAGGACUGUUGCUCAAAUUCACCCAUAAACCCUAAACCAAAAUCUUGUUACCCUCUUCUCCCCUGCUUUUAACUGCCACAAGCUUUUCAAUUUUAUUUUAGGGUUUGUUUCUAAUCCUUUCGGUUUUCGACAAAAUUCAAAUUACUUGUGAAGUAAACAGCAAAAAAUUGAAGAUUUCAGUGGUUAAACGACUAAAUGACGUCGAGACCAGAGCUAAAAGCGCCGCCGGAAAUUUUCUACAAUGAUGAGGAAGCUCGCAAAUACACUUCCUCUUCUCGAAUUAUUGAAAUUCAGGUAUUUUUCCAAAACACUUUUGCUCAAGUAUGCAUUUUUAUGAAUAAAUGCAUGUUGAUAAUUUAUAUUAAGGUUUUUAUGGCGGUGUAAUUGGGUUUUUGAAGGCGCAAUUGACAGAGAGAGCACUGGAACUGCUGGCUUUGCCGGACGAUGGAGUUCCUAAGUUACUUCUUGAUAUAGGUAGCUCAAUUGAUCUACUAAUUUUGGAUUUUUAAUUGUAUUGUGGGUUUUGUGUAAAUGGAGUUUUGCUGCGUGGGAACAGAUAUAAACACAUACAUACAUAUAUAUAUAUAUGUAUGUAUGUAUAUAUAUAUGUAUGUAUAUAUAUGUAUAUAUGUAUGUGUAUAUAUAUAUCCACACGUGUGCGUGUGUGUGUGUGUGUGUGUUUUCAAAUGAUACUAUGCAUUGGUUUUUAGGCAAAAAUGCUGUAGAAUUUACUUCUCGAUAUGUGCAAGAAGAAAUUGAUGCUUGUAGUCGUAUAUGGAUCAUGUGUGUGUAUUGGCUAGGGAAGUGAGAAAUGGUUCCACGUGCAUGUGCAUUCGUCUGUGUAUGUGAAGCCCAAUUGGUGUAUGUUCAGAAGUGUGACCAUUGAAGCGGUGAGCCAAGAAUAGGUUCAAGACCUUAAGAUGUAAGUAGUGUGCUGUAAUUGUCCUGAGACAACAAUGCAAGAUAGUAUGUUAGAGAUCUUGAAGGGACCUGCAAAUGUAGUGGUACAUAGAUUUUUAGUUGGCUUCACCAUUGCAAGAUGUGAAUGAUGUGAUCCUCACUAUUUCAUUUAAUUAAUAUUUCAUGUCUUAGUGGAUUGAAUGAAUGAGGGGGGAUCAUCUGAAUCCUGUGUUUUACAUGAUUGCCAAUGUAACUCUAGGCGGCUUAUCUGAUGCUUUGGUAUGUUUACAAGCAGAAAAGGCUCUUUCUAGGAUUAUGUUUUGAAAGUUCUGCUUACCAAUGAAAAUGCCAUAAAAUAUGAACUGUUACAGUCAGUAUCUUUGGGAAGUUUUUCAUCCACCUUGGCUCAAUAUUCCUCUGUUGUGUAAUGUAUCUAGACUUAUCUCAUUUUUGUAUCUCUCUUCAUGUACGUAUCGGCUCUGAAUUUUGGUGUGAAUGGUUGUUCUAGAUCUUUCAGUCAAUGUUUUUUUGGCAACUAAUAGUUGCUCCUUUUAUGUCUUAGGCUGUGGGUCGGGACUGAGUGGUGAGACAUUGACUGAGAGUGGACACCAAUGGAUUGGUUUUGAUAUAUCACCAUCAAUGCUCGGUAUGUGAAUUUAGUCUUUAUUCAGACUAACUUUUGGAUAUAUAUAUAUAUAUUUUUUUUCAUUACUUUGUAUUAUGCAAUGGUUGCACUCUAAUAAAUUAGAUGUUGCAUUGGAGCGUGAGGCUGAGGGUGAUCUCAUACUGGGUGACAUGGGCCAGGUAUGCACCAAGUUUAGACUACUUUUAAGAUCUAAUAUGUCAAAACCCUUGGUUACUUGUUACCACUUUCCUAUUUAAUUGAAAAGUGGGAAACUUGGAAAAUGAACAAGAUAACCAGUUUUUGUUGUUGGAUGAUAAUCUAUCCACUCCCUAGAAGAUUAUUUUCUAUGAUGCUUUUAUAAAUUUGCAAAAGAUGGUCCUUUAGAUAAAAAUAGCUGUCACAUGAGGCCAAGCGGUUUGCUUCUUCAUUUCUGAUACUGAAGUAAUAUGAUAUAUGCAUUAUUUGGUUACAGGGUUUAGGUGUUCGACCUGGAGUUAUUGAUGGAGCCAUCAGUAUCUCUGCUGUUCAGGUUUGCUUUUGACAGCUAUAUUUUUUUUUCUGGAGGCCCUUUUGUUUCAACGUACUUCUGGAGAAUAUUCUGUCUUGCAACUCUAGUAACACCUUUUAGUUAAAACUUAAUGGGCUCAGGCACCUUGAUUUAGGCCAUUUUGCAUGUUAUUGAAACUAAAUCCGUAGAAAUUCCAAUCCUGCAUGCUUCUAUGGCAUUGAGCUAGUGACUAGGGAGCUCAUCAGCUCAUCUUGUGCCUGCUAAGCUUACAUGUUGUAAAACUUUUAUUGGAAAGUUUUCACUGGGGAAAUUUUGAUGCAAAGUAGCAAUUUGACGCUCCAAAUAUCCCAUUUUUUUCAAUUAAUGGCUCAAAAGAUCUGUUAAUUCUUUGUCGAUAAAAUAAAGUAGAAGGGCCUGACUUAAACUACAAAAAACCAAUUGGUCUUGAGUGUCUCUAAAGCUCGAUUACUAGUACACCAAAAUUCUGGCGCAUGGGACAGAUAAGUCCUUAGUUGUUGACUUUCAUGCCACUUGAAAUCCAUUAUCUGCCAUAGCUACUAUACAGCUUGGACUGUGGUUGUCAACAUUUCAACCCCAUGUUCACAAUGCCUAUUGCAUGAACAAACCAAACCCCGUCGUAUCUCAAUCAUUGCAUUUCUACUUUUAUCUAGUGGAAAGAAAUUUUUUAUAGGAAUAUUGUGAAUGCGUGGAUUGAUGAUCACUUCUACCUCAUCAGCCCAUGUCACAAACUAAAUUUAUUCUGCUUUACCUGUCCCCUGCUUUAUGGUAAGAGAGAGUAUUAAUUUCUGCUUCUUUCUGAUGAUGAAGCAUGUUUUUUUGUUUGGUCUGCUCUACUGCUGAUCCAGAAAGCUGAGCAAUUUGUCCUAGUCAUUAUUUUUUCGCCUUAGGAGGUCUCCAGAGCAUAAGCAACUUUUUAAACUAGUACCUGUCAUACAGGUGUCAGUUCUCAGCUUGAUUAUCAUAGUAUGGACUUUGUUUUACUUAAUGCAUUUCUAGAUGGUGUAUCUUCCUUGUUGUAUUGAGUAUCUGUGAUUAUGCUAUACUUUGUUUAUGUGAAACUAUGUCUUUCACCAGCAGAGCUUACAUUUGAGAAUGACAAUUGCUCAUUUCUUUGACAACUUUAUUUGGACAAACAGUGGUUGUGCAAUGCGGACAAAUCCUGUCAUGAGCCUCGGAAAAGAUUGAAGUAUGUUUGUAUCCAGUUGCCAACCUUUACCUUGAUUUGGUUACAGAAUAAUGCAGUCUACAUGGUUGCAGUUUAACGUGCUUUAAUUGGCAUAAUAUCUUUCGCAGGUCCUUCUUUGAGUCAUUGUACAGAUGUCUGGCAAGGGGUGCAAGAGCAGUGUUUCAAGUAUAUCCUGAAAAUCUUGCUCAACGUGAACUGAUCCUAGGUUAUGCCAUGCGAGCUGGAUUUGCUGGUGGUGUAGUUGUUGACUUCCCACACAGGUUAAUUGAUAUGUGAUUCAUUGACUACCCCUGUUUCAAGUUUCUCAGAUUGACAACAGAAGAAAAAAUGAUAAGGAAACAGGGGGAAUCAACAGGUUUCAGGCUUAAUAACUAUUGGUUUACAUUUUAAAUAAUUUCAUGGUCUUAAUAGUUUGAAAUGCGCAGCAUUUACUUGCAUUGUUUCGUAUUACGGAUUAGGCUUGACAAAUUAUGAUUCAACUCAAAGGAACAAUAUUUUCCAUAAUUGUACAAAGAUUUAAAAAAUAAUUCGGCAAUAAUUCCUGGAGAUUCAUAUUCAUAAAACUAAAGCCUAUUUCAGAGUGUUAUUUUGAUUAUUUCAGAGUAUUAUUUUGAUUAUUUUGAUCUCUCAUUCUAUUCGCCAAUUGACUUUAAAUUUGGCUUGCAUGACCACAGAAAUAUAAGAUAACCUGGUAUUUGGAUUUUAACAAGUAUCAAAGCACUUAAAAUAUCACCAACUCAAAUAAGAUUUAAAACAGUUACAAUUGUGUUAGUUGAUUUUUUGGCAUAAAACGAUUUGCUACCCUGGGGAGAUUAGUUUGUUUAGCUUCUGUGGAAUUUCUAUCUGCAUGGAACUUUCAAUUGUAUUUAAGAAAGCUUGCUUUUACCAUUUCUGGUAGACCUCUGUUGUGAAGACUAAUCAAUUAGAUACUCAUGUUGGGGUUGUCACGUGUGAACUUUCAAAUGUCUGGUCUUGUUUGCACAUAUCUGAAGAUCUUUCAUCACCCCUGCAUCAGUUGGUUAUUACAUUGAUUGCUGGAUACCAAGGGCGUGGCAUAGUUUAAACAUAGUAUUCUUUUGUGGAAACUUCCUUUUUGGUUCUAAUAUGCUCAAAUUUUGUCACCAACCAAGUCAAACAAUUCUGCACAGUAUCUUGAAGAACUUCAGGAGUGGCUAAAAUCUGGCUUUUAAUGAACACCUUAGAAUAUGAAAUCAAGAUUUUAUUAGGAAUUUGCUGCUACAGAACAAUCUGGAAGUCGCACAUGGGAUAUCUUAGAUUAAUUUUUAUGGAAUACUCACAGUUGUUCCCUUUGCAAUUUGUCUUUUUUCACUAAUUUGAGGUCCUCUUUUCUCUAACAGCGCCAAGAGAAGAAAAGAAUACCUGGUGCUUACUUGUGGUCCGCCAUCCUUGAGCAGUGCAACUCCGAAAGCAAAAGGUGAAGAUGAAGAGAGUUGUUCUGAUGAAGAAAGUAGUGGAGAUGAAGAAAAUCAGACAGUGAGUUUCGUUGCAACAUUUGGUUAUUUGCAUUGAAGAAUUUUAUUGACUGACAACUUAAAGCUUUAUUACUUCCACUAAGUAUCUCUCCACCCCAUUUUCCUGGAUGCAGGUUUCUAUAUCAGAUAGGCAUAGACCGAGGAAGAAGCAAAAAUUAAAUAAGAAAGUGAAGGGAAGAGAAUGGGUGUUGAGGAAGAAAGAACAAAUGAGAAGAAAAGGAAAUGCUGUGCCUCAAGAUACAAAAUACACUGCACGCAAGCGAAAAGCUCGCUUUUGAUCACUUAUCAGGUGGUACUUUAAAGCGCCAUCCUGAGUUUGAGACCCAAAAAAAGGGAAAAAAAAUGAAAGUCUUUGUUUGUUUUCUUGAAGCAGUGAGAGAUAGUUAUAGAGAUCUGAUGCGGCAUUCUUACCUUUUGUAUGGAGCUACCAAUAGAGUUUUAAGGAUUAUGUAAGAAAUAUUUGAGUUUUGCACACUAUAUUUUCUUUAGCUUCUCGCAGAUUUGAACCACCCAAACCCAAAAAAAACAACUGGGGUGACCAAGAAAAUUUUUGUACUGCAUAUUUAGCUUAGGAGGAAACGGAGCUGGCUUGCGACCAAGGCCUGGCCUUCUUUCUUGAGGUAAUUCCUUGCCUUCUGGAGCAAAUCUAUGCACAGCAGUUUUGGAGUUCAAAUUAUAUGAUACUCAGCUCACCUCUUCGUUAAAAAUAGGCUAAUAUUAGGAGUCAAUGAGACUAAUUAUUGAGUCGUUUGAACAAUUGCCUAUUUUGCUACAUUAGUUGGAGGAAAAAUAUACGAGUCUGAAACAGGAUCGGUGCCUCAGCAAUUGCGAGAUAGUGUCUAGUGUGUAUACUGAAAUAGUAAAUAUAUGCAUGCACUAAAACAAGGAGUGUAUAUACUGAAACUGCAAGUAGCUAUUGGAGGUACACUUCAACUCAUCCGUGAGACCUGCCAUAUUUUCAAUCUCCACUGCACGAGAUUCAACUAGAGAGAUCCAUUUUUUUUUUUUUUGGCUUAACUAGAGAGAUCUUAGCCUCAGAUUGUUUGCUAAAAUAGUCUAUGACAGUUGUUGAGAAACUCGUCAAAACGCAACAUUAACCAGAGGGCAACAAAUUCUUUACUGGUUGCAGAGAAUUCCUUCUCCUAGAGUAAGAAACCCUUCAAGGCUGUUGCACUCUUUUAAUUGGCUCAAAAGUUUGCCAUUCCUCAAUUUUGAGUCACGGUUUCCAAUUUUAGCAACUUCGAAAGUGUCAGAUGUCUGAGUUGACAAAAUCACCCCAGGCUGAACAAGCCAUGAAGGCUCGAUAACACAAGACGAGAAAGGCUAGGAAACCUCUCUAAUGUUGGCACUAGGCAGUAGGCACUGGAUUCCAAACAAGUUUGGAAUGACUUAGAAUCACUUACCUCAAUAUCGCUGGGAGAGCUUGUCUAUGAUAUUGUGAUAGUCCACUUACAUACCACAGCACAUGAGGAGUACGACACACAAAAGCAGUUGCUUUACUUACCAAUGCCUUGGCUCAAAGUCGCUGCUUUUUGUUAUACGAAGGGAUGUUUGGUGCGAGUAAGUUGUCGUAUCAUUGAAUUUGAUGAUCCUCCCUAGGUCCUCAACAUCACCACCAUUGGUUACUGCCAGAUUCCAAAUUAAUCAGCCAAAGGGGGUCUGUAAGACUGCAUAAACACGUUGUCUUCAAGUGUCUUCAAAUUCAUCAAUCCAUCCAACCACAUUUAAUCAUCGUCAUGGACAUCAAACUUUAAGAGGAAAAUAAGAUGCUUCAAAAUUUUAAAUUUCCAAUGACAUUUCGUGUGGUAACUGUACAAGCAAGAUCUCGGCGAUGCUCAACUGGAUACCACUCAAUUGGUAUUAGACCGACACAAGUAUUGAGUUGAAGUUAUACCAGCUGACAAGUCUAAAUUGUGGGGACAAGUAAACAUAAAGUAAUAAUAAAACCGGUAAAAGGAAAUUGAAGGAAAAGUUGAACCUGAUCACUUUUCACCUUUUACUUCAGUAAAGUUGAACCUUAUUUUCACUUCAGUAAAGUUGAGUAGGCUUCCUACGAAUAGGCAAGUCCUCUGGAGAAUUACGCUUCGCACUCCCUCCUCACUAAGAGACCCAAGGCCGAACAAACCCCCACCGUAGUAAGAGACCGAAGGUGCACUUUUCAGUUUUCACUUUUCACUUAAGUAAAGUUGAAAACCUUAUUUUCACUUCAGUAAAGUUGAGGAGGCUUCCUACGCGAAUAGGCAAGUUCUCUGGAGAAAUUACGCUUCACACUCCCUCCUCACUAAGAGACCUAAGGCCAAAGAAAACCCCCACCGUAGUAAGAGACCGAAGGUGAGAUGGGCUGGCUGCAAAUUUUAAUUACCAGAUUGACAUCCAAAAUGGUGUAAUGAAUCAUCCUCCACAAGAGGUAAACCUGACAGAAGAUUAGGCGAGAGAGCAAUGGCAGUAGAUGGGUAGGAACAAUUGAUAGAUGGAUUGAAUGGAAGAAUGAGUGAAUCAAGUACGAGAACGAGUGGAUCAACAACGGCAUUUUCCAAAAUAGAAGCAGAUUGGCCAGGUGAAGGAUCGAUUUGGCCAACGUACAGGUAUGUGUGAAAAAAUUUGAAGGCAGAAACCGUAGAAAAUCCAUGAAACCUGAUUAUGUUCGCAUAGGCUAAGAAAAGGGGAAGAAAUCAUAGAAAAUCCAUGAAACUUAUUUAUGUUCACAUAGGCUAAGAAAAAGCGGAAAAUGAAAAUUUUCAAUGUGAUUAUGUUAUGGUAAAUGCAUGAAACAGCAUUCUAUGUUUAUAUUGGGUGCAUUUUUUGGUUAAGAAUUGAGACUUGUUAGUAUGGAAACUAAGCCCAUUUGAUUUUGGACUUGGAAAUGGACAUGGACCUGGGAUAAAAAUUUUUUUUUUUGGCUUGUCUAUGGCUAGCAGGGAGGUGUGAGGAGGUCCCGAUGGAAUGGGAAGUGAAGGCAAAGGGGUGAGACAAUAGUGCAAAAUUACAAGUAUUACAAUAAUAUGCUUAUCAGUAGCAAAAAAAAGACAUAGUGAUGAGAUUACGUAUAUAUCUAAACAGGUAAUAUACAGCACCAGUUCUUCGAUGUAUAUGGUGAGGGAGAUAGUGAAGGGACUGAAUGAUGACCAGGUCAAGGCAGUGGAAAGCAUAGGAUUCGGAUCUAUCUUGCAUUUUAAUCAAUUUGACAUAAAUAUGGAGCUGUUGUCAUGGCUCAUUGAGAGGUUUGAUGCAAGCAAAAAAACACUGAAUGUGCAUGGAUAUAACCCCCAGAUUACUCCACGGGAUGUGGAGUACAUUCUAGGACUUAAAAGUCAUGGAAUGCAACUGAUGGUAAGUACACAUGGCGUUGACCAGAAAAUUGAGAGGGAGCUAAAUAUAGAUGUUACUAGAAACCAGGUCAGUUUGGUAAAUUUGGGGAGGAACAUACAACAAUUGGAUAGCAGUGGGGCAGAGUUUAAAGUGAAAUUUGUUCUAUAUUUGAUAGGUAGAUUACUGGCACCACCCAUAGGCUAUGGCAUCAGUAGAACUCUAAUUCCUGCGGUGGCAAAGGUGGACCUACUAGAAAUGAUAAACUGGUCUAAGUACGUUUUAGAUGAAUUGGCCAACGACAUAGCGAACAGAGUAGAGAAACCAUUUCCAGAAGUGGGAGGCUGCAUGGUUUUCUUGAUGGUGAGCUCAAUUUGCUGUUUAAAAGUUGGAGUUGCAUUUACAUUUUGGCAACUAACUUGGUAUCGAUUUGUGAUGCUAGAUAUUCUACUUAGAGCAUGUGAAUUUGAGGAGAUGUAAGCCUAUUCUAAUGAGCAUGAGGCCAAUGCCACGAAUCUGGUAUUGGGUUGAAACUGAUUUGAAAUUCAGAAUAAUAGAACUCCAAGGUGCUGGAUUAUUUGAUGGCAAUGAGGUAGGAUUUCGUAAAAAAUAAAUGCAAUGAUCAUAUACUUAUGUCGAUUAAGUUUCCUAAAAUUGGCUUGUUAUUGUAGGUUGAUGUUAUAGUGGCUGAGAGAGUAGUUGACCGAAAGUUAUAUGAUGAAGAAAAAACUGAAAAAGGUUGUGCAGACCAAUUAACAGCUGACGCAUUGCGAGGUGUGCAGAUGGCUAUGAUGAAAUUAGGAGGCCAGCAAGAGGAAUUGGAAGCGAAGAUAUUUAGGCUAGAGACGAAGAUAAUGAUAGAGCGGUUAUUUUGCACACUUUGCACUAUUAUUUUGUCCUAAUUAUGGCUACUCAUGGUGCUAAAAAUUGGGAUUUUACUCAUAUUUGAUAUUUGUGUGUAAAUUAUAGGUGAUUGGUGUAAAAAGUGCUUUCACAAGGCAAAUUUUCAGAAAACUCUUUAUUUUAUGGCGUGCCCACGCCAGAAACUAAAGAGACUCACCCAAAAGCUGGACCCACAGGCUUGGUAGCAGCUAAAGUGGGCAAUUAGAAGGCUGGGUCCACGUGGACCAGACGCAUAGGAUUAAAACUCCAAAAGGGUUAGCUUUUGUGGGAUAAAUUGAAUCAGAUGUGGGUGGACUUCUACUACUAGCGGCGCUACAAAUAAGAAGAAGCCAGAUUCACGUGAUAUCAAUACCUUAGUUUUAGUUUUUUUUUGCCAGAUCUGUCAGACGUUUGCUUUUCUAUUAGGUAGCAAUCAAUUAGGCUAGCUUUUGUUUCUUUUCACCGUCAUACGCUUUUUCCCUUUUUCUCUUCGGCAGCAAUUAGAAUAGCCUUUUGCUUUAUAAUUGCAGCUCCAAUACGAAGACGAAGCCAGGUUUCCCUUUGUUAUUUUUUCGAUUAAUUCACCUUCCCCAAUUCCUCGACAAUUAAUUUCUGGGCAAUUGUGUGGAUAAUAUUAAUCAAAUCAUGCGAGCUUGACAUGAUGAGGAGCGGCUAAUUUUCUCCUCUACCCAAAGGUUGACGCGAAGGCGCGGUCCAUAAUAUCUGUGAGAUCUAAUCGAAUCUUCAUUAUUUCUUCCAAUUUGCUGCUAUUUGUGCGUUUUCUGAAUUAAUUGUUGAUGGGUAUUUUAUUAAUUGAAUAUCAACGGUUGGGUAUUUGAUUUAAUUUAAUAGCCUACUGUCACAUUAACUAAAUUGAAUCCGUAAUUGUUCGUUUAGUUGAUAUCUAGUGACACCCACCAUAAUUGGCUUUAUGUUGGGGAAACGUAAGAUCUAACUUAAAUAAAUCCUCUUAGCGUGUUUAUUAGUUAGGGUUGGGUUCUUCUAGUUUUAAUGUAAUUGGGUAAUUAAAUUCCUACGGUCGUACUUAGGGUUGUUAUCUGGUUAGAGAAGCAGUCAAUGGUCGUACCUUGACUGUCGAAAAAGUAAGGAAGAACUGGUUAUCAGAGCUUGUUGAUAACUAUAAACAACUUAGUGAUGAAUGGAUGAAAUAUCUUUGCAUCGAUGAUGAUUUAAUUGGACCGUGCUUGAGUAGUUGAUCCUUUGGGUAGAAUUUUAUUAAUUGCUAUUUUUAAGAAAUUGUACUUGUUUGAGUUAGCUCUUGAAUUUUAUUUAUUUCAUUUUUAUUUUCAUCCCAUUAAUUAUCCCCCGAUUUCAUUCUAUUGACUUGGAAAGAAAUAAUUUUCUACCCGCUCCCUGUGGAAUCGACCCUACUUACCAUUGUACGCAAAAUUAAUAUUUUUAUAGACAAAUCUGGUAUUCGGAUCAAACAAACUUUUCGGGAACAUGGUGAAUCAAGUAAUCCAUUGCACACCUAGGGUCCUUGCUCCAGUACUUGGAUUUGUUCUAUAAUUAAUUGUGGUGGUAAUUAGAACUUUUUAGUAAUUAUUAUUGUACAGAUUCGGCACCCGUCAAUUUUUGGCGCCAUUGCCGGGGAACGGUGUUUUGGUUAAUUUUGUUUCUUUCUAAGUUGUUUUAUUUGGAUUUGUCUGGCAUUUUUUUAGUUUAUGCCUCGUUCUUCUCGUACAGGUGAAUUGAUUUUCGAUCCAGAAAUAUAAAAGACUUCACGCCGAACUAGGAAAGAAACCAGACAGCUCAGGGAGGAGCAAUCUACUAUUACAUCUCAGGGACUUGAUCCUGAGAUUGAAUUAACAGAUUCAAGUGGUGAUAGUUCAAGUGGACCAAGGCCAAGAGGACAUCCCUAUGGCAAAUGCGAGAACACUAGGGGAAUUGACUGCUCUAGAAUUGCCCUAGCAGCCUUUGUGCAUCACAUUCCCAACUUUGGCUGAAAAUAUCUCAUUCGAAUUGAAGUCGGGAUUAAUUCACCUCCUACCCACCUUCCAUGGCCUCUCAGGUGAACAGCCCCAUAAACACAUCCAAGAGUUCGAUGUGGUAUGCUCUAGUAUGAAACCUCCAGGAAUUACUGAGGAGCAGAUCAAACUCAGGGCAUUCCCUUUUUCCCUCAAGGAUGCAACGAAGGAUUGGUUAUACUACCUACCCGCAGGUAGUAUCACAACAUGGGCCCAACUUAAGAAGAAAUUUUGGAAAAAUUCUUCCUUGCAUCCCGGACUGUAAGUCUAAGAAGAGAGAUAUGCAGCAUUAAGCAGUAUCCUGGAGAAUUCUUAUAUGACUAUUGGGAGAGGUUCAAUAAGUUAUGCACUAGAUGCCCACAGUAUCAAAUUAGUGAACAACUAUUGAUCCAAUAUUUCUACGAGGGACUCCAGGCGUCCGAUAGGAGGAUCAUUGAUGCUGCGAGUGGGGGAGCAUUGGCAAACAAGACACCAAGGGAAGCAUGGUUACUCAUUGAAUCGAUGGCAGAGAAUUCUCAACAGUUUAGCUUCCGUGAGAAUAACCAUACCCGUAGAGUCAAUGAGGUAGAGACGUCGUUCAUUCAACAGCAGAUAUCGGAGCUGACAUCUUUUGUACAACAAUUACCUAUGGGAAACAUGCAUCAAGCAAAUGCCUUUGGAAUUUACACAAAUGUGAGCCAUCCCACUGACUCAUGCCCUUUGUUGCAAGAGGAUGAAGUUGAACAAGUGAACAUGGUUGGAGAUGUGUCCGUGCCUCGUAGGUAGUAUGACCCAUACUCCAACACGUACAAUCCGGAUUGGAGGGAUCACCCCAACUUCAGCUAUGGUAAUAGGCCACAUAAUUCAUUCUCCAAUCGUCCACCAGGAUUUCAGCAACUAUGGCAACCAAAGCCACAACCUUUAUCAUCUAACUCAGGAAGUUCCUUGGAGGAAAUUGUCAAGAGUUUGGUCACGACUACCACUCAGCUCCAGCAGGAGACUAGGGCUCUUGUCACGAAUACUACGCAGUUUCAGCAGGACACCAGAGCAAGUAUGAAAGACAUGGAGACUCGAAUGAGUCAAAUGGCAACUGCUAUUAAUCGCUUGGAGUCCCACGUUUAUGAGAAACUGCCAUCACAACCCGAGACCAAUCCCAGAAAUGUAAGCACCAUGACACUAAGGAGUGGCAAAGAGGUGGAGGGACUUAAAUUGGUAAAUUCGAAAAGCAAAAGUGAGGAGGCGAUAGAAAAGUGAAUUGAAGAGGAAUGGCGUAUUCGCGAAGAGCCUAAGGUAACAUCUAUUCCUUCGAUCCCUAUUAAAUCUAAUCUAUCUCCUUUUCCUUGCAGGUUGAAAAAGACAGAGAGGGCAGAAAAGGAAAAAAAAUCCUGGAUGUGUUCCGCAAAGUUCAAGUAAGCAUCCCCCGAUUGGACGCGAACAAGCAGGUACCCAAGUAUGCAAAGUUCUUGAAAGACUUGUGCGUUAACAAAAGAAAGCUAAGAGGUGAUGAGAAAGUGAUGGUAGAAGAAAAUGUAUCAACUGUACUUCAAAAGAAACUCCCACCCAAAUGCGGGGAUCCAGGUUUAUUUACUAUUCCCUAUAAGUUUGGUCAUUCUAGUAUCAAGAAUGCCAUGAUAGAUUUAGGGGCUUCUAUUAAUGUGAUGUCUAAGUCAAUCUAUGAUUCCCUAAGAAUAGCCGAGGCAUGAACAUUUAGUGUGAUAAUAAUGAUGAUAAUGGUAGCAGGUUGUUUUGUUUUGCUUAACGAGUUUGUCUUUGGUUGAAUAGAGCAACGUCCAGCUAUGCUGCUGCUCACUGUUGCAUUGCUUCUUAGUAAAACAACUAUAUAAUGCCCUAAAAGAAUUGUUAUCAGAAAAGAGAACAGGUUGCAUUUGUAAUUGUACGUACAAACUACAAAGUUGACAUUCAGAUGCUUCAUCUGCUUGGGAUAAUAGUGAAUAUAAAAGGACACUGUUCACCAACCAAGUCACAAAGUUGAGAACUACUUUAGAUUCCUUUGUUCAGCUUUGGUAGGAAGAGGUGGAAAGAAGAGAGAUAAGAAUUUGAUUCAAUAUCUGAUAUUAUCAGCAAUUAAUUUUGGUGUAUAUGAAGCAUAAAAGUAUAUCUCAUUUUUUCUGGUUUUAAGUGUAACAAUCUGCUGCCAAUUAAAAAGUUUAAAUAGCUUAACUUAAAGCUUCUAUGCUCAAAUAUUAACCAUUAGAAAAACGGAUUUCAUAGAAGACCAAUUACUUUCCACUACUAUAAAAAAUCAAAAGAUGGGCAGGCUAACAAACAUCUAAUCAUCAACUAAGUCUCAUAUUUGGGGGAUCAGAUGCCACAGCCAUUGGUCUUUCCAACUGCUCAGGACAAUGUAGAAACUAACACAACAAAGGAAGUCGAUACUAAGAAAACAAGUAAAGAUACUAACUAUAAACAUGUACACCUGCACAAUUCACCCAUGUGUCUCUCAGCAAUAGAAUAUUUUCAAUCUCCACCUCACAUAAUUCAUUUUAGGAGAUAAUUUCCACUAAUUGUCAGCAGAGCUAUUUAGGAACACCAUUAGAUGAAGUUAGAUUUGCUAUUGAAGUUCCAAUGCCACCACUAGGCCAGAAAGCCUAAAACAUGACUGAAAUGUUUACCUUGUAUUUGUGAUACUGAUCACAAGCUAUGUCUCCGGAGGCUCCAUGAGAAAGCCCUGAACAUUUUAUUGGUGAUUAAAGCCUAAGUUACAAAUUAACAAAACAAUAAAUAAACUUUAAAAAAUACAAAAUUUGAGUUUUUCUGAUUAACUUCUGCCAACUCGUCUCAGUAUACCUAAUUUUCGUCCAACUCACCAUUUGAAGCCCAGUCAUUUCUCUUAACACUUAAUUUUUUUCUUUUUCAAAAAAGCUAACACCUAAAACCUAUGACUAUUGGUACCCAAUAGUCAUACCCAAAAAAUUUAUUUUUCGACAAACUUACCCUUAUUGGCAUAAACGAAGGUAUCCCAAAUGCUAGGCGUCCUUCCAUCUUCACGGGCAGCCCCCUCUACCUAUACAUAUGCAUAUGAUUAUCAUGUUACCGUAUUCAUGUUAUUCAUUAUACACUAUAACUACUAAUCCUGUUCCAGAAAAAGAACUAGGUGUGAAGGAAUUAAAUCAAAUGAAACGGAGAAACCACUGACUUGAAAUGCUGAACUGCCGGCACCAAAGAUAAAGUCAACUGGGAAGUCUGAUCUUGUAAAAUUCUCCACUCUGGCUAUUGCCAUUACAGCCAGAAGUUGCAACAGCAUUAGCAACAUUAGCAGUAUAAUCAGAGGAGCAGAAGAAUCCAUAAGACUCCUCUGUUUCUGUUUCCACAUGGUGUCUAAGUUUACACUCCACAGACCUAGUAUGGAGGAGUUGUUACCUUGUCAACUCUCUGGUUUCUAAGAACUGAAGGAAAAUAUUUUAGUUGCACAAGCUCCCGGAUCUGCAUGGACACCAAGGAAACACAGUUCCUGUGCUCAGCUGCCCACUUAAAUAGUUAAAUUUUUGGAGAUUUAACAAAUUGGACGUGCCGCAAAUUUUGAAGCUCUUUUUUUUUUUUUUUAUGACAACUCAAUAGUAUGGGUGGGUUUAACUUUAAUCACCGUUAUGAGUCAAGAUAUUUGCCUCGAAAUUCUAUGUCAUGUAUAGAAAUUUACACAUGAUUUUUUUGUAAGAAAUUAUUUCAUUUUUAUCAAGUAAAUCAAUUUGUGCUAGUUCAAAUUUUAAAUCUCUAAAACUGACGUAAUAUAUAGUUGUUCUGCGGUGUGCCCCUUACUGCCCUUAGGGUGCAUGAUGGGGUAGGUAGUGCUUUGCCAACAAAAGUUUAAAAUUUCUGACACGUAAUUUGUAAGCAAAAUACAUUAUCUCAAUGUGGUUUCAUCUGCGGUGGAAGCUGAGUCAUCUGUCCAUGGUGGGAAGAACAAAGGAAAUGAGGACAACACAUCACUGGAGCUAAACAAAGGGACAACAUGAAAAAGAGAUACCGGAGACCGGAUAGAACAAUGUGCCAAUAAUAAUCAAAAAAUAAGAGUGCAUUUUGCUCGGAAGACAAAUUGCAAAAUCCACCUGUUGCCUAGCUGAUCCCAGUUGUUGUCCGAGUUCAAAUGUAUGUUCAUCUCCACUCCUCACCCGAGCUGCGCUGACCUAUUAAAAUUUACUUGUCUGAGACCAUUUUUUAAAUAUUGCCUCCAUACUCACUCCUGAUCACCAAUUUGGGAAAUUUAUUCAAUAUGCCUUUUGUUUUACACAAAAGAGUAUUUAAAUUUUUUUAUUAUUAUUUCAAGUUACGGGGUGGUACUUAUCCAUUAUAAAUAAAUUUUUCAAAAUUAACGAUUAUGUAUAUCCAAUAAUGGAGUUCAAUUAUUUCUCAAUCUAUGCAAUAUUCAAUAGAAGAUUUUGGGGGACUAGUAGUUGCCGCUAGAGCUGUUAAUCGAGCCGAGUCGAGCUGAGUAUUUGGCUGCCGAGCUCGACUCGAGCUCAUUAGGAAAACAAGCUUUAAAAUGUGUUCGAACUCGGCUCGUUAAAUGUACAUGUGGCUCGAGUUUGACUCGUUUAUCAUAAACGAGUCGAGCUUUACGAGCUUGAGCUCGAGCUCGUGCAAAUUAACCUUAAUAAAAACCUAUAAUUUUUAAAUUUUAUAAUUUUGAUUUCUAAAAUGAUAAAUAUGCCCUUCAUUAACGAACUCUAACGAGCUAUUUGAGUAUCAAACGAGCCACUUGAGUAUCAAACGAGCCGAGCUUACUCGGCUCGUUAACUAAACGAGCAUGUUUCGAGCUCGAGCCUUACCGAGGCGAGCUCUAACGAGCUUUCGAGCUACUCGAUUGACUUAACAGCUCUAGUUACCGCCUUCUCAAAUGAAAAUUUGGAGUUUGGUAGUUGCGGGUUAGAUCGAAAUUUUUUUCUUUAAAUGUUGACGCCUUUAGAUUGAAAAUUCGGACUCUAAACUGAAAAUUUCGAAUUUAAAUGAUAGCGCCUUUAAAUUAAAACUUUGUAUUCUAAAUUCUAGAGCCUUAGGAUUGUUUGACUUAUCAUCAGCAUAUGUAUAUAUACACACACACUUGCUUAUAUAUACAUGUAAGUUUAUCCUACUCUCGCAUGACAUUUUGUAUAUAAAUCACAUAAUCUUAGAGAAAUGGAAAAUGAAAUGAGAGAAGUAAUUCAUGAAGCCAAAAAGUUAUUAAUUGCAUCAGGAUUUCCAGAUUCCCUCGACUAGGAAGACACGGUAUAUGAAUAACUGACGAAAGCAAUAAGUUGUUAGUAUUAUGAAUAAAUAUUUAAUUAGAAAUUGGAUGAAAAUUAGAUUUUGCUUAUGCAUGUAAGAGUUAAGUCCGUACAUUUAAAAAAAUUUAAUAGGAAAGAGGUAGGAUUUAAGAAAUAGUGGGUGGGCAGAGGAAUUUGAAUCUAAGAUCUGUAAUUCUUGGGUCUCAACUUUAUGGUCCUUAUCUGCCUAUUAUGCAUUUUAUGAUAAAUUAUCAUACAUGAACUACCAUCUGAUCUAAAAAGGAAAAAAAAAAAGGUUCCCGUAUAUUGUUUAAACAUAAGUAACAAUAUUUUAUUAAAAUAAAAAAUUAAAGACAUAUUAUUUUAGUAAAUAAAUUUUUUAUCCAAAUCAAAAAGAAAAGACCCAAUGAAAAUUUGUACCAUAAUAUAAAUGGUAAUUGUGGCGAGUUUCAGUUGAUGAAAUAUUACAAGAGUUAAAAUGGAUUUGUGUAUUAACAUGAGAAAUCAUUUACACAACAAUUGAAAAGGUUUCUUAUUUUUCAAAAUAAGAAGAAAAAAAGAGAAGGGGAAAAGUAAAAGAAAACAAAGUAACAAUAAAUGUGUCUAACAAAUUUUAAAAAUACUUAGUGGAUUUACUUAACCCCAUGAAUAGUUGAGUUUUAAUAUGCAUUUAGAUUUAAAUGAGUCAUUCGAAUCCACUGACUCAAAACUCACUGAGAUUAGAAUUCAAUUUAAAUUUUGAACAUGUGAUACAUGACAUGUAAUCUAAAUUUGAAUUUAAUUUGAAAAUUUGUACAUGUGAUGCAUCCACGCGACUAGUAUAUCUAUUAUUAGCAGAGGAAAGAUUUGACCAUUUCUAUACUAUCUAUAUAAAUUAUAAAGUCAAAGGAUGGAAGCAUUAUCGUGUCGUGUCAACACACAUUUAAUAUUUUCUAAACUUUCAUUUAUAUCCUUAGAGUAUUUAAUUAUUUUCUCUCAAAUACUAGGGAUGUAAUCGAGUCAAGUCAAGGUCGAGUAUUGCUAUACUCGAGCGCAACUCGACUCAUAUGUACCUAGGCUCGAGCUUGACCGAGUCCAAAUAAUCGAUACUCGAGACUUGACUCAAUGAACUCCCUUUAAACUCGAGACUCGACUCGAUAAGGCUCGACUUUUAUGCAAGCCUUAUCAAGUCGAGUCUAAUCAAGCUUUUUGACUUGACUUAAAAAAUGUACACUUGUAAAUUCAGUAUAAAUUAUACCCAUAAAGGUCAUUUCAUAAUUAUAAUACAUAUAUAUUAUUUAAAUUAUAUAUAUUAAUUUAAUAUAUCCGACUCAACUAGCUACUCGUCGAGCCACAAGCUGCAGAUUCCUGACUCGAACUCGACUCGAAAGUAUAUUCGAGUGGCUCGAGACUGUGCUCGAACUCGAUUUGACCGAGUUCAAGCCAAGUCGUUGACCGAGUUACUCGCAUGGCUCGGCUCGCUUACAUCCCUAUUCAAGGGUGGCUUUGUUAAUUAGUUGGUUACAUACCCUUCUAUUUUCUAUUUUUAAAUAAGAACUUAAUUUAUGUUAGUAAUUAUCCAAUUGAAAUCAAGUACCAAAUAACAAAACACUAUAUAAAAUUACCAUAUCAUAAAUAUCCAUUACAGAAACUAAUUUUUAUAAGAGUAAAUCUUAUAUACACUGAUCUUUAAAAUGACCUUUAAAAUUUUCACAAAUGACCUUUAAAACCUCUAUAAAUUAGUACUCGAUGAGUUAAUAACUUCUAUUAAAUAAUAAGUUUUUGAUUUUGACUUGGUUAACGAGUUAAAUUAAUAAUUUUGAUAAAAUAGUAAAAUAAUAAUUUUUUGAAAAUCCUAUAUAACCGUUUGAUUCUAUUCAUAUCAUAAAUUAAUAAUGACUCUUACUGUCCUGUUUGGGACAUUCUUUAUUCAUUUGACUACCCAACCCAAUUUAUACUAGUAUUUGCCGUUAGCCCCUUAAGAUGAGCAAGCAACGAUAUCUAGACAAAUGUCAAUUACAAUCUUGUGUUCAAAUUAAUAUACAUAUCCAAACAAAUACACUUGACGAUAAAGUAAGAAGGUGAGACCCAUUUAAAACACAGCCAUUGUUUAGAGUAGUUACAGUAGUUAUAUUGGCAAAAUGUGAUUAAGUAGUCAAAGCAAAAAUUAGUUUUUCUUUAAGGAUAAAAUAAAAAAUUUUAAAAAUGACAUAAAAAAAUUUACACUAACUGCGAUCUCUCUAACUUUAUAUGUUGAAUAGAUAGUAACUUUUUAAUUAGAAUCAAAAUUAUAGAUGAUUUAUUAGAAACAUAAUUAACACAGUACUUCAAGAAACUAGAAUCAUGACAUAAUUGACCAAGUAGAUUUUAAUUUAAAUUUAGAAAUUAGAUAAGUAAUCUUAUAUGUAACAUGGUGACUUUUAAAUUAAUAUCGAAUUUGUAGAUGAGUAAUCAUAAAGUUAAUUAACAUAGUACUUCAAGAAACUAGAAUUGGGAUUGUAGAUAAAAUAAUCAUAAAUUUUAGAAGAAAAUACUCUCCUCUUUGAAUAAUAAAAAAUUUAGAGUGGCAAGUAUUAAUCUCUUUUUCCUUGGUAAUUUUAUUAAUAUUGAAAAAUAUAUAUAAAGAUUAAAAGGGGGGAGAGGGAGUGAGAGAGAGAGAGAGAGAGGUCAAUUUUUUUUCAAAAAAUAAAAAUAAGAAAGAAUUAAGUAUUUUUAUUAUUUUAAAAUCAUUUUAUUUUUCUGUUUAUCACUCAAUUCUAAUCCUAAUACCGACAACUUUAAAGUAAUACGAUAAUGUUAGAAUCUUCUUUAUUUUCUUUCUUUGCAUAUUAGCUCAUUUAAUCAGACUAAGAAACGACAAAAUUGGGAACUGCAAAUUGAACCCAAAUUCCAUCCCAAAUCCGUCAUUCAAAUCUGCGGAGCAGCAACAUCCAUCAAGAAGAGGUACAAAUUGGAGGGCAGGUCUGCAAUUUUCUUUCAUCCUACGGCCUCGGAAGCUCUUGCCAAAAAUUUGAAGCGCCGAAAAGCUGCAAAACGGAGACCAUUAUGUUGAUGGUACAUGUAUCAUUCGGUGAAUGAGGUAAGUUUUCUGAUGCUUUUGUCCGGAGCUGAAAGAAGAUGGCUUGGAGCCCGUAGUUAUCUCCAAAUGUUAUUUUGAUUUUUUCUUUUUCUGGUGAAAAAAUUACCCAUAGCAAUGUAUUUAUAGAGGAAUGACAGUGUUUUCCUAUGGCUCAUAGCAAAAAUCCUAUGGUUCAUAUUGAAAAAAUCAUUUAAUACGUCUUUCAUAUUUUAUAAAAUAAUUUUUUCGUUUCUCAUUUUUUAAAAUAUAAUUUUACGUCCCUUACAAAUUAACAUGAUCAAAUUUGGUCCCUACCUAGAUUUUCGACUAGUUUUUUUUUUUAUCGAAAUCCACUAUAUGCCUAACAUAUGAUCAUUUUUCAGGGGCAAUAUUAUUAAAUUAAAUUUUACAUAAUUCAAUCUAUAGUCCUUCACAUUUCAUAAAAUAAAUUAUUUUGUUCCUCAUAUUUCACAAAAUAAAAUUUUUCAUCCUUCAUUAACUAUGUGUUCGAAUAGUUUAUUUUUUUAAACCCAUGUACAUAUCUAUUUGAUUUCACGUGAACAGUACAAAUAGCAUGUAAUAUAUUUUUAUUUGAUUUCACCUAAAUAACCUAACUGUAUUUAUACACAUGCUAUUUAAUAGAUAUAUACGUGGGUUUAAAACUAACAAUUUUAUUUUAAACCCCCCACAUAUAUAUCUAUUUGAUUUCACCAUGUGAACCUAUUCAAUAUUUGUGACCUUUUCUUUUUUGGUAAUAAUUCAUUUAUUGAGUUGUAUGAUAAGGUUACCUAACUCGAAUUCAAUAGUCAUGCUAACAAAUUGUAAUUUAAAUCUAAAGUUUCUACUCGCCACCUUUAAGACCAAUAAUUAAAUUACUUGCCUUGUGAUUGUUUUAAAAUUUGAAAGUGCUAAACACUUACUUCUUUUUGUCAUACUUUUCCUUUGUUUAUUUUUUCUGUCCAAAUUUAAUUAGAUAUAAAUACUCAAUAAUGUUUAGGAUUAAAUGUUUUCUUUGUUUACAAUUUUUGAGUAAAAGAAAAUGAAUAUGAGUGAAAAUCUAACACUUCUUUUUAAACUCAUAUAUACAUCUAUUUGAUUUCGCCUAAACAGGUAAAAUCAAAUAGAGAUAUAUUACAUGCUAUUCAUAUUGUUUAGGUAAAAUCAUAGAUAUAUACGUGGGUUUAAAAAAGAAAGCUAUUCAUACAUAUGAUUAAUUAGGGAUGAAAAAAUUUAUUUUGUAAAAUGUGAGAGGCGAAAAAAUACAAUUUGUGAGAUAUUAGUGACGAAAAAAUUUAUUUUUUAAAAAUAUGAGAGAUGAAAAAAUUCAUUUUAUAAAAUGUGAGAGACUAUGGAUCGGAUUGUGUAAAUUUUGAUUUGAUAAUUUUGCCCUUAUAAAAUAAUCACGUGCAAUACACAUGGUGGAUUCCGACUAAAAACUAGUCGGAAACCUAAGUAGAGACCAAAUUUAACCAAUGUAAAUUUGUAAGGGACGUAAAAUAACACUUUUAAAAGUGAGGGACGAAAAAAAUUAUUUUACAAAAUGUGAAGGAUAUUUUGAAUGAUUUUUCUGUUCAUAUUUACACCCCAUCCAGUGUAUUUACAGCGCAAUUGUCCCCUCUAUUCUUAGAGCCCGUAUUUUCCUAUGAACCAACUUACAAAUGGGUCUUUGUUUUACAUUUUUUUUAUUUUUUUGAAGAAGAAGCCGGUUUGUUUUUGUUUCUGUGUUGGCCGAUCAAAACUAGAGACUAUGAUGGUGACGAAAUAGUGAAACUUUUACUUUACCUUUUUUUUUUUUUUUUUAGCUUCUAAUGUUGCAAAGUAUAUUAGUUUGUCUAAGUUGAGAAGAUUGACCCAUCUGCUAAUCCGAGAAGAUCUACCAUAUAAUUAAACAAAUACAGGCAUUUUAGCAGAAUUUUCAGUUUUUAGCCUUGCAAUCAACUCUUAUAGCAAAGUAAGAGAUCACAGUUUGCAGUGUUCUAAAUUGUUGUGAUUUGUUCAGUCACUGGUAUAAUGAGGAAGACAUUAAGCAUCUAGUCCCACUAGCAGUUUUUGUCGAAAACCAAUAAAUAGUUCUAGAAUGUAGAAUAUUAAUAGCAAGACCAGAGUCAAUUUUUUGAAUUUUCAAAUGGAUCCGAAAAGGAAUUACACAAUGUAAUUCAAUGGUUUAACAUUCUCCUCUAUCUUGCAAAGCUAUUUUUUCUUGGAAAUUAUUUUAAUCAAUUAGUAGUAACCUACUUUUAGAAUACUUAUUCAAAUAAACUGACAUUGGCUCCAAUUGUAACUCUCAUCCAGACACCACACGUCAUUGAAGUGUCCUUUAUAUUUAGAACCACAAGCUUUUAAACAGUCCAAGUCUCACUUUGCUGACUUCUCAUUGUACCCAUUAGUUCCUUAUGAGUUGCUUCUGGAGCAUUUAGGGAAUAUUAACUUAAAGUAGCUUUCAAAAUUCAUGUGCUUGGAUUAGUUGAUAGGGAGUUUUAGCUCAUUUAUGGGGGAGACUGUCAAAAUUUUUUCAAAAAAAGUACUAAAUUGUUUAAAAAGUUUUGACAAAUUCAUGUUGUGAUUAAUUUUUUUUUUUUUUUUUUGGCUCGUCAUUAACUCUGUCAUGUUCAUAUAGGUGAGCACAAAGUUGGUGACACAAGUUUAUCACUUGAAGAGACUUUGAUUGGUACCAGUAGGAUCAAAUCAAAUCCACAGAAGUGUAUCUUUGGAAUUUGAGACUAGUUAUUAGACAAGUUUAUAAGUUUACAACUUUAAUAAGGUUACCUUCUGAUGAGGGACCACCAAGGCUCCAAGUUGCGGAUUCAAAUGGCUCGAGUGAGGCCUUAUAUGCACCAACGAUGAACCUUGGGCCAAUGACUUGAGCAAGAGCAAGGAAGCUGCGAGAGUCAUUUCAAGCGUUCCUACAAGUAAUUCACUCUCGCAUAGGACGGAUUCAAGAAACUCAUCACACAUUGGUGAAUCUGAUCCAAGCCAAUGAGGAGACCACGGGUCCAUAAGAGCAACAUGGAUAGCUUGCUAAUUUUACUUGCUUUUGAAGUUAGUUAGUCGAAUGGAAAUAAGGUGGAAUUAGCUCAUGUUGAGCACUUAACUGAUCAGUUAUAGCCGUGAGGGGAGCUAGUAAUUUAGGGUUUAUUUUGAGUUAGUGAGGUUUUUCCAAGAUAAGUUAGGAGUAGAAUUUGUGAAGCCUAUAAAUAAGGCUUGGCCGAUUGUCACUUGACAUCAAGUUAUUAUUAUUAUUUCAGAAAUAAGGAGCGAGUUCUCUUAGUUUUGAAUAUCCUUUGAAUAUCUUAGAUUGUUUCUAAGUAUUCUACGUGGUUUAUCAAGUAAGAAUCACACUUGUUUGUGGCAUCAUUCUACCAAACACCACAGGUUCCUUUAAUCACUUCUUGAGGGUUAAGAAUCACUCUUAGUUUUCAUCCAAGGGAUUCUAAAGGGGUUUAGGGUUCCGCAUAUCCAAACCUUGGAGUCGCUUGUCUAGAUCCUUCUUGUUGGAAUAUGCGCUAAUCGUGAUUGGGUCAUAUCAUCCAGUAAUCAGAGCUAGUUGACAACUGCCAAGUUAUAUCUUUCUUUUCUUUUGUUCGAGUCAUAUACUUUUGUUUCCAAGUCAGAUUCGUGCAUCAAAAAAAAAUACAUUGAGUCUCUAGUCUAUUUAUCUAGUUUCCUUACUGUCCGAAUUCUAAUUCUUGUUGCUGCUGUGUUUUCUUUACCUUAAUUGUGUCUUGAUUGUCUUGCCUUGAGUCUUGAAGCUGAUCAAGUCAAAAUAUAUAAAUCUGGUCGCUACUUGUUUUUGAAAUCUGAAGUUGGAAUACGAGUUCGCCAAUCAUGGUUGGGUUCAUAUCACCUUCCUUUAGAUUUAUGAUAUUUGUCCAACUAUAUGAAUAAGUUCAUUUGACUUGAACAAAUAGGAUCUAUUUGGCUAAUUGAUUAGAAUAUAGGUGUAAAAAGAAAAAAUCAGACACUUGCGGGUCUGACAGGUAUCCUGUAUAAAUCUAUGGGUGCGGGGCUGACACAGCCCGGUACCUGACAACAAAAUUUUUUUUUAUAAAAGGCACAGGGUGCCGGGCUGUAUGACAAAGGUCUUUUUUUUUUAAAAUAUGUCAGGUGCUGGGCUUUGUCAGCCCGGCACCUGACAAAGGCUUUUUUUUAAAAAAUGGGUUGACCCAUUUUACUACAGAAAAACAUGCUGCUAUAACAAGGAUAAAACAUGCCCGGCACCUGACCCAUUUUACUAAAGAACAGCAUGCUGCUAUAACAAGGAUAUAAUAAUUAGAAAAACAUCCAUAAAAUCAUUUCCCAAAAGCAAAAGCCAGAAACUUUCUUCUAAUUUACCAGGCUGCAUAUUCCAACUCUAAUACUUAUGCCAACUUUGGACAAAAUAAGCAGUAAAAUGCACACACAGAUACUUAAAUUCUAAAAUCCGUCUAUUUGAGAUAUAUCUAUUUAUAGAUAACAAAACAUGGAUAUGGGCUAUGCUUAACUUCCCAUAAAAUAAAUAAAAACUAAAUAAAUUUGAUUACCUCUGCAGGUAGCAGUAAUUCUACAGCCAAAUUUGAUGGGCGCUAAGCUCUUCAAUAAAUUCAUCUCAACCGAGGCCUUUUCAGUUACCCAUUGUGUUAAACCUGAAUACUUGAGUGAAGACCCACCUCAAAACUGUUUGGAUUUUCCAGAAUUAACAAGAUUCAAAACCGUGAAAAUUAUUUCAAUAAGAUGAAACAAUAAGAUAACACGGUACAUGCUUAGUUGAAUUAGUUUAGUAAUAGAAUUAGUUUAAGUAAUUUAAUUAGUUGUUUAAAUUUGUUUAAUGGAUAGAUUUAAAGAGACUAAUUAAAUGAAUGUAGAUGUAAUUUAUGCAGUAUUGAAUUAUGAUUAUGAAAACUUGUUAAUUAGUUCGGGUUAUUUAAGUAAUUGAAAGAAUUGACAUAUUUAAUAAAUUGAAUACAUAAAAUUGAUGUAUUUAGCAUAACUUAAUUAACGAUAUUAGUGUUAUUAGUUUAAUACAAUUAACUUUAUUAUGCAAAUUAGUUGAUAAUUAGUUUAUGUUAUUUAGUGUAUGAUUAGUUUAAUUAGUUUAGUGGAUUAAUUAGUUUAAUUAAUUGUGGAAUUAAUUAAUUUAAAGAGGUUCGAUUAAAUGAAUUUAGAUAUAUAUGGCAAGGUUAAUGAAUUGAAUGAAUUAAUCGAAUGAAUUUUUGUAUUGAGUUUCGAUUAAGAUAGCCAAUUAGUGGGGGCAAUUUAAGUAUUUGAAAUAAUACCCAUGCUAAUAAAAUAAAUACAUAAAAUUAAUGUAAUUAGCAUAGCUUAAUUUCGAAACUAGUGAUAUUAGUUUAAUGUAAUUCACUUUAUUUAUUAAGUUAGUUGAUAAUUAGUUUAUGUUAUUUAGUAUAUGAUUAGUUUAAUUAGCCAAUAGGAUAUAUUAGUUUAGGUAAUUGAAUGAAUUAAUUUUAAGAGAUUUGAUUAAAUGAAUUUAGAUGUAUUUGGCGAAGUUAAUUAAUUCAAUGGAUUAAUUGAACGAAUUUGUGCAAUUGAGUUUUGAUUAAGCUAGCCAUUUAGUCGGGGCAUUUUAAAUAUUUGAAAUAAUACCCAUGCUAAUAAAAUAAAUACAUAAAAUUAAUGUAAUUAGCAUAGCUUAAUUUCAAAACUAGUGAUAUUGUUUAAUGCAAUUCACUUUUUUUGUUAAGAUAGUUGAUAAUUAGUUUACGUUAUGUAGUAUACAAUUAUUUUAAUUAGUUUAGUGGAUUAAUUAGUUUAAUUAAUUGAAUGAAUUAAUUAAUUUUAAGAGGUCUGAUUAAAUGAAUUUAGAUGUAUUUGGUGAGGUUAAUUAAUUGAAUGGAUUAAUUGAACGAAUUUGUGCAAUUGAGUUUUGAUUGAGCUAGCCAUUUAGUCGGGGCAACUUAAAUAUUUGAAAUAAUACCCAGGCUAAUAAAAUAAAUACACAAAAUUAAUGUAAUUAGCAUAGUUUAAUUUCGAAACUAGUGAUAUUAGUUUAAUGCAAUUCACUUUAUUUGUUAAGAUAGUUGAUAAUUAGUUUACGUUAUGUAGUAUACAAUUAUUUUAAUUAGUUUAGUGGAUUAAUUAGUUUAAUUAAUUGAAUGAAUUAAUUUUAAGAGGUCUGAUUAAAUGAAUUUAGAUGUAUUUGGCGAGGUUAAUUAAUUGAAUGGAUUAAUUGAAUGAAUUUGUGCAAUUGAGUUUUGAUUAAGAUAGCCAUUUAGUCUGGGCAAUUUAAGUAUUUGAAAUAAUAUCCAUGCUAAUAAAAUAAAUACAUAAAAUUAAUGUAAAUUUGCAUAGCUUAAUUUCAAAACUAGUGAUAUUAGUUUAAUGCAAUUCACUUUAUUUGUUAAGAUGGUUGAUAAUUAGUUUACGUUUUUUAGUAUACAAUUAUUUUAAUUAUUGUAGUGGAUUAAUUAGUUUAAUUAAUUGAAUGAAUUAAUUUAAAGAGGUUUAAUAAAAUGUAUUUAAUUAAGGUGCUGGGCUGACCCAGUCCGGCACCUGACAUCUUCUUUAAAAAAAAAAAGGCAUCUGUCAGGUGCCAGGCUGACCCAGCCCGGCACCUGACAUCUUUUUUUAAAAAAGGGAAUCUGCCAGGUGCCAGGCUGAUAUCUUUUUUUAAAAAAAGGAACCUGUCUGUUUUUUUUUAAACCUGUCUGAUUUUUCUUUUUUACACCUAUAUUCUAAUCAAUUAGCCACAGAAAAAUGCAUUUCUGACAAUGUUCUUCCAUCCACGAAAUUAAAGUGGAGGUAAGAAUUAAACAUUGGUUACAUUUCUAUGGUGGAAAGUUCACUUUUCUGCGUACAAUAAGCACAAGCAAUGCAAAUGUGGAGACGCAUAAAGAAGUAUAUUGGACACUCGAAAAAAUGAAUUAUGCAUGGAUGAAAAAUAUUAUAUAUAUUAAAAUUAUAAUAAAAGUCUUUUUAAAAAUUUAUUCAUUAUUUACUGUUCAAUACUUAUAUUUGGUAAAUUAAAAUAAUUAAUUAAAUAUUCUAUUAUAUUAUAAGUAACCAUAUAUCGUUAAGUCGAUUGAAUAAUAUGUAAGCAGUUAUUUUUUUUGGCAUUUCAAGUAGUUGUCUAUUAAGUUUUAAUUGAAAUAAAGAUUUUAUAAUUAUUUGAAAUCAUGCAAUAAAAAAAUCAAUGUAAGAUGAACACAAAUGUAAGAUGAACAAAUUGUAUGAUUGAAAUAUUUGAUUUAAUAUGUAAGAAAGACAAGAAGAAAUGGCAGGAAGUUUUUUAAAAAUUAAUGUGAGUUCUUUAUAUUGGUAAUCACCUUUAUAUGUUAUUUUAAUCAUAAUACCUGAUUAUAACCGAUUAUAAUACAUAAUACUAUUUACAACUAAAGUUACUAUAUACUCAAAUUAAAAUUUUCUUUUUCACUAAAUUUUCUUUUAUAUAUGAUGCAUGUUUUAUCAUUUGUUAAAACAAAUUAAAUGAUAAAACAAAUGAUAAAUUUUAACAAAUUAAAUGUUUUCAGAAACCCAAACCCCAAACCCCAAACUCUAACGAAGAAUGCAUUUCUGAACCCUAAACCCAAAACCCGAAAACCCAAAACCCUGAACCCUGAACCCUGAACCCUAAACCCUGAACCCUAAACCCUAAACCCUAGACUAUACACAGCGUAGAAGUACAUCAUAAUGUAACAUCUAUUAUAAUAUAAGUAACUAUAUAGCAUUAAGUCGAUUGCAUAAUAUGUAAGCUGUUAUUUUUUUUGGCAUUUCAAGUAGUUGUUUAUUAAGUUUCACUUGAAAUAAAGAUUUUAUAAUUAUUUGAAAUUAUGCAAUAAAAAAUCAAUGUAAGAAGAAAAAAUGCAUAACAUGACAUUGUACAAUCGUGAAUUUAAAAAUAGCGAUAAGCAUUAUAAUAAAAAAAGAUUAAAUUAACGCUAAAUCCCCAUAUUCAAAUAUUUGAAAUUGUAAAACAUGCAAUUGAAAUGAUCAUAUCAACGGUCGGUACGCCUUUUGCCCUUGCCUUUAUCACCUGGUGUUGUAGACGAACAGCAAAAUCUUUUAGGCUUUCGUCUGUAACGAUCACGAAGAGCAUAGGGUCCUACGUCCUCCUCCUCAUCUGACUCAACUGUCGUACUGCUUUCACCAUCGUGUUGAGAACGAUACGUGACAAAACCCCCCGUCUGCCCGUAUGCAGUAGUAGAUAUCGGGUGGAUCGACGCAGGUACGGUCAUAGUCUGUCCAAGACUGUAAUAAUCAGGAAGGUCUGAAAUGGAAGGGACACCACCCGUUUCGUUCAGAAAAUUGAAUAUUGGAUGUAGCUUAGCAGUAGAAGAUGAGGCCGCUGCAGUGGCAACGUAUCCAAAUGGAGGCUCAUUUGACGAGGAUGGAAAACAUCCCCCAAAUACAGGCAAAUAUGGAGAGGGCGUGGAAUAUACACCAAAAGGUGGAAACUGUAGCAAAGGUGUGGCAUCUAGAGCAAUAUGCUGUGAGUGUAGGAACGAUGUCACCUGAGGGGUAAAGGCCGAUAUAUUCUAUCCAGGUGACACACCGUGGAUGUCUGUCAUCGGCAAAGGCACAGAUGUGGUGAAUUGAUUACUAGUCGGGUUGUAAUGUGACUGAGUACCCCCCUCGGUCAUUUGAAUGCCCGUCUCCUCAAUGACUUCGUCUUGUAACCCAUGCCUAUGGCGUCGACUUCUACUAGAUGAUGGUCCACCUUGUGCAGGGACACGUCGCACGCAAGGUUGGAUAGGAAUUUCUGGUGCCACAGGAGGAUUAUGAUCGAAAGAAUCAUAAUCACCAACAACCAUGCGAUCAAAGCGCUGGAGAUAUUGCAUUGAUCCAUAUGCUCCAUCAGCAAUUGUUGCAAAACGUGGAUGAAAUCGACUUUCAGGGUCAUCAAGUUCAAGUGCACCAUGUGAUUGCCGACCAAUGCGCUGCAUAGUAUUCAUCUGACAUAUACAAAAUAGGAGAAAACAUGAUCAUCCAUUGUCCAAAAGUAAAUAAAUUAAAUUUGGGAGAUAGUAGUAACUUACUAAAUACUCAAACUGGCCCGAAACUCCAUGCAACAUUUGUCCAACUUGUGCCUGCUGCUGGAUAGGAGGCGUAAUGUACAAAACGGUGUGAUUGUGAUACCACUCCAGAUAAUUAUUGGAAGGCCUGAACGUGGUUGUAGGCACACUAGGUACCUGUGCUUCUGCAUGCGCAUUCCAAAAUCCUCUCCAACCCCGAUGAAAAUGAGCCCAAUUUCUUCCAGGAUAACCGGAAAUCUCUAAUUGGUGUAAACCUCCCCGAUUAGUGUCAACUGCUUCCGGAAUUUCCUGCCUCAUCCCAAAUUGGCGCAUGACACGAUCUGGACAAUGCAUUUCCACGAUGUGCCAGAAAAUUAAAGGGACUCUUGCCCGCCAUAUGCGCUCCCCUCUUCUACAAUAAUCAAGUAGACUAGCCAGUACGCCAUUGCUAUAUGGCAUCCAAAUAAACUGCUACCAUAACCAUAAUUUAGAUACGAUCCAAAAUUAAAAACGAGGGACUAUAAAAUAUAAUUUAUUGAUAUAUAGGACGUUAUACCUGAUCCAACCGCAAUAAAGCUAGCUGCUCCCGAUAAUAUGUGCUGGAUCGGCUAUAAGGGUCAACCCCAGUUCGUUCAGCGGCCCAUUUACCACCUCUAGGAAAAUCCUCAAUUCCAGAAUAUGGGAGUACAUCAGGACGAAUCACGGGAAUCCGCUCCCAUGUCCAAAGCUGUGCUAACAAGUACAGACCUCCAGAUGUGAUUGUAGAAACACGUGAUGCGUGGCACAAUCGUCGGUAUAAACACACCAAUGUCGCAGAUCCCUAGCUAUACUGGCUCAUGGCAUCCAAAUCACGAACAUAGUCUAGCCAAUUUAAACUGACGACGUUUUGACACGAAUCUGCAAAUAGCAAUCCACCCAAUAGAAUUAAAAUGUUCAUUCGGGCAUACUGGCGAACCAUCUCAUCAGAAGCAUCUGCAGGCAGUGGCGUACUCAACCGUCGGGAUAUAGACGAUAACUUCAGACGACCGUGGUUGAGCAUGUUAUCUUCUGGCCAAUAUCCCAAAAGGUCGUUAACCAACUGUUUGCGGUCUAAUGGACUACGUUUCGUCUGUACUAAUGUGACGGGUAGACCAUCAACGCUUAAACCCCACAAAACCUCCACAUCCUGCAGAGUCACAGUACCCUCUCUCAUAACUGGAAGGUGAAAAGUGUGUGUCUCUUGCCUCCAACGCUCCACAAGUACAUUUAUAAGACCAUGAUCUACUGUGAGAUAAGCGGGAAACGUAUGUUCAUGAGCGACAACCAUUAUUGGACUAACACCACACCUAUAACACGCUGCCAUAGCAUGUGAACAUAGGAAGCGUAGUUCUCUCCAUUUUCCACUUCUACAGGUGUGACUUCCAAUGUCGACAGUCUGGGCAUUACUUCCUUGUCGGCUUUGUCGAUAAGCAGUUGUGAUAUAGUAAAUGCCUCUCUGGUGAUCGAACACUUGAACUGCAUGUGCCCUCCCUUUUUUUUCAUUUUUUACAUAUUGAUCCCAACAUUUUUUUGGGAGCGUGUAUACUUGAUUCCAUGCCACCUUGUGAUUUUUGACAAACAGGUCAACUGUUUGGUUGAAUGUGAACUGUAUACAUGCAGUAAUUGGAAGCAACCGAGCGUCCCUCAAUAAAUUAUUGAAACAUUCAGCCAUAUUUGUGGAUAUGUGCCCCCAACGAUAUCCCCCAUCUUUGCACAGAGCCCAUUGCUCGGGUCGAACUGAUCCACCCGUUAGCCAUGUGUACGCCUCUGUAUUCAUGGAGUAAAUCACAUUCAUGAUGUCCUCAUACUUGCGUGGCUGAUUUGCCACACCAACAGCGAACAUCAGGCUUUUUAGUCUACCAAGCAGCAUAAAAUAUCGUCAGAAUAAGUUUAAUAUAUGUUUAAUAUGUUAGGGUGCGGUGAAAAAACAUUUAAGGGUUCGGAGACAAUUUACCUCUCAUUCUUGAAUUUUUGUGUGAAAUUGCUCCGAAUAUGAAUCAAACAGAAUCGGUGCACCCCUAAUGGCUCCUGCCACUCUUCGAGUGUACGCAUUGCGUUUAUAAUGCUGUGGUGACGAUCAGAAAUAAUACAUAUAUUUUGCACAUCACCACACACGUGAAUGCGUAACAGUCUCAUGAAACAAGGCCAACUCCGAUUAUUCUCCUCAUCAACUAGGACAUAUGCCAAGGGAAAUAUUGAAUUGUUAGCAUCAAACCCUAUGGUGACAAGAAGUUUUCCCCGAUAAGGCCAUUUUAAAAAGGUACCAUCCACGCAUAUCACCGGUUUUAGAUAGCGGAAAGCUUGGAUGGCUAGAGCGAAUGCCCAAAAUAAAUAAUCAAAAAUUAUUGCAGAUGGGGUACUUAAUGGAUGAUGAUCCCACACAACUACCGUCCCUGGAUUCGACCGUUGUAACUCUUCAAUAUAUGUCGGCAGUUGCGAAAUGGAUGUCGGCCAAUCCCCAUAUUAUAUAUCAAUGGCACGGCGUCUAGCGUACCAAGCCUUCUUAUAUGACACAUCGCAAUGAAACUCUUGUUUCACCGAUGCCUGAAUUUCCUUGAUUUUGUACACCGGACCAUUCAUAAUAUGGGGAAUAAUGUGCUCGGCAAUUAUGUCACUACUCAAUCCACGGUGAUUGUUACUAUAGCAAACACGGAUGCAAGUAUGUGUGUCAGCAAGUGUGACAAUCAUCCGCAUAUUGUGCGAGCUCCGUAAGGUUGCACGAAGCUGCCAAUUACAAGGGGGGACGGAGUUACGAGCCCGACAACGGACAUACCAAGUCGUUGGCGUGGUCUCACGAACUCUGAACUCCCUAUUCUCCUUGAUGGACCACAACUUCACAGCUCGUUGGACAUGCUCCUUUGAUUCAAAAAGUUGGCCCAAUUCUAAAUCUCUGGUGUGUUCAUUCCACAUUCUUAACUUCUCCACUCUCCCAGUAUCAAGGGGGUCAAAAUUCAAUGCAGCGUCAACACCAGCUUCAUAACGCAGUUGUGGACCCUCACUAUUUAUCCAAGGAGCACCAUGAUCCAUGUCAUCAUGGGCCAUAGAUGUGCCCUCUAGAUGCCCUGCUUGACUGUCAGUACCAUGUUCGUGGUUCUCAUCAUCGGAAGCACUAAGAUUGGGCUCCGGUUCGGAGUCCAUGUCAACAUCUACAAACUAAUCGUCAGUAGAUGGUUGUGCAUCAAAUAUUGGUGCCGAUUCAAUAUCCGCACCUCGAGAAUGAAUGGUUGAGGUGUGAAUUAUCGGUUGAGCACCUGUACAUGAAGGAUCAUUAUUCGUCCGCCGACCAGUACCCCUUCUUCGCCCUCUAUGCCUUUGUUCGACAUCUGCUCCAGCUAGUUGGGUCAUUUGACUCUCAAAAUGGCCGACUGACUGGAAUAAAGAUAUAUGUUCGGAACUGCUACCGCCUCACUCAAGAUUAUCACUUAUAAUUUGUAAACCAUCGGUACCAUGUUCUUCUAAACCCAAUAGCUUCUCGACCUCCACAUAUAUUUCAGUUGCAAGUCUACUACCAGAUUGUAAGUAGUACAGACCAGCAACUCCAUUGUCAUUUACCAAAGGCAUUGCACCAAACUUGCCAUUUUGGAGACAACUCCGAUAUAUCAAACUAAUGUUAUAGCUGUUCCGAUCUAAACCCAUACUAGUGUAUAUUCUGUCUACCAAUUCAUCAUAACCCACCACCUCUGUCAGGAACAACACAUUUUUCGGUAUAGGAGGAUCAUAUGAAAUUGACCCCUUUUUGUAUAUAAUUUUUCCUCCCCAAUAUAAUUGUAUCACCAGGCAAUUAUCACCUGACAUGUUAUACCUAUUACGGACGAGUGUUGAUAACAUUGUAAAAUCGCAUUAAUAAGCUUAUUUGAAUAAUCAAUUAAUUGAUCGAAUCAAAUAUGUAUAAUUUAUAACAAAUAAAUAAAUAAUUAUGAGUCCAUAAUUGUAACAAAUAAUAACCAAUAAUAUAACAAAUAACAACAAAAAAUGCAUUAUAAUUAAAUAAUUAAACCAUUUAUCACAAAUAAAUGUAUCAUUUAAUAAAUAACAAAGUAAACCUAAUUAACCACCUUAAUUACUACAUUUAGUUACAAAAAUUUUUCCUUAUGCUAAGUCUAUCAUGCACCUACAUUUCAUAUUGGGUCAAUUAAAUAACCAUUCUAAUCAAAUAUCUUACUAAUAUUAAAAACCCUAUUUUAAAAUGAUUUUAUGCUAAUUACAUUAUGUUUAUGCAUUUAAUGUAUUAAAUGUAGCAAUUUUUUCAAAUACUUGAAUUAUCCCCACUAAAUAGCUAUCAUAAUCAAAACUCAAUACAUGCCUCGACAAAUAAAUCUAAGUUCAUUUAAUCGACCUCUUAAAAUUAAUUAAUUACAAAAGAGUGAGAGGUCCUAAUUUAACUAAUUAAACCACAAAACUACUUAAUCUAAUCAGAUACUAAAUAGCACAAGCUAAUUAUCAACUAACUUGCGCAACAAAGUGAAUUGCAUUAAACUAAUACCCCUAAUACUUAAAUUAUCCCCACUAAAUAGCUAUCAUAAUCAAAACUUAAUACAUGCCUCGACAAAUACAUCUAAAUUCAUUUAAUCGAACCUAUUAAAUUUAAUUCAUUCAACUAAUUAAAAAGCAACUAAUUAAUCUAAUUAAAUCACAAAACUAAUUAAACUAAUCAUAUACUAAAUACCGUGGACUAAUUAUCAACUAACUUGCAUAGUAAAGUGAAUUGCAUUGAACCAAUAAUACUAAUUUCGAUAUUAAGCUAUGCUAAUGACAUCAAUUUUAUGUACUGUAUUUAUUAUAGAUUUACAUUCAUUUAAUCAAUCACUUUAAAUACAUUUAUUAAACAAAUUUAAACAACUAAUUAAUGUACUUAAACUAAUUCAAUCACUAAACUAAUUCAACUAAGCGUGUACCGUGCUUCACUAACUAAUAUUAGCAAACAUACGUAAAUUACAUUAUCUGUUUACAAUUGCUUCAAAAAUAAAUUAAAUAUUUAAUUAAUAACAUAAAAAAUAUUUAUCAACAAUUCACUAACAUAAAGUGACAAAUUAUAACAACUUUUAUAUAAUACAAAUCACUAACCUCUUUCGAAUCCAAAAAAUCGAUUGCCUCGGGAGCACUGUGACUAAUGAGCCCGGCGACCUUAACAGAAGCACCGCAAUUAAUCAGCACGGCGAUUAACAAAAAUGCAGCACCAAGCGCCUGAUGCCAAUUCUGCAUAAGAAUAAGGUAAUUAUUAGAAACACCAAGCAGGACCACAAGCCAAUUCUACUGCCAAACAAGGUAAUCAUCAUUUGUUAAAUAAGGAGGACUAAGCCAACAAACACUCACGAUUAGGACCACACCACAUGACAGUUCUUUGCCCAACUCUGUCGAAAUAUCGAUUAGUGCUCGCGUGAAAGUGUGAGACACUGAGAAAUGUAAACUACGACUGAGAGAAAAGCGAGAAAUGUAAACUCGGAGUGGGAGAAAGUGAGAGGUACGGACGAUGAGGAAGUUCCUCAGUGCUUAUAUAGAGCAUCAGGUAAAAUCUAGCCGUCCGUUUGGACGGCUAGAUUACAAAGUUUCUUUGAAAAAAAAAAAUUACAACUAUUGUUUCACAAGCUGCUAAACUCUAAUGGAGCAUAGUUUUUUUGUCCAGUUAUCAUACGUAACUUUUUCUUUUGGUUCAGCUUUUUUUCGUUCACGGGAGUUGCCAGCCAAUUUUUUUUUGUCCACAAGCCUGCCGCACUUUUUUUUUUUUUACAACUUCACUGGUUGCCGGCAGAAGCUUUUUUUUUUCAGACUUUGUUUUUUCAGCCUGCCGAAAUUUUUUUUUUAAACAAUUUCACUGGCUGCCGGGCUCUGCUUUUUUUAGAUUUUGUCAGGUGCCGGGCUGUGUCUUUUAUAAAAAAAAAAAUUUUUGGUGUCAGGUACCGGGCUGACACAGCCCGGCACCCAUAGAAAUAUACAGGACCCCUGUCAGACCCGCAAGUAUCUGACUUUUCUUUUUUACACCUAUAUUCUAAUCAAUUUCCCGAUUUAUUUGACCCCUCCUACUGUCGCAAACAUGACAAAUCAAGAGAUACAUCUUUUGACGACCAAAUUACUGGUGACUUGGAAAUUUGGAUUUUGUCCUAAGGAAAAGACAAUGUAGCUUUCAUUCUUGAAAAUCUAGAUAUAAUUGUUGUCGAAUUUAUGCUCUAGUUUUUUGAAUUAUUGUAGGUAGAAGAGGCUGUUUGAAUAUUUAUGGAUUUAUAAUGUAGCUUUUGUUCUUGAAAACCUAGAUGUAAUUGCUGUCGAAUUUAUGCUCAAUUUGACUAAUUUAAUUAUUAUAUAUAUAUACUAAGAUCAUCUAAACAAGAUAUACUUUCAACUAAAAAAGAAAGCAACUUUCUCAUCUGCAGUCAAUCUCAUAUUAUGCUUCACAAAGCAUAAUCCAAGCUAAGAUAUAAAAGAGUUGAACAACAGUCAAAACUGAUCAAAGAAGUAAAUCAAGAUAACAACAAAGAAUGGAAUAUUUACUUUGUGGAAGGCUUUGUAAGUUGCACUAACAUUCCUAUUUUUCAGUGACCUCAAUGCGCAUUGCCUUAUCUCUUCAAAUUUUUGGCCUUAUUAUUUUGUUUGAAUGCUCUUUUAUCCAGUUUUACUUUCGAAUAAUAAAAUUUACGAAUUUAAAUUGUGGUUGUGGAAGUAUUUGAAGGAUGUAUCCUAAUCUUUUAGAUGAUUAAUUCAAGUAGCUUUCAAAAUUCAUACAUGCUUGGAUUGGUUGGCAGGGAGUUUUAGCCCAUUUAUAGGGAAGACUCUGUCGAAAUUUUUUCAAAAAUUCUACUAAUGAGUUUAAUUGGUUUUGACAAAUUCAUGUUGCAAUUAAAAUUUUUUAAUUCUUUUGGUUCUUCGUUAUCUCUGUUGUGUUCACAUAGGCGCAUACAAAGUUGACGACUAUCACUUGAAAAGGUUUAGAUUGGUACCUCUAUGAUCAAAUCCACAAAAGUGCAUCUUUGGAAUCUGAGACAAGUCAUUGGGUAAGUUUAUUAGUUUACAACUAAAUAUAAUUGAAGUCAAAUUAAUGUUCUAGUUUUUUAAAGUUUUGUUAGUAGAAGAGGCCAUUUGAAUAUUUUUGGAUUUAUUUUAUGGUGACUUGAUGAAUUUAAAGUUAGGCCCUUUCUUGUAAUGUAUCUUUUAAUUGCAUGUAUGUGAAGGACAGGGGACUAUCCAGAAAAUUAUUGUAGUUUCACAUUCUUCUAUAUACAUGAUAUUAUUAUUGAAGUUUUUUGUUCAGCUAUCUAAGAAAUGGUAAUGAUUUACAAUGCAUUGAUACUUAAAAAAAUUUGGACUUGUUCAUGGAGAGUUUUAGCUGAUUGUUAGGGAAGAUGCUAUUGAAAUUUUUUCAAAUUUUGUUGGGUUUGGGUAAAAAACGAUUAGAGUGUCCUAACCCAACAACUAGUUUGGAUUCUUAUACUACUAAUUCUAAUACUUUUUCCCCAAAUUAGGGAUAUAUAUCACACAUAAGUUUGUAGAAAGAUCUCUGCGAAUGUUUCUUUAUUGGGGAGGUAAAAUACAUUACGAGAAUAGAUCAAUUUGUUACUUACCUUGUACCUUCAAUCGUAUUGAUGUGUGCACGGAUGACGACCUUGAGUCAAGCCCGAUUGAUGAUGCUCAAGUGAGAGCUGGAGACGGUUUUUAGAUCAUUAAAUGCUUGGAGAAUGAAGAUUCAACAAUAUACAGCUUACUCCAACUUGAAAAAUCAAAUAAAGGAUAGUUGCUUAGAAGAUCAAGGGCAAUUCAGUCAUUUAGUCACUAUCUUUGUUAUUUAAUUUUGUAAUAAAGUCGGCCAACCAUAAAACUUGUCUUGGCCAAAACCUUAGAUAGUAGUUUACUUAGUAGAAUCGGUCCACAGGCCUAGUUUAGCCGGAGUUAAGGUUUUCCAAACCACUUUAGGUUUAGUUAAGUGAAUCCAAUUCACUUUACGUUGUCAAGUGUAUGGCUAUAUAUAGCCAAAGCUAGGGAACCUUCAGUAGACACUUUGAUAAUGAAAUUUCAGUUUGUUCUCUUAUGAUUUUGAGAGUUACAUUCAUGCUUUCUUGGCAAGGAUUUUUGAGCAAUCUCGCGGGACAUCUUUAAUUGUUCGUCCGACCUAUCUAUUUGAGUAACCACCUCAAUUGGAGUCGUCGUUUUACCGCCUUUUGCCAAGUUGAGUCGUCCCUCUUGGUUCUAGGUUCCGCCACGGCUGAGUAACCCCUCUAGAUCCUUGAACAAUCGUACUACGUGCCUCGAAACAUGUUGAUCGAGAAGCGUAUCAGUUGGUUUCAGAGUUGGUUAAGGUAUCAAUUCAUUAUAUCCUUUGUUCUUGUUCAUCUAGUCCGUCUAGGGUUGUUAUUUCCGCUGCAUUGUUGAAAAAAUAAAAAUAAAAAAAAUAAUUCUGUCCAAAGUAGUGUCACCAAUCUGUCUAAAAAUUCACUUGCUAAUUGCUUUGUCCGAACUUGGUUUCCUUUAUGUUAAAAUUCUGCCCGUAGUCUUGGUCUCAUCGUUGCAUUGAAAAUCUGUCCGAAGUGUAUUUUCCAUUGGCGUAAAGUUUGUCCUUGUUCGUGUCGUUUCAUGAGUCUUAAAUUUCUGUCCAUACUUGUGGCUUCGUGUGUCCUUGUUGCCUUGAGAUUUCUACCCGCGAAUUGUAUUUAUCGUUUGGCAAAAAAUUUUGUUCGUAGUAGGCGUAGAAACCUUUGAAACAAAAUUCCAUUGUUGUCGUGUGUUGCUGUCCAAUCUUGUUCUUGAGUUAUCCAACUUUUUUACUUGGUUUUCAAAUAUGAAUUUUGGUGAAACUUGUUGGUAAUUUGUGAAUCUUGAGAGGACCCACAAGGAUCUUGAGUUUCUUGAAUUUCUUGACCACAAUUUUGAAGUUCUUGAAGUUCUUGAAAACCUCCUUGAAAGUUCUUGAAGGUUUCUUGUUGUGUGAAUUGGCCGAAACAAAUCUGAAAAAUUAAUCCCAUUCAGCCAGGCUUGUGUUGUGUUAGUUCAUUGUAGGAAAAAAAAAGGAGGAAAAAAAAAGGAAACAAAACAGAAUCGAAAGAGAGAAAAAAAAGAGGAAGAAUCGGUUGGCAAAACAAAGAGAGGACAACCGAAUUGUAUGGGACGAAAAUUCUGAUUUGCGCAAUACUACUUGGAGUAAAAUUUGGAACCUUCUAAAAGUUGUUACAAGAAGGAAAGGGGUUUUUUUCCAAAAGGUUUUCCAAACCAAUCAGAUUUGCGCAAUCCUUCUUGGAGGGAAUUUGGAAGUUUAUAAAAAUUGUUUCAAGAAGAAAAAAAGGUUUUCUAAAGGUUUCCAAAACUAACUUGUUUCCAGAUUCAAUUAGGAAACUAAGUAGACAACUUAGGUAAUUCUUUUGUUCCCCCUUGGACACACUCCUACAAAUUAGGAAGCUAGGGUUUCGUUGAUUCCAUUCAUACUAGUGCCCUUCCUAAGUUCUGUCCACACCUAAGCAGCCUCCUAUUCGUCCACUUUUGUUUCCAUUUUUACAUCCAAGUCGUGUCUUUGUCUCUUGGUUACUCUUGUGGAAAGUUUGGGUGACAUUUGUGGACUUUGUGUGGCAUUUCUCAACUACCUAAACUGACAGGUAGGGAAUUUUGGUAAGCUUAUUUGAGUGCUCUGAGUGAUACACGAGUGAUGAGCACAUACACGUGAGCUUGUGUGUCGUGAGGAAUCUCUUUUUCUUUGCUAACCAUUUUAGCAGGUCACGUAAUCAUGCCUAGGGGAGUUGCCUCUUACUCGUACAAUCAAGAAUUCUUGGAGGAUGAGCCUCUCAAGAGGAGGGGUUCCAAGCGGCCUACUCCCAAGCACUCUAGUACCAUGGAACCUAGUUCACACAUGAGUUUCGUUCACUCCGGGAAGAGAUGGAAUGUUACCGUGCUUCGUGUGUAUAUGAAGGUAUAAACGAGAUUGUGAUGAGUAUGAGAAGGAGCAAAGAAGUUUGCGCCAAGCAUCUAAAUCGAGGUCCACCUCAAACAAACGAGAUUCAUCUAAGAAGUGUUUUGACAAUCAAGACAAGGAGUUUGAGAAUUCUCGAAUUGAGGCAAAGCUUCAUGAAUCAAAGGAUGAAUUCCAAAGUCAGACUAAAGCAUUGGUUGAUUCUAUGAUGGAAAGACUUAGCCAAGUGUUGGAGUCCCACUUGGAGCAACUUAAUCACGUGUCAACCGGUGGUAAUAAAGGGAAAAUUCAUCCUAGUCCCUCGUUGAUUGAAGAGCCAUAUAUGAAUGAGUUGCAACUGAGUCAUGAACAUGGGCUAGACAAUGAAAAUCCGAACUCAAGUGCAAUGAAUGAACAAUGGUCCGAGAAGAAUGUAAAAGGCAAAAAUAAUUUGACCUUAUUGAUGAGUAAAGAGGAGGUGUUGGCCAUGUUCUCAAAAGUUGAAAGUGUGGAUGUUUUGUUUGCUAACAAGCUAACAUGUGUUUUGUUUAGUACCUCUUCUUUUGUGCAGAUUAAACAAAGUCAAGUAAAGUUGGUCAUGACAUGUUCCAUACCCAAGUCACUUGGACACUUUGCGAGUUUCCAUGGAAUUUGUCUUCUAAGAGCUAAACCUCUUUGGUCUCAAUUCAUGGAACCAUGUCAACUCAAACCUGUCCACACCAUUGGAGGAUUGAUUCGAGCUCAUCUUAAAAGGGGAAUCCCAGAUUUCACUUCUUGUUCUUUACCUAUGGUUCAUUCAUCAUUUUUGGCUUAUUUUGAGCAUGUUACUCAUCUUAAAUCUUGUCGUUCCUUUAUAGAUUUUGAUGAGAAGUGUAGAGAACCCGCACUAGAUUCUCAAGUUAAAUCAAGUGGUGGAAGGCACAUUGAAGUGUCAAAGGGAGUUUUCACAUUUAACUCUUGUUCUACACCUUCUUACCAUUUAGCUAAUGAUGUCCCAUUGCUUCUUUAUCCAAUUUCUGAUUCAAAACAAACUGAAACUUAUUUCAUUUUUGCAGGUAGUAAAACUGUCUGAAAAUUUUCAGCUUUGACCAAAGAGUUGCAACCUGAUUUUAUGCUUGUUCCAGCUGCAUGUUGUGAAAAAGGGCCGAAUUAUACCACCUUGUACAACCCGAUUCAGGAUUUUUCUAGUUUCAAUGAACAUCAUUAUGAAGAUCCUUAUCUUGAGCACGUGACUGGUAAGCUAUUGCAUAGUUUUAUACCUAUGAUUUUCUAGCUAUGACUACUAUCUUGAGCAUGUGAUUCUAGUCUUACACCUAUAACUACGUGUUCCUUAUCUUGGCGAAUGUUUGUAAGACCCACAGACAACCAAGAGGGGGGGUGAAUUGGUUGAUUAAAAUCUUAACCAAGUUUAUGCACUUUUUCUUUAAUGAAAAUUUACCUUCCUUUUUAGUAAUGAUCAACCAAGUAGAUUAGAAGACAAUAGCAAUAUUAAUCAGAGAAGCAAGUAUAGAUAAACAAUGAAGAUUUUAUUAAACAGAAAUAUAAAAUAGAGAAACAAACCAAGUGUCUACCAAGCUUUACCCAAACUUGAAGACCAAACACUAGGAAGAGCAACUUCUCUUUGAUGAACGAAGAUCAACUAGAUGUACAAUGGAGGGAGCUCUUCCUCCUUGCCCUAAGCCUCACUUAGUCAAGCUAGGAAGUUUUACAAUCACUCAGAAAACCCUCAACAAAGCUACACUAAAGAUCCUUUCAACCACAAAAGAAAUGCUCAACAGAAAUUCACACCACUUUAAUACAAAUCUGCUUUGGAGACUAUUUUCUAGCUAAAAUAUCUCUUGAGAACUUGUAAACAAAGUGAGCAAAAGUCCCUACUUCGUUCAGACCAGUUUGAUUUUAAAGGGAACCAGAAAUGGGCUUCAUCAAUGCUUCCAACGGAUAGAAGGCAGCUGAAGAGUCAACUAGCCGUUGGGGCUGUCGGACGUCCGACGAACAAAUCAUCGUCCGAACCAAUCGUCCGAAAAACAGCAAGUUUGACGUUCGGACGUCCGAUGAGUGUUUAUCGUCCGACAGUACAGCGUCCGAGCUUAGGCCGAGAGUUGGCAAGUUAAUUUGGAAUUUCUCGGACGUCCGAUGCGGUUGAUGUGCAUCCGAGAUGUGCGUCCGAACCUUCCGGACGUCCGAUGACUCUUUGUGAGCGUCCGACAUAGCUUCCUUCUUGAUGUUCUUACUUCUUUCGGACGUCCGACAGUUUCCUUUCGGCCGUCCGACCUGUUUGUCCUGUUUUUGCUUCACCUUUUUGACUGUUUUGCAUUUCAUGACACAUUCGAACCUGAUUCUAAACACAAACACUCAUAUUUGAAGAAAGUUAGAUAAAUCAAAGUGUUCACUUUCUUGGUCUGUAUAAACAAACUUUUGUGAUCAUCAAAACCAAGAAUAACAAUGUUCUUGUUUGAGAGCCCCUUGAGGCUAGCCAAACAGCAUUUAACUUGGCUCGUGACCCUUCAUUUCUUUCCAACGUGGUUGUCCUCUAAGCGUACCAUUGAUUUGUGGCCAAAUCGCUUUCAAGAGGAGGGGAAUAAUGCAAACAUGAAGAUCAUCCUCCAAACUAUUGAGUCAAAUGAAGAGUGGCUGCAAUCUGUUCCCCUUUCCGAGUACUCCACUGUGUCAACAACAAUGCUUUCAAAGUCAUGGACUUGAGCCCAUUCCUCGACGAGGAUGAUCCAGAUUUGAGGACAAAUCCUUCUCAAGUGAAGGGGACUGAUGUGUGCACGGAUGAUUACCUUGAGUCAAGCCCAAUUGAUGAUGCUCAAGUGAGAGUUGGAGAUGGUUUUUAGAUCAUUAAAGGCUUGGAGAAUGAAGAUUCAACAAUAUACACCUUACUCCAAAUUGAAGAAUCAAAUAAAAGAUAGUUGCUUAGAAGAUCAAGGGCAAUUCAGUCAUUUAGUCACUAUCUUCGUUAUUUAAUUUUGUAAUAAAGUCGGCCAAUCAUAAAACUUGUCUUGGCCGAACCUUAGUUAGUAGUUUACUUAGUAGAAUCGGCCCACAGGCCUAGCUUAGCCAAAGUUAGGGUUUUCCAAACCACUUUAGGUUUAGUUAAGUGAAUCCAAUUCACUUUACGUUGUCAAGUGUAUGGCUAUAUAUAGCCAAAGUUUGGGAACCUUCAGUAGACACUUUGAUAAUGAAAUUUCAGUUUGUUCUCUUAUGAUUUUGAGAGUUACAUUCAUACUUGCUUGGCAAGGGUUUUUAAGCAAUCUCGCGGAACGUCCUUAAUUGUUCGUCUGACCUAUCUACUUGAGUAACCACCUCAAUUGGAGUCGUCGUUUUACCGCCUUUUGCCAAGUUGAGUCGUCCCUCUUGGUUCUAGGUUCCGCCAAUCCAAACGGUUGAGUAACCCCUCUAGAUCCUUGGGCAAUCGUGCUACGUGCCUCGAAACGUGUUGAUCGAGGAGCGUAUCACGUAUGGUCACAUUGCAGCAUAGAAUUAGAUAUGAGAAGUUGGUUGACAAAAUUUAUCAAUAUAUGGGGGCUGAUAGGGGGAUGUUCAAGUUGAGUUUGUUUUUUUGCCAACCUUGUGGACGUACCUCUUAUAAAUGUUUCCGCUAUGGUGGAUGAUGAAACUCUGGACAUAAUGUGUGAUCUAUGGAAUGAAAUAGUUCCAUAUAUAGUAGAACUGGAUAUCGAGAACGAGGAAAUUGUCCAAAUUCCUAGAGUUAGUAUCAUAUUAAUUCCACCAACAAGAAAUGUUGGUCUGAUGAUGUCACUUAUCCUUACAUGUAUGGAUCCAACAAAGUUGCGAUCCCAUUCUAGUACAGCAGUUCCGGAGAUAACAUCGGCUUCCCAAUAUACCUAGGGAGAUUUGGCCAGGGACUCGUUAGGACCAAGGAUCACGGUAAGGCCCAAGGGUAAUGUUGAAUAUGUUUACGGCCUUGAUUCGAUUCAAAGUUUUGAAGAUUCGGGAUUCUAGUAUCAUUUGUUUUCUUAUGGAUUUGAGUCCAUCCCAGAUCCAAUUCAUCCUAGAACAGCUGAAGAUGAAGUAUAUGUCAGUGGGCAUGGCAAGCUCCCUACUUUAGAGGAAGAUGAUAAUCUACAAAUUGAUACCGAAGAUGUAGAAGAGUCUGAGUCACGAGAUGUGUCUGCUAGCGCCUCAAAUGGGGAGCAUGAAACCUAUGGAUUAUGAAUGGAUCUCGAGACCCAACAACCCUUUAAUGGCAGCAUAAAUGCAAAUGCUGAGUGAGGAGAUAAUGCACGACACACUGCUUAUGGCAACUUCUUGUAUGUUUUAAUCAAAUUGGCAUUCUUCUCCGAGCAUGGAAGCACAGAUGAUGAUGACCUUACUGAUGAAGGUGACUUGGAGCUCAUUAUCACAAUCAGUGAGGAGAAUAAUAAUAUACUGCUACAUAUGAGAUUUGAAAGCAAGCAACAACUCAGUAGGACUAUUAGGAUGUGAUCCAUUAAUCAUAAUAAGGAAUUCAAGGUUAUUAAGAGCAAAAGUAAUAUGUGGGUUGCCAAAUGCAAUUCUGCACUUGAUAGGAGCACUGCCACUGUAAACGCCUCAUCGUAUUCGAUAUGCGACUGGUGUGUUAGAACAAUUAAAAAGAAGACUCAUGGAUUGUGGUAAAUAACCAAAUGAGUCAAUGACCAUAACUAUUUAGGUGACUUAGUAAGUAACAGCAAUACAAGCCUCGCUUCUUUAGUGAUUGCUAAGCACAUAGUUCGUAGCAUUGAAGAUGAUUUUGGUUUUAAAGUCAAAAACAUAAUAAGUUAUGUUAAGAAAAUUUUGAAGGCGAAUGUUUCUUAGAAAAAAAUUUUGGUACGCCAUACGUAAAGCAAUUGAGAUUGUAUUUGGGUCUUGGAAGGCCAAUUUUUUCGAACUACCAAAGUAUCUUGAUGCAGUUAUGCAGUCUAAUCCAACAACUAUGGUGAAGUGGUUCCACCAUUCAAACUAUACAGAUUGUGUCAUGACAUUUAAAUUUAUAUUUUGGACUUUUGGAUCGGCUAUUGAUACCUUUUACAUGUGUAGGCCAGUUAUAUAUGUUAAUGGUACUCAUUUACAUGGUGAAUACAAGGUCAAACUACUUGUAGUUAUGCAAGAUGUGAAUAACAAAAUAAUUCUAAUUGCUUAUGCCAUAGUCGAUGAGGAAACUAUUUCCAGUUGAUCAUGGUUCAUGGAGCAAUUUAGAUAACAUGUGGUCUGUGAUCGGUACCCUAUUGGUAUCAUUUUCGUUCGUCAUAAUGAUAUCAUUCAUGCCAUAAUGGAGUUUAACUACUAAAAUGAACCUUUGGCCUUUCAUAGGUUUUACCUACAUGUUAAAAGUAAUUUGAUGACAUAUUUCAAAGGUACGCACCUUAAAAUGUUAUGUUGGACAAUGAGAAAGGCUAAACAAUUGCACAAGUGGCGGGACUUCAAGCGAGAACUAAGAAGCAGGUUUUUAGAUACAUGGAUUUAUCUGUCUGACAUUUGACUCACAAUUUGUGCUUGAUACAUGACUGUGGGCAUUGUUAGGGUAUUCUUACCACUAACAUAUCCGAAAGUUAUAAUAAUAUAUUUAAAAGGGCACGUUAUUUGUUAAUUCAUAUUUGUAUUGAUAUGACAUUCAUCAGACAGUUGGGUUAUUUAAAACAAGGAGGAAAGAUGCUAGACAUUAUUGUAAUCCUUUUUUCCCAAACAUAUGGCGCCGAUUUAAGAAUUCUGAUCAGAAAGUGGGAUUUCACAGGAUUGUGGAGUUUGAUACCUCAUCAGAGGUAUACAGGAUUGUUACAGGCCAACGUAUGGAUGACAAAUGGGAUAAUGCACAAACGAUAAAGUAUUUUGAUAAAACAUACUCCUAUAGCAAGUGACAGCAAUAUAGGCUUCCUUGUUCACAUGUCAUGGCAGUGUGCAGAAAUCGAGCGAACAAUUCAGAAUUGCUUGUGGAUUCCUAGUUUAUAAAAAGGAGGUGGUCAGUGUAGUGUUUACGAAGGUUUAAUCCUUUAUGCAUCCGGAUACUUGGCUCUAUACUGAUUGGGAGCUAUAGGCAGAUAGAAAUAAAUAUAUUGCAUGUUGGGUAGAACGGGUAUGAGUUAGAAGUAUUCAAAAUAAGAUGGAUGAGAGUAGGGGUGGGCACAGUUCGAGUACCCGCCCCGAAUGGCAAAUGGCUAAUCCGACCCUAAUAUAUCGGGUCACUAUUUUUUUGACCCUAAUCUGCUCCGCUUGUCCUCAGGUACCCGAAAAAUAGGGGCAGGUCAUAGGGUACCCCCCCUAAUACCAAUUUAAAAAAAAAUAGCUUACUAAGAAACUUCUUAACCUUCAUGAUUUCUUAACCAAAAUUAUAAAAAUAUCCAGCAAUAUAUAACCAAGUUUGGUAUCUGUAACUUAUAAUAACAACAUCUGUCAUCUACCUAUCAUGCCAUUUUGAAGACAUGCAAAAAUAUACCAAAGAUUGAAGUAACCUGACACUUACACCUUAGAAGAUAAAGUAGUCAUACAAGAUACAAGUCUGAAUCAAAGGCCACGUGUUUGUGGCAUAGAAUUAAGGAGUGCAUCAGCCAAGACAACAAUACCAAUAGCUCCAUCACCACUUUCAUAAUAUUGACUACGAGAUAAUUCAACCAUCAGCUUUGGAAUUUGAAUGCCAACAAAUACAAUAAAAUUUCAAGAAAAGCUACAAUCUCUAAAAUGUUUCAACAACCUCAAAAGUAUUUCAAGAACAAAUUUUUAAACUGAAAAUACAAAUUAAAACAUUGAAUAUCAAUAGAAAAGGUUCAUUCUUCUACAGCACAUUAAGAAGCACAAGUAACUCUUAAAAUCAUCAAUUUUCAAUAUUAAUAAUAGAAUGCUCCUCUGUCAAACCUGAAAAAAAAUUUCAAAAAUAAAAGCAACCAAGAAACAUAUUAGCACAAGUUGAAACUCAAAUAAAAAUUUUCAAUGCAAUGAUAACAAUAUAUGAAAAGUAUUACCCGAUUCCAUUUCUUCAAAUUCAGUUAUACUUUCUUCCAAAUUAAUUGGUUGAUUACCCUUGCGAAGCCAAUCUUGUCCACAAAUUAUAGCCUCCACCAUUCGUGGAGUUAAAGAGCUUCGAAAAGAAUCCAACACACGGCUUCCCGUACUAAAAGCAGACUCCGAUGCAACAAUAGACACCGGAAUAGCUAAUACAUCUCUAGCAAUUGUAGCAAGAACUUGAAGCCUAUGAGCAUUAUCUCUCCAUCAAUCCAAUAUAUGAAAGUUUGGACAGUGAAGAUCUUCCUUCAUUUCCAUCAAAUAGAUGUCCAAUUCUAUUUUAUUGUGAGUGCUAUCCAAUGUAUUAACUUUUUGAAAUACUUUGCAUGCAUGUAAUCUGAUACCCCUUUAACUGUAAUUGUAUCAAUGUCCAUUUUAUCCAUUUUUCUAAACUGAGUUUGACUUAUUACUUCCCUAUGAGGUGAUUUUCCAGUAAAAUAAAAGUCAAAUAGGGAAUAUAACACCUUUUCCACCUUAACUUUUAACAUUUCAGCAUUCUUAGGAUCAUAUGCCUCAUCAAUUGUCCAUUGAACAUAACUUAGUUUAUGCCGGGGAUCAAGAACAACAGCAAUCAGAAUCAAUAUGUUAACCCUUUCAACAUUAUCCCAAUAUUUGUUAUAUUUUUUCUUCGUAUUCUCAACCAUAGUUGACAAACCAAAGUCAUCACUUUCUUGAAAUGAAUUAAGAAGACCACUAAUGCCAAAAAUUUCAGUCAUAUAUACAUUUCCUAUCACAUAACGUGAGCCUGACAUUUUCACAGUAGAAUUAUAAAAAACUUUAAGAAAAGGCAACAAAUCUUUUGCAUGCUCCCAAUCCAUUUUAGUUGGCACACCCCUCACCUUAGAACUCUUACAAGUAUCAUUCUCACUUUGUGGAAUUAACUUUUCGACAUAUUUGUUAUCUACAGUUUCUAGCAACUCAAAUGCCUUUUAAAAUUUUAGAAUAGCCUCUAACAUUAAAAAUGUGAAAUUCCACCUAGUUUCAACAUCAAGGCAUACAAGACUUUUAUUUUCAAUUCUUUCUUUUUCUAUGCAAGAUUUGAAUUUUUGAGCUCUAGCAAGUGAAGACCAAACUUAUCUCACAGUUGAUCGAAUCCUAACAAUGGAGUCUUCCAAGUCUUUCAAUCCCUCCCUAACCAUCAAAUUCAAAACAUGGGCAGCACAUCUCAUAUGCAAAUUGUCGCGCCCCACUUUUUGAAAUGGUGUGGAAGUAGUGUGUGAAAUAUGUAUGUGAACGUGUGCUAAAGUGAAAAUAAAGGCCGUGGGAUUGUGAAAUGCAACGAUUUGGCCAAAUAAAGUUCAAAAAGGGUUUUUGGAUGAAAAAUGGAGUCGCCACUUGGUAUGGAGUUAGGGUAUACCAAGUCACCCAAAAAUGAUUUUUGUUUUAUUUUUUUGAAAGAAAAAGUAAGCAAACCCUUUUAAAGAACUUUUUAGGUCUACGUAACCAAAGAAAGGGAUCGGGGGUCACAUUUGAUAAGGGAGAAGGCAAAGGCAAAGCCUAAGGCACUCCCUUACCCUAGCCAAAGCUAGUUGCGUGACUUAGCCCUUCUUUUCUUGAUUAUUCUACCCAAAAUAUGUGUUGCAUGUUGGAUGUGACUAAUGGAUAUGAAAAAGAAAUGCAAUCCUAAAUCUAAAAUGUCUCUUACGAGACUUUUUGGUCCCAACCACAUGAGUUGUGGUGGCCAAUAAGGAAAGUCCUCAUAGAGGUCGCGAAUGAUGCAAAUGAAGACUCAAGCAUGAGUGCAGGUGUGAAAAUGUGAGAAAACGUGCAUGUGUGCAAAUGUAAGAAAAGUGCAUGUGUGCAAAUGUAAGAAAAGUGCAUGUGUGCCAAUUGAGAAAAUGAAGGUGUAUGUGUGCAAAUGGAUAAAAAUAUGGUAUAAUAGUAGUAAAUGCAUCUAGUGCAAUUGGGUGCAAUUUGUGAGGUAGAAAAUAAAUAAGUGAUAGGGAAAGAAGAGAAGUGUGUGAACAUGGCAUGUGGAGUGAGAAAAAUAUAAGUAGUGAGAAAAUGUGGAUGAAGAAAGUGAGGAGGUGAUAUGAUAAAAAUGAGAGUGUAUGAACCUAGAGGAAUGCAUCAAGUUGGGUACGAGAAUGACUUCUAACUUCACGAUUUUAAUUUUUCCUUUGAUUAGAAGGAAGAACUAGCAUGCUAAGGCUAUUUUGUAGCCACACUCGCUUGUUUCCCUUACCAAAAGGGAACUCUCAAGCAAAUGUACCCUAUAACUAGUAUGAGAAUGCAAAAACCUAAAAUGAAGGGGAAAGGAUUGGAGGGGCAUGCCAAAUGCUAGAAAACUAAGAAAAAUGCAUGAUAUGUAGUGAAACAUGCAAAUAUGUACUAACGAGAGGGGACGGCCUAUUGGGUCUAGUAUUGGACUAGCCCUUCACUAAAUGCUUUAUCACAAGCGUUGGACUUGUGAGGAUUAAAAGGGAGGACCAUGACUAGCAUUGGACUAGCCAUGGUAUACGCAUUCAUCCAUCACAUUCAUCUAUGAUUAUAGAAAGCAAGUAGACAUGCUAGUCACCUAUAAACACGUAGCACAUAACACUUAGCAUGCUCAACUAAAUGCAAGAGCCUAAUAAAGCAAAUUAACACAUAGUAACAAAAGCAAGCAAUCAAACUAAUAAACCUAUUACAUUUGCUAGCUAGGCACACGCCUUCAAUAGGUCUUCAUCAAAUGCUUCCCAAACGCUAUCUAUUACAAGUCAAGAGGUGUACACAUACCCCAUAAAAGAAUAACUUGAAAAAAGCAAAAAUAAAUGAAAGGAAUUAAGGAAAGGCAAGGAAAACAAAGUAGACAUGCAAUUCUCACUUAGCACAUUGGAUCACAUAGAGGAGAGACAAAAAAGGAUAAAAGAAGUUAUACCUUCUCGUUUGUGAUGUUAAUAAAGUGAACAAGACUUAACUUGGGCUAGAGUCACCAAAAAAAGAGAUAACUUGGGUUAAAACCAUCAAAGCAAGGGAUUAACGCACCACUUUAGAGAUAAGUAGAAUAAAAGGCAAAAAGGAAACUCAGAACACCUUAGAAACUUCAAAAAGGGUGCUAACAAAUCACCAAAUUCUUCCCUAAUUGCGACUUAAAUGUAGUCAAAAUAUGCUUAAUCUCAAAGGAGGUAGAUUGUUGACCACACUUCUAAGAUAGAAGAACUUCUAAGGACCCAAUUGCAAACAUUAAUCAAUCAUUCGAGUCCAAUUGAAACAUUUAAGAACUUCAAAGGUCCUAAAAUAAUAAAAGGCCAAAUAACUGUUCAAAUUGCAAUUACUUAGGACCUAAUUGUAAGAACAAAACUCAUAAAUGGGCCUUUGAAGCAUAGAUGGAAACUAAGGGGAGUAAAGCUGCAAUUUUCUUGGACAUUUACCAUGCACAACAUGCAAUCCACGAAGGAAAGGAAAGAAAAACAAGUUUCAGCAAACUACUUCAGAAAUUUUCUUUUCCUUCCCCCCCAUUCUCACGCAAUUCCUUAUGCAUCUUUGACAUAUUCAUGCAAGCCAACCAAGAAGGGACAUGAUCACAUUGCUAUCUAGAUGCAAUAUCAGCUUGGAAACCAAAAAACAAACAAAAGACUAAGAUUAUGAAGCAUUGAGUUUAGCAGGCUGAUAUAUUUUCCAGCAACGUUUAGGCAUGUUUCAAGCUUUUCCUUAAACAAACACACAAACAUCAACGCCAAACCUUCUCUCUCAUCCCUUCAACACCAAAUGAAACAAGCAAAAGAUGUCUAAAAACCAGUUUUGUUUGUUACCGCUGGGAGUGGGGAAAACAGCAAGUAGGUGCGUAACCUUUGUCCUGCUGCAAAAUCUUUUUUUACAGCUUGAUACUCACAUGAAUGGAUUGCCGAGAACAUUGCACAACAUUCAUCAUUUAUGAAUCAACUCACACACAUCUUUAAACAUGAAUCUGUCCCCUAACCAUUCCAACCGAAAACAACAAAGAAAAUGCAGCAAAAGAAACUCAGCCGCAACAUACAUUCAUACCACUUUCACUCGGCCAAAAUAGACUUAAGACCCAAUCAGAAAACAAGGAAAAGAACAGGUUCUGUGCACAUUGUUAUAAUAUCUCAGCCUAGUCAGAAAUUCAGCAGUUCAAACAAAGUAAAAUUUCAAUCUCAGAAUUGCAAUCCUCUUUGUAAAAUGCAACAAAACUUAAUCAAGUUUCGAACUUGAAUUUCCAGCCAUGACAUCUAUCAAGGAUUUCAUCAUUCAAAUUCAAAAACCUGUUGCAACCUCUAUGGGUUUCAUUAUUCAAACCACAAAUUAUGCAAUCCAGUUUUCCAAACCAACAUAGAUCAGGCUACCCAUACCUUCUACGGCUAAAACCCAUCAUCACAUUACAAGACGUAAAAGAAACAGCAACCCAGCAAAACAUUAAGAAUCAAAAUCUGAUGAAGAUCAUAAAACCAAACAUGUACAACAUAACUAAAAACAUGUACAACCUGACUGACCCUUUCAUCAAAGAUAGAACCCUUAGGAAGACAUGAAUAUCAGAGACAGGAGACCGGCGAGCCGAUAACUAUAUCUCGCAUCAAUUUGCUAACAAAACUACAGGUAACAAGAACGAAAAGGGAACCUUACGGUUGACAGCAACAGUAGCGGACUCCUUGAGAGAUGAUCGGGCUUCACAAUAGAUCCACGAAACCUGCUGCCACCUUGGUGAAGGGAAACGCAAGUGAAAGUAUGGAGAUCUGGCAACCCUUGUCCCUUUGCUCUCUUUCCAGUUUUUCUCUUCUCCGCUGGUUCGUCACUCUCAGCUUUCUAUCCCGCAAGGUGGUUCCCUCUUUCUCUUGCUCUCGGCUGCCCCUUUUCUUUCCCAGAAACCCCCGUAGCCUUCAAACUUUUCCUUCACUCUUUUCCAGCCGUCAUUCUAACCCCAUUUUCGGCUCUCCCUUUGCUAUCCCUUUAUAGGUGCCGAACAUUCCUGGAACCUAGGAUCAAUGGUGUUUAUCUCAAUUCAUAUCUUUUGAUGAUUACAAAACAAAUGAAUGUUACUAAUACUUUUUGUAGAGAUCCUUUUCAGAAAUGACACCAAACAGGUCUGUGGAUUUAAAGCAGAAAAAGAAGAUCAAAAAGGAUGAAAAGUGCUGAGGAUGAUGUCGGACGCACAAAAGGAGAGUAUCGGACGUCCGACAUCCUUUGAGUAUCUUCGGACGUGUGAAGAACUCAGACUCGGACGUCCGAAGAAGACAAGCCAGUGCUUCUAUAAUUACUGAUCAUAAUCGGACGCUCAACACCUGAGUAUCGGACGUCCGACAAGUGUUGCUGCUCUUCGGACGCAACACUCUGGACGCAUCGGCCGUCCGAAGGAAUUGAAGAAGAAAGUUCAAGUAUGCAUCCUGCCCUCGGACGCAUGAUCGGACGUCCUAAGGGAUUCAAGAAAACUUCCAGAACUCAUUGAUCUCGUUCGGACGCAUAAAAACUAAACAUCGGACGUCCGACAGCACCAACGGCUAGUUGACUUUUCAGUUGCCUUCUACCCGUUGACAGCAUUAAUUGAAGAACUUUCUGGUCUCCUAUAAAAAGAACAAAGUCAACCACCUCAGAAUAACUUUGUACAUCAAGUCUACAUCAGAUAGUGAGUGAUUUGAGGGUUAGAAAACUCAAAAAGAACUCGUGUGCUCUUAGUUGUGCAAUCUUCUUGUGGUUUUUCAAGUGUGACACAGCUUAUUCAAUAGUGUAGAUCAGUGAGGGUUAUUCGAGUGUUUAUAAAACUUCCUUACUUGACCAAGUGUGGUUUGGGACAAGAAAGAAGUGAUCCCUCCCUUAUACACAAGAUAUUGGUUGCAAGUUUGUUCAACUUGAAGUAACUUGGUAUAUAAAAGUGUUGUUCAAACCUCAGUUGUGUUUGAACCCUAGUUUGGUUUUCUACUUUCAUUUACUGCUCUUAUAUAUAAACUGUUCUCCUCUUCAUCUUACGAAUACCUGUGUUCUCUUGUUACCUGGUCCAUUGGGUGAUUUUUGAGAAAAGAAAGGUAGACUGUAAAAAAAAAAAAAAAAAAGGUAGUCUAUAUCUUAGUUGGUUUUUUGAAAACUAAUUCACACCCCCUCUUAGGUUGUCUUCGAUCCUUACAAUUGGUAUUAGAGCUUGAUCUCCUAAAGAUUAAGCUCAAGCGGCUUGGAGUAAAAAUGACAACCAAUCAUGCCAUGUUUGUUGAGGGACAAUCGGUCACUAGGCCUCCCAUGUUUACUGGUUCCAAUUAUAUUAGUUGGAAAGAAAGAAUGAUUAUCUUCGUGCAAUCCAUUGAUAUUGAGCUAUGGUUUAUUGUGAAUGAAGGACCGCAUGAUGCUAACUUUCUUGAUGCAGAAACAGGUUUGUUGCGGCAAAAAACAAGAGUUGAGAUGAAUGCUCAAGAUAGAACCAAUCUCACAUUGAAUGCCAAAGCCAUGAAUGUUCUUUAUAGUGCCUUAGACUCAAAUGAGUCAAUUAGAGUAAAUGGAUGUAAAUCUGCCAAAGAAAUGUGGGAUAAGUUAAGAGAAAUUCAUGAGGAUAGUGACAACGUGAGAGAACAAAAAAAGUCCAUUCUGGUCACUAAAUAUGAAUCUUUUAAGAUGGAAUCUCAUGAAAACAUCGACAAAAUGUAUUGUAGAUUCAAUGAUCUGAUCAAGGAUUUAGAGGUGCUUGAGAAGGAGUUCUCUCUCGGUGAAAAGAACAGGAAAAUUCUGAAUGCUCUAUCAAAGGAUUGGGAAAGUAAAGUGACUGCCAUAGAGGAAGCCAAGGAUCUAAACUCUUUAUCCAUUGAAUCUCUGAUUAACUCUCUAACUUCUUACGAACUGAAACUUAAAUCUAAGAUGCAGGAUGAAGAAGACGCAAAAGGAAGAAAGAGUAUUGCUCUGAAAGCUUCACAAGAUGAAGAUGAACCAGCCUCACAGGAUGAAAAUGAUUUGGAAGGUGAUGACAGUAAUAUUGCACUUAUCAUAAGAGGCUUCAAAAGAUUUCUCAACAAGAGAAGAUUUAGAAAAUGCGGAUCCAGUAAUCCCUUCCCAAAUCAGUCUAAUGACUUCAGAAACAGAGGAAAACUGGAGUUCAACAAGAAGCUAACUGAUAAAUAUUUUGAAUGUGGCCAACCAAGACACUAUGCAAAUGAGUGUCCAAUGAAGAAAAAGAAGGAAAGCAAGGUUGAACGAAAACCAAAGUUCAACAAUUUCCAGAUUAUCUGAAAUAAUUGCAACUCAGAAGGAGAAGUUGAAGAAGAAGAGGAAUCUGCUCAAGUGGCCUUCAUGGCCAUUGGAGAUGAAGAGGUAACACAAUGCAACUCUCAAACUAAUAGUGAUAGUGAAUCUGAUGAUGACGUUAAUUCUUUUCUAGAAAAAAUGCAUAACAGUUUGAAAAAAUCCUAUGUUAAAAACAAGGAACUAAAGCAAAAAAUUAGCUUUCUAAUACAAGACAGUGCAAAUCUUUUUCGACAAAACAAGUGUCUUAAGCAUGAAAAUGAUAACCUGAAAAGGACUGAAACUGAUGUGCUUGCUGAACUUUACAAAAAGAAAAAUUUAUGUGACAUACUCAGAAGUGAGCAAAGUAGCCUAAAAAGAAGGAUGGAUGAUUUAUGUAAAUUGUUACACCAUUUGAAACAUAACCAUCUUCAAAAGAAUGAAACUGUACCUUAUGUUAACAUUCAUCAAAUAAGACUGAAUCAGAAUGCAAAUGAGUUUACUAUUCACAGGAGAAGGCUAGUCAGAUUCAUUAAACCUGUACAUUUGAUUGAUCCAAUGUCAGUAUGCAGCUUGUGUUGCCAAUUUGGCCACAUGAAUAGCAACUGUUAUGUUAAAAAAACAUGAGGAAUGGCAUGAGAUGCAUGUGCAUAGUUAGACAUAAGACUAACUCUCAAGAACCUAACAUGUAAAGGGUACCAAAUAUUAUCUUGUGGGUUUGUAUGUAGGUGAAUCAGGAUAACAUUCCUGAAAAAUCAAAAUGGUUCAUUGAUAGUGGAUGUUCAAGACAUAUGACUGGUGAUGCAUCACAAUUCAUUAAACUCAAGCAAAAAGUAAAUGGAAAGGUAACGUUGGAGAUGAUAACAAAGCCAAAACUGUUGGUAUUGGUGAUGUUGGUAAGAAUGGUCAGACCUUUAUCCACAAUGUUCUUCUCGUUGACAAUCUGAGCUACAAUUUAUUAAGUGUUAGCCAACUGUGUGAUAGGAACUUGUUUGCAUUGUUCAAAAAGUUUGAAUGUCUCAUAUUUGACUCAAAGUUCAACAUUGUCUUCAAAGGAAAAAGAGUUAAUGAUGUCUAUGUAGUUGUUCUUGAAAAAAUUGAUUUCUCCUAUCUCAAAUGUCUCAAAGUAGCAAAUGAGAACCCUUGGUUAUGGCACAGAAGGCUGUGUCACUUCAAUAUGGAUUUUCUAAAAGAAAUCUCUAAAAAGAAACUUGUUAGAGGUCUCCCAAAAAUCAGAUUUGAAAAGGACAGGAUUUGUGAUGCCUGCCAAUUUGGAAAACAAGUCAAAGUAUCUUUUAAACCCAAGAAAUGUGUUUCUACUUCAAAAUCACUUGAACUUUUGCAUCUUGACCUGUUUGGUCCUACACAAACUACAAGCCUUGGUGGUAAAAAAUAUUAUUUUGUGAUUGUUGAUGAUUAUUCUAGAUAUACUUGGGUGAUAUUCCUUACUCAUAAAGAUGAUGCCUUUAAGAAUUUUACCUCAUUAUUUGCCAAAGUGCAAAAUCUGCUUGGCUUGAAAAUUAUCAGGAUUAGAAGUGAUAAUGGGACAGAAUUCAAGUUCUGUGAUUUUUCAGAAUUUUGUGAUCAUAAUGGCAUUACUCAUGAAUUUUCUAUUGCUAGAGUCCCCCAACAAAAUGGAGUUGUAGAAAGAAAGAAUAGAACACUCCAAGAGGCUGUUAGAACUAUGCUUAGUGAAUGCAAUUUAUCAAAAUAUUUUUGGGCUAAAGCCAUAAACACAGCCUGUUAUACCAUGAACAGAGUUCUUCUAAGAUCAAUUUUGAACAAAACCUCCUAUGAGCUCAUGUUUGACAAAAAGCCUGUUGUUGGUUAUUUCAAAGUAUUUGGUUGUAGAUGUUUCAUUUUGAAUAUCAAGAAACAUCUUGAAAAGUUUGACAAGAAAUCUGAUGAAGGAAUUUUCUUGGGAUAUUGUGAAAACAAAAGAGGUUUCAGAGUUUAUAAUCGUAGGACACUGAUUAUAGAGGAGGCGAUACACAUUACUUUUGAUGAAUCUGAUGGUGACAUCUCUAAGAGUUGUGGUGAAGAUGAUGAUACAGGUGUUCAAGAAGAACUAAAGAAGCUAGCAAUCAAUAAUCAUGACUUUGCCUCACCAGAAACUGAUUCAAAGGAUACUGACACUCAGGUCAGUCCAGCUGGAGAAGUGAAUGAGAGAAACACCACUACUCCUAAUGAUCUUCCAAGAGCCUGGAAAUUUGUUCAUAAUCAUCCUAGGGAUCUUAUAAUUGGUGAUCCAUCUGAAAAGGUCAGAACUCGUUCCUCUAGACACCUAGUAGAUAAUCUUGCUUUUAUAUCACAUAUUGAACCUAAAAAUGUUGUUGAUGCAUUGAGUGAUGAGCACUGGAUUUUAGCUAUGGAAGAGGAGUUAACUCAAUUUGAAAGAAAAAAGGUUUGGACCCUGGUUGCCAGACCACAAGGUCAUCCUAUCAUUGGCACAAAGUGGGUUUUUAGAAACAAAAUGAAUGAUAAAGGGGAGGUUGUUAGAAAUAAGGCCAGACUGGUGGCUAAGGGAUACACUCAAGAAGAGGGAAUAGACUUCGAUGAGUCUUUUGCACCUGUGGCCAGGCUGGAGUCCAUAAGAAUGUUUUUAGCAUUUGCAUGUUUCAAGAAUUUUAAAUUAUUUCAGAUGGAUGUUAAGAGUGCUUUCUUAAAUGGCUUUAUAGAUCAAGAAGUCUAUGUUGACCAACCUCCUGGUUUUAAAAUGAAUCUUAUCCAAAUCACGUGUUUAAACUCUCAAAAGCUUUAUACAGAUUAAAGCAAGCUCUUAGAGUAUGGUAUGAACGUCUGAGUGAAUUUUUGAUUGAAAAUGGUUUUAAAAGGGGCAUUGUAGAUACUACACUUUUCACAAAACAAAGCUCACGAGAUCUUUUAAUUGUGCAAAUAUAUGUGGAUGAUAUCAUAUUUGGUGCUACUAAUGAGAAUUUGUGCAAGGAUUUUUUCAUUAUCAUGCAAAAAGAAUUUGAAAUGAGCAUGAUGGGAGAACUGAACUUCUUUCUUGGACUCCAAGUGAUUCAAACCCAAGAUGGAACAUUUAUAAAUCAAACAAAAUACACCAAGGAGUUGCUGAAAAGAUUCGGAAUGGAGGAUUCAAAGCCUGUUGGAACAUCUAUGUGCACAUCUACCAAACUUGACAAAGAUGAAGAAGGUACAAAAGUUGAGGAAAAGAAGUACAGAGGUAUGAUUGGAAGUUUACUUUAUUUAACUGCUAGUAGGCCUGACAUCAUGUUUGCUGUGUGCUUAUGUGCUCGAUUUCAAUCCUGUCCAAAGGAAUCACACUUGAAUGCGGUAAAAAGAAUCUUGAGGUAUCUUAAAGGAACCUUAAAUUUUGGCUUGUGGUAUCCAAAAUGUCAUGAACUUCCUUUGUGUGGAUUUUCUGAUGCUGAUUUUGGUGGUUGUAAAAUAGAUAGAAAAAGUACUACUGGCAUAUGCAACUUUCUUGAAAAUUGCUUAGUCUCUUGGUUUAGUAAAAAACAAAAUGCUAUUUCACUGUCCACCACUGAAGCUGAAUAUGUUGCUGCUGGUGCUUGUUGUGCUCAAUUGUUAUGGAUGAAAAACACAUUGAAUGACUUUGGUUUAGUAUAUGAAUGUGUACCCAUGUACUGUGACAACACUAGUGCAAUCAAUCUAACAAAAAAUCCCAUUCAACACUCUAGGACUAAGCACAUUGAUAUAAAGCAUCAUUUCAUUCGCAAUCUUGUCUCAAAGGGGGUAAUCCGUGUUGAGUUUGUUUGUUCUAAAGAACAGAUCGCUGAUAUCCUCACAAAAGCUCUUCCACUAGAUCAAUUGGUGUCCUUGAGAACAAAAUUGGACGUGUCAGAAAAGAUAUUCUAAAUCUUAUUUCUAGUCAAUCUUUAUCGGACGUCCGAUAAAUUGGAACGGGCGUCCGACAAUGUUAUUCGUCCAAGUUUCAGAAAAACCCUGGUUCGGACGGUUGUGUCGGACGCUUCACUUCGUUCGGACAUCCGACACUCAAAAAUUGAGUCCUAUAAGGCAGUUACCCACUUUUCUCAGUUCGUUUUCCUCCAUAAGUCUCGGACGCAACCUUUCAGUUUCCUCUAAUAUUUGAAAUUCAAACUCCUCUCUCCUCAAAUCAAGUUCCGAGAAAUUGAACCAACCAACUCAAUUACACCUCUAUUGCUCAUUAAUCACUCAUAAAAAUCACUCUUAACCCCCAACUACCCCAAAACUCCCAAUUCACAUACGAAACCCUAACUUCACAUAACUCCCUCCUUGCGGCUUCUUAGUGCACUCUAGUUUGAUCUUACUGUAUUCUUCCUCUGUACACCACCUUCCGUAUCAAAAAUCACAACCACAUUGCAUCAUGGUUAGAAUCAGAGGAGGAUCUACUAGUGCCGGACGAUCCUUUAGGCUUAGGGAUGAAGACAUUGAAAUUUUGGAACCACCUCCUGUGGCACCCAAAAAGAAGAUUGUGACUCGUGGUGGUAAGAUAAAGCAAACUGUCCAAAGAAAACUGGAUAUUCCAACUGCUGAAUCAUCUGAUGAGCAGAUGGAAGGGCAAAACUUUGAAGAGAACAUUGUUGGUGUAAAUGAGGAACCAGAGCAGGCUAUCCAGGGUGAUAAAACUGUCACAAGGUCCUCUGCUAAAAGAAAGAGGACUGCAAAAAGGAAGAGUACUCCCCAAUCCAAGAAAAAACAGUCUGCUGAUCCCUCUGAUGAUCAGCAGAAUGAAGGAAACAUUAGUGGGAGUCAGAAAACUCCUGAACCCUCUACCAGGAAGUCUCUAAGGACAAGAACUGAGGCUCAAAAUGUAGAGGCAUCUGCAACACAAACCUCAAACAGGAAACGUUCUGGAAAGGAUCCUGUGUCUCAGCCAGUAGAAGAACCCACUCCUCUUCCAAAGUUCAUUGAUGAUGAAGCCAGAGGCAGAUUUGAGUUAGUCUCUCAAAAAGGGUUUAUCACUCAAAGGCUCAUCCUUCCCUAUGAAUUCCGUAAGCUUGACCUUGAACCUGUUAUCAAACUGUUUGAAUUCCAGAAAUGGACUCAUAUUCUGACCAUUCCUAAUGUCUUUUACCAUGACAUGCUUUAUCAAUUCUUUGCUAACCUUAGAAAGGAUAAAUCACAUACUGAACUCAUCUCUAGGGUCAAUUCUGUAGACAUCAUGUUAACUCCUGACAUUGUGAAUUUCAUUCUGAAAACCAGUAUUGAACCUAGUUUCAAAGGAAAAAUUGCAAAUUUCUUUUCGUAUGAGGAAUUUCCUUCUACUUACCAUCAUUUUUACAAUGCUAAACUCAUGACCUAUUUUCAAACCACAUUCAAUACUCCUGCUGAGGCAAGACUGGAUGAUCUUAGUCCUCAGAAUCUGAUUAUCUUCACCAUCAUUUCAAAUUUGUUGGUGCCAACUGAUGGCCACAGAACAGAUGCAAAUAAAAUGGAACUCUAUCUGUUCUACUGCUUUGUUGAAAAAAUCCGCAUUGACUUUGGAUUUGUAAUGUGUAAGUUCUUGCUCAAAAUUAGCACUGACAGUCGUAGGAAGCUCUCGUAUGGCAGAUUUCUAACCCCUAUCUUUGCCCAUUUUAAAAUUCCUUUUUCUGGGAAAUCUCCCAAAGAUAGUGCUUCAUCAGUUUUCUCAAAAGCUUACUUUGAACGAAAGAACUUAAAAUUUUUUGAAGGCCAUUGGUGCUAUAAGAAGACUGUGGCUGAGUCUAGAAGGAAAAAUUUUCAUGAAACCCCUGUCACUCCUAGGACUCCUCGUGAUCAGUCAGACUUUGUCUCUCUUUUCACCAUUCAUCCUAGAAAAUCUGCUAGCAAGUCCUUUGCAUCCAAUUCUGAAGCCAUUUCCUUGCUUGAAGACCUCAAACAGCAUGUCUUGCUUAUUGAAGAAUGUCUCAUGAUGACCAUGACCUCUGACCAAAAAUCCUCCUUCAUUGAAAAAAGAAACCUUCUUGUUCCUCCAAUACCUGAGAACAAUAUAAAUAAGCCAAGAUCUGUGCCCACAAGACCAACUACUGGUACUGAGACAACACCAACUUCCAGUUCUCAGCCCAAGGAUAAAGGCAAGGCUCCAGCAACUGAGGAAUCAGAUGAAGAUGGUGAUGAAGAAACCGAGGAAGAAGAGGAUCCUGCACACUAUCGUCUGGCCAGGAGAAGACCUGGAUCAUCUAAAAUCACCAUCUAGGCACUACUAGGUACCUUAAUCUAGGAUUAUAGUUCAUCUUUUGCAUUGCAGUUUUGUACUAAGUGUUGAACAUCUGGUCUGUACAACUGGAUAUUUUCUACUGUUUAUGAAUGUUAUAACUAAGUGUUUGUUAUGAAUAUUUUGAAUGGGUAUUACUUCAGAAAUUUUCUUUUCCUUCCCCCCCCAUUCUCACGCAAUUCCUUAUGCAUCUUUGACAUAUUCAUGCAAGCCAACCAAGAAGAGGCAUGAUCACAUUGCUAUCUAGAUGCAAUAUCAGCUUGGAAACCAAAAAACAAACAAAAGACUAAGAUUAUGAAGCAUUGAGUUUAGCAGGCUGAUAUAUUUUCCAGCAACGUUUAGGCAUGUUUCAAGCUUUUCCUUAAACAAACACACAAACAUCAACGCCAAACCUUCCCUCUCAUCCCUUCAACACCAAAUGAAACAAGCAAAAGAUGUCUAAAAACCAGUUUUGUUUGUUAUCGCUGGGAGUGGGGAAAACAGCAAGUAGGUGCGUAACCUUUGUCCUGCUGCAAAAUCUUUUUUUACAGCUUGAUACUCACAUGAAUGGAUUGCCGAGAACAUUGCACAACAUUCAUCAUUUAUGAAUCAACUCACACACAUCUUUAAACAUGAAUCUGUCCCCUAACCAUCCCAACCGAAAACAACAAAGAAAAUGCAGCAAAAGAAACUCAGCCGCAACAUACAUUCAUACCACUUUCACUCGGCCAAAAUAGACUUAAGACCCAAUCAGAAAACAAGGAAAAGAACAGGUUCGUGCACAUUGUUAUAAUAUCUCAGCCUAGUCAGAAAUUCAGCAGUUCAAACAAAGUAAAAUUUCAAUCUCAGAAUCGCAAUCCUCUUUGUAAAAUGCAACAAAACUUAAUCAAGCUUCGAACUUGAAUUUCCAGCCAUGACAUCUAUCAAGGAUUUCAUCAUUCAAAUUCAAAAACCUGUUGCAACCUCUAUGGGUUUCAUUAUUCAAACCAAAAAUUAUGCAAUCCAGUUUCCCAAACCAACAUAGAUCAGGCUACCCAUACCUUCUACGGCUAAAACCCAUCAUCACAUUACAAGACGUAAAAGAAACAGCAACCCAGCAAAACAUUAAGAAUCAAAAUCUGAUGAAGAUCAUAAAACCAAACAUGUACAACAUAACUAAAAACAUGUACAACCUGACUGACCCUUUCAUCAAAGAUAGAACCCUUAGGAAGACAUGAAUAUCAGAGACAGGAGACCGGCGAGCCGAUAACUAUAUCUCGCAUCAAUUUGCUAACAAAACUACAGGUAAAAAGAACGAAAAGGGAACCUUACGAUUGACAGCAACAGUAGCGGACUCCUUGAGAGAUGAUCGGGCUUCACAAUAGAUCCACGAAACCUGCUGCCACCUUGGUGAAGGGAAACGCAAGUGAAAGUAUGGAGAUCCGGCAACCCCUGUCCCUUUGCUCUCUUUCCAGUUUUUCUCUUCUCCGCUGGUUCGUCACUCUCAGCUUUCUAUCCCGCAAGGUGGUUCCCUCUUUCUCUUGCUCUCGGCUGCCCCUUUUCUUUCCCAGAAACCCCCGUAGCCUUCAAACUUUUCCUUCACUCUUUUCCAGCCGUCAUUCUAACCCCCUUUUCGGCUCUCCCUUUGCUAUCCCUUUAUAGGUGCCGAACAUUCCUGGAACCUAGGAUCAAUGGUGCCUGUUUUUUUUGUAUUUUUCCCGGUGAUUAUUAAGCCAUCAGAUGGUUUUUUGUCCUAAGAUCCCUUGAUGAGAGGUGGCCAGAAAUUUGAGGAGCAGGAAAAAUGAGUGGAACCGGGCUCUCCCCUUUUUUUAUUUUGGCUGUUUUUUCUUUUCCUUUUUCAUUUCCAAAUGAACUAGUUAAUUAAUAAACAAAAUAACGAAAAACAACAAAUUAAGCAAAAUUGAAUAAAAUAGACAAAUACUAAAAAAAUAAAGCAAAAUGGCUAUAUUUUUUGUUUGAUUGAUGAUCUUCUUUGUUUUCCAGUGGAUUAUUUAACAAAAGCAAUUGUCUUAACAAAAAAUAAGAAUGAGAUAAACUAAGCAAAGAAAUAAUAAUAAAAUAAAAAUAAAUAGAUAAACAAAAAUCACCCAGAAUAAAUAAAAAGAAAAGCUAAAAUUAAAUUAAUUAAACAAAUAAAGUUAAAAAUCAAAAUUUGGUGUCUACACAAGUAUUCUCCAUUUAAAACAAAACCUUUCCAAUUAAUAAGCCUUCUUCUCAAAUAUUACAAACAAGUGUCAUUUGAGCUAGCAUUGUCUACUUUAACAGUCAAAACUUUACUAAUUUUUCAAUCAAGCAAGCAUUUUUUUACAGUCCGACCAAUAACUUCACCCGCAUGACUUGUAAUAGGACAGAAACUUAUAAUCUUUUUGUGCAAUUUUCAUUUAUCAUCAAUGAAAUAAGCUGUCAAACACACAUAAUUCAGAUUUUGAAUGGAUGUCCAAGCAUCAAUGGUGAGACAAAUACGUGAGGAUAAAGUUUCAAAGUAUGUUUUCAAACUUUUCUUCUCAUCUAAAAAAAGCUUAUAGCAGUCUCUAGUUAAAGUUCUAUGUGAUGGUAUUUCAAACCGUCGCUGCAUAACUUGACAAAAAUCCUGAAAUCCCUACCUUUCCACAAAUUUAAAAGGUAGUUCAUCUAUAAUCACCAUCCUAGCCAACAUUCUCCUACAUGAUUCUUGAUCAAACGUAUGGGUUUUAAACCUUUUCCCCUUCCCUCUUUUGGUUUAAACUCCAACGUCUUUUGCCUCUUGUCUCUGUUAUUAUACGGAUAUUUGUUACACCUAUGAAGGUGGUUACUCAAAGAAGUAGUACCAUUUUUGCUUGCACAGGCAAUCAAUUGUUCACAAUAUUUACAAGCAGCUUUCUUGUCUUUUGUUUCCGUACCUGUAACAACUACAUAAUGCUCCCAAACCCAAGACCUAUUGCUCUUGCUUGACACUUUUGUCUCGGAGGUUGAAGGAGGUGGUGCUUGACAUGUAUAAGUUUCAGAGGCUCUAGGAACAUUUUUUGGAUCCAUUGAUAAUGAAUGAUUAACACUUGGACUUGCAGCUGUAGUAGCUGUAUUAUCCCCCAUACUUGACAUUUGAAAAUUUCAAAAAACUUUAACUACUGCACAUAUGAAAACAAGAGCAGAUAUUUCACCCUAAACAAGAGCAGAUAUUACACCUUAAAUAAAGAAAAAAUAAAUGAUGCCAUUUGAUAAUGUCACACUGUCUAUUUUUUCUUAAACUUUUAUGCUUUAUAUCGAGUGUCCACUAUCUAAUCCAAAUACAUUCAUAUAUAAGCAGCAUAUUCAUGAGGCUUGUGGCUUUAUGUGGGUCUGGUUGCCAAAUAUUUAGGACUGGUUGGGAAAUCAAGAGACUUCUUGAUUGGUUCUUUGAUAAGAAAUAAAAGUUUAAAAUCAAUCGUUUAUGUUGUAGUAAUUGUUAGACAUUGGCACAAUAUGGAAGUUGCUUCUUGUCUAAAUCUAUGAUCUUUUUCCUUGAGCAAUAAGCAUGCCAAUAAUAUUCCGAGCUACAGACAUUUCUCCUAUUAAAGACAAAGAACUCAAAUAGCCUAUUCUUGCUUUACAAUUUGCUUUCCAGAUAUGGAUCAACUUCGAAGUUUCUCUCUUUUGGAUUACUUGCCGAAAUUUUCUAAGAUACUUCUUUCAUCUCCUUUUGUGAUUCACCUAUAAAAACUGCAAAACAUCUAUGGUUAAUUGCAAUUGCCUCAAACUAUCAACUUUUUGAACUUUACUAGUAUCUUAUAUUAUCUAUUGAUAUCAUAUAGUUUACUCAAAUAAGUUAAAAGUUUGAAUUUAGAUUACUAUUUUUGUAUGAAAAAUUUGUAUACCCCUAAAUUGCAUUUGUUCAUUAAUAAUCCCCUUGUUCACAUAGGGGUAUCAAGUGUUUUCACUCAAAAGUAGCUAAGAACAUCUAUUAGUAUUUAGUAAAUUUGAAAAAUGAGCUACAAUUGGGUAAUAUAAUGUAGUUAAUUACUGUAAUCAAUAGUUUAGAACGUAAAUUUGGUGAUACUUCAAUCUUGCAUGUUGCAAUUGAACCUAACAUUAAUCCGUAAUUUGUUCUUUUUUUUAAAAAAAAAAGCUUUUUCACUUCUGCAAAGCAAUCAAAGUUUUCAACUUUUCAAUGAAAAAGCAUCAAAAACAAAAGAACUCAAGCUAUUGAAGGUCGGAGUUCUCAAAAAAACAAAAAAAAAAAACCUGCAGAUGAAGGUCGGCGUUUUAUAGCUUCUGCUUGAGGCUUGAGAAAUCGAAGGUCUCUAUUGAAUCUUCUGCUUGAGGCUUGAGUUUUGAGAAUUUUUUGCAGCUUUCUUUGACUUCAACUUGAAACAAAAUUGAAGAGAAGGAGAAAGAAGUUGCCGAGUUGGGGUGAAACAACUGAGUGUCGGCUGAAGUUCCAAUUGAAUGUUGAUGCCUGAUGGAUUCAUUUAGGUUAGGGUUAAUAACUUAAAAAUAUUAUAAAAUUGUCUAUAUAUUUUUUAAUAUUUAUAUAAUAUACCCCAAGGUCGGGUACCAGCGGGUUUUAAUUUUUAUGAUCCAUAUCUAUAUCCGAAUAUUAGGGCACCCGACCCUUUUCUACUCCGUUGAUAGAAAUCAGAUCGGAUGUCCUAAUUUUCGAUGCGGGUCAGAUUGGGUUUCUUGAAUUUUUGGAUUUUUUGCCCACCCCUAGAUGAGAGAGAUCCAGAAGAAUUAAGAAGAUGUAUAAAUUAUCAUCAGUCGAGUCACAACAACAAAAACUAUCUGAAUUAUAGAUUUUGAUUGACAUAAUUUAGAGAUAGGGACCCAUGUAAUCCUAACAGGACUACACAAUUUGUUGAUAUAUCACUUUGUGCAUUGGCUUAAUUCUUAAAUUGUCGAGUUAGUAUGGAUUCCUAAAAUCCUAUUUUGGGCAUUCAAGUAUGGAGUCUUAUAUGUCAGUUGAAUUGUUCAAUAAUUUGUACUUACAAAUAAGUUUAUGAAAAUCUAAAAUGACAAAUUUUAUAUUAUUGUAGUUGUCCUUACAGAUAUUCUCAUCAUUAUGUUCGAUAUUCCCGUACAAUCAGACCUACAUUCGGGGCUAUACGUGUAUGAUAUUAUCUCAGUAGGAACUGCAUACUGGGCACAUUUCAUAUUUCACGGUAUAUUUUGGACAAUCAGUUCGAUGUUAGGCGAUGUGAUAAAUAUUUUUGGGAUCAUGCACCUAUCCUUGAAUGGGUUCGGCAUUAUAUUCGAUUGAUAGGAUUUGAAGGGGUGUUUGAGAGUGAAUAUAUGAUGGUUGAUCAUAUUCUGAUCACCAGUUUGGUGGAACGAUAAUGGCCCGAGACUCAUACCAUUCAUCUACUUGUUGGAAAGAUUACAAUGACUUUACAAGAUGUAGAGAUCCAAUGUACACUACAUAUUAAUGGUCAUCCAGUUAUAGGGAUAUAUAUAUAUCUCGUAGUGCCCAAGAGUGGAGACUCUUAUGUGAGGAAUUUAUUGGCUCUUCUCCUUUGCCGUUAGAUUUAAUGGACAAAGGUUAAAAUUGGGGUAUUUAUCCAGAGCAUUAGAUACAGAGCUACCUCUUGAUGUUUUGGAUGUUGAAUGUAGACAGCGGGCACACAUCUACCUCCUCUUGAUAUUAUGUGACUACUUAUUACCCGAUAAAUUAGAAAAUAAAGUCCCGCUAAUGUAUAUUCUCUUACUACGAGACUUGAAAACUGUUGGGCAAUACAGUUGGGGUAAUGCGAUUUGGUGAUUUUUAUCAAUGUCUGUGUACAGCCACAUCUUCCUCUAAAUCGGCUAUUGUAGGUUCAUUAAUUUUGCUACAAGUACGUUACACUCAAUAAAAGUGAAAUAAUUUAACUAUUAUAUUAUUGCAAUUGUAUAAUAAUUGAAGAUUUUUUGCAACUAUAGGCAUGGGAAUAUAUACCUACUAUGCUCCCUGACCGAGUGCAGCCGUUGGAGCACUAUCCUGGUCCAUAUGGAGGAAGGUGCAUAUAUAUUUUUUACAGUUGUGAUCAUAAUUUGUAAUUCAAAUAAUAAUAAUUUAUUCUAAAAAAAGGCCCCUCAUUUAUUUUAUGUAGGUGGAAUGUUGAGUUUGAUCUACAUAAAAUUGCACGACAUGUCGUGCCAGUAUUUUGAGAUCAUUUGACAGAUCUACAUUCUCAAGAGAUAUUGUAAUUAUGCCAUGAUGCUGAACAUUUAACACUUUGCCUUUUUUACUGAGUAGAAUAAUAAAAUAUGCAAAUUUGCUCGAAUAGUCUAAUUGUAUUUGAUUCUUGUAAAAUUGAAUUUGUAACAGCGAAUUUUCCUCCAGUAUAAGGGAGGUUCUGCUAAAGGUUUUUACAAAAAUGUGCAAAAUAUUUGAAAUUUGCCAAGAUUUGUUAUAUUUUUUUCAUUUGAUAAAGUUGAGUGGUGCAUAUGGUAAUUUGUCUAUAGAGACAAAUUUAAGUUAUGAGUCAAUAUAUAUUCAUUUAUCUUUUUUUGCAGUUCAUAUGACAGCCAUAUUCAGAAGACAUUCUCACUUCUCUGCUUGCGCAUUAUACUGUAGAUCGUGAUAUUUGGAGGUCUGUCAUGUAACUCAUAUGUUGGAAAGUUGUUGAGCUGUAUCUUUCUCAUCGAAUUAUGUGACUGUUUGGGUAUCAUCUGCCCCUGCCUGAUUUUAGAUUGACUGAAAAUCAAGUAACUCUACAAUCUCUAGAUCGUCAUAGUAAGGAGAAUUAAGAUUAGAUAACCACGCAAAGAGUAUAUAUUGAUGUUUGGAUUGAACGACAUGUGCAUGUAUAAGGUGGUAUUGUAGUUGAAAAUCUUACAUAUAGGUCAGAUGAGGAUCAUCAAUGGUAUUGAGAGUAGACAGUACGUUAACUUUCAAAUUCAAGUAUAUAUCCAGCUUUUUUGAAGGGCUUUCAGGGUGAUAGUAUUAGGGCACAAUAUCUUAUAAAUUCAAAUCUAACCACUGCUAUUGACACGCAUGUUUAUUGAAAUAAUUUUUUAAGAUUUGACGUUAUUAAUGUUUAUUCCAAUAUUUACACCUUAGAUGAAUGAUAUGUUUCGCAUAUAUUACAUGGCACAGGACUCCGUGACACUUAGUGACGAACACAGGAAUUAUUUGUUAGGGUGGUAAUUUAUUUUUACUUUUGAUGAAAGUCAUCACCUAUUAAACCCAAAAUUUAUAUGGCGAUUAUUAAGAAAUAAAUCAACUAUAAAAUUACGAAAGCAUACUUGGAUUCAUGUUGACAAAUUGGUACUUGAAUCCUUGAAGAUUUUUGGGUGGCCUUCCAAGUCAACACGUAUUUACUAAUUUUCGAGAGAGCUCUUUAAUUUCUCUCUGAUAUCUUUCCUGACGAUGGGAUAUCAGAGAAGAGCUAUUUUGUGCUACUAAAAAAUACGAUAAUAAGAAUACGUGUGAUUUGAGCAUUAUAAUCCUAUUUAUAGAUAACAUUCCAUUAUCUUUUGGAUUCCUAUUUCAAUCCAUCAUAGAAAUAGAAAAUAUCCUGAAAUCUCUAUACAUUAAAGACCCACACCCUAUUAGAUACAUUAAUCCUAAACCAUUUUUUAUCACUUUAAUUGGAUUUAACCUUAUGUCACAGUCUGCAACACAUAAUCAUUCACAUAUAAGUACAACGUUAAAUUAAGGAUCUAACAAUCUCCCACUUGGACUAUAUGUGUAACCCUAUAAUUAUAUUUUACAAUUAAUCGUAUGAUUUCAACUUUACUGUCAUUAGUAAAAUGUAUCUGUAGCCAAUUCAGCCCAUCAAUUACAUCAACAUAGGAUCAAAGCGGUUUUUGUUACAGAUUUGUAACUCGACUCAUCAAUGGUCACAUAUAUUGAUAUAAUUGAAUGAUAUGAAUCAUGAUUUGGAUGUAUAACAUAGAAAUUUUAUGUAAUGUGAUCAUAAUAUGUCUAUUUCCAACUAGCCCACCUUAAAUUUUUAUGAGAUCAAAUUAUACCAAAGUUAGAGUGUAAAUAAAUUCAAAUUUUAUUUAUGCAUAAAAUAUCUUUAAAUCAUUAAUAAUCAAAAAGUAUCAUAAGAGUAUUUAAAAUAAAAAACUCCCACCAAAACUGUAUAUCAUUUAACAACAUGACACCCAUACGAGCAGUAUGCUCAUGUAACAUUUUGGGUGAUAAUCCCUUAAUAAGCGGAUACGCAACCAUAGAUUUUAUCCUGAUAUGCUCUAUCAAUAACUGUCCUCUCUAUACACUUUCUUUAAUAGUAAGGAGUUUGAUAUCUAUAUAUUUAGAUUUUGUCGAACUCCUGUUAUUAUUGGAAUAUAGAACUGCUAAAUUAUUGUAACAAAAUAAUUUGAGUGAUUUUUCUAUACUAUCUAUUACACGUAAUCCAGUGAUAAAAUUUCGUAGCCAAAUUCUAUGGUUGAACGCCUCAUAACAAGUUAUAAGUUUUGCGGCCAUAGUAGAAGAUAUUAUAAGAUACUGUUUAGUACUCUUCCAAGAUAUGGCACAUUCAACUAACAAAUAGAUAUAUAUUGAUUUCAUAGUAUCUUGGCAUCUAAUAUAAUUAGAAUCAGUAUAUCCAAUGAUUUUGAACUUAUCUGACCUUCGAUACUUGAUCAUGUUAUCUUUUAUUUUCUAUAAAUACCGCAAGACUCGUUUGGUUGCUUUCCAAUGAUUUAAUCCAAAAUUGUUUAAAUAUCUAAUCAACAUCCCAAUAAUAUACGCAAUAUUCGGAUGCAUACAAACCUGAGCAUACAUCAAACUCCCUACUGCUGACGAAUAAAGAAUCUUUUUUAUCUUUUUUUCUUCAAAAGCAUUCUUAGGACAUUGAUUGAGACUAAAUUUAUUUCUUUUAGCCACAGAGGUGUCAUCUGAUUUAUAAUUUUGCAUGCCAUAUUUUUUAAAAAUCUUUUCGAUAUAACCCUUUUGUGAUAGUCCAAAAAUGCAUCGAGAGUGACUCCGAUGUAUCUGUAUGUCUAACACAAUAGACACAUCAUCAAAAUCUUUCAUUUCAAAAUUCAUAAUUAGAAAUCUCUUAGUUUCAUACAAUAGGCCCAUAUCAUUGCUGACAGUCAAAAUGUCAUCAACAUACAAUAUCAGAAAAAUAUACUUGCUCUCACAGAACUUAUGAUAUAUACAAUCAUCUAUUAAAUUUAUUUCAAAAUCCAAUGAGAUGAUCACUUGAUGAAAUUUGAAAUACUAUUAUCUAGAUGCUUGUUUGAUCAAUAAAUUUUUUAAGUUUGCAAACCAUAUUUUUUGAAUCUCCUGAUAUAAAAUUUUUUUAUUGCACCAUAUAAAUUGUCUCAUCAAUAUCACCAUUGAGAAAUGUUGACUUUAUAUCCAUUUGAUAUAAUUCAAGAUUGAAAUCCACCACUAAUGCCAUAAUAAUUCUAAAAGAAUCAUUUGAAGAGAUCGAAAAGAAGGUUUCUCUAUAGUCGAUACAUUCUUUUUAUGUAAAUCCCUUAUCAAUAAGACGAGUUUUGUAUAUUUUCACAAUGUAUUUCAAAUCUCUCUUGAUUUUAAAUAUCUAUUUAAAACUAAUAAAUUUCAUACUUUCUGGCAAUGGGGCAAGAUCCCAAAUAUUAUUGUCUUUCAUGAAUUUAAUUUUCUCAUUCAUGGUAUCGAUCCACUUUUGAGAAUUUAAAUUUUUUAUGGCUUGAGGAAAGUUGAUUGGAUCAUCUUCCAUCAAUCCAGUAUUAUCCUCAUGUUUUUGGAGAAAGACAAUGUAAUCAUCUGGUAUUGUACUUCUCGUUUCUCUAGUAGAUUUUCUUAAUAGCACUAGUUCUUUGAAAAGAAGAGUUUGUUCUUGUAGAACAAAUUAUUUUUCGACAUUGUCUUGAUUCGUUAUAUCAUGAUUAAUGUCAGGAAUGAAAUCCUAAGCAAGAUCAAUGACACCUGUGAAAAUAUUGACAUAUUUUUCUUUAAAGACAAGGCCCCUUACUAUAUUUUCCCUCCCAAACUCGGCAUCCGAAAAGAACCGGACAUUUCCUGUCUCAAAAAUCGAUUUAGUUGUGGGAUCAUAAAACUUGUAACCUCUAGAUCUUUCAGAUUAUCUAAUAAAAUAACGACUAGCCGUUCUUGAAUUUAAUUUCUUUUCAUUUGGCUUAUAACAUCUUACCUCAACUAGAUAUUUUCAAUUACGUAAAUGUUUUAAACUGGAUUUUUUCCUUGUCCAAAACUCAUGGGGGUUUUUGAUAGUUGUUUUAGUUGGAACUCUGUUAAGCAUAUAUACUGCAAUUUUAAGUGUUUCUCCUCAGAGUGAUUCUGAUAAAGUAGAAUGACAUAUCAUACUCUUUACCAUGUCUUUAAACGUUCUAUUUCGUCUUUCAGCUACACCAUUUAUUGUGAGUGAAUCCGACAUAGUGUACUAUGGGGUGAUACCACAUUCCUCUAGUUAUUUAACAAAUGGUCAUAGACGUUAUUCACUUGAACCGUCAUAUCUACCAUAGUACUCAUCACCACGGUCAGAUCUGACGCUUUUAAUCUUUUUGUUGAGUUGGUUCUCAAUUUCAGGUUUAAAAUUUUUGAACACGUCUAAUGACUGUGAUUUUUCAGAAAUGAGAUAUAAGUGACCAUAUUUUGAAAAAUCGUCUAUGAACGUUACAAAAUAUUAUUGACCAUUCCAAAUAGAUGUAGAAAAUGGUCCACAAAUAUCUAUACGUAUAAUUUCUAAAACGUCUAAGGACCUAUUGGUUUCAAAUUUCUUUUUAUUGGUUUGUUUCCCCUUUAUACAGUUAACACAAUCAUCAAAAUCUGUAAAAUUCAAAAGAUCGAGAAUUUCAAUUGACACAUGUGUUUUCAUUCUCCGUUUGGAGAUAUGCCCCAAUCUCUUAUGCCAUAAUGUAGCUGAAUUCUCAUUGGUUAAUUUUCUCUUUACUCCUCUAGUAUUCAAAUGUAGAGAUUCAUAAAUGAAACAAUUGUAUCAAUUAAAUAUAGAUUAUCAUAGUGCAUUAAAGAAUCAGAACUAACCAAUUUUGAAUCAUGAAACAAUUCAAACUUUUCAUUUUCAAAUGAACAAAAAUAAUUAAAUUUGUCCAAAGUAGAAAUAGAAAUCAAAUUCCGUCGAAUAGACGGUACAACAAAUGUCUCAUUAAUAUCCAAAUAAAAUUCGAUCUUUAAUAAUAAUCUAAAACCCCCUAUUGCCUCAACUUGAAUAUUUUGCCAUUGUCCACGUAGAUAUAUAUUUCAUUAUCAGUAGGAUUUCAGUAAUUCAUACAACUCUACAUAGACACACCAAUGUGAGUUAUUGUACCUGAAUUUAACCACCAUAUGUGUCUAGGUACCGAAGUUAAAUUAGACUCAGAACAAAUAAAAUUAAGAAGCAUAUCUUUUUUAGCACGCCAAGCGUGAUAGUUGGUGCAAUACUUCUUUCUAUACCCUUCAGGUUCACAGAAGAAACAACUAUUCUUUUCCUGAUCAACUGAUUUUUUUUGUUGUUUCUUUUGUAGUGCCGUACCGGCAGUCUCUUUAUCAUUUUUUUUCUUAAGUCCCUUACUUUUAUUAUUAAUGGUUGAGACCAAAUGAGCACUCUCUGUCUGAUCUUAUUUUAACCAUUCCUCUUCUUCUACACAAUAUGAGAUGAGUUUAUUUAGAAACAAAAUCUUCUUUUGACAGUUGUAACUCAUCUUAAACUGAUUAAACUGUAUAGAAAGAAAUAUUAAAAUCAAAUACACUAGUAACUCUUCAAAGAGUACCAAUUUAAGUACAUUUAAUUUUGAAACAAGAUGAUACAUUUUCAUGAUGUACUUUUUGAUAUUAUCUUUAUCACUUUAUUUCAUUGAAAGUAGACGGGUCAAGAGCAUACUAAUUUCAGUCUUUUCGUUUUUGACAAAUCUUUUUUCAAUGUCCUAAAGGAACUUUUUAGCGGUUACUGUCGUUUCUGAUAUUAUUUUUCAGAAUGCUUCUGGAGCAGCCUUUUUAAUGAUCAUCGGAUACAAGCGAUUUGAUCUCUCCCACCUUUCCUUAUUCCUUUUUUCAUCAGAGGUACUCUGAUCUGUAAGAGGUGGGGGAAAAUCAUCCCUUAAUGCAAGGUCAAGAUUCAUUACUCCAAAUGCUAUCAAGAGCUUUUCUUUCCAAAACUUGAAAUUUGUGCCAUUCAACAUAGGAAUAUUAUUAAUAUUGGUAGUAAUAUUCACAAGAUCAUUCGCAACUGAACAGAAAAUAUAAAAUAAUUAAAAACAAGCGCACUCAAACCAAAAUAAUAAUGAAUUUAAAUAAUGGUAGUCCCAUCUCAAGAUACUGGUAUUCCAUUAAUAUUUUGUCUUUGGACAAAAUAUUAACUUCUAAGUGAUAUCUUGGCGCAGUAAGAAAACACUGACAAUAAUAACAUGUCAAAAAAUAAAUUUUUCUUUGGGCCAAUUUAUAAUUUACAUGUACAAAAAAAUUGAAUAAUUAUCACGUGUUUAUUACUACAAGUGUACAUGCAAUCUUAUUAAAUAUUGACCUUCCUUUAGACCGAUCAAUAUUCACAAAAUCACAAGUACUCAACUAGUUAUAUUCUACAAUGAAUUAAUUUUUGUAAUAGAGAUCACUUUUGCGGCAUAUUAUUUCAAUUAAUUUAUUCCAAAAUAUAUAUAAUCAUACAAAUAUUCAAAUUUAAAAUUAUACAAAUUAAAUAAAAAUUUUGAUCAAAUUCAACUCUGGUCAAAAUGUGAUCAAACAUGAUCAAAUCAGUCAAAUCCGGUUAAACCAGUCAAAUUGGAUCAAAACUUAUUGGACCUAAAGUUCCUGUCCAUAAUUUGACCCAAAUUUGUUAUUUAAACCCAAAAUUUUCUUGAAAUCCAUAAAUAUCUUUUAAAACUAUAUAUUUAGUGAACCAAACAUAUGAAUUUUUGUAAGGCUUAAAUGUCAUGUUUAUCUUUAUUAGGGUUUACUCAAAUUAGAGAAACCCUAAUUUUCUUUUUUCUGGAUUCAUGAAAAUAUACAUAUUAGUUUUAUUACAUAAGAAAACAACUCAAAUAAUUCAAGUAUUAACCAAAUUAAUUUAUAAAAAAAGUUGGUACACUAAAAUAUCAAUGAAUCAUGGCUAAAGUUUGAUUACCAAGGAGCCCACUUGAAUAUCAUAUCAAUUCAUGUGUAAGAACCCGUGGAGCCCACUAGAUUCAAGUGUUGACCGAAUUCAUGAAUCAUAUGAUGCAAUUGAAUUGUACCAAAGCAUAAAGAUAACAUUAUGAAUGAAAUCAUAGGGCGUGCCAUUAAAACAAUAAUUGUUUAUCACAGCAAUUCAUGCCAUCUGCAAGCAAGACUUCCAAAAAUAAACACCAAAGCUGAAACAUGAAAUCUGAAACACGAAGCCGUAUCAUGAAACAAUCAUUGAACUUGACAAAAAACCACGGAACAAAGACUUUCAGCCGUGCAAACGAAACCUAAAUUAAUCAUAACUCUUAAAAAAAUUAUGAAUUACUAAAUUCAAAUUAUUUCUCAAUAAUCAACCAUAUCUACCUCUGAUAUCACUUGUUCGGCUGGUAAUUUAUAUUAACCUUUGAUGAAAGUCAUCACCUAUUAAAGUCCAAAUUUAUAUGGCGAUUAUUAAGAAAUAAAUUAACCGUAAAAUUACGGAAGCGUACCUGAAUUCAUGUUGACAAAUUGGCACUUGAAUCCUUGAAGAUUUUGGGGCGGUCUUCCAAAUCAACACGUAUUUACUAAUCCUUGAGAGAACCCUUUAAUUUCUCUCUGGUAUCUUUCCUGACGAUGGAAUAUCAGGGAAGAGCUAUUUUGUGGUAUUAGAAAAUACGAUAAUAAAAAUACGUAUGAUUUGGGGACCACAACCCUAUUUAUAAAUAACAUUCAUGUUACCUUUUGAAUUCCUAUUUCAAUCCAUCAUAGAAAUAAGAAAUACCCUUAAAUCUCUACACAUUAAAGGCCCACACCCUAUUAGAUACAUUAAAUCCAAACCAUAUUUGAUCACUUUAAUUGGAUUUGACAGUAUACAACAUAUAAUCAUUCACAUAUAAGUCCAACGUUGGAUUAAAGAUCCAACAUUAUUUUCAUGCAAUGAAGGACUUUGCAUCCACAAUAUUGCAUCAUGUAGGGAAGUCAUGAUGAUUUGCAUUUCACCCUUUACAAGUAUCACAGGACAUUCUACAACAUGCAAACCCACGUCGUAUUUAGCAAGCUCCUAGGAAUGUUCACAGAGGUCAGCAUAGCGGUGGAUGACAUCGUAGAGUCUGAUCACCAGAACCCACCAUCCAAACUGGAUUCGAUAGAGGGUCAUAGGCAACUGAGCACCAUAUCGACGCAUCUGCUCUAAUCACACCUCAAACCAAAGUCAUACAACUGUACAGUACAUCCAUUGGGCAUUCUAGAUCCUCAAUGACUUUUUUAGAAUUUACGUCUGAUGGGACUUUCAUCAUGACACUUUUGAACAACAUACAAGAGGUACAAAUGAAGAUUAGAGCAUCGAAAAUCAAGAAGUUACACUGGAGUCACAGAUUACUCAAGUCAAUAGAGUAAUGCCAGACCAACCAUGUCGAGCAUAAGGAAUAUGUAAACUCAAACGAUGUGGUACUCAUGAAAAACUUGGAGAACACUGAUGACAUACAAGUUAUGUAGUAUGGUUACAUAAAUUAGCUAAAUUAGAAUGGUACAUUUUCGUGGCAUUUUUCAUUUAUAUUCUUCUUUAAUUCAUCAAAUGCUAGCAGAAUAACUCAAUCCUGCAUGUUUUAUUUCUUAUUUCAUAUGGGUACUCUUUCAUACAAAACCAAAAAACUUUCACAAAAUUACAAAGAAAUGCUCUGUUCCCAUGAAAAAAUAUAUAUAAAAGAGGAUAAAACACACUAACCUCUUCAGAUGUUCAUACAAAAACUUAGGUUCAUUCCCUCAUCAUUUCAAAUAACAUAAACCUACUAUUUAUUUUAUCCUUUACCUUUCUUAUUCAAAAUUUUUGUAUUGAACAUAAGAAAACAAACUUUUAAUACUCUCCUAGAAGAAAGUUAAAAAAGAUAAUUUUAUUCAUGAAAAGUGAAUAACAUAUUAAUAAUUUCAUUUUAAUCUUUUAUUUUGAUCUAUGAAAGUAAAGAAGUAUUUCUUUACAAAAAUGUAUUAAAAUAAAAUGAGAUCUGUCCAACCGUAUAAUUAUUAAAUCUCUUACCAUCUGAGUGGCAUACAUGUGUAGUUAUUUUUAUGCCAAGGAUUAUUUUGAAUACAAAUUUUUUGGGAGCUCGUAUUUGCUAACUGUGAACUCAUGUGAGUUUUAAAAAUAAAAAAUAUUUAAUUUCUUUGCUAACAAAUAUUUUAGAGUAAUAUUUCUUUGGGAGUUCACUUUUUGUAAAUGUGAGUGCCAAAAUAAAAAGGAUUGCAAGCUCCAAUUUUUAAAUAAAGUUCUCAUAGAGUUCGCAUUUAUCAAAUGCCUGCAUUUAGUAAAUGCGAGCUCUAGAAUAAAAAAAUAUUUUUUAAAUAAAACUUUCUUAGAGCUCACAUUUACAGAAUGCAUGUUCAAAAUUCAAAUGAUUUUUAAAUUAUUUUUUGGAGGCUCGCAUUUUCUAAAUGCAAUCUCAAUAAUAAAAAACAUUUUUGAAAAUAAAAUUUUACUAGAGCUUGCAUUUAUCAAAUGUAAGUUCUAUGGAGUAAAUAUUAUUAAAAUCUAAUUUCCCGGGAGCUCGUAUUUAAAUGCAAGCUUUAAAAUAAAAUUAUUUUUCUCAAUAAAAUUUUUUCGGAGCUCGCAUUAUUAAAAAAUAUUUUUAAAAUCUAAUUUCCAAGUAAAUGCGAGCUAUGAAAUAAAAGUAUUUUCUCAAUAAAAUUUUUUUGGAGCUCGCAUUUAAUAAAUAAUUUUUCUCAAUAAAUGUGAGCUCUAUGAAAAAAAUAAUUUUUAAAAUCUAAUUUCCUAAGAGCUCAUAUUUACUAAAUGGGAUCUCUAGAAUAAAUUUUUUUUUCCGAUCUCGCAUAAUUUUUUCAAGUUUUCGAUCUCUGGAACGAUUGCGAGCUCCAAUACAAAAAAAAUAUUUUUUAAGGCCAUUUCUAAAUGUGAACAUCAGUAGUCGGAAUUCCACUCCAAAAUUAUCCCUUUAGCACAAUUUUUUUUGAAAUUUAUCACAAAAUUGGAAAUUUCUACUAUUAACUGUAGGUAGGAGUAUUUUGGGUUUGGGGUGACCAGUAUAUGAGUUUCAUCUUGUGGUCCUUUGCAAUUAAUGUUCAACAGUCAUACUUUACAAUCUACACUAUUACAUAAUUUUCUACAUCUAUUUGUGUUAAUUUUUUGCCAAAAUAAUCUUCUGUUCGUCAAAUAUUCCCAAACUAAUGCAAUUAAAAAAUUUAUUCCCUUUCUAGAGUAUAUAUUGCAAUGUACACGUUCAGAAUGAGCAAAGUAAUCCAAAAUCUUAUAUUUUCCUUUUUUGAUGAGGAUCCCUCCCCAUUACAUUAAUCAUUCUACUUCUACUCUUAUUCUUUUAAUUUUUAAUGAAUGAAUAACAAAGACGAUUGGUUUUUUCUCAGAACCAAAUGGCUAUUCUUUCAAAGAUCAAUAGUCGACAAGCUUUGGCUCUUAUAUUAUAUUGUCAAGAUGAAAUUCUUAUUCUAGUAAUUAUUGUUUGUGAAUGCAAGAGAUUUUUCUUCACUUCUUUUCAUUUUUGACAUGAAAUUUUUGUUAUGUCAAAUUCAACUUUGAUCACUUUUUUGUCCAGAAUUUAUGUGCACGUGUUCUAAUUUAAAAUAUUGCAAAAUACUGAAAUGAAUAAAAUCAGAACUUUAUCAUAAAUAUAAUUACAAAUAAAGAAAGAAAGGACUUGCAAUAUAAUAGUUAAGAAGAAUUCUAAGAAACAAAAUGGUAGUAGAAAACAAUAGUACCAUUGUUGGUAGAUUGGAUAUUUCAAACAAAAUUUUCGCACAUGGUCAUUUUCCUUUAGUUUUGAAAUCUACGUGGCAAUAAAUAGAUUAACACAAGAAUAGAAUUUGAAACAAUAUUAGUUUGGGAUUAUUUUUUGAGAAUAUUUACUACUAGAUUAAAGAUUUCCUUUCCUGUUAGUUUGCAUGACAAUAAGGAUAACUAGGUGACAAUAAUAAUAUCAUUAUGGGAAUAAAAUUUGAAAGUGAAUAACAUUGGGAAUAUUUUUAAGAAAUAGAGUUUUUUUGGUGGAAAAAUCAUAUUUCUACAUCAUGUAACAAAAUCAUUGAUGGCUUUUGUCAAUUUACAGUAUCGGUCAAUAUACAGUAUCAAAGAAACUUGCAGACAAAUCAAUUUAUAACCAAUCUGGCGCUUUACAGUGAGAUACCGCAGUACUAAAGUUCACACUCCUUAAUGUUAAAUUCAAGUUUGAACAAAUUCUAAUAUUAAACCGUAGUAUUAUGCUAUUGUAGACAUCACAUCCCUCCAUUCUAAAUUCACAUCUUAUAUAAAAUUUAACAUUAGCAAUAUAAGUCAUCAAUACUAAUGAUACAAUCAUCAAUCUAGUACGGAUUGAGAAAGGAAAGGCGUGAAUUUAUUCUCUUCCUUAAUUAUAUUCAUUAUAUUUGAUUAAUAUUAAAGUGGUAUUCAAGGUUUAAUCUUGCAUAAAACGAUGAUACCCCUUUAAUACAUGUAGACAACAUAAAAUUACCAUUUAAUUUUAAAAGUUUUCCUUUCUUUUCUUGUUGACAUUGACAUUGGUUUUCGGAAGGACUUGAAAAAUGACAAGGUCUGUCAUUAGGAAAUUUAAGUGACAGAGACUAUUUGUAUUUAAAGAAUCACUUUCAUAAAAUAUUUUUUUGGUGUCCUCGAGAUGCCAAUGGAUAGGGUUUCCUAGCAGUGUCUUCUCUCCUUUGUACAAUUUACUUUUUCUCUACUCAAUAGUCUCACCACAAUUUCUCAUGCAUUUCUCCCGUUUUCCUUUACCACUCCCUUUAAAUUCUCAUAAUUUUGAAGUGUUUCCAUCAUUUUCGUAGUUUCACAUCGCCAAAAUAGUUUUGCCUUUUAUAAGUGUUUCCGUCAUGUUCGUAGUUCACAUCGUUAAAAUAGUUUUGCCUUUAGAAGGUAUUUAAGUGCAAUUGUCAGAAACAUUGAGGGAGGCAUAUGAAAUUAUCCCAAUGAUUAAAGACAGUCAUGCAGAGACAAAGUUGUGCAAUUAAGAAUCAGAAGAAAAGAUGAAAGCUUUGUAGUAAUUAUCACUAUUCAGAGGCUUUAGAUGUUGAUGAACCAAAGACACCAGUUUCAACUUCGGUUAUCUCAUCAGGCCUGAUGGUUCUACCCUUGAGGAAAUUGUAGUACCAGUCUGCAGAGAGCUUUCGGUAUCUUCUCAAUUGCUUGUCAUCCAAAUCCACGUAGUACAGGCCACUACCUCUCUCAUAGCCACCGAAUAACUCUAGACCAUCUAAGAAAGACCACUGGAAGUACCCUUUUGUGUUUGACCCAUUUCUUCAUCAAUUGUUUCAAGAUGAAAGACCAGAACAAGUCAAAAAGGUUGACAUCUAAGAGUCAUUUCAGAAAUACGUGUAAUGAUACUAUAAACUUAUGCGGUAGAGUCUGAAACAUUAGAUUAAACAGAACAUGCCUUGCUGCAUAGCUUUAAUGACCAUUUUUUGCAGAAUAAGUUUUAAAAUAGUUGUUGAAGAACAUAAAGAUUAAACCAAGGGGAGAUAUGUGAAAAUUCACUCGUGAUAAUAGCAGUAACACAUAAGUGGACAUGCUUACUUUAUAGCCUCAAGCAAGGUCCCGAUAUAUGAAUGCAGAUAUUUCACCCUUGGUAUGUCGUAUAGUGUUCCAUUACGCUCAGUUCUUUGACCUGUCAAAAACAGUCAUGCAACGAGAUUCUAAAACUUUGUGCGAUUGUAUUGAACAAGAAAACAGAAAAAAGAGACAUGAUCUAGAUAAAGGUGCAAAGAUUUUCCGGUAAUUACUAUUCCGGAUGAAAUAUACAAUCGCAGCAGUGUCCAACAGCCAAAAAAUUUGCGCAAGUACAAAAAAGCAUCCCUACUAAUUAAGCUCAAAUGGUUACGCUUGCUUUUUUGGUGACUGAACCUUACUUAUAAAGGUACAAUCAUGCAUAUAUAUUCCGUGAUGGGGAACAAAUCCCAGAGUAAACGAUAAUUCUCUAGCAAUAUAUUCUUAAUGGUGGUUUCAUUAGGUUGGCAGAUUUUGGUCAAAAUGGUUUGUCUUGAUUUAUCUUUCUUGGUAAAAUAAUACAUGUAGUGCCAAUUAUGUCUAUGAGUUGAACAUUUUGCAGAAUCAGUCAUUAGUACUGAAACAUUUAAGACAAAAUGAUUACAAAGGUACAGGUUGCCACAUCCAAGCCAAGGUAGAGAGAAAGAGUCAGUGAAAGAACCAUUUUCGUGGAUAUAAGUAGGUGGAUUGCCAUAAGCUGUCUUGAGAUACUCCAGAAUUCCAGAUAGACUGGAUGAUGGAUCAUCAUUCUGUGCCAGCAGGAUGGUUAUCAACCACGACAGAAAAUGAUGAACACAAAAUCAUGAAAUUAAAUUAUCAGCACCGACCUGAUUUUGUGGUGCAUCUUCUGGUUCAACUAAAGUAGCAGAAAACAGAUUCACCAAUUAGUAUAAUUCAAUCACAAAAUCUAUGGGGAAACAAAAGCCAUCAUAGAGAUACAGACUAUUGAAAAAGAAGAAGCACAAAGAAAACUGAAAUGAAACCAAGCUUGUGCACAAGUUCUCAGAGAUCUGACAAAUAGAGCUUUACAAAAGGAUGUGAGUAGUUGAUUCAGUCAGCAAGGAAUGAGUACAGUCGAAACUCAGAAUAGAUGGGGACACGUACGGAAGAAGCUUGCUGCCGUAUCAGCAGUUAUGUCCCUGACAUUCAUCUCAAAGCUGCUAGGAUUGUCCUUGACAUAGACUAAGUUAUAAUGGUUUAGCCCUAUAAAGUCAAAUGCGCCCUUAAUUAGCUUAGACUCACGUGGAGUAAGAACUGGUAUCUUUGAACCAGCAUUCUUCUUUACGAUGUCCGGAUAGUCUCCAAACACCAUUGGAUGCAUAAACCUGCAGUCGAAUUGUGGAUAAACGAUAAAAGCAAGCUUAUCUUUUGCUCAAGCUCCAAAGGGAAGAAAGCAUCUUGCUACUUGCUAGAGAUGAUGAAAUGCAUAAUGAAGGCAUUUAUCCGCCUAAGGUUCAUAACUCACCAACCAAUAUAAAAAUCAAUGACUCUUUGAGUUGCAGUUACAUCUUCUGUAGCAUUAGAAUAUGGAGAAAACCAAUAAGAAUAGAUGUUUAGUCCCACAAAACCAUGUUGAACAGCCUGCACAGAGCGUAUUAUUUCAGUUAUUUGACGUAUUCGACAAGAUGCUUCCGAGAUAUGAACAUUAAAAAGAAUCCACUAAUAAAAAGCUUAAAGAGAAAGAUCAAUUUCUUGUUAUCCUAUUCCUUUUUAGCAGAUAGAAGGUAAGAACUCAAUUGAUCAGGGUGCAUUAUACUACAAACAUUGGCAGGAGAAGCAGCAGCCCUAUCACUAAAUUGUCUUUCCAUUCCCAGACCUAUUAAGCUGCCCAUUUUUCCAGUCCUUAUUGGUAUUUGGUCUCUAUUGCAAAGCUAUUCUUCUAUUCUUCCAGUUAAAUCAAGUCCCAGGAGCCCCGGCAACCAAUCGCUGUUUCUAUGAAACGAAUGCAAACAGACUGAAUAUUGAUAUUCCACCUUCAUAAAAAACAUGAGUUUCUUGAUUGAAAUCGAAGAGUUGAUAGACAUGUUUAGAAACAGAACUCUUCCAACGUGAAUGACUAGACAAGGCUCAGUUUAUAGCAAAAAUGAGUCCAAUAACAAUUAGACAAGUAUCCCAGUAUUCACAUAUAUGGACACCUAAAGCCACUACUAUGUGCUAUAAGAAGAAGUAUAAAUGGGCACAAGUAAAAGAUACUUGUACAAAUUGAUAUUGUAAAUUUGACACAACUAAUGUACACGGGCAAAAUUCCAUGUGCAACCCUAGUUAGCAUUUGCUUAAGAUUCCAAUGAUCCAAAGGAUCAAUAAGAUGGUGGUUCAAAAGGGUUGGAAUAAUCCCAGUUAACACCAGCGACUAACAGUAGUUACUAAACAUAGUGCCGCCUCUUUAGAUGCAGAGAGUGUUUAUGGUUGAACUUUGGAUUUAUCAAAAACCAAGAAUCUAAUAGGGCCAAUAGGACAAAAUCAUAUUUCCAUAGUUGUUCUAGCACUAUCAAGAUACUGAAUGCCAGAUCAUGUGGGAAAAUUAUGGAAUAAAAUACCAUAGUUAUACCUUAUACUUUUUGUAGUAUAGUUUCACGGCAGAUGAAUGUGCCAGCAACAUGUUAUGACCAGCAAUAUAUGGCUCAGUUACAGAAUCACCCUCGGUACACAUCUGUCCAAAUGGAAAAGAGCAGCGCCAUGGGGGUGUUAGUCCAUUAUCAUAACCACCUAUGGCAAAUACGUUGCCCUCAUUUAUGGUAGUCCAAUACAAAACCCUGUCACCAAAUUCUUUGAAGCACACAUCGGCAUAGGCAGUAAAGUCUUUCCUGCAGUCACAAACUUUUUAGUGUUUUGUAUUUAAUCCCAUAACAAGCACAAAACAAGCUUAAAUGUGCAUGGAUCAAUUUAACAAAUAACGAAUGCUUACACUAUUUGCCGACUAAACCAUCCCCCAUAUUCAUCUUCAAGAACUUGUGGGGUAUCAAGGUGAAGCAGUGUGACAUGUGGUUGAAUUCCUGUGUGAAAUCCAGAGAGUUGAAACGUAAAACAUAAGAUGAUAAGAAACUCCGAUAGAUUGUCAACAGCAUUUUGGCUACGUCCUUGUAAGAUAAAGAUUUGACAUUAUCAUCUCAUGUGCGCAAGAGUUCACAAAAAGCAGAUUUUGCAAAUGUAGUUAUCACUCAGGAAGAAAUACUGUUUCAGCACUUGAUGUGGAAGAAUUAGACAUUCUCAAGUGCGUUAACCCUGCUAUGCCUUAAAGAAGAGGAACAUAAUAAACUUACCACGUUUGAGGAGUUCAUUAAUGAGAUUGUUGUAAUAUUCUAAGCCUUUGGGGUUGACAUGGCCUCUUCCAUCUGAAAAGAGAAAUUAGAAAACUAUGGGAAGGAAGAAAUAAGAUGUGCAAUGAUCAUGUAUAGGUAGUACAACAGAAGUAAACAUACUAGGAAUAAGUCUUGACCAGGAAACAGAGAAUCUGUAAGCCUCCAAACUCGUGUCUACCAUGUGUUGAACAUCUUCCUGAAACAGAUAAAUUUCCUGAAGUGAACUGCAUAGUAAUGUUAACAAGAUGAAGCUUGAUUCUAUCAUUUGCUAACGACAAACAUCAUGGUAAUUGUAAGAAGAUUCAAAUAGCAACCCACUGAGAUCCACAUAACCAACAAUGUGAUCUCUCUCAACCAGAAAAUACUUCAAGCGGCUGCCUACUGGAGCAGAAUUCAGUACUAUUGCAGAAUUGUCAGAGGUACUUAUGCAUGUAAUCAGGAAUUGCCCCAGGCAGUGAACACUUAGCCUGAUAAUUAAUAGUUAUGAUAGUGGCUGCAGGUUUUUUGUUUUUCUUAAUGAGUUUGUCUUUGGUUGUAUGGACGUAAUGUGAAGCUAUGCUGCUGCUAAGUGUUUCAUUGCUUCUCAGCGAAACAACUGUCAUGAUGGCCUAAAAGAUUGUUAGAAAAAAGUUUGCAGUUAUAGUAAUACAUAAAAAAUUGAGAUUCAGAUGCUUCAUGUGCUUGAGAUGCUAUUAAGAUAGAAGAUUAGUUUUUACCAAGAAAGUCAUAAAGGUGAGGGCUACUUCAGAUUUCUGUUUUUGGUUUUGGUAGGAAGAGGGGGAAGUAAGAGAGAUCAGAUUUGAUUCAUAACUCUGUUACGAUUAGCAAUUACUUUUGGUAUAUAUGUAGCAUAAAAUUAUACCUCGUUUUCUCAGGUGUAAGUGUUACAGUCUGCUGCUAAUUGGAAAGUUUUAAAUAGCUUAACUUGAAGCUUCUAUGACUCGACUACUUGCUACUAGAAAAACGACUUUCGUAGGUGCCAAUUACUAUCCACUGCUUCAGAAAAUCAAUUGACUAGAUUACAAUUUCCAGGCAGGCUAACAAACACCUAAUCCUUAUUAAGUCUCACAUUUUGGGGGAUUAGAUGCCAUAGCAAUUGGUCUUGAGACAAUGUAGAAACUGACACAGUCAAGGAUGUGGAUGCUAACAAAAUAAGUAGACAUACUAGCAAUAAAUGUGUGCUCAACAAUAGAGCAUUUUCGAUCUCCACCUAGCAAAAAUCAUUUUAGAAGAUAAUAAUUAAUAGCCAUUAACUGUCUCCAGCAAAAUUGAACCACAAUUUGGGAACAAUAUCAGGUAAACUUAGAUUUGCAAUUGAAGUUGCAAUGUCAUCACUAGGCCAAAAAGCGUAAAACUGGACCUAAAUGUUCACCUUGUAUUUGUGGUAUUGAUCACAUGCUAUGUCUCCAGAGGCUCCUUUAGAAAACCCUAAACAUAUUCAAGAAUAAAGCCUCGGUUACAAAUUCAGGAAAAAACAAAAGCUUUCUAAUUAGUAAAGUGUCCACUAUGCACUCCUUAAUGCCCUUCUACACCCUUUAAUGCUUCAACCAGGGCUACAAAGAAUCAAGCCGCUGACGAGCCGACUCAGUCAAAGCUCGACUCGAGUUCGUUCAACAUCAAGUUGGAGUCAACUUCGAGUUCGAACUCAAGCACAAAGAAACUCAACUUAUUAGUUUGCAAGCCGACUCGAUUAUAUGUGUGUGUGUAAAUCUUUUCUGCACUGACAGUGUAUACAUUUACGGGUUUAGAGUUGGGACCAAGUGGUUACCAGUGGAAGGUGCUACCGCUGGACUAUUCACGCGGGAACAGAUUUUGUCAUUAUAUAGAUACAUCAACGUUUUUACCAAAAAUAAAAAUAUACAUAAACUUUAAAAUAUGUUUAAUACUUCAUAAAGAAAAAAUUUGCCAACAGGAGAGCUUUUUUUUUUUUUUUUUUGUCAAACAACUCAACUCUAUUUGUACUUGCAACUUAACAGUAAAAGCAUAGCCAAAUUACCUAGUUUUUGGUGCUAAAAUUACAAUGAAAUCAUGUGACUGACAUCCCACAAUUCAUUAUCAGUUGAGUAAAUAGAGGAUCCUCCAUAUACUCCUUAACGGAGAGACUCAAUUGCGAAUGGGUGAACUAAAAUGUCAAUGGUUUGAAAGCAAUUAUUCAAAAUACGUAGAUGAAAUUUGAUCUAAAAGGUUGAUUUUUGCACGUACCAUGAGAGAAGGGGAGAGCAAUAUCAUGCAUUCGAAUUGCAUUUUCUGGGAAAGUUUUUUACUAUAAUAUUUUUUGCUAUGUGAUCUAUGUGAAAUGGAAAAGUAUUUGAGAAACGUGCUUAAGGAAAGUUUCAAAAAGUUCUUCUAAAUAAUAGGAUAAAAAAAAAUUGGAAUCCAAACGACCACCUACCAUAUGGACAUUCCACGACUUUUGAUACACUCCAUGAGGAUUUACAAGAAUGAGAUGUUAGAAAUUCACUUACAACAGAAUACAUCUUAUGCCUCCACAUAAAUCAACUUCAUCAUGCCCAUAAUGCAACUUUUUUCUGAAUACAAAUGUAGCAGAACAAGCAACAAAGAAAGCAAUACAUAAAUCAACUAAAUAGUCAUUGCGCUACCCAUCUUACGCCUCCACAUAAAUCAACUUCACCAUACCAAUAGUGCAGCUGUUUCUAAACACAAAAAUAUACCAGAACAAUCAACAAAGAAAGCAGUACAUUCUGCUAAUUGUCAUUACACUACCCAUUUUUCCUUAGCAACAUUAAGAAGUUCAAGCAAUCUUCGGUGCAGUGAGUUGAAGGGAAUCUAGAGAGUCACAUAACUUGGAUGCUGCAAAACACAAACAUGUAAAGAAAUGACAGUGUCAGAGCAGAAAGUGGCGUCAACAGUUUUUGUACUCCUGGUGACUCAAGCCUCAGCUAUUGGUUAUACUGGUAGUGUCACCAAAAACCUGGCCACAAAAGCAAAAUUCAGUUGCCCAAUUAGAUCAUCAUAACACUCUUUGUUUGUCAUUCCAGUCACAUAAAAACAUAUUAUGCAUUUCCAUUCUUGACAACCAUAUUUGACAAUUUGGUCAUUGCAAGAAAGAGGAUCAAGGUUAGUUGCAGCUCUUUUACAACAGAGGUUCCAAGUCCAAAAUCCUGAACACAACCCAAGGUGCCUGCUUCUGGUUAUAUAGUCAAAUUUGAAUGGUUAAUUUGAGCCUCCCCCUUCUUGACCUACAGAUGAAGUUCAUAAACACCUAUGUACAUAGUCAAUCUCAACAAGCACUUUAAUUUACUUAACUUUUUUGGUGGACCAACUAUAGCAAGCAUGUAAAAGCUACAGCCUCACAAGAAUUGACUAUGCACCGGUAGUCAAGAGACACAUUCCAUCAUCUUAUGACAGGCUCAGUUGUCACCACCCCAUCCUUCCUUUUUCUCCCUCUAUAGAGGUCGAUAAACAGGAAAAAAGGUAUAGUGCUACAAACCUAAACAAAUCCAACAUCCCAAAUCACGAACUUCAAAGAUAUUGAAAUGCAAAGGAAUAAAAAGCUUGCAACCAGCUCUCCCUCAAAUCACCAUCAAUGUUCAUCAUCACAAAGACAUCUGACACUGUCUGAUGCAUAUAACAUGUACGAUGUAUCCACUGACGUAUAAAGUCCAUCAGAAAAGCAUGAUCAAAUUUAGUGUUCAACUAGCAUGUGGAACUUGCUAAAUUGCCUCAGGCAAGUGACUUUCUGCAUUUAUUGUUUGCCUUCCAUAUCUCUAAUAAUAUUCUUUCACGUCAAGAAGUUUUGGAAGUUACUUUUCCAAGUUAGUUAAAGACACUUUUGAUCUACAAUAACCUAGGGUUUAGCUCCUACAAAGUAUUAGGUUAAAGAUUAAUUAAGUAGGAACAUAGUAUCACCAGCUCAUUCGGUCGCUCAUUCUUUUCAUUUUGUUGCUCUUCUCCCACAUCAUUUUCAUCUUUCAUUUAAUUUAAAAUUCUUCACCAUGUUACCGUUUGUCAUAACAUGAAAAGUUCACUUGUUUCGGAGGAGGUCCAAAUAAUUUGUAUGCUUUUGAAACAAAAUUCCUUCUCUUUUUCUUUUAAUAGAAUUGUCAGCUAUACAUGGUACAAACCAUCUGCUUUGAUACAUAUGACUUUAUUUCAUAUUCAAAAACUAUGAGAGUACUUCAAUAGAAAUUAUAUUUAACCCUUUAUGAUUCAACCCAACAAUAUAGCUUAGCUGCCAUUACAUAAGGAAAGAAAAAGGAAAACAUAUGAACUCAAACUUCUCAGUUCAUCAACAAAGUGACAAACUAAUUUAUUUCUGCAUGUAAGCCUAGCCAUAUUCAGAUCAUUAAUCCAAACAAUAGAAAUUGGCAGGUUGGUCCUAGUCACAAGGGCAAAAAAUAUAGUGCCACCAAAUUCUCUCUUCUCAAUCUCCUUGUCAGGCCACCAUUAGAUUCCCUCUUACAGUUAUGCAGCAAAGGGUUAGAAAGAAUAAUGUCCUCAAAUUCAUCCUUAGAGCAUAUAAUUCUAAGUAAGAGUUUCAUGUCAGUACCAAGUUUUACAACUUAUAGAUGCAGGUGAAGCUUCACAAGGAUAUGAAAACCAUAAAAACCCAACAACUGAUUAGAUAUUUCUUUUGCGAAUGAUGACUAUUACUAAACAAUCCACAACAUACUAAAUAAAUAAAUACAAAACAAGAUAACUCUCUUUGAGUACUUUUCCUGGGACCACUGGGAAUUAGGGAGGGAGGACCAAGACCACAACAUGGAAGUUAUCGAGGUGGUUAUGCACCCACCAAGCAGUGACCUCAAGGACAAUCAAACACGUACAAGAAAGGAUCUAUGCAGUGAUUGUUUGGAAUUUAAAGGAACCUGCCUCCUGCUAUUUUAAUUACAUGAUGCAUCUCAGUGAGAGAUUUGAUGCAAGUUAAGUUAGGUAAUGAAGAAGAGAAUGAAAGCAAUGCACAACACAGAGGAUGGAGCUUUUAUUAGUGUUGGGGGAAGGGGGGAGGGGAGGGGAGGAGAAGACAAUUUCAAAGGGCAAGAAAAAUUUAGAGAUAAAAGGAGGUCCCCAGUCCACAGAGACCUGCACAGGGGAGAUGAGGAGUGGAGACAGUGGUCCCCCUUAAUGCUAACCCAGAAAAGACAAAUGCUGAAAAAGGAAAUGACAGGAUAUCAAAUAAGAAUACACCUUAUACUUCAGAUAAAAUCUUUCUUUAUCAACUGCAGAAGAUUUUAUAGUUUAGUCCAUAGAAGUCAAUUGUAAUAAAAGAAAUAAAAAAGUGUCAAAGCUAAAGAAAGUAGUAAAAGAAAUUGCCGAAUGGGUCUCCUGUAUCAUGAGAACUACUAACUUAUACCUCAGAGCUUCAAGUUUGCAAUAAAGGAACCAAAAGGUACCUAUUUCGUAAGAAUUGCUUUAUGAGCUUUGUAUGAAAGAAUCACAUUCCAUAUUAGAGCAAUAAAGUUAGCAGCAAGGACCUGCAACAAGCAACAUAUAAAGGGACUGUAAGCGCCAUUAAAAGAACAGUCCUUUCUGUUGAUGAGUACAAGAUCAACUACUAAGUUUACAAAAUAUCAGAUCUUCUGAAACGAUAAAUUGUAUCAAGAAUGGCACCUAUCAUAGAAAAUUUAAAUAAACCAAAAUGAAAGAAGAAUAAGGAAAAAUAAGAUAUACAUGUCUAUCACCUAGGCUAACCUUAAAAGGAAAUUCAUUCAUCAAGUACAUGCUAGUUUUCAUUUUGCUUAGAAAAUGGACAAGAAUGCUGGUAAUUUAUGUGGUAGACCUUAAUGUAAAGCAUUUUUCAAAAGAUUAACUUUGUUUUGAUUUUAUGUAAAGGAAGUAAUUAAUUUAUCAUGUUUAUAUACAAUUACUUAAUUAUCCAAUGGGCUGUUGUCCAUCUCGCAAAAGCACACAUCAGGUAGAAAAUAAUCCAUCGGAUAAAUUUCAUUUGUCAAAGUAGGAUACAAACUCAUACUUUCUUUAACUAAUUUGAAAUCAAGCAGAACUUUAUGAUCAAACAUGGAAGAUUCACCAAUCAUAUUUGAGCAUCAGUACUUGAAAAUGGAAUUUUGAUUGUUGAAAGAACAUGGAAAGGGCUAUGCUUCAUUCUAUAGUUAUAAGAGGCUGGCUUAUGUCCCUUCAAUAAAUGAUUUUACAUCAUCUUAGGUUCCCAUCGUAAACGAUGCAAAGUUUGAAGCUUUUCAAUCCUCCAAUUACAAGCCAGAGUCUGAUUGGGUGAGGUCAGAAAAUUCUGUUAUUAAAUUAAGAUAUACAACUAAUAUAAUGAAGAAACAAUUAGUAAUUGUUUCCAAUCUAUCACACACUUCAAAGACCUUAUCAUACUAUCAUUCCCUCAAGGAAUUUCAGAAUCUCUUGCAAUUACUCGUGCACUCACAAGCUGUAACUGGCUUAGCAUAGCACUCGAGAAGACUAAGCAGUAUGUCUCUCAGACUAUCACUACAAAGAUUUGACCUCACAAAAUUCAUUUAUCGCUUGCUUUUAGUUAAGCUACUUGCAACAAAUAAUGCUCCCACAGUAUCUAGAUGACAGUAGUUUCCCGACAGGGCCUGCCAAAGACUAUACUGGUUUUUUUUUUUUUAUUUUGUAAAUAAAAGGUGCUAAUAACAACAAAUUCCUAUUCCAUGAGUACUUCAAACACCAACAACAAUAGUGGCCAUGUUCUCGCCAUAUUCUCUCAAAAUCUAAAAUUUUUCUACUUUUCUCUUCAAACCAAUAAGUUUUGAAGUCUUCAUGAUAUUCAUGCAAUGUAUAACUGGAACAAUCAUUCUGUAACAAUGGAAUAACUGUAAACGUCAGGUUUAAGUAUUCUUUCAUAAUACACCAACAUUAGCAGACAAAAUGUUCUCUCGUGAACAGGCACAAAGCAAUCCUAUUUCAGUGAAAGUUAAAUUCAGCAAAUAUUGAGAUAGAUGAUGAACUUUAAACCUGAAAUUGCUGUGGUACAAAUCGGAAGUUAAGGAACUGAAAAGGAAUCCAUAAUUGCCAAUUGGCCACAACCGCAGAGAACCAUUCCUACAAUGUGAGAUAAAGAAUAUAACCAAAACCAGCCAAGGGUUAAGUUCCUCCUAUGCAUGCCAGGAAUCAUGUUAUUAAUGUGACAAGGCAUGGUGAUCCUCAGAAAACCCCAAGAAGAAAAAAGGAAGAUGAUGAAGAUACAAUUACUGAUAAUACCUGCUCAAGCUUAGGAAUUACUUGUGAUGGCCUUCCCUCCAGUGUUACCAAUGUAGAUAAGAAAAAUCCAAUGAAAAUGGGAGAGAAAAGAAACUGCAAUACACAAGCUUUGUGAGACAAAAGAUUGAUGAGGUAAAAGUAUUGCCAUCAAAUGAUAGCUUAAACAUGCCAUCACAUGGAUCCUGCAAAACUCAAUUAAUCACCUGAUCAAGAAAAAGGCGCAAGAAAGCGCCAGAUGAUCCAGGAAUUGUGACCAAUUUGCUCAAGUACAGGUACCUAAUUGUAUCACAUGAGGCAUUAACAAGACAAUUAAGGGAGUAAUAUGAGAGUCACUUUAAAUAACCAACUCAUUUUACUGAAUGUGAUUGAAAUAGUGAACUAAGGAAAUGCCUCAGCAUGUCAUUGACUGAGAAACAAGUUACUUUUUAGUAGCCAAUUAACAAAACCAAAAGAGUAAAUCGGCUAGGGAAACAGAUAUAUGGCAGCACACUACAAUGACCUCUUAUUUCUAUUAGAUUAUCAUGGUCCUAAAUAGAUUUUAGAAAUCCACCAAGCUAUUUCAGUAUAGUUUCAUAGACAUGUUUCCUGUCCAUAGAGCCAUGGUAGACACAGAUACAAGGACUUGACUCUCAAAAAGAGGAAGUAAUUUAGUUUAUUGAGCUGAAUAAAAACUUUAGUCUGGUCAAUGCCAGUUACCCAAGUACAUCUCUUUCCCUUUUUACUACAGAUAUCAUUACCAAAAAUUUCCAGCACUUUCAGAAAGGCAAAAUAGCAGGGCAGCAAUAACAUGCAAGUUCAAACAGAUCUGAGAAUUAUAGUUCAAAACAUUGACACUUUUCAGAUGUGAUUAAAAAGAGAAUCUGAAGGCAAUACCAGAAGUGCAAGGUUGGACCCACCAAAACCAGCCCCAACAAUGUGAACAGAAAUGUCCUCUUCCAGUCUAGUGAAGGUACUUGUUCAAUUACAAGCUGAGGCAUGAAUGCACAAGCAGCACUUUAGCAAAUCAAAAACUGGCCACCAAUUGGCAUAAAAAGAUACACAAUAAUCUGGUUUUAAUGGCUAGAACAAAUUUAAGAAAAUUCACCACCAGAUGCAAUAAUUUUCUAUUUCUUUAUAAAAUAUGGUCAAGAUGAAUCUAUAGCCCAGUCUUGUUUUCAUAGCAUAAGGAAGAAAAUCUUUAUGACAUCCAUGACAAGAUGCGACAAAAUUAUAGACAAAACUUGCCAAAAAAAGUUGGACAUAUGCAGAGCACUAGGACAUACCCCACUGAUAGCUCACAUCCUAUUCAUGCAAGUCCAAAGUGAUGCAUACUUCAACCUUGUGCCUUCAAAAGGAUAUUGUGCACUAGUGCUUUUCAUGCAGAGUGUUGAGACCUUAUUUGAAUGUUCCUUGAACUAAGCUUUUAAUUAAGAGCUUAAAUUUCCUUCCAAGGUCCAAACCUAAGGGAGCUAAUUGUUAUUUGACUACUAAAGCUUGUUUAGAUAAUUCCAUUACUUGUAUGACUAGGAUUGUUCUAUUUCUACUAAAUGGCAAAUCUGAUUUAAGAUAUUAUUUCAGGGGAAAAGUAACAUCAACUGAUCCCAAAAGCAACAAAUACAUUCAUUAAUAAAGGGUACAAAGCACAUUGUACAAGGAGGAUUUUGGCAGCAAGCAUUCAGUUUGGAUCUGGUGUGUGAAACCAUCUCUUCUGAGGAGUGACCCAUGCAUCAAGGUAGGUUUGAUUCCUAAGUUGCCAAAUUUUUCUUCUCACCACAAAGUUUGUAACCCCCUUGAUCCAAAUAUCAAAUUCGCAAUCUUACAACUGUGAAAUAGAAAGGUAGUAUUCACUUUCCAAUUGACUGGGCAACCAUCUCUCACAAUGGAGGUGAUACCUUAAUUUUAUGAGCUACAAUUCCUAAUAAACCCUAGAUUUAACUCCUUGGUUACCCAACUUCUUCUUGCCAAGAGUUCAUAUUUUUGUUGACCCAACACUCUGUCUCUCAUCUUGGUGCUACUAAAGUAUGAAAUUAACUAUUAAUCUCAAGCAGAAUCUCCAGAUCAUAGCUUGAUACAGCCUACACCCAUCAUGCACAUUUCGUCUUUCCAUCAAUAUAACAAAAAUGAUGGCAAGUUUGAUCUUGGUCCAAUUAGCAGCCAAAUGAAAUCACCAGUUUGAUUGUUUGGAGCCUAUCUAAUUCCAAAUAUUGCUUCUGCACUACAUUAACAAUAUAUAAAUAUUGUCUUACUGCUCCUAAAAAGUGCAAGAGUAUCUUCUCACCACAAAGUUUGUAACCCCCUUGAUCCAAAUAUCAAAUUCGCAAUCUUACAACUGUGAAAUAGAAAGGUAGUAUUCACUUUCCAAUUGACUGGGCAACCAUCUCUCACAAUGGAGGUGAUACCUUAAUUUUAUGAGCUACAAUUCCUAAUAAACCCUAGAUUUAACUCCUUGGUUACCCAACUUCUUCUUGCCAAGAGUUCAUAUUUUUGUUGACCCAACACUCUGUCUCUCAUCUUGGUGCUACUAAAGUAUGAAAUUAACUAUUAAUCUCAAGCAGAAUCUCCAGAUCAUAGCUUGAUACAGCCUACACCCAUCAUGCACAUUUCGUCUUUCCAUCAAUAUAACAAAAAUGAUGGCAAGUUUGAUCUUGGUCCAAUUAGCAGCCAAAUGAAAUCACCAGUUUGAUUGUUUGGAGCCUAUCUAAUUCCAAAUAUUGCUUCUGCACUACAUUAACAAUAUAUAAAUAUUGUCUUACUGCUCCUAAAAAGUGCAAGAGUAUCUUCUAUGAAUGGUACUUAUUGCUCAUUACUGUGUUCAUGUCCAAAAGUUAGAGAAAGCUAGAUUUCUCUAGCUCACCAGAUCAUCAACUAAAAGAAAAGUUCCUCUUACAGAAAUUCGACAGCUGGUGGCAAUCACCCAUUGCAUUAGCACAAGAAACUAGAUAUAUACCAGCCCAGCCCCUUCCACCCUGAAUCUCUUGCCAGAACCACCCCCAAAAAAAUCAAGAAAGCAAAGACAGUAUUCAUAUCUCAGAGUACAUCACAGAAAUUAAUUUUGUCAGCUUAAAUGAUUGCAGGAGUAUUUCCUAAUUCUAUAUAACAAGACCCAAAAAAAAGUGACAACAAUAACAAUGCCUACAAUGGGAUAGUUAUCAGUUAUUUCUCCCAUCAAGAAAAACAUUGUAACAUAAUGCCCUGCAAUAGAAGACAUAUAAGUAUAUUCUUUCAUAAACUCAAACAUUAUACAUAGGAGCCCACUUUUCAAGCAGGAAAAGAUUUCUCAAAGCUCUUUCACCAUUCUGAUCAGCAUCUCCUUUUACAGAGCAAUGAUUAUUGUCUUAAUAUUAUCAUAAUUACAUAACCUCAUCUAACAUUAGAAGUUGUCAUUAGGAAGCACCACCUCUCCUUCACCAAAAUUGACCACUUCCAACAUCAACAAAGUAAUAAUGGUCAACACGAAUUUAAAUACAGAGAGUUAGAAACCAUAUUUCUGGAAAUCUCAACUGUUUGUUUCAAGUAGAAACUAUAUAUCAAUACAGGGCAGAUUAAGGAGUUCACCUGGCAGGUUAAAUCUCCAAUGAAAGUCAAAAAUGCAGAUGUCACAGCUUUUGUCCACACAGGAUAUUUUUCAAGAAGUGACAAGUACCUGAUAUAGAGAUUGAAUGCUAGUUAAAAUGGCAAGUCAAGGAUAAUUUUCAAGAACAGAAAAGAUAAGAGAACAAACAUCAACCCAAAACCGUGAAAAGAAAAAAGAAUUUGUAAUUAGACCAGAACAAAUUCAAUUUCACUACAUAUUCGGGGAAUCAGAUGAAUUCCCUUUAAGAAUCACAUCAUUUUUGAUGAUUGAUGCUGCACUUCAGUUACAUAACUCCAGAGAUUGCAUCAAUGUGAAUAUAUUAGCACAUUAUAGAUUGUUACAGUUCCCAUAUAGAUGAUGUUAGCUUGCAGAAAUUUUUUAUGAUUGAUUGAACUUCUAAAAAGAUUGUUGAGAAAAUGCCAGUGCUUGUGCGUAUAAUCAUGGGAGGCACCGCAACCUUUCAGAAAAAAGGGUAAACAUAUACUCAUUAAGUACUCAUUUGCCUUCAAAAUAUGAUGCCCAAAGGUAAAUACUAUCACCCCAGCAAAAUCACAUCAAAUUGUCCAACAACCCCUAGAAUCCAAUUGUUUAACUAUUCUUUUUUUCCGUUGUUUAUAAGCCACAACUGAAUCCAAGAUUGGAUGAGCAAUAAGCAGUGUUAUGAUGCAGCUAACUUGCACUGCAGAGUCAGGAAAGUAAAGCAUAAAACUGGGAUUACUGUGAAAAAGCAGCCAAUUCUCAUAGUCCAACAAUUAUAAGACCUACUAAUAUCUCAAGUUAUCUCCUUUCCACUAAACAUUACCACAUGUAAAUCAUCCGCCAAAACACAAACAGCACAUUUCAUGCUAGUGUUUUGUAUGUCUGAAGCAAAAAUAAAGCAAAACAACGAUACAAAGGGAUUACUAAAAAUUUGAAAUUUAAAAAAAAAAAAAAAAAAGGAGCAACAUUUUAAAGUAAAAAUAAAAAUAAAAAGACUUCACAGUUGCCGUUAAAUAAAAUAGAAAGUAAACAAGAAAACGAAAAAAAAAAAAAAAAAAAACAAAGAAGGAUUCUACCAUAACAGAAACGACCAGUUUUUGCCACUACCACUACCUCCGGCAGCACCACUACCACCGUCACCAGAAUUUCCGCCACCUGAACCACUAUUCCCACUACCUCCCCCGCCAGAGCCACCAUCAGAUACAACAAAGAGGCGAAAAUGAUCAGAACCCAGUUGUCUAAAACCAAUUUUAGAGUGACCCAAUUCUUUAUACACAGGAGUCGAGGUUAAAGAAAUUGAGUGAUAGCAGCUUCUGAAGCUGAAGCCCCUACUCCUUAUAGAAGUGGAGCAAGGUGGAAUUUUGGGGGCACUACUGAAAUGUGAAGUGGGUUUGCGAGAAAACUGUACAUAACGAUACAGCAAGGGAGAUUUGCGAACUAGUUUGGCUGGGCUUGAAGCCAUUGUUGCUUGAGUUUGGAUUGGAGUUUUGCAAAGGCUAAAGGUUUAGAAACUGGAUAGCCGGAGGAAAUCUGUCUAAAUCAAUGUUUUAUGAUUCUUUUUGCCCUUUAUGUCAGUCAGCAAUUUUUACAAUACUCCUACUGGUAAGCUAACCUGUCAACGGGGUACCCAAUUGGGUCAACAAAAUCUAUAGGGACCGAACCACCAGACCACCCAUCUUGGAGAAGCCACGUAUUAGUGGCAAGUGAUGAAAGACGAGUGUGCUAAUUGAAUUAUCCAUUUGAAUUUGGAGAAAUCAUGUAUUAAUGACUAGUGAUGGGAGGCAAAAGACACUAUCCAAAGAAGGUCCAAUUGAGUCACCAGUUUGAAUUUAGAGAUCUAAGGAAGGCUCAAUUGGGUUACUCAUUUGGAUUUGGAGAAAUUACGCAUCGAUUGGAUCACCCGUUUGGAUUUGGAGAAAUUACAUAUUAGUGACAAGUGACGGAAGGUAACAGAUGCACCACAUACGUGCAUUGAAUUUGAAGAAACCACAUAUUAAUGGCUAGUAAUGGAAGGCAAGAGGUGCCACCCAAAAAGAGGGUCCAAUUGAGUCACCUGUUGUAAUUUGAAAAUCUAAGGAAGACCCAAUUGGAUUACUCAUUUGGAUUUGGAGAAAUUACGCACCGGUUGGGUCACCCAUUUGGAUUUGAAAAAAUUACAUAUUAGUGACAAGUGAUGGAAGGUAACAGAUGCACCACAUACGUGCAUUGAAUUUGAAGAAACUACAUAUUAAUGGCUAGUAAUGGAAGGCAAGAGGUGCCACCCAAAGAGGGUCCAAUUAAGUCACCUGCUGUAAUUUGAAAAUCUAAGGAAGGCCCAAUUGGAUUACUCAUUUGGAUUUGGAGAAAUUACGCACCGGUUGGGUCACCCGCUUGGAUUUGGAGAAAUUACAUAUUAGUAACAGAUGCACCACAUACGUGCAUUGAAUUUGAAGAAACCGCAUAUUAAUGGCUAGUAAUGGAAGGCAAGAGGUGCUACCCAAAGAAGGUCCAAUUGAGUCACCUGUUGUAAUUUGAAAAUCUAAGGAAGGCCCAAUUGGAUUACUCAUUUGGAUUUGGAGAAAUUACACACCCAUUGGGUCACCUGUUUGGAUUUGGAGGAAUUACAUAUUAGUGGCAAGUGAUGGAAGGUAACGGAUGCACUAUACACAUACACUACACACUCAUUUGGAUUUGAAGAAAUCACACAUUAGUGAAAUUGAUAAGUGAUGAAAAUCAAGGGUCGAACCCUUGGCCUCAUUAUGCCUAUGUAAUAAUGAGUGAUUAGUGAUGAGUGAUAAGUGAUACGGGAUCGGUUAUUUCACUAGAGCUUGUGAUUACUUUCUACAGGUGGUAAGUUGAUUUUGCAACAGCAUGUACUCUCGUCUAUGCCUAUCUAUUUAGUACAAGUUUUGCAUCCUCCCAGAGCUAUUCUUCAAAAUUUGGGGAGAAUUUGUAAUGCUUUUAUUUGGGACAAAUUUGGUGGAGUUAGGAGUAUUCGAUGGGCAUCUUGGGACAAAUGUUGUUAUCCAAUUGAUGAAGGAGGUUUAGGAUUUUGGUCAUUUGCGGAUAUGUAAGGCUUUUGUUUGUAAACUUUGGCGGAGGUUACUGAAAAAGAACUCAUUAUGGGUAGAUUUUGUGCACUCUAAAUACAUAAAAUGAGUGCAUCCAAUGUUAGCUCAAGUUCAUGGACCCCACCUGUAUCUUGGCGGCAGCUGGAGAGUGUUAGAGAAGUAUCUAAGAGUAAAUUAGGUAGUGUCUAGGCAAGGGGUUUGUCGAUUUUUUGUUUGAUCGUUGGCUGCUGGAUCGGCGUCUUGCUGAGGUUGUUGCUCUUGUUGAUCCUCUGCAAAUGUUGCUAGCUGAGUUUUACGAUGAGGGAUGGAAUCGGGACUUGUUGAAGUGCUGGUUGCUGAUUCACUUGGUUCAUCAAGUUCAACAAAUUCAUUUGUUCCUUGAUCAAGUGGAUUAUACGGUUUGGUUGGAGUCUUCGACAGGUGAAUUUUUUGUCAAAUCGGCUUGGGAAACUAUUCACCAAAAACGGAACAAAUUGGUGGUAGAUAAGUUUAUUUGGAAUGAUAUUGUACCCUUGAAAACAUCUUUUUUCGUUUGGAAGGUUUUGAGGAAUGUUAUCCCACUGGAUUCAGUUUUGUAGUGUCAGGGAAUUUUGUUGGCUUCUCGUUGCUCAUGUUGCUUGGCUUAGGAGGAAUCUUUGGCACAUCUUUCUCUUGCUUGGUCCUGUUGCAUUACAUGUCUGGACUUAUUUCAAAAGAAGAUUUGGUAUUCUAUCUUAAAGUUCCUUGUUGGUUUUUGCAAUGUGCUUGUCAUGGUUCCAUUCGACUUCAUUUGUGUCGCAGGACCAUAUUAGAGCGGUGAUUCCUUGCCUAAUUUCGUGGUUCCUAUGGAAAGCUCACGGUAAAGCAAAAUUUGAGGGGGCUGCUUGUGAUGCUAAAGGUGUAAUUGCCAUGGUGGAAAGGUUUGUUGAGCAACUAGGGAGAGUGAAGGUUUUUACUAUGGCUCACUUCCAAGGAGAUUUUGGUGAUUCGUCGAAGAAACUUGCUACUUGUUCUACUCAAGUGGGCAAAUACUUGGCAGUUUCUUGGAGGAGGCAAAAUUAAUACUAAAUUUAUAAAAUUUAACCUAAUAAUACACAUAUUUACUACACAAAUGCACACUAAAUAUCUCAAUUUGUCAAAUGCAGCUGCUAAAAUUGGUGGGUUUUGAAUUGAUUUCAAACCCUAGCUCGAAGGUUGGCCACUACAACCUACUCAUUUUUGAGCUCGCAAUCUCCAAGUCUAGGAGAAGGAAGAAGGAAGAUUAGCUAAAGCUAAAGCUCGAAAUGUCGUGCCGCCUUGUGAUAGUUUUGUGAUUUGUGAGAGUUGAGAGAGCAAGCUUUCGUUUUUUGGUUUUCAUCUUUUCAUAGUAUUUCUCAAGCAGAAAUUACUUAUUCACCCUUCAUUGAUAUUAUAACAUAAACUAGUUAAACUUGUAAAUAUUGUAACUACAAACCCAAAAGAGUAAAUUAAUGAUCAAAAAAUAUAUUAAGUUAAUGUCUACCGAGCUCGAGUUACUCGUCGAGCUUACAAUUUUGUCUACUACCUACUCGAGCUUGACUCGUUAACUCAAGCGGGCAACUCGAACUCAAUUUGAGCUCGAGUCGAGUAGCUAACCGAGCUACUCAAGAGCUCGAUUCAAGCUAUUUCUCUACAUUCCUAGUUGUCACUAAAUGGAGGCAUUAUUUGGUUGGUUACCAUUUCAUAAUCAAAAUAGAUCACCAAUCACUAAAAUACUUGCUGGAUCAAAAACAAACUAUUGCACUUUAGCAUAAAUGGUUAACCAAGCUCUUAGGCCUAGAUUACGAAAUCUAGUAUAAAAAGGAGGUAGAAAACAAAGUGGUAGGUGCAUUAUCAAGACAUUAAGACAGUGAAGUUGAACAAUCACUACACCAAGGAUCUUGUCUGUCCAUUUUUACUGUCAAGCCAGUAUGGAUGAAAAAGCUUCAAGAUAGCUAUGAUUCAGAUGAACACUGCCACAAUAUUAUUUCUCAAAUACUACUAGAUCCUACAACUCAACCAUUAUAUGCAUAGACUGAUGGCAUUUUAAGGCACAAUGGCAAGAUUUAUGUGGGGUUAGCAAAUGGAGUAAGGAAUAAGUUGAUCACGGCUUUGCAUUCAUCUGUAGUUGGUGGACACUCAGGACAAAGGGGAUGCUGGCAGAGGAUAAAAUCCUUGUUCUACUGUCAAACUCUCAAAAGGAUGUGAUAAACUUUGUGCAAACUUGUGAUACUUCUCAAAAAUAUAAACAUGAACAUGUUCCUCAUCCAGGGCUUCUACAUCCACUACCAAUACAAAAAUGGUUUGGACACAUUUAACUAUGGACAUAAUAGAAAGCUUGCCCACAUCUCAAGGUUAUGACACAAUAAUGGUAGUGGUGUAUCGCUUAACCAAAUUUGGACACUUUAUACUACUCACUCAUCCUUUCACAGCCAAGCAAGUGGCUUAGCUCUUUUUGGAUCACAUGUUUAAAUUACAUGGUAUGCCUAAAUCAAUAGUAUCUGAUAAAGAUAAAAUAUUUCUAAGUUGUUUUUGGAAAGAGUUGUUUAAGCUAUUUGGAGCUGAAAUACACUAUAGUUCAUCGUCCCAUCCUCAAUCUGAUGGCCAAAGUGAAAAUUCAAUCAAUAUGUGGAGUCCUACUUGAGGUGCAUGACUGGAGAGUUUCCUACCCAAUAGAGUAAAUGGAUUCCUUUAGUUGAGUGGUGGUACAAUUCCUCAUACCGUUCCAAUUUGAAGUUAACACCCUUUAACCUAUAGCUUACCUCUAGGGCCUCAUUUAGACUUUAGAUUAUAAAUUAUUUGAGAUAAUUUUGUGAAAAAGUACUGUAGCACUUUUUUGAUAUGAUGUAUGUGAGACCAAAAGAUGAUUGGAAAAUACGUUGAUGAUGCAAGCAAAUCAAUGUAUGUAAAUAAAGUGAAAUUGAAGACAAUCCAAACGACCCAUACUAGCAGCUUCUCAAUUGUUACAAGAGAGAGUGAGAAUUUCCAAUAGCACUAAGAAACAUCUUGCUUAGGUGAUAGGAGUCGAGCCUGUGCAAUAAUAAUUACCUACUCAAGAGAAAUACAGAUUUUGUAUACAGCGGUGAGUAGGGUCGAAUCCACAGGGACUGGGGAUAAUUCGUUUCUUCUAGAGUUCAAAGUAUGGGGGGUUUUAGGAUUAAAUGCUAAUGAACUGCUAACUAAAUAAAUUAAAUGUGCAAAAUGAUUAAUUGGGAGAAAUAAUUAGGAGAACUCUAACCAAGGGUACAUUUCAGAAAUGGUUCAUGCACUGAUCAUCGAUUCACAGAUAAUUCCAAUAUUUAUUAAUAUACUAGUUAUAGUUGUCAUGCACGCGAUAAACAACCAACCUUUCCUUAAUUUCUCGAUAGUUAAGGUACGACCGUUAACUAUUUCUCUAACUCGGAAACAACCCUAGGUACGACCGUAGGAUUUAAUUUCUGGUUUGCAUUAAUAAUUAGAAAGGCCUAACCCUAACCAACAAACACGCUACGAGGGUUUGUUUAAGCUAGAUCGUAUGUUCCCCUGACAUAAACCCAAUUACGCCAGUUGCUACUUAGAUAGAGAUAACGAACAAUUACGUAUUCAAUUACCCCUAAUUAGCACAAUAGCCUACGUGAAUAAUUAAAUAUUGCGCAUCUAUUCAAUCAUACACGAUAACUAUAACGACAAUUAAAAGCAGAAAACAUACAAAUACCAAUAAAUGGAUGAAGCAGUUAAAAUAGUUUAGAUCUCACAGUAAUUGUUGAACCAAAUCUUCAGUUCACCUUGACAAGAAUUAGGAGGUUAGUCCUCCAUUAAUGGAGAACAGCCAUGCGAAAAAGCUGUUCAAAGCCUUCAAUUGUUGUCUUCCCCAAAUUCCGUCCAAGGAAGAAAAGUAAAAGACGAAAAAAUAAAAACCUAAGCAAUUGUCCCCUCUAAAAUCGGCCAAAGGAGACCAAAGUAAAGAUCAAGUCCUAUUGCUUCCCUUGCGGCCAAAACUCAUCAAAUUUUCCCGCGAGAUUGUUGCUGGCCAAACUCCUAAUUACGCGGGAAUCCGGCUUUUUCUCCUCUCGUUUGCUUUGUUUCCUCUCCAAAGUCGGCCCUUUCCUUGUUUUUUUGGCUGAAGUCCUCAUCAAACGGGAAUCUAGCUUCCCUUAUUAUUUUGGUUUCCUAAUUGAAGUCUAUUAGCAAAUAAAACUAAUCUCCUAAAUAGGAAAAGAAACCAUAAAAGAAAAUAUUCCAAGUUUUCUAAUCCACUAUUAAAACUAAUAAUAGAGAUUAAAAUCUUCAAAAUCUUCCUUCAAAUAUUGCUUUGAAUUCAACUCGGACUUGGAAACCAACCCCAAACGUGCCACCAUCAAAUUAAUCGGAAGAUUGCCCCUUUUUGUCACGUUUUGCUCUUUUUCCUACAAUUUAGCACCAUUAACCAAAUAUAAGUAGAAUCCAUCAAUUAACUCAAUAUUUGGCUGAAAUCAAGGGAAGAAUAAUUAUAGAUUUAGCGACAAAUAAUGACCUAUCAUAAGGCACAAUAGAGGAUAAAGUUUUUUUUUAUCAACAGUGUACAAAAAGAUCUUUUGAAGUAGGAGAUUGGAUCUUCUUGAAAUUGCAACCAUAUAGAUAACAAACUGUGUCUAUUAGGUAAUGCCUUAAGCUCUCUGCUGGAUUCUAUGGACUUUCUAGAUUAAAGCAAAAAUUGGACCAGUGGCAUAUCCAUUGAAAUUACUAGAAGGAACAAGAAUCCAUCCAGUCUUCCAUAUCUCUUUACUUGAGAAGAAACUAGGACCAUUGCAACAAGUGUCUUCUUCAUUGCCAAAAUUUCACGAUGAUGAUCAAUGUCAUUUUAGCCAAAAGCUAUUCUCAAAAAAAGAGUAAUCAUAAGCAAUGGGCAAACAGUCAUCCAGUAGCUAAUCAAAUGGACAAGUGUGGGUUAUGAAGAAGCCUUGUGGGAAGAUAAGGUGUUCAUUUAGGCUUAGGGUACAUUUGAUAAAACUAAAUUUUGAAAAUUGAAAUCCAAAUCCAUUAAGUUAUUGAAUCGUUAAGUAUUAAACCUAAUACAUUUGAGUGCAUGUCACAUUCAGUAAUAAAUGAAUAGUUUAUCACUUAAUUUUGGGAGCAAGUUUUGUCUAGAAAAUUCAGUGCCACUUAAUUAAUUAAAAUGUUUAAUUUUUUAUUAUCAAAUGGUCUGAAUAUGUUCAGAUAUGAUUCUAUCAAAUUUAAUUAUUGAAUUGGGUUAUCAAACAGGAACUUGUUUCCUUAGUUUGAGUCUUGAGGACUGUUCUUUUGGGAGAGGCAAUGUCAAGAAAGGGAAUAGUAUUAAGGGUCUGUUUAGUAGGAUGUAAAAUGUUUUCCUUUUGAAAAUGUCUUUUGUGGAAAACCUUUUCCAGGAAAAUAAUUGAUUUCUCCAAUAUUUUCCUGUGUUUGGCUAAUUCUUUUGGAAAAUAAUUACCCUUCUAUUUCACAAUAUCUAUACACAUCGCUUCCAAAAAAAGAAAUCAAACCUCAACCACCAUAACAAAUUUUAAUUGGCCUUGCAACUUGGAAGACAAUCAUCUACAAUCAAGAUACCCGAAAAUUAAAUAAUCCCAAUUGAAUUUAUCAUCAAAUUUCUUGGUGAUUUAUUCUAGCUUAAUUUAUGAAUAUUCCACAAUAUCCCUUCUCGAUCUUCAUAGGUUUGUGCAACCUAUUUGUAAGAGAGUGAAUGAAGAAGGACAGUGCGAAUAAGGGGGAGGGGGAGAGGAAGUGGAAAAUAUGAGCAGGAGAUGGGGAUGGUGAAGGUAGUACCUAUGGAGCUGGGAAAGUAGCAAAGAAAAUUACGCAGGAGGUAGGGGUGGGCAAAUUUAUCUACAAAUCUGAAAACCCGUCAUAUUCGAUUCGAAAAUUAGAAUACCCAUUUUGUAUUAUUUGAUUGGAUCAAAAGAGAAUCAAGCACCUGCUAAUAUGCGGGGCGGGUUAGGGUUACAUAAUUAAAAAUCCGUGGGUACCCGACCUGCCCUGUAUAUAUAUAUAUAUAUAUAUAUAUAUAUGUAUUUUAUUUUUAUUUUUAUACACAUACUAUAAAAUAAUAUUUUUAGAGCUACAUAAGUAAUUUCAUUAAAUAAAUAGCAUUACAAGUAUGAGAGACUAUAGUUUAUUAACAAAAUUGAUUUGUAGUGGUCAUGAUCUUGUAUUUUAUAGAAAAGAAUUUAAUUAUUUAAAAAAAAGUACUACUUAUUUCAAACUUUUAUUGAUUUUGAAUUCUUUUAAUUUUUCCCUUUUUCUUGUAUUCUCUUUGCAUGCUUUUUUUGGUGAGAGACUUUUUUUGAGAAAAAAAUCUUUAUUAAAUUUUAGAUGAAUGUGUAAAAUAUAAAAUUAAAUUAGUAUAAAUUAUUUUUUUUAAAAAUUAAAUGAUAAGUGGAGCGAGGCGAGUACCCAUUGACCCAACCCUGUCUCAGCAGGUACCCUAUAACUGGGUACCCACUGAUAUAUAGAAUGAGUAAGGGUUAGAAAAUAACUGACCCAUAAGAUGCGGAUUGAAUCAGUAAAAUGAUGGACGAGACGGAUACCCGACCCGCGCCCAUCCCUAGCUGGAGGGAAUGAGAAAGAGAGAGGGAAGAGAGACGUGGUGUUGGGUAUGGUGAAACCACGGCUGCAGUAGUCUUCUUUGUCAGCGAGAUCGAGUUUGUAGAAUUAGACUCUAUGGUUUCAAAGAGCUUGUUGAUUGUUGAAGAAAGAGGGAGUUUUGAGAGGGAGACGAGUAGAUUGGUUCGAAAAUGAAAAAUGAAAAUAACUUCUGUAUCUUUGAUAUGGAACUCGUUUUACAUCAUAAAGGGAAAAAUCAUUUACGAGGUAAAAUUUUUUCCCAAACUCAAGUUUUGCCAAAUACCGGAAAAUGAUGAAAAUAUUUAUCGGGAAAAUAUUUUCAGUCCAAUCAAACACCCCCUAAAACGAUGCAAUUUUGUAAUCAAAAGGAUCUAUUAGUGGAACGAUGUCAUUUGAUUCUAAAUAAAAUUAUUUGAGUUUGUUUGCAGUUAGUUGUAAACCAACCUAUAAGAAUGAUUGUGAUUGGUUGGAAAAGUACCUUUUGCAGUAAUAGAAUUCAAUUUCCUCUCAAUCUCACUUUCCUCUUUCCUCACUCCUUUAUCUCUUUCCUUACUCAUUCCUUCUCUUAAAGACAUCAAUUAUCAUAUUUUAAAACUAAACAACAUUAAAUAUAAUGAAAAGAGCUGUAAAACCUUUCAACGUUAUUCCCCAUGGGUACAUUGAAACAACAUUUAAAUUAAGUUACAUUUAUUACCAAAUGUUGUUGCGUUUCAAAUCAUCUAGUGAAGGAUUGGUCUUUGAAGAAAGGUAGAAACCAUCUUCCUUGACUAGCCAGUAGUAUUUUACCACCUUGUUUGUUGUUGCAACAUAGUAUCGUUGAAUACAUCAAAUAUCGCAUACUUUUUUUCCCAAUGAAAGUGACAAAAAAAUAGUGUCACCCCUAGAAAUGCCCAUUGAAAUUCGUUGUUCAUAUAAAGGGUGUGACAUCUAAGAUUGUCAUCUCGAGAUUGACAACGAACAACUAGGGGGUCAGAAUUAUCUGAAAGGCCAUGUGCGAGGACAAAGGACAACAAGAUAACAAGCAAGGGCAAAAUGAUUUUCGUCAUGAUGUGAUUCAUAAUGAUGAAGUGCUUUGUGAAUUAGUAGUCUCCUUAUUUAUAGAGAAUUAAAUGAUAACUUAACAAAUAUGAAGAUUACAUAUUAUUGGAUAUGGAUUCCUAUCAAAGUUUUUUAGAUAUAAAUCUAAUAUUAUACUAGAGAUUAACACAUUCCUUAAAUGCGACUGCACAUUGCUUGUUUUUUUUGGGGCAAAUCUCAUAAGUAGGCAGGGGAUUGUUAUGGCCGUGAGAUUAAUCUAAGCUUUCACUCAACAGCUAUCAUGACUGAUCAGCAGAGAAGUUAGCAACAGAAAUGAGAUCACAUGGAGAGGACCACGAGAAAAGCAUUGUUAUAACAGAAUAAAGUCGGUUGAAACAGAAGAAAGUUAGUUAGUUAGGCAGUUAGUUUGUUAACAAAUUGUUUCUUGGGCUUGAAGCUAGUAAUUGUAUAAAUAAACACCUGCAAUGUAUGAAAGGAUCAUCGUGGAAUUCAGUUGUAAUCUUCCUACUUCUUAAUAACAUCUCAGAUUCUCUCCUUCUCACCCUCCUUUGUCUCUUCUAUUCUUACUCUCAUUUCUCCUCCUUCUACCCCUACUUCUGAUCAUUUCAAUCCAUUUCAGUUGAUCAUUUCAAUCUAUUUCAGUGGUAUCAGACCUUGCGAUCCUUGGAUAGCAAGCUUCAAAUUACGGACAGCAUGGCCGAAGGUACUCAAAUGAAGAACUUCGAAGAACAACUAAGGAAACAAGAUGCCAGAAUUCAAGCUGUUCUUGAUUCCAUGGUUGCAGACAAGCAAGUUAUGGAAGAAAAAUUGGAAACUAAUCAUAGAGAGAUGUAGACUUUAAUGGAGACCAAUAACAUAGAGUUGAAAACUUUUGUGAGUAAUCAAAUCAGCUCAUUUUUGAGGAGUUUGCAUGGCGACAGGGGAAUUUUGGGUAAUCCUAAUGGUUCUGCAGAACGAACUCUUAAUAACCGUAAUUCUAGAAUUCAAAGUGCUAGACACGGUAAAUUAGGCAAUUCCUCCAAAGGAGAGGGUCAUCACUGGCCCAUGGGGAUCCCCAGGCUAGACUUUCCCAGCUUGGAUGGACGCAAUCCCAAGGAAUAGGUCAGAAAAUGUGAGAAGUUCUUCCACUUGUUUCGCACUCUAGAAGAGCAAAAGAUGGACUUGGUGGAAUUGUACCUGGAAGGCAAAGCAGAUCUCUGGUAUCAAAAUUUUAAAAAGGAUAGAGGAGUUGUUCAGUGGAAGGAUUUCUAUUCAGAAUUAUGUAAGAGGUUCAGUACUGUGGGGGAAGAAGAUGCAGUAAAAGAGUUCAACAAGCUAAGCUAAUCCUCCACUGUUUUGGCAUACCAGGAGAAGUUUGAAGAGUUGAGAUCAAAAGUAAUGAUCCAGAUGCCAGAGCUGACUGAGUCUUACUACAUUUCUAGUUUCCUAAGUGGACUGAAAGGGGAAAUCAAAUUUGCUGUGAAGAUGCAUAGACCUGAUAGUUUGCAGGCUGCCUUUGAGAUGGCAAUGUGGUAGGAACAUCACUUAGAACUUGUCCACAAAUUUAGUAAAACUAUACUCAAGGGUGCCUUACAUUCAACUUCUUAUGGACCAGCCAAGGGUAUGCAUGGAGUUCAGGAUCCAGGAGCAAAAUAGGCUGAUGCACUUUCAACAGAUUACAGCAAGAAGUCCAAUUCGCAACAAGUUUUCAAGAAGAUAUCCCCUACUGAAUUUCAGUACAGAAAGGAUCACAACUUAUGCUUUAGGUGUGGAGAAAAAUUUAGUCCCGACCAUAGUUGUAAAAACAAGGGGAUUCACAUGAUGUUAGUAAAAGAUGCAGAGGGAAAGGAAGCAAGCCAAUCAGAAAAAGAGGAGGAAGUCAUUGAAUACAUGGGAAAUAGUAAAGAGCAUGAUGUAAUGUUGACUUUGCAUGCAAUGUCAGGGGGAUUAUCAUCAAGCACCAUCAAAAUGCAGGGGCAAUAUAAGAAUCAUCAGUUGAAAAUCCUUUUGGAUGGAGGGAGUACUAAUUGUUUUGUCAGACGAUCUGUGGCUCUGUUGUAUCCAGAUACUGUGCAGAAACAUAGGCCUUUUAAGGUCAAGAUAGCUAAUGGAAAAGAGUUGCAAUGUGACCAAUGGAUCCUAGGGAUGCAGUGGGAUAUGUAGGGCCACAAGUUUACACAUGAUGUGUUUGUCUUGGACCUAGAACCUUAUGACAUGAUCCUUGGGGUGGAUUGGAUGAAAUCCUAUAGCCCUAUAACCUUUGAUUUCAAAAAACUGAAUCUGUCAUUUGAGAAUGAGGGUGAGCAUGUGGUGUUGAGGGGGGGGGUUCCCACAGUGCCAAUGUGAAGAUGCAGCAAGGCUCAACAGCCCACAAAUAUGUCAGACACAAGAUUAGGAGGGCUCUGCAACAGUCAUGUAUGGUGAAGGUUCACAACUCACAGGUAAUUUCUAAACCAGAUACUCUCACUAAGUUAUUACCCAAAUAUGAAGAUGUCUUUGUAGAAGCAAAAUCAUUUCCCCCAAACAGAUGCCAUGAUCACCAAAUCCCUCUUAAACCAGAUGCCAAACCUUUCAAAAUUGCCCCAUACAGAUACCCCCAUUUGCGGAAAAACGAAAUUGAUAGGCAGGUGAAGGAUAUGCUAACCUCUGGCCUUGUACAAAUCAGCAAUAGUCCCUUUGCAUCCCCAGUUCUAUUAGUUAAAAAGAAAGAUGGGAGCUAAAGGCUUUAUAUUGACUAUAGAUAGCUGAACAACCUUACCAUAAAAGAUGUGAGAACCCUCACUUAAAAAUAUGAAUUCUUCCAAAAAUUACUUGCAUUACCCUAAGACUAAAUCCCUUAUAACAAUUCCAUGCAUUGCAUAUUAUUGCUUUUACUUGAAUUGUAACAUUUCCUUGAGUUGGCUUUAUUUUAUUUUAUCACAUACUUUAUGUCCAAAUAUUCUUUUAUUGUGGUUGGGAUUUUAUAUGAUAGUUUAGAGGUGUUAAAUAGACAUUGAAAUAUUUGGAGUGUAGAAACUUCAUUAGUCAAAAAUUAAAGGAAGAAAGGGACAAGAUUAGGCCAUGUGGCCAAACCUUAGCCAUUCAACCUUAUUUGACUAAAGGAUUAGAGGAUUUUAAAACUAACUUGGCUUCAUUAUUUCUUCUUAUGGCCGAACCUCCUUAAGCUUCCAAGGGAAGGAAAAAAACUCCAUCUUCUUGCUUGUAAUACCCUAGUUCGAUCUUGAGCAAAAAUCAUAAGAAAAGGAACUUGAGUUAGUGAGUGAACCACCUUCAACCCUAGAGUGUGUUUCAAGCCUAGAGCUUUGGUUUUGGUGGUUUGUUUUGGUGCUUCAAACUUCACAUAAGAGAGGUAUGUUGUGACAGCCCCACCUCCCCUUAGAGCGUACCCCAGGGUUCGACGAACCGCAUGCCCAACUCUCGUCGGGACUCAAGCAUAUACCUCAAGUAAAAAAUAAGACCAGAAGAACAAGUAUAACAAUAAUUCCAAAUUUAAAACAUAUACUUAUAUACAUUUCUAUCUCAAAAGGAAUACAACUUAAAUAUACAAAGGUUCUCAAUUCUUCAUAAAUCCAACCCUUGCCAAACGUUAGGGCGAGAACGAUUACAAAAAUUCAAAAGAACUAGACUAGGAUAGUCUAUACAGAUCUCUCGUCCUUGCGCGCAUCCCCUGUUAAGAAAAACAAAACUAACGGAAUGAGCUAAAAACUCAUUGAGGUUCCAAACACAUAAUAAAAAAAUUAUGUCCAAAGCAUGAAUCAUAGAUAACAAAUAAUCCAAGACACAUUUACAAGAUAGAAGCACUAAUAACACAUUCAUUAAAAGGAUACAUGCUCACGUGGAGCCUGUCGUUCUUUCCUUCUCCUUUCAUUUUCUUAUUCCUCCAAUAUUUAAAAUUUCAUUUGUAAUUGAAAACCUCCUUUCGUUCAUUCAUUUCAUUUCUCUCCUUUCUGGACAUUGGCCAGACUCCACCCGACAACGUGGUAAUACUCGAGUAUACCAAACUUUCACCCAGAGUCACCAAAUCGCUCGACUGAGUCCGCUUCUGGCUCGAAUCGACCGGCAAUGAAGGGCAAGGGUCCAGUUCAACCAAAAGGCUUACAUUCAUGCACAACUAACAUUUAAUCACUUAAACAUUGAAAAUUUCACAUUUCAUUUAGGUCGAGUGUGAUAAAGUACACAUUCGCCUAGCAAAAUUCAUUUUUAACAAACAUUUAUUAUUUAAUCAAAUAUCCACAACAAAUCAUAUAGUUAAUGGAAACAUAACAAACAGAGAACACUUAUUUAUUUAAGCAAAAUAAUGCCCAAAGUAUCCUUCCGGAUAAUACCCUCAAUCACCAAGAAAUCCUAAGAGUAACCAAGAAAACAUAUUAUGGUUCUACCAUCAAAGAUUUAGGUGAACCAAAGAAAAUCCGAAAAACUAGUAGUACAAAUUAUAAGUAUAGUUUUGGAAGUGAAAAGAGUACAUUUAAACCAAAGAACAUGAGUAACAUAUUUGUAAAACUUAUGCUCACUCGUAAAAUUUUGAAAUCUCCAUUUGAGUCGAAGAAAUGAAAAAAACGUAUUUCUAUUAGUCGUAAAUUUCAUUUUUUCAAGGGUACAAGUUUCGGCCAGAUUCUAACUUAUAUACCUCUAAUAAAGAAGAUUUGAAUACCUUAGAUGAUUCAAAUUAGUUUCAUCCUUAACCCUUACUCAAGUUGCGAGUACAUCUACCUGACUCUUGAGUGCAAAUUUGGGCAGCACGCCCUUUGUAUUUACCUAUUUUCCAGUCAUUUAUGGAUUCAUCCUUUUUCUCAAUCAGUCCCAAAGUCACACAUAGAUAAUCUCAUUACAAUAACCGUUCAAUAGCCUUAAUGUCAUACAAUUACAAAACCAAGCUAGUAAAGUGACCGGAAAUAAGGUUUAAGCAAAAUGACAGGUUUGACGUCUCUUAGCGUAUCGGUCAAAAUCGAAGCUACACUUAUAGGAUUGGGUACAAUUUAUACCGUUUUGAAACUAAGACAAGGGGUUACAACUUUCAUGAAGACAACUCAAGCCGUUUCACAGUUUAUCCAGGUCGAAUUUAUAGAUUACAGAACCAGAAUUUCACCAUCAGGCUGGUUAACAGCAUUAUAUUCAAAUGACAAUAACUCAGGCUACAAAAGUCUGAUUGAGACGUUUUUAGGUGCGUUGGAAAGCUAAAACAUAACACUACAACUUUCAUGUUUUGGCCAAAUACUAAUUUAGUACGGAUCAGGGUGAAAAAAUGCGACCAGAAUGAUGAAAUGUCAAAACUGUCUACAGAGCUCUACGUAUAGUAGUCAAGGGUAUUUUUGUCUUUUCAAGUGCUACAGUGCUCGUAUUGAACUAAAAUUUUACAGACAACUAUAAAACAUCAUUUUCUACAACUUUCAUGUUUUAAACUAAACCCAAUUCAUCCUCUAUCAUGGCCGAAUGGAACUGGUCAGAACAGGGCAGAAAAUUCUCUAAGAAAACUGAAAAUUCCUCAAUCAUUACUUCAAAUCACAAUAUUUCUCAUAAAACUACAUAUUUCUCAUUUCCAAAUAACUAAUAUGCAAUUACUAGAAGAAAAGAAGGAUUUUCUUGACAAUAUACCUUAUGACCACAAGGAAAAAUGGUAGCUUAGACCUUCCUCCUCCAAAAUAACUCCACCAAAGCCUUUAAGCUUCCUUAGUGAUUACUUGUAUGGAGUAGUUUGUGAUUUGGUUUGUUAAAACUCAAGAUUGAAGCUAGCAAGUGAAUUAAAAAUGAAGUUUUUUCUCUCUUAUUUUGCUCCUCAAACAGCCGGCCAAGACCAAGAAAAAUGGGAGAAAAUUUGGGUCAAAAUUGGUUUUAGUAAAGGUGAGAAGGUCUUGGUCAAAUCCAACCUCCAACCGAUUUGCGACACGUGGCAUCUUAGAUGUUUUAAACUUAUCUCUUCAUUUCCAAUGGUUAAUCAAUCUAACUAACCUCUAAUCAUCUCCUAGCACCAUAUAAAAUAAUAACAUUUAGUACAAAAAUCACUUAGUCACAAAAAAUUUAUCGCACUAGCGGGUCCCACGUCUAUAAUGCACUUCAAAUUUAACGUACACUAACUUAUACUAGGAAAAUGAUUUAAAAUUGUACUUACUUAUCAAAAUGCAUAGAAAAUUUAAUAUUUUAAAGAACAGUAUAAAAAUGUAAGCAAGGAAAUAAAAUAAUGCGUAAAAAAUGUGAAAUUUUUCGGGUUCUCACAUAUGUGAAUCUUAAAUCCUAGCUUUCUUGCACUAUAUCAAGUAUUUGAAGUUUUGAUGGCAAACUAGAAGUCAAAUGGAUAUUGGUUGUGGUUAAAAUUCUUGAACUAAACAAGUGGUAGUAGGGUUGGUUGUUUUGCAUACCAUGUGUUUGAUGAAUUGCUUGAGCUUUGUUCAUAGUUUUCCUUCAUAUAUUUACAUGUUUUGGACCCUUUUUGAGUUAAAGAUAACACUUGGUAUGAUGUUUAAGUUAAUUACAAUAAAAGGAUGAAAGUUGGUGAGAUAAGUGAACUAGUGGACUAUUUUUCUUCCCCUUGGCUGGCCGGUUUGGUAAAAGAGGUUUCUCCUUGAUUUUGUAGUUCAUUUGCACCUUAAUUAAGCCUAAGAAACUUGGCUAAACAUUGGUUUAAAGUUUGGUAUGAGUUAAAAUGGAAAUAAAGCAAGAAAAGUGGUUGUUUUAAGCAAGUAGUGGACUGUUUUGAUUCCUUUGGUUGACUAGAUAGUUUUGGCUCUUUUAAUCAAUUAUGUGUGCUGCAUUUUGAGCUCCGAUGGUACUAGUUAACUUGCUCGCCUAUAUUUGAUCUCUAGGAGGUUGAUUUGGAUGAAUUUUGAACCAAAACAAGUGAAGUUAGCAACAAGAACUAGUGUAAUUUUGCUAGGGUUUUAGGGCUUUUCAAGAUUGGAAAAUCAGCCGACUUCCCUGGAUCACUGGUACUGAUAGGAGAUGAACUAGAGUGUACAUUUGAUACCGUUGGAAAGCCCUUCGAGUCUAGUUUCCAAUGCCGUUAACGGCACCUGAUUCCUUCCUACAGUGAGAUAUGGCCGUUUUCCCGAGACUGCGCGGGCACGACUGUUUUACCCUCGAAGAAGACUUUGAACUUGAAUGAAAAUUUUCUUUUGCCCAAUUUUUUUGCACUUGUCAAACUUGUUUUCUUGUGACCUUUUAUUGCAUUUUGGGCCUAACUUGCAUGGUGAAUUGAGUAGAUUUAACCACUCACUUGAUCACCUAAUGAGCUCACAUUUGGAUUGGAAAUGAAUCUAGAUUGUUAACGAUUUCACUCGUUGCCUUAGGAUUGGGAAACGGAGGUGAUCGUAACCAAAGGACUUAACAUUUGAUCACUGCAUUGCUUGACAGGUGAGUGUUCCACUGCAUGUUAACUGUCUAUGUGAAAUCUCUGAAUACUUGAUUUGCAACUGUUUGAACCAAACAUUAUUUUGAUAAAAUUGAGGCGAGUAUGUACUUUAUCACACUCGACCUCCCUCGAUUCUACUGAGGCUCUGUAUAAUGCUGUUAUGAGAAGUGAUUUCUCUAUAUAUGACUGUGUAUGAGUUGUUUGGGUGAUUCCCCAUCAACUACUGCUACUGUUUGGGUACCCAACCUUAUAGGUGAAUUGGUGGUAUCGAGUCAGUAAAGGUUUGGUCGAGAAAAUCGAUAAACCCUGAGGACUGUUUACUGAAAACUGAAAAUCGAUAUACUUGAGUAUUAACUACUUACCGUUUGAGGAGUUCGGGUCCUGUAAGGGGGUUGACUGGUAGACGAGAUUGGAGAAAGUGGUGUGCUAUGGACAUUGUAUUCUUUAAAUGCAAACGUUGACUGAGAGUCAACAGAUUCUUGUAUGAUCAAACUCAAGGGGAUUUGGCUUUUGGAAGCCACCCGUAUCCUUGAAUUGAACUAUGAUUAAAUUGUAUAGUACAAUACUGUGUUUACUUGUUUACAUAACGUCUCCAUUUGGCUAUGUGCUUAUAUGCUUAUUUGGAACCUCACUGAGUUUUAACUCACCCCACUCCUUUUGUUUUCCUUAACAGAUCUGGGAUGGACCUAUGGUUAAGAGCUUUUAUAGCAUUAUCUUUUAUUUUGAACUUGUACUUUGGCUUGUAACCCUUUUGUUAGAAGACUUUUGACUCUUGUAAAUUUGAAAUUGUAAGUUCGACGUAUAUCUUGUAAAUUAAGUGUGGAGUGGUAAGUUUGAUAUUUGACUCUAUAUUCUAAGUUUGGAAAAUUGAUGUAGUGAUUAUAUUUUCAUUAGGAUUUGUACUUUUUUCCUUGAAGGUAUUUCAUUAGUUAUCUUGAGUUACUAGCUCUUUAUUCGACUUGGCCCCGGCGAAAGUUAGACAGGCAAUCCACUGAUACCCUAGGGUUCAUCCUAGGGAGAGGUAGAGUUGUCACAAAAGACAAAUUUCCAAUUCCUAUCAUAGAUGACUUGUUGGAUGACCUCCAUGGAGUCAGGAUCUUCUCUAAAAUAGACAUGAAAUCAAGUUAUCACCAAAUAAGAAUGAAAACUGAUGACAUCUAUAAAACUGCUUUUAAAACUCACUCUGAACUAUAUGAAUUCCUUGUAAUGCCAUUCGGUCUAACAGACGCCCUAGCCACCUUUCAAGAAUUAAUGAACUCGAUUUUUGAGUCUUAUAUCAGAAAAUUUGUCCUUGUAUUUUUUAAUGACAUUCUGAUCUAUAGUUUAGACUAUAAAACUCACCUACACCACUUGUCCAUAGUAUAGGAAACCAUGAGGAAACAUUUCCUAUAUGCAAAGAUGUCUAAGUGUUUUUUGGUCAGAACCAAGUGGAGUAUCUAGGACAUAUAAUUACUAGUAAAAGGGUGAAAACUGAUCCAUCCAAGGUGGAAGUUAUGCUAUCCUAGCCAACUCCUACAUGUUUGAAGGCCCUUAGAGGAUUUUUGGGCCUGAUAGGAUAUUGCAGGAGGUUUGUUAAAGGAUAUGGAAUGAUUGCUAAAUCACUCACUGAAUUGCUCAAAAAGGAUUAGUUUGCAUGGAAUGCUGCUGCUGAAUCUGCAUUUCAACAACUGAAAGGAGUGAUGAGCAGAACACCAGUUUUAGCAUUGCCUGACUUCUUAAAGCCUUUCCUGCUGGAAACUGAUGAUAGUUAGCUAGCUAUUAGGGCUAUUCUGAUGCAACAAGGGAGACUUAUAACCUAUUUCAAUCAAGUGCUUGGACAGAAGAACCAGAUAAGAUCCACCUAUGAAAAGGAGCUCCUAUCACUCAUCACUGCAGUUCAAAAAUGGAAGCAUUAUUUGGUGGGAACCCAUUUUAUUAUAAAGACUGAUCAUGAGAGCCUUAAGUAUUUACUGAAUCAGAAAAUAACCACUUCUCUUCAGCAAAAAUGGUUGGCUAAAUUUAUGAGGAUGGAUUAUGAGAUCCAGUACAAAAGAGGGAAGGACAAUGUGGUUGCUGAUGCAUUAUCAAGGAGGGAAGAACAGAAGGAUCCUGCAGAAACAUCUGUUCAUGCUAUCACUACUAUUAAACCUCAAUGGUUGACAAUGGUAGCUGAGAGCUACAAUGGUGAUGACCUUGCAAAAGAAAUUCUACUGAAAUUGGCCAUGGGAGCUGAUGCACUGCCUGAUUACUCUUAUAGCCAAGGAAUUCUAAGGUACAAGGGAAUGAUAUGGGUGGGAGCAGCUUCUGCAUUAAGGCAAAAGUUAAUCUCUUGUUUUCAUGAUUCUUUCCUUGGAGGACAUUCUGGGAAUCAUGGUACUUAUCAGAUGGUCAAAAGCUACUUAUAUUAGCCUGGGAUGGAAAGGGAAGUGGAACACUAUGUGCAAAAUUGUGAUGUUUGCAAAAGGAGUAAAAAUGAGAAUUGCUCUAAUCCAGGACUGCUGCAGCCAUUGGCCAUACCUGAGCAAGCUUGGCAACAAAUUUCUAUGGAUUUCAUAGAGGGGUUACCCAAGUCCUUUGGCUGUAAUGUCAUUUAUGUGGAGGUGGAUAGACUCACUAAAUUUGCCCAUUUUAUUCCUAUGACAUCCCAUUACACUGCUAAAAGUGUAGCAGAAACAUUCUUUGAUCAGAUUUUCAGAUUGCAUGGCCUACCAACAAAUAUUGUCUCUGAUAGAGAUAAGGCUUUUACUUGUUUGUUCUGGCAGGAACUCUUCAAGAUGCUAGGUACAGAGUUGAAUCUUUCUUCUACAUACCACCCUCAGUCUGAUGGACAGACAGGAAGGGUUAAUAGAUGUGUGGAAAGCUACCUAAGGGGUGUGUCUAUGUAUCAACCAGGGAAUUGGAGGAAGUGGCUUCCUGCAGCAGAAUGGUGGUAUAACACUAACUAUCACACAAGUCUGCAAAUGUCCCCCUUCCAAGCCUUGUAUGGGUACAAGCCUGUUCAACUCAAUUUGAGACCUGACAGCACAUUAGUAGCUGCUGUGGAGGACUGGGCACAGAAGCGAAUAAGUUGGAACUCUUUGCUCAAGGAGAAUCUGCUAAAAGCCCAGAAUAGGAUGAAGCAAACUGCUGAUAAAGGGAGAAGUGACAGGAAAUUUGCAGUUGGUGAUUGGGCUUAUUUGAAGCUCCAACCUUACAGACAGACUUCUAUAGCAGUAAGAAGGAAUUUGAAGCUGUCGGGUAAGUGCUAUGGGCCCUAUCAGGUGGAACAAAAAGUGGGGAUUGUAGCUUAUAGAUUGAAGCUGCCUGAAGGUUCUACCAUACAUCCUGUUUUUCAUGUCUUACUACUCAAGAAGUCUCCAAAGAAAGCUCCAGUGAGUACCACAUUGCCUACCUUGAAUGAAGACAAGGACUUCAAAGUUGCUCCCUCAGUAGUAUUGGAUAGGAGGACAGAUUAUAGGAAGGGUCAGGGAGUUGAGCAGGUGUUAGUAUAGUGGGAAUACAUGGAACCUGAGGAAGCUACUUGAGAAGAUUGGACAUUCAUUCAUGCUCAAUUUCCUUCUUUUGAAAUCAAUCCUAGAGACUAGGAUUGUUUUAUUGGGAAGCAUUGUUAUGGCGGUGAGAUUAAUCUAAACUUUCACUCAACAGCUAUCAUGACUGAUCAGCAAAGAAGUUAGCAACAGAAAUGACAUCACAUGAAGAGGCCCACGAGGCAAGCAUUGUUAUAAUAGAAUGAAGUCGGUUGAAACAGAAGAAAGUUAGUUAGUUAGGCAGUUAAUUAGUUUGUUAACAGAUUGUUUCUUGGGCUUGAAGCUAGUAAUUGUAUAAAUAAACACCUGCAAUGUAUGGAAGAAUCAUCGUGGAAUUCGGUUGUAAUCUUCCUACUUCUUAAUAACAUCUCAGAUUCUCUCCUUCUCACCCUCCUUUGUCUCUUCUGUUCUUACUCUCAUUUCUCCUCCUUCUACCCUUACUUCUGAUCAUUUCAAUCCAUUUCAGUUUCAAUCCAUUUCAGGGAUGUCAUCCUUAACUUUAUUAAAAUGAAGAAUAAAAAUUGAAGGGGUACAUGAAUGUACCUCCUGUACAAUGAUUUUUUGGUCUAGAAUAAACAAUAAUAAAAGAUCUAGCAUAUGGAAAACUAAUAAUAUCUAGUCAAAUGAUUGAUUGAAUCUUAGAAGAAAGAGUAGCCAUCGAGUAGAACACAUGUUGGCCAGCCUUGUCCAAAAAAGCUAGAAAAUCUGCAGUAGAAUUGAAAAGAAAAAGAAAAUAAAAAGUAUGAGUUAUUUUGAAUGUUAAAAAGGACAAUUCUAAUGUCAAACAGAAAUAUAAAUAUAAAUUAAUUUUAAAGGGAUAAAAGGAAAGUCAAUUACUUGAGUUUGUAAAGAAAAAUGAUGAAACAUACAAAAUUUACAAAAGAAAAAAUCAGUCAGUUCAUAUAAUGUAUAUUUAGGUGUUCACUGUCAUCAGUAUCAUACCAUAUACAUAUUUAUAUGAUAUGAAAAGUAGAUGCUCGAAAAGUAUAAGAUAAAUAUUCAAUAUUUGCUCAAUUAAUUGGAAAAUUUUAUUAAAAGAUUCACGAUUGAUUGGUAAGAAAAUUAUAAGACAUAUAGAUAGUAGAUAAAAAAAAAAGGAUUAAUGAUGGAGAAAUUUAGCAAAUCUAAUACUAAAUAACAUCAUUAUUAGAGUAAGAAUUAUUAGAAAGGAAGGUGAAUGGAUAAACUUUUUAUGUUAGCAUUAAUGUGGCAGAUUUUAUCUAGGUAUUAAAAUGAUAAUGAAUGACCAAACGAAUAAUAGGGCUAGCGAACAUGAUGAAGAGGAUUAAAAAAUAUAUAAGUAAGAUUGACAAAAAAAAAGUACAAUUAAUACAAACUCAUAUAAGUUAGGCCAUUGAUGUAUUGGUUGUCAAAAAAGAAAAGAACAAAAUCUAUAAAAAAAAAAUAAAAUGCACAAUUUUUUGACAAUUUAUUUUGUCACCUGGGAGAGAAAUUUGAGCAAAUCUAAUAAAUUACACUAAUUGCAAUAUACAAAGGAAGGUGAAGGAAACUAUCUACAUGAUGAUGUAGCAUACUUUUUGUCCAAAUUUUAGUAGUAGUAUUAAACAAUCAAGCUAAAAAUAGGAAUAGAGAUCGUGAUUGAAAUGAAUUAGAAAAGGAAAGAUAUGAGUUGAUUGACAAAAAAUAAAAAAUGUAUAAUUAACACAAACUCAAUAAGAUCGGUCAUUAAUAAAAUUUUUAAAAUUGACUAUAAAUAAAGAAUUACAAAAAAAGGACUGUAAUCGAUUGUUACCAAAAAAUGAAAAGAAUAAAAUCCACAAAAAGACAUAAUAAAUAAACUCAUUUUUGUAAUAAUUUAUGGGUCUGUCUAAUGAGAGCUAGUGGACACAUGUUAAGAUGUAUUUCAAGUGUUAGAUUACUUGCGCCUGCUAAGAUGUGCUUCAAAUGUUAGAUUUUUUGGAAAGAUAAGAUUAAUUCAGAAAAAUAUAUAAAUGCAAAAGAUGAUAAUAAUUGUUAGUGUGUGUGUAUAUAUGAUAGAUUAAGCAGAAUUUAAGUGUGUUAAUGAGUGUCCAAUAGGCACAUAUUAGAAAAGGCCAUAUUUUAUUUUGUCAUAUGCUGAAAAGAUAGAAGUUCCAUUUAGUAGAAUAUGGAAAUAGUUAAUUCAACAACUUACCAAAAUCAGAACUGAAUAGAGUUUUAUUAUCUAUACAUAUGUGUGUGCAAGCACGUUUUUAAAAUUGACUAUAAAUAAAGAAUUACAAAAAAAGGAUUGUAAUCGAUUGUUACCAAAAAAUGAAAAGAAUAAAAUCCACAAAAAGAGAUAAUAAAUAAACUCAUUUUUGUAAUAAUUUAUGGGUCUGUCUAAUGAGAGCUAGUGGACACACGUUAAGAUGUAUUUCAAAUGUUAGAUUACUUGCACCUGUUAAGAUGUGCUUCAAAUGUUAGAUUUUUUGGAAAGAUAAGAUUAAUUUAGAAAAAUAUAUAAAUGCAAAAGAGGAUAAUAAUUGUUAGUGUGUGUAUAUAUAUGAUAGAUUAAGCAGAAUUUAAGUGUGUUAAUGAGUGUCCAAUAGGCACCUAUUAGAAAAGGCCAUAUUUUAUUUUGUCAUAUGCUGAAAAGAUAGAAGUUCUAUUUAGUAGAAUAUGGAAAUAGUUAAUUCAGCAACUUACCAAAAUCAGAACUGAAUAGAGUUUUAUGAUCUAUACAUAUGUGUGUGCAGGCACGUGUAUAUACAUGUGCAUGUGUGUGUGAGUUUGUGAGUGUGAGUUUGUGUGUGUGAAAGUCUAGACUCGUGUCAUCUUUUUUUUUUUUUCCAACAAACGGUAACAUUUUAUAGAUCUUAAAACACUUGAUUUUACAAGUAUUACUUACAAAAAAGGGGGUACUACCCUGCAGUCCUUCUUGACUAAAUCAACCAGCCAUAUUGGGAAAUCAUGUUCCCAUUCAAUAUCAUGUACUAGCUUUACUGGAAAAUGUGCUAAUACAUGGCUGAUUUCAUUUUCUGUUCUAGGAAUAAAAACAAAAGAGCAUCUCUCGAAACCUGUACUAAGGUCCUGUACAUCUUCUAGAAUUGUUGCAAUUGUGAAAUCAUACUCCCUGCUCCUGUUAAUUUGCUCAACUACUAAUUUGCAAUCUGAAUGGACUAUAAUUUGUGUCCAUCCCUGUUGUUUAGCCAUCAGUAAUGCGUUCCGUAUGGCAAGUGCUUCUUCUUUGCUUGCUAUUCCCCUUCCCUGUGUGACUACACCUUUAGCUUUCAGCAGUUUUCCUUUCCAGUUUCUUGCUAUUAUUCCUUGCCCGGUCCUGAUCCCUUUGGCUGAUAUGGCCGCAUCCGUGUACAACCUUAUCACUCCCUCCCUUGGCAUCUCCCUUCUUUGCUUGGGUUCACAACUUGUUUGUCUUACAUUCCACUUCCUUUGUGUCUCCCUCUCUUGCUCAAACUCUAGCCACUUAGCUUGUGCUUUCCAUAUAGUUUUGAGAGGAUUCUGAUUUGCAUCUUCAAAAACUUUUUUAUUUUUGGAUUUCCAGAUUUGCCACAAGAUGUUUAUGGUGAGGUUGACUCUGUCCUGUCCUUGUUCUAUUGUUAAUGCUUGAGUCACUUGUUCCCACCACAGUCAUAGAUUAUGUUCCUUGUAACCCCUCCCAUCUGACUGGAGCCAUUUUCCAUACCUGCGCUACAUUUUCACAUUCGAAGAACAAAUGUUCCAUUGUUUCCUCAGCUUCUCCACAGCAGCCACAUCUUCCUUCUCCCUUUCUUAGCCGUUUUGACAGUAUCUCAUUGACGGGUAAGCACUGCUAUAAAAACUUCCAUAUAAAGUGCUUGAGCUUUGCCUUCACAUUCAUAUGCCAAAGUUUCUUCCACACAUUGUGCUUUCUUAUUUCCCAACUUGUUUUAGCAUCUUGUCCUCUCGGUUCCCUGAGUUUUGUAUCAAGCUGUGUUGCAGUGUAUUGUCCAGAUUUUGAGUAGCCCCAGACCAGUUUAUCUUUUCUUCUUCCAAUGCUGGUUGGGAUAUUCUUUAUUAGUUCAGCAUCCUUUUUACAGAAACAUUUCUGGAGUUGGUCAGAUUUCCAUUUUCCAUCUACUAGCAAUUCGUUUACCCACACUAACGUGCAAUCCUCAGGUCUUGUGCCAGAUACCAUGCCUUUUUCAGCUCCAGUUAUCCAUCUGUCAUUCCAUAUGCUCACCGAUCUGCCGUCCCCUAUUCUUUUCCACAAGCCAGCUAACAAAAGUGAUUUUGGACUGUGUAAGCUCUUCCAACACCAGGAGGCUGAAUUGGGUGGACUCUUUUCCAUCCAAUUUGGGUCUUUCAUAUAUUUUGCCUUCAUUACCUUGCUUACUAGCAAAUUUGGAGCUGUUAGAAAUCUCCAUAUUUGCUUUGUAAGCAAGGCCGUGUUGAAAUCUUCUAAAUCUCUAAAGCCUAUUCCCCCUCUUCCCUUCACUUCCGAAAGCUUCUUCCAGCUUGCCCAAUGCACACAGGUUUCUUGUUCUCCUUUGCCCCACCAAAACCUUGCAAUCUUAGCUGUGAUUUGUCUACAUAAGCCUCGAGGGAUUCUAAAACAAGCCAUCACAUAUGUUGGCAUCGCCAUAAUGACUGCUUUGAUGAGUAUUUCCUUUCCCCCUUGAUUCAGCAGCUUUUGUUUCCAGCCUUGAAGCUUGUUACUGAUUUUGUUCAUCACAAAACUAAAUACCUGUGUCUUCGAUCUUCCAAUUGUCAUCGGGAGCCCCAAAUAUGUGCCAUUUCAUGCCUCUUUCAUAUUUUCCAGUUUGGCUUGCACCUCUUUCUUUCUUCGGGCAGGAGUAUUUUUGCUGUAGAAAAUAGCUGAUUUGUCAAAGUUAACCACCUGUCCCGAUGCAUUUCCAUACCGUUCAAGAAUGAUUUUGAUCUUCCCUGCCUCCUGCUUGUUUGCUUGGCAGCAGAGUAAAGAAUCAUCUGCAAAAAAUAGGUGAGAAAUGGUUGGGCUGUCCUUGCAUAUUUUGAUGCCUGUGAGUAGGGCUGCAAACGAAUCGAGCCGCUCGCGAGCGGCUCGAGUCAAGCUCGAGUCGAGCUCGAGCCAGCUCGAGUCAAACUCGAGCUCGAACUCGAACUCAGAAUAUUAAGCUCGUUAGCUCGCGAGCCGGCUCGCGAGCUUGAGUAUAUAUAUAUUUUUAUUUUUAUUUAAUAAUAAAAUUACGUAUAUUAUAUAUUUUUUUUAUUUUUUAUUUUCAUAGUGAAAUUACGGAUAUAUCCUUAAUAUUUAUUAUUUAUUCAGAAAAAAAUAUUAUUUUAUUUAUUUUUUAAAAAAAUAAAAUAAUUUUUUUUUAUUUUUUUCGAGCUCGAGCUCGAAAAUUGCCAGCUCGUCGAGCUCGAGCUUGAUAAAAUUUAGCCAAGGCUCGGCUCGAUUAGUUCAAAACUCGACUCGGCUCGACUCGUUUGCAGCCCUACCUGUGAGCUCCUUCACUGCCACUGCUUUGUUAAUUAGACUAGAGAGUCCUUGAGCACAAAUAAUGAAUAGAUACGGUGAUAAGGGGUCACCUUGUCGAAUCCCUCUACUCAGUUGAAUAUAACCUACUUUUUGGCCAUUUAAAUUGAAGGAGUAAGAUACAGUAGACAAACAAAUCAUAAUCCAUCGAACAAAGAUUGGACAGAAACCCAUUUUCAUCAUAAGUCUCCCCACAAACUUCCAUUCAACUUUAUCGUAGGCUUUUAACAUGUCAAGUUUUAGAGCCAUGUAUCCUACCCUUCCCUUCCUUCUAUUUUUCAAAAAAUGGAGAAUUUCAUGAGCUACAACAACAUUAUCAAGAAUUUGCCUGCGUGGGAUAAAAGCAGACUGAGAAUUACUAAUGCAGUGAUGCAAAACCUUUUUUAGCCUAUUUGCUAGGAAAUGAUUUUAUAUAUGACAGUGCACAAACUGAUUGGUCUAUAAUUCACAACUGAAAAAGGAGCCUCAAUUUUUGGAAUUAAGGAGAUAAUGGUUUCAUUCACAGCUUUAAGUAUACACCCCGUAUGGAAAAAACUACUGAUAGCUGCCACUAAAUCCUCCUUUACAAUAUACCAGUAAUGUUGAAAAAAGAGAGGAGACAUACCGUCAGUCCCUAGUGCAUUGUUUGGAUGCGUGGAGAACAAAGCUUGCCUAAUCUCAUUUUCCUCCACUGGCCUAAUCAGCUGCUCAUUCAUUUGGCUAGAAAUAGUGUUUGGUAUCUCUGCAAGGAUAUCUUCAAAAUUUUCUGGACUUGUGGUGGUGAAGAGAUCAUUGUAAUAUUUACUAAGUUCCUUCUCUAUCUCUUGUUCAUUCUUGCACCAUGUCCCGUCCCUUUUCUGCAACUUACUAAUAUUGUUUCUCCUCCUCUUUGCCAUUACCGUUGAGUGGAAAAAAUAUGUGUUCUUGUCUCCUUCUUUGAGCCAUUUGCUCCUUGAUUUUUGGCUCCAGAAUAGCUCCUCCUCUUUGUAUGCUUUACUCAACUGGGAUUUUAGCUCAGCAAUUUGUCUGCAUUUUUCACUAGCUUUUCCUUCUCUCACCUUAAUCAAUUUCUCCUUUAACACCUUGAUUCUUACUUUGGAGUUUCCUUGCACUUUUCUCCUCCAUUCUAGAAGAGCAAUGCGACAAUCCUUUACUUUUCUGGUCACUUUGAACAUUCUGGAUCCAAGGUGAUCUCUAGACUCGUGUCAUCUACGUUAGUGCUAGCGUGGACACUUUCCCGCUCCUUACCUCUUUUAUAUUUUAACAUCAACUUUCUUCUUCUAAAAUCCUAUCCAAGUCGACGAUGACAUAGAUGGUUUUUCCCUUCACCUUCUUUACAAUUUAUAUUUUACAUAGUUGCAAAUUACCUCCAAAAAACCCAUAUCUUGUUGAUGAAAUUAGUACAAAGGCACACAAAAAGUGCAAAAUUUUCUAUAAUAAAUUUCACUAGGGCAUACUCUUGUAUGAUGAUCUCUUGAGGUAUGUUUAUAUACCAUCCUUUUAUUUCCCUACUACAAUCACUAGUUUGCUUUUAGAUUUUAGUAAUUUACGUCCAGAAUAAAACAAGAAUAGCAAAGGUUUGCCAAUAAAAUCAAAGUACCUCACUAAGAAAUGAUCAAAGAGCAAAAAUUAGUUAAAAUGCUUUGAGACUUGAUAAUUUAUAGAAAAAUAUUUUCCCUGGAUUAACACAAUUAUCAGAAAACAUCAGACAUUAAAAGGUUUCACUUGCAAUCAAUCACUUUCAAACAUGAAAAGGUGCCAAAAUGGUUAUAAAGGAUUCGGCUGCGCAUCCAUAUCUUCACAGAACCAAAUUCAAGGUCGAAUCCGAUUCUGUGAUUAGGCUAGUAUAUAUCAAGUGGCGGAUCACCAGUAAUUUGGACUUGAUCCAAUCAUGAAACUAGAGAGUUCCCUCAUCACGACCAAUCCCAGAUUUGACUCGAAUCAAUCUUGAAUCCAUUCAAGCCGAAUGCCUCUAGUUUUGACAGAACCAUUCCUAAUCCAUUAUAUUACAACCAUUCCUAAUCUAGUUUUGUCACUAUGUCUAUUUGGUACUCUAAGAUCACAUAAUAAAAAAUAAACUAGAUAUUAUGUUAUUAAUUUUUGGCAAAAGCAUAGAUUUCUUCUACAAAAGUGUUGUAACUCAAGAGAAGAGGUUAGCUAUGAAUUUAGAACUUUAAUAUUGGGCUCACCUUCAUUUAUUCAUAUGCUUAUUGUGUGCCUUUAGAUUACCAAACAAGAAAAACCUUUCUUUUUGGAGUUAAUCAUAUAUACACUAACGGCAAAUACACUAUCACAAUUGGAUGUAUGACAUAUGGGCAAAAUUUGAUUUUCAAAUUUAAAUUCAGAUGAAUUGACAUACAUCCAAUGGUAAUAGUAUAUACACUAGCAGUAUAUAGAAGAUUAAUUCUUCCUUUUUAUGUAAAAUGUUUUGAGCAAAUUUGAUAAAUUAUAUAAAUUGUAUAGAAUCUUUAAUUUUUAUUUAUCUAGAUUGUUGGAAUUAGAAAAGGAGAAAAUUUUUAAAAUCACAUUAAAACUUAUUUGACAUGUUUAGAAGGUCGAAAAAGUUAUUUUCUUUAUCUAUAUAGUAUUGCAAAUAGUUUUUACAAGCUUUGUUAAUUAUUUAUAAUUUAUCAAUUUUAAAUUUUGUUUCCAAAUUAUAAAUAAGAUUUGUUAAAGGAUCUCUCAAUCCCAAACUUAUACUUUUUCAUUAAAGAACACAUUCAUCAAGUUUUCAAAUGUCAAGAGAUUUUAAAUUGAUUUGUCAUUUCAACUAUGGGACCAUAACAAAAGGACAAUUUUGGAAUGAAAUCAUUUUUCAUUUCUAAACAUAGUAUUUUAAUCAUAUAAUUUGAAUUGGGUUGAGAAUGCUACAAAAAUUUGAAAAUAGGAGAGGUAAGUGAUAUUUUUUAAACUUAAUGGGUGCUAAAUGAUAUUGUCAAAAACUUAAGGAGGGUUCCCAAAAUCAUCCUUUUUUUCAUUCUUCAGAUUUAUCUGACAUAGUGGAAAAAUUAUUAAAAUAAGAAGGGUUAAAUCACAUGUUUGUGUUUUUCAUUUGCAUAGUAAAUUUUUUUUUUAAAAAAACUUUUGUUAGAUCUUUCGAUGUUUCAUCCUUAUUUACCCUCCUAUGUAUAAACUCCAAUCCAAAUUUCUACAUUAGUGGAGACACUUCUUACAUUUUAAAUUCAAAAGGCAUAGUAAACUCAUAACUAAUGAAUAUUAUUUUGUUGUUCUUAUAUAAUUUUCCUUUUAGUUAGGGCUAUUGAAUUGAAGGGUAACAUAUUGUUAUUUACAUUUUUUCUUUUAGUAAGACUUUUGAUGUUUCAUUUUUUUUACCCUUCCAUGAAUUAAAUUUCCAAUCAAAUUCUAUACUAGUGGAGGCGCUUCUUACAUUUUAAAUUCAAAAUGCAUGGAGGGAUAUUUAGCAAUUAGAAAAUUUAAAAUUCUAUAUAAAAAAAAAGAAUAGGGAGCUAGAUGCAUUAUAACUUGAUCGCCCUAAAAAUCCCUUUUGCAAUUUAUAUAGAUAUAGAUCCUAUCCAAUGCUAUGCAUGGGUUUAUAUUUCAAUUUCCAAAUUAAAGAAUUAAAAUUUGAAGCAAAACAAAAAGUAUCACAACUUUCAAUUUAACUAUAUUUUGUACGAAGAAUUAAACUUUGAAGCAAAAGAAAAAAAAUAUAUAACUUACAAUUUCGAGUUGUAUCUUCAAAACCAAAGAACCAGAUUUAAUUAUUGUUAAAAUAUAGUUACUUUGUAUUUUUAAAAAUAAAAACAUUAGGUCUAAUUAUUUGUGAUAUAAUUUGGAUUGAAUAGUGUCAACUUUUCUUUUAAAAAAUAUAUAGUUGAUUCCAUAUUCAUCCUCUAAAUUGAAAGGUAAAUUUUGAAGCAAAAAAAUAACAAGGAAUUUGGUUUAGCAUUUUUAGAAUUAUUUAACUUUAUCUUCCAUAAUAUAUAUGAAAAAUACAUAAAACCAAAAAUUGACCACUAUGGUUGCAAGUAUUGGCAUUUAGAAAUGCAAAUGAAAAUUGAUUAUAUUUAUUGUACUUCAAAUAAUCACAAAAAAUAAUUAAAAAAAUUUAGAAUACAAAAAUGACAUAGUAGUGUAACAUAUUUACUAUGAAGAAAAUAAUAACAACAAACAUAAUAAUCAAUAAUAUCCAAGGUUGAUCUUAAUUAUUGGAUUUUGCACUCUCAUUCAAGCCUAAUUAGGGUCAAAUUUGGAUUAGAUAUAUAUUAAUUAAAUUCAUAGUCAGAUGUUCUAUAUCUAUCUCUUAAACUAUGUUGUUACUUUAGGACUGGUAUCGUUUUUAUUAUUUUUUUAAUUAAAAAUAAAAAUUUUAUUAAAAAAUUCCACUUUGAAGGGCCAAUAGGACUUUGUUUAUAAUUUAGUGGUUUCAUAAUUAGAUUUUAGAAAUAGUACCAUUAUUGAUUUUUCAAAUCCAUGACCAAUGAAUAUUAUUUCCUUUUGUUCUAUAUAUAUUGUGAGUGGGAAGUUUUGAACACGACCAACCUGACCCUCUCUCCUACCACCCAAUCCAAUCUUCUCCAUUGCUUAUUCUUUAUAUAAUUUUCCUUUUAGUUAGGUUUGCUACGUUGAGUAUCAUUCUUUGUACAAUUGAACUCCCAAACAAACAUAUUACAUUUUAUGUGUACAUCUAGAGUUUCAUUUGCACAUUACAUACAUUAUAUAACAAAAUAUUUCAACAAAUCUCACAUUCGCUAUAGCAUAAUUAUGCAUAGUGACAACCAUUCCUAAUCCAUUAUAUUACAAUACACAGAACAUGCAAAGCAAAUGCCUCUAGUUAUACCACCAUCCUAACAUGGCCUAAUGACAACAGCCCCAUAUUUUUUCCUUUUUCUCUUUUAACAAACCCGUACACGGUCGAAGAAUGCCAGCUUUUAUUUUAUUAAUAAUAAAUAAAACAUUUGUGGGAGAAACCCCAAUACAUACAUAAAAACUAGAAUCUGUAAAAUAUGAGUUCUACUCCCUUACAUGCCGAACAUAGGGGAAAGAAAGACUAUCUAACCUAACUGUAGUCUCAUCUUUUCUACUUGGUGCAGUGCAUCUACAUAUUUAAGAAGAUAGCACUAUAAAACUAUUAGUUGUUGACCUGUUUGAUUUACUUGCACACCUGGAAUGAAAUCAAUGGACCAAAUUGAAGGCUAAAUUAAUAGAAAUGAUACAGAAGGGACCAAACUGACUAAAAUCCAAAAUAUAAGGUACAAAAAUAAUCAUUUCCCUUUUAUUUUUGAAUAAGGUGCCAUGAUCAACUUCACGAUGUGUAAAAAAAAUUUUACACCAAGAAUAUAAAAAAGAUUGAUCCACGUACUAAGUAGAAAUGUUUUUUGAAGUUGUUAGAAGUUAAGAGAGUCAAGGACAUAUCAAAAAAUUUUCUUUUUGUAUUUGUUUAAUCUCGUUUGGUUUGUUGCAAAUGAAUAAAAUAUCACUGCUAUAUUUUCUCCUCAGAUUUGCUUCUUCCAAUUUAUCAUUGUCCAUUUUUGUUUGUAUAUCUCUGUAUUUGGUGCAGAAUAUCUCGAGUUUAGCCACAACUAUAAUCAAAACACAACAAAAAUAUCCCACGGAACUUUCCCCUACUUGUGUGGUAGUCGUCGGUGCUUACUAUUUUGUACUAAGAAUUCCUACAAAUUAAAUCUUCUUCCUCCUACUUUGCAAUUGCCACCAAAAUUGAGUCAAAGAUUUAAGUCACAUGUUCCGCUUUCAAUUAAUUACCACAUCCAAAACCUUUGUCACCAUGAGACCAUACCAUUAUUACGAUUUUAUCCCAAUAACAGUAAAUGUCCUAGCAAAUUGAGUUAAAGAAACAAGUUUACUUCUAGGAAAUUAAUUUUGCAUUAUUAUAAUAAUAAGCCUAGUUCCAUACUUCUAUAAUUUGAAAUCCACCUUUUUUAAUUAAUAAAAAAAAAGCUAGUAAAAAUUACUUAAUCUUUUUUACAGUACUUUAUAUAAUUGUAUGUUUUUCCGCUCAAAUUUUUUCCAAUAAUUCUAGAAACCUUCCCUAAGGUUUUUGACAAUUUCACUUAACUCCCUUAAAGUUCUAGAAAAAUCACUUGCCUCUGUUACUUUCAAAUUUUUGUAACAUUCUCAACCUAAUUCAAAUUAUAUGAUUAAAAUAUUCAUUUUAGGAAUGAGAAAAUGAUUCCUUUCCAACAAUGCCCUUUUUUGCCUUUUUUUUUUUGAAAAAAAUUGUGAGUAUGAUAAGCAAAUCUUAAAAAUAAGGAUGAAAAGUUGGAAGAUAUACAUUUUUUAAAGGGACAAAAUAUAGUAACCGCAAUCAUGAGCAAGAUAUUUUUUUUAAAAGUACAAACAAAUAAUAAAAUUUCAUAUAACAUGUUUUCAAUUACAAAAAGAUUUUUUUUUCCUUCAAGAUUUGUCUAUUUGGUACUCUAAGAUCACAUAAUAAAAAAUAAACUAGAUAUUAUGUUAUUAAUUUUUGGCAAAAGCAUAGAUUUCUUCUGCAAAAGUGUUGUAACUCAAGAGAAGAGGUUAGCAAUGAAUUUAGAACUUUAAUAUUGGGCACACCUUCAUUUAUCCGUAUGCUUAUUUUGUGCCUUUAGAUUACCAACAAGAAAAACCUUAUUUUUUAGAGUUAAUCAUAUAUAACGGAUACACUAUCACAAUUGAAUGCAUGACAUAUGGGCAAAAUUUGAUUGUCAAAUUUAAAUUCAGAUGAAUUGAUAUACAUCCAAUGGUACACUGUCAGUAUAUAGAAGAUUAAUUCUUCUUUUUUAUGUAAAAUGUUUUGAGCAAAUUUAAUAAAUUGUACAGAAUCUUUAAUUUUUAUUUAUCUAGAUUGUUGGAAUUAGAAAAGGAGAAAAUUUUUAAAAUCACAUUUAAAACUUAUUUGAGAUGUUUAGAAGGUAGAAAAAGUUAUUUUCUUUAUCUAUAUAGUAUUGAAAAUAGUUUUUACAAGCUUUGUUAAUUAUUUAUAAUUUAUCAAUUUUAAAUUUUGUUUCCAACUUAUAAAUAAGAUUUGUUAAAGGAUCUCUCAAUCCCAAACUUAUACUUUGCAGUAAAGAACACAUUCAUCAAGUUUUCAAAUGUCAAGAGAUUUUAAAUUGACUUGUCAUUUCAACUAUGGGACCAUAACAAAAGGACAAUUUUGGAAUGAAAUCAUUUUUCAUUUCUAAACAUAGUAUUUUAAUCAUAUAAUUUGAAUUGGGUUGAGAAUGCUACAAAAAUUUGAAAAUAGGAGAGGUAAGUGAUAUUUUUUAAACUUAAUGGGUGCUAAAUGAUAUUGUAAAAAACUUAAGGAGGGUUCCCAAAAUCAUCCUUUUUUUCAUCCUUAAGAUUUAUCUGACAUAGUGGAAAAAUUAUUAAAAUAAUAAGGAUUAAAUCACAUGUUUGUGUUUUUCAUUUAUACUUCAGUUGCAUAGUAAAUUUUUUUUUAAAAAAAAACUUUUGUUAGAUCUUUUGAUGUUUCAUCCUUAUUUACCCUCCUAUGUAUAAAUUCCAAUCCAAAUUUCUACAUUAGUGGAGACACUUCUUACAUUUUAAAUUCAAAAGGCAUGGUAAAUUCAUAACUAAUGAAUAUUAUUUUUUUGUUCUUAUAUAAUUUUCCUUUUAGUUAGGGCUAUUGGAUUGAAGGGUAAAAUAUUGUUAUUUACUUUUUUACUUUUAGCAGGACUUUUGAUGUUUCAUUUUUUUACCCCUUCCACAAAUAAAUUUCCAAUCAAAUUUCUAUACUAGUGGAGGUGCUUCUUACAUUUUAAAUUCAAAAAGCAUGGAGGGAUAUUUAACAAUUAUAAAAAUUUUAAAUUCUAUAUAAAAAAAAAGAAUAGGGAGCUAGAUGCAUUAUAACUUGACCACCCUAAAAAUCCCUUUUGUAAUUUAUAUAGAUAUAGAUCCUAUUCAAUGCUAUGCAUGGGUUAUUAUUUCAAUUUCCAAAUUGAAGAAUUAAAAUUUGAAGCAAAAUAAAAAAGCAUCACAACUUUCAAUAUAACUAUAUUUUGUAAGAAGAAUUGAACUUUGAAGCAAAAGAAAAAAAUAUAACAACUUACAAUUUAGCUUUGUAUCUUCAAAAACAAAGCACCAGAUUUAAUUAUUGUUAAAAUAUAUUUACUUUGUAUUUUCAAAAUAAAAGCAUUAGGUCUAAUUAUUUGUAAUAUAAUUUGGAUUGAAUAGUGUCAAACUUUCUUUUAAAAAAUAUAUAGUCGAUUCCGUAUUCAUCCUCUAAAUUGAAAGGUAAAUUUUGAAGCAAAAAUCAUAACAAGCAAUUUGGUUUAGCAUUUUUAGAAUUAUUUAAAUUUUUUCUCCCAUAAUAUAUAUGAAAAAUACAUAAAACCAAAAAUUGACCACUAUGGUUGCAAGUAUUGGCAUUUAGAAAUGCAAAUGAAAAUUGAUUAUAUUUAUAGUACUUCAAAUAAUCACAAAAAAUAACUAAAAAAAUUUAGAAUACAAAAAUGACAUAGUAGUGUAACAUAUUUACUAUGAAGAAAAUAAUAACAACAAACAUAAUAAUAAAAAAUAUCCAAGGUUGAUCUUAAUGAUUGGAUUUUGCACUCUCAUUCAAGCCUAAUUAGGGUCAAAUUUCGAUUAUAUAUAUUAAUUAAAUUUACAGUCAGACGUUCUAUAUCUUUCUUUUAAACUAUGUUGUUACUUUAGGACUGGUAUUGUUUUUAUUAUUAUUUUUAAUUAAAAAUAAAAAUUUUAUUAAAAAUUUCCACUUUGAAGGGCCAGUAGGACUUCGUUUAUAAUUUAGUGUUGUGAGUAGGAAGUUUUGAACACGAAUUAUGAUCCCUGACCCUCUCUCCUGCCACCCAAUCCAACCUUCCCCCUCCUACUCCUAGGGUGGUGGGGGGUGGGGGGUGGGGGGAAUCUACUCUAUGGGAAAGCCCAACUGAGUCGGCGAAAUCUGACGGAAACUGAAUCACCAUUAGACCAGACAGGUGCAUCACACACCCGUAUGGAUUUAGAGUAAAUCUCAUAUUGAGGCACAUUGAUGAGAGGUAAAGUUUGAACCCUUGACCUCCCACUCCACAAUUAAUGUGGUGGCCAACUUCUCUAGAGGGUGUUGGUUAGUUAGGAUCACUACGUUGAAGGGUAGAAUAUUGUUAUUUCCUUUUUUAUUUUUAGUAGGACUUUUGACUUUUCAUCUUUAUUUACCCUCCUAUGUAAACCCCAAAAUAAAUUCCUAUAUUAGUGGAGGUACUGCUUACAUUUUAAAUUCAAAAAGCAUUCAGGGGUAUUUAAUAAUUAAAAAAUCCAAAAUUCCAUAUAUAUAUAUAUAUAUAUAUAAGGAAUAGGGAGCUACAAGCAUUAUAACUUGAACACCUAAAACCCUUUCUGUAAUUUAUAUCGAUACGGAUAAUCAGCCUUUAUCCCUCUGUCUAACCUCAUCACCGUCAAUGUGUCAGGAACCUAACUUCAGGAAGAAGAUACAAGGAAGACUAGUUGAAGAAGAUGAAGAAAGAAAAGGAGGAAUCGAGGGAAAACAGAGAGAGGAAUAGAAAAACUAGAAAUGAGAGAGAAAUUGACUGGAAAAUUCUAAUAUUGCCUGAUGGCUUCCAGCCAUUUACAACUAUAUAUACAUGCACAUCCUUACUAAUCAAUCCAAAGCCCUCCACUAAACUACAAUAUUAACAACUAAGGAUAUGCAUUAUCUAAUACAUUUGGGGUCAUGACACAAUGGCCCUCGGGAUCAUUCUCUUUGGAUGAUCCACCAAACCAUCUUGUGUGAACAAAGGUUGCCUCAGAUUGUCGAUCACUGCAAUUUCAAAGGCAAGUUGAGAUUUCAAUACUUAAAUAGUGAUAUUGCUUAUUCCACUUUGUUCCUAUAUAUUGGAUAUAAUUCUUCUUGCACUACAAUUUGUUAGCUUUUGCCUUGAUUUGUUGGCUCUAAUUUUGUAUUGGUGAAAACAGUAUUUUACUGAGUUUUGAAUUCAAUUCCAUAUGAAAUUGAAAAUGAAAAUCUCAUAUUCGAAACUGAAAUAGAUUGAAAUCUUUUAGGGUAAAAUUACCAAAAUUACCGAAUUCAUUCACCUAAAUUACUAUAUUCGAAUUCAACACUCACCCUUAAUAUUUUUCUCUUAAUACAAAUUUUGACCUUGUGUAGCACACGUUUUGUGGAUUUGUUUUUCUUAAUCAAGUAAGAGAGGCUGGGAAAGACAUCAGUCAUCAUAUUCAAAACUAAACAACAUUAAACAAAACUGAAAAGAGCUGUAAAACCAUUCAAUUUUAUUCCCCAAGGGUACAUCGAAGCAACAUUUAAAUUAAGUUGCACUUGGUUUUUUUUGGCAAUCCCCAAUCAAGGGUCGGGAUGCCAGCCCAAAAAUUUAUUACAGUGAUAAAAAGGAACCAAUAGUUCAAGGAGGGCGAGACCAGACCUCAAGACACCAAUGAAAAACUUAAAUAAGGAAUACUACUCCCUUACAAUUUGAGCUCGAACAUAAGAAAAGAAUCUAGAAUCGAAUGCCAGGAUCACCCAAAUAGACGCUGGUAAAAGGCCAGGAGAAGUAAGCAGACCUUUAAGCCAAUUCGUGAAUCCGCCAUCAUGUCCACCGCCAAAUUGGCUUCCCUAAAUAUGUGUUGAACCUCCGAGUUCAUAACCUCAAGAAGAAAGCGAAUCUCUCUCACAACAUUGCAGAAAGGCCAUUUUGCUAGGUGUGCAGACUUUGUCAAAGAAACCAGUACUUUUGAGUCCACGCCUAGGCCUGAACAUGGGAAUAACCUUUGCUCUUGCAGAGACAAAGACCAUGCAAUAGUAAAAGACCUUCAGCCACCAAGACAUUCACUUCUCAAACUCCUUAAGCUGCAUUUGUUUCAAUUUUCAUAUGUUCCAAAUCAUAUGGUGAAGUAUUCGUCACUGAAGAAUGCAAGAAACCAUCUUCCUUUACUAGCCAAUAGCAUAUUUUAAUACGUCCGUCCACUAUAGUAGCAUUGAAAACAUCAAAUCUUGUGUCCUUUCGUUUCCAAUGGUUAGGAAAUUGGUUUAAUUUUUUUUAGGCAGGUUUCUUAAUUUGCAUGGAAGUAACUAGUUUCUUAAUUGGUUUUAGUUAUUUGAGUAGUAGUAAAGAAAUUUCCUAUUUGUACGAGUUUAGUAAUAGAAGUUAUUUCCUAUUCUAAACUAGUCUAGAAAUUAGCACUAAUUUCUUGUUAUUAUUUGGGUUUUGACCAAAUAAUAUUCUCUAUAAAUAGAUGGGUUAGCAUACCACACAAGAGACACACAAUUAGCAUACAAGGGAAACAUGUAACUUUAUACAUGGGGUGUGAGAGACGUUUCUUAGGAGAGAGAUGGUAUACAAGUGAUGAAUUUGGAUUCAAAUUGUAUUCUUGUAUAGGGUUUUUCCUCUCAUAAUAAAUAACAGGUUUCUUUCCGUGAAUAUAAGAUCAAUGGUGGAGUCGAACCACAUUAAAUAUUGUGUAUCGUUUAUCUUUUAUACUUGUGGCUUAUUUGUUAUUAAAUUGUUGUAUACUUGAUAUCUCAAUAGCCAUGUGUUUCGCGCUUCAAUCCCUAACAAGUGGUAUCAGAGUUUCAAGUUGCGAAACUGAAUUACUCAUGGGCAAGUGAAUUCUUCUCGGAGUUAAAUCGGUGAAAAUUCUAUUCUUAGUGGUGGUUGGCUAAUGUUGAACUAGGUGCACCAUGAGUUUAGCAGGAGAUUCGGUUGAUGUUAGACUAAGAAACCAACAGUUGGCAGGGGUCUAAAAUGCAGUUUGGAUGUUGAAGAAGAGUGAGUCUAUAAUUGGGAGAAGAGGUGACCUUAGGUGAUAAGAUAAAUUUGCAUUGAGUAUUAAAGUGGGUUCGAAGAAGAGUUUAUAAACUUGAGUUUAAUGUGAGGGAUUAAUCAUGAAGGAGAAGAUUUGUUAGGCUCCUGAGUAAAAAACUAUGUUCCACAUUGGUUUGAGAGAUAGAGAAAGAGCACUUAAUAUUUAAGUAAGGAAUCGAGACCUAAUAGUUUAAACUUUUAGAUCAGAGUUAGAUUUCUAACUUACAUAUUGAUCUCUUUAAUGGGCUCUCUAGAGGUAAUUCUACCCAAUACCAAUAAAAGUGACAGAAAAAUAGUGUCCUCCUAGAAAAGUUCUCUCGAAACACCCAUUGAGAUUCAUCUUUCAUAUAAAGGGUGUGAUAUCCUAGAUCAUCAUCCCGAGAUUGACAAUGAAUAACUAGGGGAUUAAUACUAUCUGAAAGGCUGUUGGCUACAAAAACAUGAAGUUUAGGAUUAAAAAAAAAAUCCCAAAAUGAUGCAUGUGCGAGGACACGAUUAGUUGACCAAUUCUGAAGAUGUUUAGGCUUAAUUCAAGCUGGCAGUGAACUGGUUCGUUCAUUAAAACCCUGACUUUUCAAUGGUUUUACUAUUGAACAGGGCGGCUUUUCUGAUUUAGACACUUUUUCUCUCCUACAGGGUGUCAGGACCGGUCCAAACUGAAUUACUAACCAAUCGAUGAUUUAUCUAGUUUAACAGGCUAGUCCGAGUUGGGUCUUAAAACAAACAUUCUAUGGUAAUCACUAUUUUCCUUGAAUAGUCAAAAGACUUUUUUUUUUUCCAAAGACUUGUUGACCUUUUCAUGUGUCAAGUAAUUAACGAGAUGAUAUCUUGCUAUGUCAGGAAAACUGACGCAAGCUAAUAUCGUUUCUCAAAAUCUUUGUACUACAAGUGUGAAAUGCAAUAAGAUUCAAAAUAUUGCAAAAGCUAAAAGCAAAACUAAUGAAACCCAAACAGAGAUUCAAAAUCCAAAAUCCAUCAAUUUUCUUUCAUCAAUCUGCUACAUAGGAAAGAGAAUUUAAAAGUCUAUAUGCUUGAUAAUCCUUCAGGCAAUGUUUGUUUUGAGGAAAUAGAGAGAAAAGAAAGAAAAGAAAACGGAGGGAUAAGGCAUUUGAUAUCUGAAUUGCUUUUUGAGGAAAGAAAAGGGAGGAUAGGAAGGGUAGUGGAGGAAUAAGGUAUAGUGUUUUUUUUUUGUCAACCAACUCUCCGUCCAAAAGUGGGCAAAAAAAAAAAAAGAGCCGAAAGGAAACCAAGAUUAAUGAAAAUUUCGAAGUUUUCUGAAAAAAACUUUUGCCCAAUUGGUAAAGUUUUUGGGGUUUUCUAGAAAAAUAAUUUUGAAAAAUUUCAUACAAAGUGGGCAAAAAAUUACAUAGAUUAAUUUCUUGAAUAGAAAAAUAGAAAUUUUGGUAUACAAAAAGAGAGGAGAAGAAUCUAAAGUAACCAUAUUGAUAUCUAUAUUUAUAUUGUUUUGUCAUUAUACACAAACUAAGAAAUACAGUCAUGUACAUUUAGGGUCCAUUUAGUUCAUGAAAUAACACAGGAAUAGAUUAAUCAUUCUAUGUCAUCUCAUGUUUGGUUGUAUUUUACGCAUGUGAUGACACAUCCUAACUAACCAAAUUAAUCCCCCAUUUAUGGGAUGAAAUAAUCCCAUGGGGAGGUGGUAUUAGUCAUCCCGCGAUGAGUAGAAGAUAGGAUGAUGAAAUUUUAAACUAAUUUAUCCUUACAAAUAAUAUAAAUUUAUACUCUCAUAAUUAUAUAACCUUACUCUCACAUGAUAAUAUAAUAUGAAUGGAUUAAUUUGCCCCUACUACAACAUAAUAAUAUUUGGACUAGUUUGCCCUUGUGAAUAAUACAAAUUCAUUCGGAAUAUUAUAUGACCAUACUCUCAUAUAAUAACAUGAUAAUAAAUGAACUAAUUUUCCCCUACUAAUUAUAUUAAUUUUUUUUACUAAUUUGCCCCUAUACAUUAUUUUAAAAAUUUUGACAAAAUUACUCCUAUUUAUUAAUUUAAAAUUUUAGAUUGAUUUGCCCCUACUUACAUCAUAAUAAAAGGACUAUAUAGCCCUUGAAUUAAAUCACCCUUACUAACCUUAUUUUCUCAACCAUAUUCUAUAUAAAUACAUAACCAUAUCAAUUGGAUUUGCGACUGAGGGUUUCAAUAAUCUCAAAUUCAAUCCAAAGAAAAAUCUUCUACUUAUAUUGGUUUUGGGGUUGGCUCAUUUAAAACUCUUAUAUGGGUUGGAUUUUAUUCAAUUUAACCCUAAUGUAGCUAAAACUUGGCCCAUUAUUUAAUUAAUAUUUAAAUUGAGAUUCAAAACCUAGGUUAAAACCUAUUUUUAAGGGCUCAAAUGGGCUGAGUUUGAGUGAAUGAUAAUUUUUAUAUAUAUCAAAACCCUUGAUAUACAUUAUAAUUCUAAAGUUUCAAAUUAUUAAAUUAUUUUAUUAAAACAAUCCUACAAAUUAAGGAGCAUUUUAGUCAUUAGAAUAGUAAUUCUAUCUUAUCCAAUCACCAACCAAAUACAGGAUAGGAUUAUUUUUCAAUAUAUCCUAUCGAAUUUACAACCAACAAACAAUAGAUAACUUAUAUUAUUAAUCCAAAAAUGACUCAACCUAGAAUUAAUAAUCCGAGAAUGGGUCCUCCCAUCUCAUUCAAUCCGUGAAUCAAACGAACCCUUAUAGUUUAUUUACAUGACAUAAAUUUAAGAACAUAAUAUCCUUCCCCAACCAUAGUUAAACGUCUUUAAUGAUGUAGGAAACUCCAAAAUCUAAGUAACAUUUACUAGACAUAUUUUGGGAGGUUAACAGGCAAUUGUUUCACGAAUUCACUUGCUUCCACCAGCAAGCCUAAUCUACUAAGAAGAUUAAUCAUCAUAGUGUAUUGCUUUGGUUUUGGAAUGAAGUUAAACUUCUUCAUUGAAAUGAAGUAUUGCCAACCUUCAUCAACUAGACCAGAAUGAGCACAUGCAUUUUAGAGUUGUAAACAACUCACGUAAUCUACUUCCUGUCCAGCUUUAAUCAUCAAAGAAGACCAAAAGAUCUAAGGUUUCUCCAGCAGAAAUGCCUGUGACACAAUCAUAGCAUUUGAGACUACAGUAUCAUGAUCAGUUGUCCUAUCAACCACCAAAGUAGCAUCUUCUAUGAAACCACAUCUAGGGUUCAUGGAUUUCAAUGACCUUACUGCCACCGUAUCCAUGUCGAAACCUAUCUUGAUCGGAUAAGUAUACACAACUCUGCCCAAAGCUCAAACAACUUCCCCAAGACUUAAGUAAUGGCAAGAAUUAAAUUCAAGUGGAUGCAUCCUUCACAUGGUGUCAGGUGAUAAUAUUUCACACAACAGCUGAAUGCAUGACAAGAUCACAUUGACCAUUACUAAUAUAUAAACAUGUAGUACAUCCCAAAUUAAACAACUGAACUUACCAGGAACAUGAAAAUUAAAAACAAGUAGAUAAUUAAAUUAUUAGACCAUACCGAGAUGAAUAGAACGGAACCUAUAGGCAUUCAAGAAAUGAAAAAAGAACAGCUAAAGAAGCCCUGAUAUGCUAUUUUAUCCCUUUUUUGGUCCAAGAGACACAAAUGACAUAUCCCUGGAUGGUGUUUCCAAGUGAAAGAGUUGAUUAUUUACAGGAGCUGAGUGCAUGGAGCAUGGGUUUCGGUUGCUAUUGAGCGGUCACUACUUCAUUUAUCUACAAAAUACUCUCUGGAGGUUUCUCACCUUCUCAUUAAUUCGUCAGACUGGUUAUGAGAAGGUGACAACAAACAUAGAGGUGCUUCUACUAAAUAGAGAGAUCGAGAGGAUGCCCUGUCCCUACCCAUGGAGAUUGGGCAGGAGACCUUUAUGGUAGGAAGGCUUUGACCGUGCCUACAGUAGAAAGGGCUGCAGAGAUCGACACGUGUUGGAGUUGAAUGGAGUCCAAACGGAGACAUUAAGUUAUGGCAGAGCGCGUGGAGAGGAAAGAUGCAUGCACUGUCUGCGGAUGCAACCAAAAAAUCACACGGAUUUCCGUACGAUGUUGCAAGUUGGGCCAAGAAGGAUAAUUGCAAGUUAGAACUAGAGGCAUUUACGCAUUUGCAACUGUACCCAUUACCAAUGGAAAAAUACUGCAAAUGCCUUCGACAAAAAAAUGUGCAUAAAGAAGGUACCGAAAUUUUAACAAAUAAUAAAUGUAAAUCUCACACGUGUGGGGGGAAAAUAAUUUGGAAGAAGGACAAGUGGAGGUAAACGAAGUAGUUCCGUGGCAAACUCGAAACACAAAAGGAUUCAAGCCUUCAUUAUAUUUAUAUACAUAUAUAAAUUUAGUACCCAAGUGUUCAGCUUAAGCAUCCGGGAAAAUGGUGUAGUAACUAUCGUUAUGGUAAAAAAACAGUUUUAGACAUGAUAUAAUAGGUUAUAAUAAUUUUAGCGACCAUUUAAUUACCUGUUGGACUUAUCGACUUGAACAGGAUAAUGGAUAAAAAUAAGGAAAUAAGUUUCUCAUCUAAAAUAGUAAGUUAACGUAAUAAAUGAGUAACUUUUGCAGUCCAAAAGGUAAAUUGAAAGUAAUAAGAAACAUAUUUUUUAAAGAGAUAAAUUACUAUUUUAUAUAAUAUACUUUUGAGGGAGUAAGUUUAUUUCAAGUAAUAGUAUGUUUUUAUACAUAAAUAGUGAUUUUUACUUAUAACAUAGUAAAUUUGAUUAAUGACCAAAACAUACUAAUUUAUGGCACAAAUAUUCUAUUCUGCUUAAAAAACUUAUACCAAGCCCAUAUUUUAUUGUUAUUUGAAAUAACAAUAAAAUGUUUUAUUAAUAAUUAAAACUGAAUACCUUAUUUAGUAAGUACUCUUAAUAUACUUGUAUACAUACUUGAUCGUAUGUAUAAUUUAAAAAAAUUUUGGGUCAAUUUAUUUUAAAAUAUUUUGACCUUUGACAAAACCUUAUAAAAUAAUAAAAUUUUGUCGUAUUAUACAUUUGAAUAAUUUUUGAAAAGUUUAAAAGUUUGGAUAAUAAUAACAACACAUGUUCCUACUUAUGUAUGGAAUAUCACUUAUCUAUAUGAUUUCUAUAAUUUAAAGCCUAUGAAUAUAAUAAGACGAUGAAGUUUUAAUAUAUGUAUUUUCUGGGACACGAGACAUAAUAAGAAUUAAACUUGUAUUAAUGUAAACCUAACAAAAUGAGAGAAAUAGCAUAACAAUUAAUACAAUAAUAAGAAUAACAUAGUUAGUAUAACAAAAUUAGUAUAGUCUGGAAUUUUUUUUCGUUUGCAGAUAGUUCACGAAUAUAAGAUUCAACCACUAAACAAAAAUAACAUGCAUAUGUAAUCCAUAACUAAAUAUAAAUUAAAUUUAGUUACAUUUUGUCAUCGGGUCCAUGGUGCAAGCCGGAGUUCAAUAAUGCAAUGCCAAAGUUGAAGCUUACUUUAGACGCCAUUGGCAAGAAGUUGGUACAAAGGAAAGACACGGAGCAAGGGAAAGGAGGGAAACCUUUACAGUAAAUGGAGGGAAAAUAAAGCCAAAAAUUAAUGGGAACACGGGUAUUACAUAUUAACCACAUUUAUUCACUACAAAUUUUACUCUGAUUUUAUCCUGUGAAUAAAUUAGUAUUUUUGGAAUUUAUACAUACUUAAAUUUUUUUCUUUUGCAUUUCUAAAAAAAAUUAAUCAAAAAUUUUUUUCCCAGAGCACAAAAAUCCACAAGUCAAAAGAGUUGGUCUAAAAGGGUAAGAAACAACUAAAUAUUAUUGUUUAAAGUACUAAAUAAAGAGAUGUAAAAUGCUCAUUAAAAGCUAGUACUUUGAUCAUAUAAUGAAGGAAAGCCAUAAAGAGCAGGACAUUUACAGGAAAAGUUUUCAUUAAUAAAAAUACCAGCUCUUCACGGCUUUCUUACUAGUCCUCCAACGUAUGAGCAAAGUGCUAAUAAUUAAAUUAGUAAUUUUUUCGAUUUAUACAUAAUUAAUUUUUUUUUGCAUUUCCACAAAAAAUUAAUGAAAAUUUUUUAUCAGAAAGCACAAAAGUCAAAAGGAUUGGUCUAAAAGGGAAAGGAAUAGCAGAUAUGUACAGUACUUGUAUUUCACGUUCGAAAUGCUUUUCUGCUGUUUUUGAAAAAUACCCCCAAAAACAUCUAAUCCAAAUGGAACCAAUCUUCAUUAUUUAAAAUACCAAAGCUGUGAAUGUAUUUUAACUGUUAUCCAUUGAUAUCCUAAAGUAUCAUUUUCCCAUCAAAUACCAGCUCUUUAACACCUAUUUUCCUAUAAACAAAUUUAUUUAUCAGAUAAAAUAAAAAUAAACCCGUUUUCCAAUAAAGCACUAACUCUUUAUGGCUUUCCUCCAUUAUAAGAACAAAGUACCUAUUUUCCCAUAAACAAAUUUAUUUAUCAGAUAAAAUAAAAAUAAACCCGUUUUCCAAUAAAACACUAGCUAUUUAUGGCUUUCCUCCACAAAUUAUCCAUUUUCCCAUUUUUCCAUAAGCUAAUUUAUUAGUUGGAUAAAAUCAGAAUAAAAAUAGGUUGAAUGGCAAAUUACCCUUUAGGAUACAAUGAAAAACAGGAAACUAACCUAUAGCAAGUUGAAACUCCGUUUCCACUACAAAGAUAUGCAAGAAAUUGCUUUUGCAAACUCAAGACACCUAAUUUAUAAAGUCUCAAGGAACCUUUAGAACCGUUAUAAAAAGCAACUUAUUCAUUCUAAAUUUUUGUUUGGGAUAAUUUCAUAAACCUCCCCGGAGGUUUCUAACAAUUUUACUUGGCACUCACAAAUAUUGAAAAAUCCCACUUGCGUCUCUUUUUUUUUUUUUUUGGGGGUCUGAAACUCACUUGCCUCUCUUACUUUAAACUAUUUGUUUAUUUACAGCUCAUUUUAAAACAUAAUAUUAAAAAAAUUCAUUUUGAGUAUAUUAAAAAAUGUAAUUCCAAAUUUACCCUUUUUUUGUUUUACUUUUUAUUACCAAAACUUGAGUAUAUUAAUAACAAAUAAAAAUAAAAAAGUAUAAGGAUUUAUUCUGAUUGGAUAAAAUAUAGUGCAUUUUUUAAAUACCAAUAGUUAGUAUUUGAAUGUUUAUUUGAAGUUUUUGCAAGUUACAAAGAUAAUGUUUUCUUGACUAUAAAGUGUUUUUGAGUUAAUUUAUGAAUCAUUUACAUAUUUUGAAUUUUAUUUGAUUUUUUUUUGUCCAAACUGAUGUAUUGAAAACGAAAAAGAUACAAGAAGAAAAAAGGAGACUUUUUGGAGAAAAUGAAAGAAAUUGAACUGAACAUGUUUGAUCAAUGUCUUGAAAAUGGUAGAGUAUUAAAAUAUACCAAAUCACAUACAAUGCUUCUAUAUGGCUGACCAUUUUCCCUGUCUAUUGUCCUAUAAAAAGCCAGCUCUUUAUGGCUUUCUUCCAUCAGAAUAAAAAACGUACCCAUUUUCCCAAAAACUAAUUUAUUUUAUAGGAUAAAAUAAACUAAACCCGUUUUCCAAUACGAUGCCAGCUCUUUAUGGCUUUCCAAUAAGAUUUUGAACCAAACAUGAGUUGGGCACUCAUGACAGUCCAUUUAUUGUGAUUCCAAACUGUGUAUUUUUCCCCUCCAUUCCAAACGGUGUAUUUCUCAAAACUUAAACGAGAAAGCAGAAGAGUGAAUCUUGUUUGAAUCCCAUCCAAACCUGUCCAAGCCUGUUAAAAAGCAGAGCGUCUCUCUUUUGUGUCUCAUAAAAAGCUGGUUUUUUGUUUAUAUAUAGAAUAUCACUUGUUUAUAUAUCACAAUUUUUCUAUUUUAACACCUACGAAUAUACUAAGAUGAUAAAAUUUUAAUAAAUUUACAUCUGUGACACAAGAAUUAAUAAGAGUUAAAGACCAAACAAUGUAAGAAAUAGUACAACAAUAACAAAACGACAAAAUUGGUAUAAUACUUGAUAUAAUAAAAUCAGUAUGAUCUGAACUUUUUUCCUUGGCAGAUUGUUCAUAAAAAAAAAUCCAACAAUUAAAUGAAAAUCACUUGUACAUACAAAUCUUUUGUAUAAUUUAAAUUAAAUUCAGUUCACGUAUACAACAGUCCAAAAAUAAUUAGCGCACUAUGAUACAAUGUUAUUUUAACAACAACACUUUUUGUUAUUCAAAGUCUCAAAUAUCCAUGACAUACAUAUGAGGGAUGUUUUUAUCAUAUUUGCACAAAUUUCGUUGCUGAAAAUAAAAGAUAUGAAAACUUGCACAAAUAUCAAAUUUAUUACAUAUAUUAAUAAUAUAGUUAGAAUCUCAAAAAAAAUUUUCUUUUUUUCAUAAUGACAAUCUCUAAAAAUUAUUGAAUCAAAGAAAUUAAUCUCCUAAUACUUCCAUUCGAAAGCACUCGUAAAUAAGGUAUAAUUACUCAACUUUUUUGGGAACUUUUUAAUGUAGUAGUUAUGUUUACUUAAUAACUAGUAAACCAUUCCUACAAUGCAUUGCUUCUCCUAAAAGUAUUAAUAUUUUGUAAAUAAAUUGAUUCUACUUUUGUAAAAAGAUUUUAUGCAUUUUCACUAAUAUAAUCAAGAGAAUUUUGCAGCUUUAUAACAUAGAUGGAAAGAAACGUAAAUGCUAUGAGUAUUACGAUGACCAAAUGCAAUGUAUAUCACAUCAUGUGUUUAGAUAUGAUUUAUUAAGUAAUCAGUAAUUUACUCCUGGUCAAUAUAUGAUGCAUAUUGAUUGCUUAUGAAUACGAAUAUAAUUUAGCAAUUAUGCAGUAACAGAAAUCGUAGUUUGAAUGCAAUCAAUUGAGCACCUAUUUCCUUUUCUUAAAUAGCUAUUAUUUAUUUCAUUAUUUAGGUUAUAUUUUCACAUGUAAAAUAACAACAAUAGCAUGCCAGUCCUCGAACCAACAUAACUUCAAUUUUUGUUAACUAAACUAAUUCUACAUUCAUAAAAAUUAGUCUACAAACUGAAAUGUUAAUGGCAACAAUUGGUAAACAAAAUAGCAAUCUUUUAUUUUUGGGAAAAUAAAAUAUAACUUCCAAAAUAUUUCACAGAUAUUUUUUCCAAAAAAAUCUCAACCUAUUAAUUACGUUCGAACUGAUUUUAUUAUAAAAAAUAUUCUUCCUGAAAUUAACAUCAAUGAUUACACAUGAGAUACAAUAUGGGAAAACAAGAGAUUAAAAUAUGGUAAAAUACCACUCAUACAUAUAUCAUGUAUAUUGGAGAUUUUUGCCAAAAAGUAUUUUUUUUGUUGUUAAAAUAAUAGGGUAUUGUAGUGUGCUAAUUAUUUUAGGAUCAUUUUGUAGAUGAACUAAAUUUAAUUUAUAUGUAGUUAUAGAUUAGAUAUGCAUGACAUUUUUUUAGUGGUUGACUCUUAUAUUCGUGAACAAUCUGUAGAGGAAAAAAAAAAUUCCCGGCUACACUAAUUUUGUUAUACUAACUCUGCUCCACUUUUCGUUCUUCCAAAUUAUUAUCCCCCACACGUGUGAGGUUUACAUUUAUUAUUUGUUAAAAUUUCAGUACCUUCUUUACGCACAUUUUUUGUCGAAGGAAUUGCAGCAUUUUUCCAUUGGUAAUGGGUACAUUUGCAAAUGCAUAAAUGUCUCUGGUUCUAACCUGCAAUUACCCUUCCUGGCCCAACCUACAACAUCAUACGAAAGUCCGUGUGAUUUUUUGGUUGCAUCCGUAGACAGUGCAUGCAUCUUUCCUCUCCACGCGUUCUGCCACAACUUAACGUCUCCGUUUGGACUCCAUUCAACUCCAACACGUGUCGAUCUUUACAGCCCUUCCUACCAUAGGCACGGUCAAAGCGUUCCUACCAUAAAGGUUUCCGGAUUUGGGCGGACAGAUGUUUGGCAUUAAUCAAACCUGACAGUGAAGAGAGAGAGAGAGAGAGAGUGAGUGAUCUUCAUUUUUUCCCCCUGAUUAUAAAUGAGACCCGGUUUACUAAUUUAAUCCGUAUAGGACCCACUUGCUAAUUAAUCCAAAUAGGGGAGUGGGAAUCUGGAAUUGGAAUUGCAAUUCUUAGGUCUGACUAAAGAAUUGGAACCAUGGACUUCAAGUUCAGCCCCGUUAGAAUUGGAAUGCAAUUCUAAUUUUGUGGGUUUGGCUUCAACACUUCUAUGGUCGCAAUUCCAUGGUACCAAACACACCCUUACACGGAAUUCUUAAACUUUUUUUUUAGUGUAACUGAGAUCACUUGAAUCCGAAAUCUAUCACUUAUAUUCCCUCUCUGAACCACCUAAUUCAUCCCUCCCUCUUUUUGAAUUCAAUUCAAUGUGAAAAUUGAAAAUGAAAUAGGUCAAUAUCUUCUGUGCUAAAAUUUCCGAAAGUGCUAAAUUCAUUCACUAGAAUUAUCGUAUCAAAUUCCACUCUCACCAUUAUUUUUUUUGUUAAUACAAAAUUUGACCAUGUGUAGCACUUGCCUUGGGGAUUAGUUUUUACCUAAUCAAGUGGGGAAAGCAUAAGGUAACUGGAGGUCAGGAAUUCAAAUGACUUGGGUUCAAAUUAGUUUUUUUGAGGUUGGAUUAGGUCAGUUGAGUCUUGGGUGUUGGAUUAAUUGGGUGUUGGGUGAAAAAGACUCAAUGAGUUUUGGACUAUUUAGGUUUUUAACUUGGAUACCCAUUUAUCUAAGUACUUGUAAGUUGUACCCACUAACCUAAAAUGCAUGUGUUAAUAAAUUAGAAUAAUGGGCAUACGUUUAAGAGCUCAAGAGUGAUAUGCAUCGUCCCAAGAAUUCACCCUCUCCCCCGAAAUAGGAAAAGUGUUGCACUAUCCAUAUAUAAAAAUAAAGUAGCUUAGAGAAUUCCGCAUAAUGAUAGAUUUAUGGAAUUUCUAGCUGUUUCAAUGGUAUUCUGAUGUAUCUUAGAUAUCAGCAUUCCAGCGUUUUACUAAAUAUCUAGCAGAAGUGUAUUUGCCUGCUUUCCACCAAAUACUGAAAUUAAUCACAGCUGAAGGGCACAUCAACUCCUUUAACUUCAUAUUUAUAACUUUCCGAAGUAGGAUUUUCUGUAGGUAAAACCCAAUAUAUGAGCUGGUUCAAUAAACUUUGGCAUUUCUUAUCGAUCAAUUUACCCAUUACUAUUUUAAGACUUUACUUAAAUAGUUCUUCCACGGUCUCUCAACAAUUUUCUAUAUGGGGUCGCUUUCAAUUAGUCAAACUAAAAGAGGCGUGUAUGUAACAAGGAUACUGUUAAAGUGGCUUUGUUUCACAUCACCUUUUGUACAAGAGAGUCUUUCCAUUAGUUGUCUAUAAAUAUAGUGGGCUGUGAUGGAAUUAAGUGCAUCAAACCAAGAAAAUUUUAGUAGACUAUUUGGGCCUUUGGAUUAUUAAAUAUUUUAUUUAGUAAAAUAUUUUUGGGUUCUCUUGUGUUUUAAAUAUUAGGUGCUUUGGAUUUAGAAACAUUUUGCUAAGGCAUUUUGUACUCUUUUCUUUAUAGUAAAAUUAUGUUCCUUCUCCGUUCGUGGGCGUAGUAGAUUAAUUUGACCGAAUCAUAUAAAUUUCUGUGUUUCUAUUUUAUUUAUUUUUACUUUGUUAUUUAUCUUUUGGAGUUGCCAAAAACACUCUUCCAUCAAUUUUAUGGGGCUAGAUCUAACGAACUGGUAUCAGAGUUUUUUCGGAAGUUUUGGAUUAUGUGGCAACAAUGACAAUAACAAAGACUGUUGUUAAGAAAUUCGAUAGAAGUAUCAACUUUGGGAUGUGGCAGCUCAAGAUAGAGGCCAUUUUGGUUCAAGACGGAGUUGAUUUAGCGAUACAAGAAUUUGAGAAAAAGUUAGAGAAUUUGACAAAUGUAAAUUUUGCUUAGAUGGAUAAGAAGGCAAGGUCCAGUAUUAUUUUAAAUCUCUUUGACAAGAUUUUGCCAGAGGUGGCCACUGAAAUUUUGGCAAAAGUCAUAUGGAACAAGUUGAAGACCAUGUACAUGAAGAAGAUAAUUGAGAAUCGAUUUAUUUAAAAUAAAGUCUGUAUAUGUUUCGCAUAAUUGAAGGUACAUUUAUACUCUCAUAUUUUGAUAAAUUUGAUUCUAUUAUUAUGAAUUUGAAAAAUAUAGAUUUCAAAAAUUGAUAAUGAGGAUUAGGUCCUGUUACUUUUAUGUUCCCUUCCCCAAUCCUUUAAAUAUUUUCGCGAUACUAUGAUUUAUAUAAAAGAAAUAAUUUUAUAUCGCAAAAUUAAAUCUACAGAUAGAUAGGGAUAUUACCGAAAAAAUUUAUAAAAGUCAGGAGAAAGGCCUAACUUUUUAGGGGUAGAACCAGUAAAAGAGAAUUUGACAAUAGUAUAUCUAAAUUUAGAUCUAAAUUCAAACAUAAAAAUUUGGAGUGCAAUUAUUAUCACAAAAUGGGGCACAUUAAGGUAAAUUAUUUUAAAUUUAAAAAUUGAUUAAAGCAAAAGGAGAAAUCUGUGAGAAAAAUACUAAGGGGGCGUUUGGUUCGCACGUCGGAAUCGGAUUCGGAUUCGGAAUCGGAUAUCUUGGGUUUGGAAUGAGGUCAUUCAUUCCAAUAUAUUUGUUUGGUUCAAGUACCUGGAAUGUGUAUCAUUACUAUAAUUGAUGUUUGGUUCGUCGACUCUUUCGGAAUGGAAUAUAAUAAAUAUAUUAUAAACCACAUCGUAAAUGAUAAUUAUUGGCUCUUUGUAAAUAAGAUAUAAGAAAUUUUCACUAAUUAAAUAUAUUAGUAUAAAUGUAUUAGUAAAUAUAUUAGUAUAAAUGUAUUAGUAAAUUUAGAUAAUAAUAUUAUCAUUAUAAAUUUGUAACUAAUUCAAUUAAAUAUUAUAUAUAUAAUUAAAUAUAAAUAUAUAAUUAUAUAAUAUAUACAAAUAUUAAUUAUACUAAUAUUUUAUAUAAAUAUAAUAUAUAUUACAUAUUAAAUAUAGUUAUUAUUAUAUAUUAUUAUAUUUAAAAUAAUUAUUAUUAUAAUUAUAUAACUUAUUAAUAUUACAUACAUGUAUAUAUUAUAAUUAUAUGCACAUAUAAUAUACAUUUAUAAAUAUACAUAUAUAUUAUAAAUAUAAUAUUAUAUAAUAAUAAUAAAUUUAUAAUAUAUAUUAUAUAAGUAUAAUUAUAUUUAACUAAAUAAUUAUAAUAUAUAAUUAUAUAAUACAAUAACAUCAUUAUUAUAAGUUUGUAACUAAUUAAAUUAAAUGUUAUAUAUAUAAUUAAUUAUAAUUAUACAAACGCUAUAAAAUAAAUACAUAAUUAUAAUUAUAUAAUAUAUAAAUAUUAAUUGUACUCAUAUUUUAUAUAAGUAUAAUGCAUAUUAAUAUUAGAUAUAGUAAUUAUUAUAUAUUAUUGUAUUUAAGAUAAUAAAUAUAAAUAUAAAUAUAAUUAUAUAAUUUAUUAAUAUUAUAUACAUGUGUAUAUUAUAAUCAUAUGCACAUAUAAUAUGCAUUUAUAAAUAUACAUAUAUAUUAUAAAUGUAUUAUUACAUAAUAUUAAUAAAUUUAUAUAUAUAUUAUAUAAAUAUAAUUAUAUUUAACUGAAUAAUUAUAAUAUAUAUUUAUAUAAUGUACUAAUAUUAUAAUUAUAAUAUAUUAUAUAUAUGUACAUAAUUAUAAUUAUAUAAUAUAUAAAUAUUAAUUGUACUCAUAUUUUAUAUAAGUAUAAUGCAUAUUAAUAUUAGAUAUAGUAAUUAUUAUAUAUUAUUGUAUUUAAAAUAAUAAAUAUAAUUAUAUAAUUUAUUAAUAUUAUAUACAUGUGUAUAUUAUAAUCAUAUGCACAUAUAAUAUGCAUUUAUUAAAUAUACAUAUAUAUAUAUUAUAAAUAUAUUAUUACAUAAUAUUAAUAAAUUUAUAUAUAUAUAUUAUAUAAAUAUAAUAUAUAUUUAUAUAAUGUACUAAUAUUAUAAUUAUAAUAUAUUAUAUAUAUGUAUAUAUUAUAAUAUAUAAUAUAUAUAAUAUAUAUAAAUAUUAAUUAUAUCAUUGUAUAAUUAUAAUAUGUAAUUGGAUUUGUUUCUUGGAAUCAAACUUGGGAAUCGGACAAAACCCACCAAAAUACUAGGGAAUGGAGAAACACCAAAUUUUUAGAAAUCAUUCCAAGAUUUCAAUUCCCAUUCCAGUGAACCAAACACCAUUUAUGGGGUUCAUUCCAUUCCCCGAAUCCGAUACCCUCUUACCAAACGCCCCCUAAGACUGUCGAAUCUUGUGUUUCAGCUGAUGAAAAUGAAGAAAAUAUUUUCUUUGUGACUGAUGACAGGAGAAGAUCUAAAAAUGAAUGGAUUUUAUAUUCGAGGUGCUCUUGUCACAUGUGUCCCAAUAUGAAUUUAUUUUUUACUUAUAAAUCUUGUAAUGGUGAAAUUGUUUUGAUGGACAAUAAUAUCAUUUGUGAUGUUGUUAGUAAGGGUAUAGUCUGAAUUAAAAUGCAUGAUGGUAUUGUGAGGACGCUUAAUAAUGUUAGACAUAUUCCUAAUUUGAAAAAGAAUUUCAUCUCUUUGGGUACUCUGGAGGUUCUCGGGUGCAAAUACAUAGUUAAAAAUGGUGUUAUGAAAAUUUCUAAAAGUGCUCUUGUUGUAAUAAAAGCCUGCAAGUUUGGUAUUUUAUAUAUUUUACAAGGAACUACUGUUUCAAAAUCGGUUGCAAUUUCGUUAUCAUCAUUUUUAUUUGAUUCUGACAUCACCAAAUUGUGCAUAAACGUUUAGGACAUAUGAACGAAAAAGUCUUGGGCAUACUAAGCAAAGGGGGAUUUCUUUCCUAUCAAAGUACUGGGUCAUUGAAAUUCUGUGAACACUGUGUCUUUAAGAAGUAAAAAAAAUUAGUUUCAGUUCACCAACAAUGCAUCAUACGAAAGGUACUCUUGAUUAUAUUCAUUCAGAUUUAUGGGGCCCAUCUCGUGUUCCAUCUAAAAAUAGUGCCAGGUAUAUAUUGACUUUCAUUGAUGAUUAUUCAAGGAAAGUUUGGGUUUAUUUUCUUAAAUAUAAGAAUGAUGUUUACCUCACUUUCAAACACUGAAAAGUAUUAAUUGAGAAAUAGAUAGGUAGACAGAUCAAGUGGUUUAGAACAGAUGAUAGCAUGAAAUUUUGUGAAAGAGAAUUUGAUGAAUUUUGCAAGAAUAAAGGAAUUAUUCAGUAUCGUAUUGUCAGGAUGACACUUUAGUAAAAUGGUGUGGUCGAACGUAUAUGAACUAAAACAUUUUUGGAGAGAGCGAGGUACAUGAUCUCUAAUAUUGAGUUGACAAAGGACUUUUGACCAGAGACGAUUUUUUUUGUUAUAUUGUCAAUCGUACCCUUUUUGAAACUUUUGAUUUCAAAACUUGUGAGAAAGUUUGAUCAAGCACUCCUAUUGAUUAUUGUGAUUUAAAAAUUUUUAGGUGUUCGACAUACAUUCAUAUAAAUGAUGAAAAAUUAGAGCUCCAAGUUAAAAAGUAUAUCUUCCUUGGGUAUGUUUUUGGAAUGAAAGGUUACAGAUGAUGGUGUUCUGAUUCUAAAUUCUCAAAAUAUAUAAGUAGAGAUGUUAUUUUUGAUGAAUUUUGUAUGUUAUCUUUCAAGAAGGAAUUUUCUAGUUUUUGUCAUACAGAUAAUAGUAUGCAAAAAUAGGUGGAGUUUGAGAGUGUCAGUUCUAGUCUUUCUACUUAACAAGUGCCAGUAGAUGCAUUUGAAUCUACUGAUAAAAAUAAUUCAAAAAGAAAAAAUAUUUCAUUGGAAAAAAUAGACUAAAAAGUGAUAUUCGAAACCACAAAAAUAUGUAAAUUUUGUUGCAUAUGCUCUGUCUAUUACAGAAAAAACUGAUGUAGUUGGUGAGCCUACUAAUCUAUUCAGAGGCAGUUUUUUGUGAUGAUUCUGUUAAGUGGUUGAUUGCGAUGAAUGAAAAAAUUAAAUAUCUUUAUUGAAAUGGAACUUGGAUUCUUGUGAAGUUGUUGGAUUCAAAUGGAUUUUCAAGAAAAAAGAAUGUAUUCCAGAGAUUGAAAAUGCAAGGUAUAAAGCACAGUUGGUUGCAAAAGACUAUAGUUAGGUAUAAGGUAUUGAUUUUAAUGAUGUAUUUUCACCUAUUGUCAAGCAUAGAUCUAUUCGUGUUUUACUUGAUUUAGUUGCCAUGUAUGAUUUGAAAUUGGAACAACUUGAUGUUAAAACAGUUUUCUUAUAUGGUGAACUUAAAGAGAAAAUUUAUAUGAAACAAUCCCAAGAAUUUAAAAUUGAAGGAAAGAAAAACCAUAUUUGUUUAUUGAAGAGAUCCUUAUGUAGAUUGAAACAGCCUCUAAGACAAUAGUAUAAGAGAUUUGAUACUUUUAUAUUAUAUCAUAGUUAUUCAAGGAGCAUGUAUAAUAGUUAUGUUUACUUGCGAAAGUUAGAUUAUGAUUCUUUCAUUUAUUUGUUAUUUUAUGUUGAUGGCAUGCUUAUUGCUGUCAGAAAUUCAUACUUUGAAGUUGCAGCUAAGUAAUGAAUUUGAAAUGAAGCAUUUGGGAAUAGUUAAGAAAAUUUUUGGCAUGAAAACCAAGAGGGAUCGAAGAGUUGAAAAGUUAUUCUUGAUUCAAGAAAAUUACCUUGAGAAAGUUUCGGAAAAAUUUGCCAUGAAAGAUACUAAAUUUGUGACUACUCCUCUUACUAGCCAUUUUCGACUAUCUGCUAUUCAGUCACAAUAGUUAGUUGAAGAGGAAAAGUUUAUGGCUCGAAUUUCUUAUUCUAAUGUAGUCGACAGUGUUAUGUAUGCAAUGAUUUGUACUCGUUCAGACGUCACACAAGCAGUCAGUGUGGUUAGCAGAUAUAUAUCUUGUCCUGAAAAAGCACAUUGACAAGCUGUGAAAUGAAUUCUAAGAUACUUGCGAGGAAUUUCAAACUGUUAUUUGGAGUUUGGGAGAAAAAAUAACACUUUGGUUGGUUUUGUGGACUCUUACUAUACUAGAGAUCUUGACAGAAGAAUAUUACUUUUAGAGUACGUAUUCUGCAUUAGUGAUUGUGCAGUUAGUUGCAAACUUACUUUACAAUCUAUUGUAACUUUAUCUACUAUGGAGGCAGAAUAUAUGGUCAUGACCGAGACAAUCAAAGAAGCCUUGUGGCUGAAAGGUCUGUUUGGCGAGUUCAGUCUACAUCAAGGUGUUACUACUAUUUAUUAUGAUAGUCAAAGUGUCAUUCAUUUUACGAAAGACUAGAUGUAUCAUGAGAGAACGAAACAUAUUAAUGUAAAAUUUCAUUUCAUUCGACAUAUAAUUGUAAAAGUCCUUGUUCAGAAAAUCAAUACCAAGGAAAAUCCUGCAAAUAUAUUCACAAAACCUCUUCUAAUUUACAAGUUCAAGCAAUGCUUGGAUUUCGUUAGUGUUUGUUGUUGGUGAUUUAGACCCAUUGGGACUUAUGUAAAGAAGGUGGAGCAGAUUUGAUAUUGUCGAUAUUAGGAACACGCCAAGGUGGAGAUUUGUUAAAGUGAUUUUAUCCCACAUCACCUUUUGUAUAAGGGAGUCUUUCCCAUAGUUGCCUAUAAAGAUAGUGUGCCUGAGAUGGAAUUAAGCGCACAAAAUCAAGAGAGUUUUAGUGAAUCAUUUGGGUCUUUGGGCCAUUAAAACUUUUGUUUAGUAAAAUAUUUUUGAAUUCUCUUCUAUUUUAAGUAUUAGAUAUUUUGGAUUUAAGAAUACCUUCCUAUGGCAUUUUGUAUUCUCUUCUUCAUGGUAAAAUUCUUUUUCUCCUCCGUCUGUAAACGAAAGUCAUUUGAUCGAAUCACCUAAAUUCCUGUAUUUUUAUUUUAUUUAUUUUUAUUUUGUUAUUUGACUUUUGGGUUUGCAAAAAAAAAAAAAAAAAACUCUUUCAUCAAUUUCUUGGAGCAAAAGCUAACAGAUACAAAUUGUUAGUGUGUGUUUUAGUCUCUUUGUGUGUGUGUGAAAAUGAUGUGUUAGGUCAAGAAGUGAACGUGUGUUUGUAUGUGUGAAAGUGUUUUAGUGUAUGAAAAUAUGUUUAUAUACGUGAAACUGAAUUUAUAUAUAAGAAAAAAUCAUUUUGUGUGUAUAAAUGCGUUCAAGAGAAUAUUAUGUAUCAAAAUAUAAAAUAAUAUGCUUGGUCAUAUUUGAUUUAUGGAUUUGAAUUGAUCCAAUAUGAUCCAACCCAAUAUCAGCCCAAUUUGUACUUGGAUGUUUUAGAUAUAACCGAAAUAAACAAAAACCUAACGUCAAUCCGCUCAAAAGCCGCCCAACCCGUCCAAUUGCCAUGUCUAGAUUUAACCAUUAACCAAAAAAAGCGUUAUCAUAUUUAAAAACUAAAUAAUAUUAAACAUAUUGAAAAGAGCUAUAAAUUCAUUCAAUGUUGUUCCCCAUGGGUAAAUCGAAAUAACACCUAAAUUAAGUUGCGUUAUUGAAACAACUAAACAAGAUUAAACAUAAUGAAGUGAAUAGUAAAACCAUUAAAUUGCUAAAAGGUCUUCAAACUGCAUCGGUUAUUCAAUAAACUUUUUACUUUGCUGAAAUGAUCACUCAUCUAUUUAAAACGAGUCAAACGAGUCAUUUUGAUGAGUUUAUUGCCUAAUCCAUUUGAAGACAAGACAGGGGUCAGGCCUAUAUAAUAACAAAUUCCUACUCUCAAAGACGUAAACGAGUACAAUAGCAAGUAGGAUUGUCUCCGAAGGGAUUAGGAGGAAAAUCUGUUUCUUUUCAAGCAAAUUCAAUUAAGGGGUGGUUUUAGGAGGUUUAAAAUUAAAAUAAAGCACUAAAUGAAAAUAAAACUAAUUAAACAAGAGUAAAUUAAAUUAGACCAACGAUUAACAAGUUCUAGCCAAGGAAUUAACUCCGAAAGUGGUUCAUACAAUAAAUUAUCGAUGCAAGAAUCAUAUCAAUUAUUCUCUAAUAAACAGGUUAUAGUUGUCAUAUACGCGAUAAACAACCAACUUUUCAUUAAUGUCUCGAUAGUUAAGGUACGCCCGUCAACUACUUCCCUAACCAAGAAACAAUCCUAAAUAUGCCCGUACAAUUUAAUUUCUUGCUUGCAUUAAAAACUAGAAAAACCCUGUUCUAAUAAAAAAACGCGCUACUAUGAUUUAAUUAAAUUAGAUCGUAUAUCUCUCUAACAUGGCUCCAAUCACAUUAGUUGUCACUUUAAAACAAUUAAACAAUUACAAAUUUAACUGUACUAAUUGACAAUAGUUUGUUAGAUUGAAUUAAAUAUCAGGCGCCUUUGAUAUCCAAACAACUAAUAACCAUGAGAAAUUAAAUCAGAAGACAUACAAAUACUAACAAAUAAAAGAAAUUAAUAAAAAUAAUUAGAUAUCACAGAUGUUGAUGAACCAAACCCUUUGUUAUUCCUCAGCUAGAAAAAGGAUUUAGCUACGCGUCAUUUGGGGAAAUCCACAAGACUUCAUUGAUAACAAUUGCAUAUGGGUUUUUCCCUAAAACUAACGAAAGAUAAGAAGAAUAAUCAAACAAGUUACGGCCGUGUCUGAUACUUCAAAGAGUCUUCCUGAAAUUGUUGCUGGGCCAACUCCUAAUCAAACGGGAAUCCAGCUUUCCUAAUUCCUCUUGUUUUCUACUUAAUCUCAACUACUAAUAAUAAGAUAUAUUCCCAAAAUUAAAAAAGGAAACUACUAAAGAUAAUAUUCCAAGUUUCCUAAUCCAAUAUUAUGACUAAUAAUGAAAAUUAAAGUGUUCAAAAUCUUUCUCCAAAAACUGCCUUAAAUUUGACUUAGAUAUGGAAAUUAGCCCCGAAUGCGUCACCAUCAAAGUAACUCUUAGAAUGCUGAAUAAUUGCUCCUUUUAUUCACAUCUCACAUAAUUCCCUACAAUUAGCAGUUAAUCAAAUGUAAGUAGAAUCUAAUAAUUAAAAUAAUAUUUGGCUAAAAUCAAGGGAAAAUAAUUAUAAAUUAAAUAACAAUUUUGCACUCUAUCAAUUCCCUCCACACCUAGAUCAUACUUGUCCUCAAGCAUAAGAAACAAUAAAUGAAACAAUAAGUUCAAACAAUGGCUAUCACUCAAAUCAUCUAUUGUCAAGAUACUUUUAAAACACAUGUCAAACAUUAGUGGCUAGUCUCCAAGAGUUCUCUCUGGUUAGUUUUUCAAAUCAAGAACUCUUUCAAUUUCGGGGUAACCAAUUUAAGGAUAUAAAAUAUUCAACUAACAUUAGUCAGCAAACGGUUCAACUAUUAAGCAAAUCUCAACAUUAAACUCAUAGAUCAGCAGACUAACACAAUUAUUCACACAUUUGCACAUUUUUCACUAUUAGCUCAUCUUUUUUUUUUCUUUUUUUUUAUAUAUCCCUGUACUUGAGCUCUCAUUUUUUUUCUCUUUUUUUUAGGGAAAAAGUUUAAUCCUUGACUAUUCAAAUCUUUUGAUGCAAACUCUAGCAUCUACCAAAUGAAGGAAUCCGGUUACUCAACUUUCAUUGCUAAAAGACCGCAUACUUGUGAUGGUCCCACCUCCUUCUAGGUACCCUAGAAGUUAGUGAAUCGCCUACCUGACUCUCGUCAGGACUCCCUAAUAACACAUUAACAUCAGAAAUAACAGAUAAAUACUUCCCUUAAUCUUAUAUUAACUUCAGGGAUAACAGAUAAAUACUUCCAGUAACCUUAUAUUAACUUCAACGAUAAUAUUUAAAUAACCAAAACCAACCAUACCACUCUUUUACAAAACCUAGUACAAUACAAAAGUUCCAACCUUAAUAAGACACUAAAAGAUUCACAACUCAAAAUUCUCCAAGCUAACUUCCUAAGAUCCUUCGUUCGAUCCCUAACCACCAACUCCUGUAAGGAAAACAAAGCUAAAAUGGUUGAGUUAAAGCUCUGUGAGAUUUGCCGAGCAAGUAACAGUUAAUAAACGCUUAAAUCAUUGCAAUUAAACAAACGGUGCACAUUUCACUGGACAAUCACAUUCAAAAGGAUACACACUCCACAUGGGAGUUAUUUCAAUGUCAUUGAGCUGUCAUUUCAGAGUCACGAGACAAUCAUUUCAAUAUCAUUGCAUUCACUCCGCCAAUUCACCCCCUUAUAUUCUCCGAAAUAAUAAACAAUCCCCUACAUUCAACAAUCAACUCAGUAAUCUCCCAACUUCCAAGUAGUACUCGAGAAUACCAAAACAUUUACCCAAAACUACCGUCCUAUCCGACCAAACCCCUUGCUGGCUCGAAUAGUCCGUUGAACAGAGGGUUUUGGAGCCCAGUUCAGCCAAAGGCUUACAUUCAUGCACAUUUACAGUAUCAUUCAAUCAAUAAUCAACCUUCGAGCUCAACUAAGUCGAGUGUGAUAAAGUACAUUCCCGACUUAGAAGGCGAAAGACCAUUGAUAUACACAUCAUAAUAAAUCACUAGCAAUAUUCAAAACAAGCACAAUUCUCACAUAAAUUCAUUUAAAGAAACAUAACCAGUUAAGCAUAUACAUUCGACAAUACUCACCAAAUAUCCAAAUGAACUAGUCUCGAGUCUCGAGUCGAUUUCCUGGUUCACAGCUACUUCCUGGACAAGUUAAUAAUUCUAAAGUGAAUAUUCAAUUUAUAUACAGCCACUCAUCUUAUACCAAUUUAAGGUUUAAGUAACUAAAACCAAGUUCCUAAGCUUAUAAAACAAGUCACCAAAAUCCAGCAAUCUUCCUUACGUUUUUCUUCAAGAUCAUUAAGUUUGGUAGCUCUAAAACAAGGUUAAUGUACAUAUAUACCAAAUUUUAAGAUCUUAUAAAACAUUUGAGCUAAGAUUAACUCAUUUUCAACCCAAUAUUCAAGGAUUAGGGCAAGUGAACGUUUCAUUCCUUCCCUUUAAGCUAGACCAGAUUCUAGGUUGCUUGUAAUUUAAAUUUUGAUCCAAUUCACUAAAUUUUCAAGUUUUAGGUUCACUAAAAUGUUCAUGAAACAAAGUCAAGGUAUUAUAAGAUGUCUUAUGCAAAACCACACCUAAUCAUCCUAAAUCUUUUUUGAAAAUCUCAUAAGAGUUCAAUUCCUCACUCUCUCGGUCAGCAAGGCAAAUUUUCCAGCAAUACCACUUCAAAAAUUUCCACAAAGUUCCAUCUUUUACUUGCUUAAAACACUAAACAUUGAGUAUACAUUCUGUCCAGUUUAAACCAAAGUAGAUAUCAUAUAGUUCCAGCAAGUUAUUCGACCAAGGAACUGCACACACCAAUCUGUCAUCAGCUAGCUAAAACAUUCAGUAAUGUAGCAAUUUAGUACACGACAUUUCCUCCAUAAUUUCUUCAGUUUUAACUCUAACUCAUCAUGCAAAGGAUGAUUCUUCAGCUACAGAGUAUUCUUAACCAGCACACAUGGAAGUUUACGGCUAGAGUUCGAAAGAAAAACUAAUCAGAGGUUUAACUCUUUCUCUCGGCCAAACUGGAAAGGUUUUUGGGCAGCAAUCAGCUUUUAAGCAAGAACUUUCUCUAACAAUCCCUUCAAUUUAUAAUCAAAUCUUUCGUGCAUGAAGAAAUCAAGGUGUUAUACAAUAUUUUACAGCUUAGUACAGAAUUUUAGAACCAAGAUUCGCAAAAAGGAAACUGGUACUUCAUUAUUUCUUGCUCUCGGAUGAAGUUGAGAAAUUUCCAGCAACCUCUUAUCAGUAUUUUCAAUCCAAAUUUCCAGCUUUUCACAAGUUUCUUCAGCUAAACUUCAUAUAAUACAUAAGGCUAAUGUAUUACAUGCAUUUCCUAUCAUUAGUUUCCAUUCUACACCGAUAACAAGUUGCAACUCAGCAUGUAAGCUCUCGAUUCCUACAGGUAUCAGUCCAGCAGCUAUGCAGUCUCAAAUCAGAGUUUUGCUCAACAUGCAACUUAUGUAUUCUUAUACUUAAUAAGUAAAGGAUUAUUACAGAAUUUUUUUACCUCUUUUCUUUUAGAAUUCAACAAUUGUUGACUGCUCCAGUUCCUUCUAGCUUCGAUUCCUCAAAAUUGCAGCAGCUUUCACUCUUUCUCUCCAUUGAAGCUAAUAAGUGAUGAAACUAGCAAAGUUUCUCUUCCUAUCCUUCACUUUAGCUCUCAGUUUUGGUGUUUGAAAGGAAGAAAUGGGUUGAUGCCCUGUUUUCUCUCACGGUUGUUGCUGCCUAAGAAAAAUGCAGAGCUAUCUCUCACUCUCUCGGUUGGGCUUGAGGUGAGACAAGAGAAUGAGCUAAGUCCUCGCUUUUCUCUCGGUUGUUAACUCCGAAGAAGCUGAUCACUCAAACUUCCUCUUCAGUCGGUGGUGACAAUUCCUAAGUUCCUCAACUCAGUCCUACUUCUAAAGCUCAGACAACCCGCUGGCUACAUGGUAGAUCUAACCAAGGCUCAAGGUUAGAUAGGUCUUUUAAAAUUAGUUAGUUCAUUUGCUUACUAAGGCUGCAAUUUUUAUUAAUUCACACGCUAACUCCCAACCUUAUUUGUAUUUCCUUGAUCUUGUAGAUUCUCACACAUUUGAUUUUAUAGGAAAUUAACUAGACAUGUAACUUGUUCAACUAUAAUAUAUUCAAAUCACACAAAUUACGGUAUGCAUAAAAUAUGUUUAUUUGAUUCAUAUAAUUUUUUUUGAAAAAUUUAAAUUUAGACAUUUAAUUAAUAUAUUAGUUGUUAUAUAAUACUUCUAAUGGCAAAAUAAAGGAAAUACAUGCAAAACUUACACAAAUUUUCUCGGGUUUUCAUAUUCUCCCCCCUCCCUUUAAGGAAAUUUCGCCCACGAAAUUCUUACGUUCUAUUGUAAAAAGUUUCGGGUAUUCCUUUUGCAUUUUAUCUUAUAACUCCCAAGUUGUUUCUUCCAAUCCCUGAUGUUUUCAUAGAACUUUAACAAGGGAUAUCUGCUUAUUUCUUAAUAUUUUCAUCUUUUGAUCCGAAAUUCUCACGGUUUGCUCCGAAUAGGUCAGUGACUUAUCGAUCUCAAUUUCCUCAGGUUGCACACAUAGGUCGAGUCUGGAUAAUAUUUCUUUAAUAAUGAGACGUGAAAAAUGUCGUGUAUUCUGGACAAACUUGUAAGCAGUUCCAGCUGAUACGCCACUUUUCCUAUUUGCCAGAGAACCACAAAAGGUCCCACAUAUCUAGGUUUAAGUUUCUUUCUUUUCCCGAACUCUAAACCUUUUAACGGAGUAACCUUAAGAAAUACUUUAUCUCCCACCUCAAAUUCCAGGUCCUUUCUCCGAUUAUUUGCAUAAUUUUUCUGUCUACUUUGAGCUGCCUGAAUUCUUUGGCGAAUUAUUUCACUUUCUCAAAUGCCUGUUCAACCCACAGUACCUUUUCAGAACCUAAUACCUUCCUCUCACCCACUUCAUCCCAAUAAAUUGGUGACCUACACUUCCUUCCAUAAAAAGUUUCAUAAGGAUCCAUCUGAAUGGAAGAAUGAUAACUGUUAUUAUAAGCAAAUUCAACCAAAAUUAAGUGUUGAUCCCAACUAUCCCCAAAAUCCAUUACACAUGCUAUUAACAUAUCUUCCAAAGUCUGGAUGGUCCUUUUUGAUUGUCCAUCGGUUUGAGGAUGGUAAGUGGUAUUGAGACUUAACUUAGUUCCCAAUGCCCCUUGCAUUUGCUUCCAAAAUUGGGACACAAAUCGAGGAUCCCUAUCCGACACUAUACUUAUGGGUGUCCCGUGUAGUCUAACAAUUUCAUCCAAAUAUAAUUUGGCCAAUUUCUCAAGAGAGUACUUCAUAUUUAUGGGUAAGAAAUGAGCAGAUUUAAUCAAACGAUCCACUAUUAUCCAUAUUGCAUCACACCCCUUUUUAGACCGUGGUAAUUCUGACACAAAAUCUAUUGUAAUAUUCUCCCAUUUCCACUCAGCGAUUUCUAGGGGUUGCAAUAAUCCUGAUGGUUUCUGGUGUUCAACUUUAACUUAUUGACAAUUAAUACAAAUUUGAACCAUUUGAGCUAUCUCCUUCUUCAUAUUAUCCCAAUAGUAUAACUUUUUCAAAUCUUGAUACAUCUUGUUAUUAUCGGGAUGUAUGGUAUAUUUAGAACGGUAUGCCUCUUCUAGGAUUUUCCUCCUUAGCUCUGUAUUUCUUGGCACAACUAUCCGUUCUCAAAACUUCAAUACCCCUUCCGGUCUCAUUUUGAAUUCUGUGAUUUCUCCUUUCUUCUCCUUUUCUAUCUACCUUUGUAUCAUGGGGUCACUCCUUUGUGCUUCUUUAAUACAUUCCAACAAUGAAGAUUUUACUGUAAUUCCUCCAAAAAUCACCUUUUGUUGCUCUAAUUGAGGGUUCCAUUCCCCCCACCUUUUCAAGCAAUUUCCAUUCCUUAAUCAUUAAUCCUGCUAUCUGCACUUUUCUACUUAAAGCAUUAACUACCACAUUCGCCUUUCCAGGAUGAUAAUUAAUGCUACAAUCGUAAUCCUCCAAAAACUCCAUCAACCUCCGCUGCCUCAAAUUCAUCUCCUUUUCAGAGAAUAAAUAUUUCAAAUUCUUAUGAUCAGUAUACACCUCAAAAGUUAGCCCAUACGAAUAAUGCCUCCAUUUCUUUAAAGCAAAAACAACGGCAGCCAAUUCUAAAUCGUGGGUCGAGUAAUUUUGUCGUGGGGUUUUAAUUUUCAAGAGACAUAUGCAAUUACUCCCCUAUUUUGCAUUAACACACAUCCCAACCCUUCCUUUGAUGCAUCUGUAUAUACUACAAACCCCUCAUUUCCGUUUGGCAAUGUCAAAAUAGGGGCUAUAGUCAACCACUUUUUUAGCUCCUGAAAACUAACCUCAUAUUUAGCAUUCCAAAUGAAUUUGCUAUGUUUCUUAGUCAAAUUAGUUAAGGGUCCGGCAAUUUUAGAAAAAUCUUUUAUAAACCUCCGAUAAUAUCCCACUAAACCUAAGAAAUUUUGUAAUUCAGUAAGACACUCCGGCUGUGUCCAUUCAAUAACGGCUUCCACUUUGGUCUGAUCCACCGCAAUUCCCUCAUUCGAAAUUAUAUGUCCCAGAAAAGCCACUUUUUCCAACCAGAACUUACAUUUACUAAAUUUAGCAUAUAAUUGAUGUUCCCUUAAAACCUGUAACACCAUUCUCAAAUGCUGCUCAUGUUCUUCUCGAGUCUUAAAAUAUAUCAGAAUAUCAUCAAUAAAGAUUACUACAAAUUGAUCCAGAUAUGGUCUAAAUACUCAAUGCAUCAGAUCCAUGAAUGCCGCCGGGGUAUUAGUCAAUCCAAGGGGCAUCACCACAAAUUCAUAAUGCCCAUAGCGGGUAUUAAAAGUAGUUUUUGGUACAUCUUCCCUUCUUAUCUUUAGUUGAUAAUACCCUUGCCUGAGAUCUAUAUUAGAAUAUACCACCGCACCUUGUAAUUGAUCAAACAACUCAUCAAUAUUUGGCAAAGAAUAUUUAUUCUUAAUAGUAGCACUAUUUAGACGCCGAUAAUCUAUACACAGUCUCAAACUCCCACCCUUUUUCUUCACAAAUAAAACUGGGCUCCCUAUGGAGAUUCACUCAAUUGUAUAAAACCCUUUUCUAACAAAUCUUGUAACUGUAUUUUCAAUUCCUUAAAUUCAGUUGGGGCCAUUCUAUAGGGAGUCUUAGAAAUAGGCAUUGUUCCAGGCAUUAAUUCAAUUUUGAACUCCACCUCUCUCUCAGGGGGUACAAAUACUAAUUCCUUAGGAAACACAUCCAAAUAAUCUUUUACUACUGGUACCUCUUCAAUCUUUACCUUGUCCUUUUCAGUGUUAAUCAAAUAGACCAAAUAUUCUUGGACUCCCUUAUACAAUAGUUUUCUAGCUUGCAUUCCGGAAAUAAGAGCAGAGGAUGCCAACUUCCCUUCUACAUCUAAACGUAGGGUUGGUUUUCCUGACAUACGAAAUUCUACUACCUUAGCUAUACAAUUUAAUUGGGCAUUAUACCGAGUUAAGCAAUCCAUACCAAUAAUGAUAUCAUAUCCCCGAAUAGGCAAGGCUAUUAGAUUUACCACCAAUUUUCUUUCUCCUACUCAAAAUUCACAACCCCUGUAAACCAUGUUAGUUAUCAAUGUAUGCUCACCAAUUGGCAUUUUAUCAUAUGAUAACUUGAUUGAUUUUAUAUCAAUGCCACACAUAAAUUCAAGGUUUACAAAAAAUGAGUCACACUAGAGUCAAUUAAAGUUCAGGCAAGUCGAUGGAAGACAGGAAGCAUACUUUCCACGACUUUCGUUGUCUCAGGGGCCUACUGUCGAUCUAUUGCAUAAACUCUGGCCGCUAUCCUGGAUCUACUACCACCCUCGUUGGCUACUGUCCUUGGCUGCUACUUCUCUCGUUGGCCGAUCUACGGGUAUUUUGAUUUGAUGAUUGAACGCUUACCCCUCUUUGCCCCCUCCUCAGGCAACUAUUGACCUGAUGCUCAGUGCUAUCACAUACUAAACAUUUUCAACCCUUCACCCAAUAAUCAUGUUUAGUAUGAUUUCUUUUCCCACAGUAAUUACAUACAGAACGAGGUGUCGUCACUUGUCUUCCUCGAGAGGAACCCCCGUAUUGUCCCCUUCCCAGUUGAGUUCCUCCCGCUGAGACUCCUUCAAAUUUCUUUUGGGGUAGGGGUGGAAGUGGAGCAAGUCUUAUUCCUCCCAUUCCUCUACCAGCCUUGGGGUGGGGUGCAUUCUCUCUAGAUUUUUCAGGGUUACUGCUAGAUACACUUCUUUUCCUAACCUGAAAAGCUUUCAAUUGAGAUUUAGCAUUUUCUAUCAUUUGAGCUCUCUCAAGGGCCUCCCCAAAAGUGCUUAUUGGUGCGGCAGCUAAAGUUUCCUGUAUUUCUAAAAUUAAUUCCUGUAUGAACCGCCUUUUCCGUUUCUUCUCUGUAAUAACCAAGUCAAGAGCAAAUUUUGAUAAUUUAGUAAACUGAGUCUUGUACUCAGCUACACUCAUCGUCCAAUGUCGAAUCCUUAUAAACUCAUCCUCUCUCCUUUCCUAGAUUAUCGGAGGAAUAUAUUUUUCAUAAAAUUCUCUGGUAAAGUUCACCCAAGUCCAAGUUACUCUCUUUCUAUCCCACUUGGUUUGAAUAACAUUCCACCAGGACCGAACCACCCCCUCGAAUUGAAAUGCUGCGAAGGUUACCUGUCUUUCCUCCGAGUAUUUCAAAGCAUCAAAUAUGUUAACCAUAUUUUCCAGCCAAUUCUCAGUUAUCUCCGAGUCACAACCACUAGAGAAUUUAGGUGGGUAAAAUUUUAAAAACCUUUCUAAGGCUCUAUCCUCUCCUUCCUUCCGACCUCUCGGUUGAUUUUCAUUUCCAUCCCUUUGUCCCUAUUGAGGUACUAUUCGCUCUAAUAAAUCAGUCAUCUGAUUCAAUGCAGUAGGUACUGGGUCACCUACAUUAGUUCCUUGUUCCUGAUUCUGAUCAACCACGAAUUCUUGCUCUCCCACUUGCUCAUGAGGUUGUCUAGGUUUAUGACCACGUCGUCGCGGCCCAGCUUCCAUGUUUCACUACCAAUUUAUAUAUUAAAUAGUAAAUAUCACUCCCGUAUACUCAGGUUAGUAAUUAUUUAGUCCCAAAAACAGCUAAACAUUACAGCUUGAUAACAAAAUAAACACAUAAUCAUCAAUUACAUUCACACAAUAUAAGUUACAAUACACACCAACUUCAUACAACUUUGAAAGCCAAGCAAUUUACAAAUACAAUCCGAUAUUCUCCAUACAAUUCUCAAACUUUAAUCUUUAUAAACACACAAAAGGAAGCAAUACAAUGACACACAAACUUUUAUAAUCACACAGCUACUAGCUCAACCCUUAGUUUAGAUUCCACUUAAACUUCAUGAGUCUAAUUUUGAACAGUCCUACUAUACCCAAUUUCUUCUUCUGGUUCCUCUUCCUCCGAAUCCUCCUCCGGAUCUUCCUUCAGAUCUUCCUCUAUUGGUUCGACUGCAUUUCCAACUCCAGGAGCCUCCAAAUCUUGGUCUUCCGCAUUUAAAUUUUCUCCCACUACCUCUUCCAUUAGGACCUCACACUCAGCUAGAAUUCCUUCAGUUCGGUCUCUUACUUGCUUUACCAUUCCUUCCAAACGGUUGUUAGUCGCUUGUAACUGCUCUCUCAAAGUGUUGGUCCUUUCCUGUGCAGCUAUCAAUUCUGAAUCCAUCUCUCGGAUUCUCUCACCUUGCAUUCUAGCAACUACCCUCAUCUUCCGAAUUUGGUUAUAACAUGAAUCGUUUCGAUUUGCCAACCUUUGCCUUUCAUCCACUAUUGCCAGUACUACCCGAUCUGGGUAGGAAUAUGUUUUCCAACAAUCACACUAUCUAGUCAUUCGUCGAGUUGGGGAAUAUUGUCGAAAAGACUGACCAGGUCCUUCUUGAUACCAAAUAGUCCUUCGUCUCCUUUGGGAUGAUUCACGAGUAUCCCUUUCCAGACUAUUUCCCCCUCCAUUCCCUUCCAUCUCUACAAUUACACUGUUAGAAUAAUUAAACACUAUUUAGUUCAAUUAAAUCCUUUACCUAACACUUUCUUUAAUAUUUUAAACAGCUUAAAUCACAUAUUCACUAACUCCACAAUUUCAUUUCAACCUAGGCUCUGAUACCACCUUUGACGGUCUCACCUUCUUUUAGGGUGUACCCUAGAAGUUAGCGGAUCGUCUGCCUGACUCUCGCUAGAACUCCUUAAUAACACAUUAACUUCAGAGAUAAUAGAUAUAUACUUCCCUUAACCUCAUAUUAACUUCAAGGAUAACAGAUAAAUACUUCCAUUAAUCUUAUAUUAACUUCAGAGAUAACAUUUAGAUAACCAAAACCAACCAUACCAUUCUUUUACAAUAUCUAGUACAAUACAAAAGUUCCAACCUUAAUAAGACACUAAAAGAUUUACAACUCAAAAUUCUCCAAACUAACUUCCUAAGAUCCUUCGUUCGAUUCCUGACCACCAAAUCCUGUAAAGAAAACAAAACUAAAAAGGUUGAGCUAAAGCUCAGUGAGAUUUGCCGAGCAAGUAUAAUAAACGCUUAAAUCAUUGCAAUUAAACAAACGGUGCACAUUUCAUUGGACAAUCACAUUCAAAAGGAUAUGCACUCCACCUGGGAGUCAUUUCAAUGUCAUUGAGCUAUCAAUUCAGAGUCACAAGACAAUCAUUUCAAUAUUAUUGCAUUCACUCCGCCAAUUCACCCCCUUAUAUCUUCCGGAACAAUAAAUAAUCCCCUACAUUCAACAAUCAAUUCAGUAAUCUCCCAACUUCCAGGUAGUACUCGAGUAUACCAAAACAUUUACCCAAAGCUACCAUCCUAUCCAACCAAGCCCCUUGCUGGCUCGAAUAGUCCGUUGAACAGAGGGUUUUGAGGCCCAGUUCAGCCAAAGGCUUAUAUUCUUGCAUAUUUACAGUAUCAUUCAAUCAAUAAUCAACCUUCGAUCUCAACUAAGCCGAGUGCGAUAAAGUACACUCCUGACUUAGAAGGCGAGGGACCAUUGAUAUACACAUCACAAUAAAUCACUAGCAAUAUUCAAAACAAGCACAUUUCUCACAUAAAUUCAUUUAAAGAAACAUAACCAGUUAAGCAUAUACAUUCGACAACACUCACCAAAUAUUCAAAUGAACUAAUCUCGAAUCUCGAGUCGAUUUCCUGGUUCACAGCUACUUCCUGGACAAGUUAAUAAUUCUAAAGUGAAUAUUCAAUUUAUAUACAGCCAGUCAUCUUAUACCAAUUUAAGGUUUAAGUAACUAAAACCCAAGUUCCUAAGCUUAUAAAACAAGUCACCAAAAUCCAGCAAUCUUCCUUACAUUUUUCUUCAAGAUCAUUAAGUUUGGUAGCUCUAAAACAAGGUUAAUGUACAUAUAUACCAAAAUUUAAGAUCUUAUAAAACACUUGAGCUAAGAUUAAAACACUUGAGCUAAGAUUAACUCAUUUUCAACCCAAUAUUCAAGGAUUAGGGCAAGUGAACGUUUCAUUCCUUCCCUUUAAGCUAGACCAGAUUCUAGGUUGCUUGUAGUUUAAAUUUUGAUCCAAUUCACUAAAUUUUAAAGUUUUAGGUUCACUAAAAUGUUCAUGAAACAAAGGAAAAGGAAAAAAGAAAAGGAAAGAAAGAAAGAAGAAGAAAAAAAAUUUUUACUUCCCCCUCAUUGGAACAAGACGUGGGCACAUCUUAUUGGUUGAAACUCUUCUAAUGAUGAAGUUGACAAAUUACAAGUUACAACAUGCCCUCUAGGCAUAAGCGCGUUCUGUUGCCUUGUUGGCCUUCAAAUUCGAAACAUGAGCUCUUCAAGUAAGUAGGCUGGGACACGACAUAUUGGUAUAAGCGUUCUGAUGGUGGAGCAGAUUAUUAGUGCAUUACCACGUGCCCUCAAGAUGUGGGCACGUCCUAUCAAGAGGAAGUCUUCUGAAUAUUGAAACAGCAAAAAUGAAAAUUAAGCACACAAAUAUGAAAAAUCUAAGAUAAAUAUAAUGAAACUAAUAAUAAAAAUAAACUAAAAAUUGAAUUGGAUUACCUUCCAAUAAGCGCCUUUCUUUAACAUUUUUUGCUAGGCAUAAAGCAUCACUUCUCAAUCUGGAUGUAAUUCAAAUUUUUUGCAAUCGAUGACAUUCCUCUAGGAUCCAAAUAGUCAAUAAGUACAAUCAUCUUCUUUAAUUUUCUACCUAUUUUUACCUCAUAAAUUGCUUUCAUCCCAUGACACUUGUUCGCAGCAACUUUGAAUUUAUCCCUACAAUUAAAUUCAGAAAAUUCUUGCAUAGAGAGAUUAAUAGCAUGAAUGACAAAUACAGAUUAAGAGUUAAUAGAAUAUUUCAUUUCAUCAAAAAAUAUUAAAAUGAGCUACUUCUCUAUCAAAUUCUAUCGUCAAAAUCCCUCAUUAAUAUCAAUUUUUGUGCGAGAUGUACUCAAAAAAGGUCUUCCUAGUAUAAUAAGUGAUGGAUUAAGAGAGUGUUCAUCAUUCAUGUCAAGAAUAUAAAAGUUCGUAGGAAAUACUAAUUCAUUAACUUGAAUCAGAACAUCUUCAACUAACCCAUCAGGAUAUGCAUUUGUACGAUCAGCUAAUUGAAUUUGAUGCCAAUUUCCUUUAAUGAUUCUAAAUUUAAGGAGUCAUAAAUAUUCUUCGGUAUCACAUUAAUUGAAGUUCCUAAAUCUACCAUGACUUUUCUAAUCUUAGUGUUUCCUAUUCAACAGGGGAUAGAGAACAUAUCUGGAUCUCCAUACUUUGGUGGAAGUAUCUUUUAUAGCACUACUGAUACAUUCUCCCCUAUCAUAACUCUCUCAUCAUCUCUUAAUUUCUUCUUGUUGAUGCACAAGCUCUUCAAAAAUUUAGCAUACUUUGGUACUUGCUUGAUCGCAUUCAACAAAGAAAUAUUGAUUGCCACCUUUCGAAACACUCCUGAAAUCUCUCUUUCUUCAUUGUUUCUUGAAUUUCUCUAACCUGCUAGAAAAGGGAGCCGGAUUAGAUUUAACUUGAAUUACAAGAUUGGAAGUUACCUCAAGAGUUGUUUUAAUGAAUCCCUCUUCCUCCAUCUCCUUUUCAAUUUGACCUUCAUUUUUGUCAUUCGAAAUUACAGGUUUUGGCCUUUCAAUUUCCUCUUCACUUCUGAGGGUCAUGGCACUUGCAUUCUUUAGAUUCAUCUCAGGUUGAGAAGGUAGCCUUCCUGGUCCUUGAAACUCCAAACGGUUUAUUGUAGAAGUCAGCCGAUUCAUCUAAUUUCUUAAAUCUUGUAUACUUGCAUCUGUCCUCUGCUGAAAUUGCAAGGUCCUCUGCUGAAGUUGCACGAUGUUUUGCUGAAGUUGCGUAGUGUUAGCAACCAAUGUCUUGACCAUAUCCUCAAAAAAUGUGUCCGUAUUGGAUGAAGAGAAUUGAGACCUUGAUGGGUGCUGUGGCUGAACACCCUUGCUGUCUUUUGGGAAUAGAAUUUUGCUUAUCGCCUCUCAUAGUUGAAAUUUGGGUGAUUCCUUCAAUUCGGAUUGUACAUGUUGGAGUAAGGGUCGUACUGUCUAUGGGAAGCGGGCACAUAUCCAGCCAUGUUAACUUAUGUCAUGAUAUCAUCUUGUAGCAACCGACACCCAUCAGUGGAAUGACUAACAUCCAUACAAAUACCACAUGCUUUCACUUGCUGCACAUUCCCCAUUGCCAUCUGGCGAACCAUAGAAGCUAACUCUGUCAACUGCUCUUGCAUGAUGAGAUGCUCAUUUUCUUCACAUGACGAGUAGGAAUAUGCUCUCUUGUGCUGAACUAUUGGGAGUUUUCAGCCAUCCCUUCAAUUAAUUCCCAAGUUACCCGAGGAGUUUUAUUCACUAAAGUGCCUCCACUUGCAGCGUUGAUGAUACUCCUUUAUUUGUAGAGUAGGCCUUCAUAGAAGUACUGGAUGAGAAGUUGCUCGCUAAUUUGAUGUCAGGGACAACUGGUGCAUAACUUCUUGAAUCUCUCCUAGUAUUCGUAACGAGACUCUCCAAGACUCUGAUUAAUUCCACAGAUCUCUUUUCAUAGAUUGGCAGCCCGGGAUGCAAGGAAGUAUUUUUCCAAAAAAAUUUCUUUUCAUGUCCGUCUAUGUUGUGAUACUCCCUGCUCGUAAGUAGUACAACCAACCCUUGGCAGCCCCCUUUAGUAAAAAAAGGAAGGCUCGCAUUCUAAUUUGUUCUUCAGUCACACCAGGUGGCUUCAUACUUAAACAGACGACAGUGAACUCUUGGAGAUAUUUAUGAGAAGGUGAAUUACUCCUGAUUUCAAUUCAAACGUUAUAUUUUCAACAAAGUCAGGAAAAGUAAUGCAUAAAAAUCGUUGGUUUAAAUCCAGAGCAGCCAACUCCCUCAAGGUUCGAUUGUUAUUUGCCAUAAUAGCUUCCUCUUGCUCACAAUCACUUGAACACUUGAAGAUUUCAAUAAAUCCACAAUCAAAUUCAGCCCUAGAGACAUAGUAGAUGACUGCUCUCUCUUUCUUGCUCCGGUUUCCUUACUUAGUCUACACGCAGUCUUCUCAAUCUCAAAAUCAAAAAUUAAAUCACCUGUAUGAGAAGAACGAGGCAUAAACUAGCAAAAAUACCAGAAAAUAAAAUAAAAUAAAAUAAGAAACAAAUAUUCUAACACCAAUCCCUAAUAAUGGUGCCAAAAAUUGACGGGUGUCGGGUCUAUACAAUAAUAAAUUCAUGCUCUCAAAGAUGUAAUUGAGUACAAUGGCAAGUAAGUCCGUCUCCGUGGGGAUUAGGAGGAAAAUCUGUUUCUUUUCGGGUCCGUUUGUUUCGGGUGAAAAUGUUUUCCAGGAAAAUAUUUUCCUAAUUUCCCGUGUUUGGUUGCACAAAAGUUACUGAAAACAUUUUCCUAUGUAAAAUAUUUUCACUCAUCUUAUAGAAAACAACUUCGCUUCCAAACUUACUGAAGUUGUUUUCCGAAAUGCAUGCAUUCCGCCUGUAGUAUGUUCCAAACUUACUGAAAAUAUCUUAUAGUAUGUUCUUUUUUUUUUAGUGUAAACAGGAUGACUCAAAUCCAAGAUCUCUUCCUUACACUCCCUCCCCCGUACCACCCAACCCUCCCCCUAGUAUAUUCAAAAUAAAAAAAAAAUCUCAUCUUGCUCAUCCUAUGCUAGUAAUUAAUUAUGUAUAAUAGGGACAUUCUUUUCUAGAGAAACUUUCAGCAGUAAGAGUGCAAGAUAUAUGUCACAAUAAGCAUUGCAUGUGAUUGAUAUUUGAUACUAAAUGGCCAGCAAUUUUUUUAUUGCUUAAGGAGAUAUUUUUUAUUCAUAUAUACAUUUCUCCAAGAUUUUUUAAAGUUAAACAAUGAGAUAAAUUUUCUUAUUUUGCAUGGGAAGAAAUAUGUAGUUAUAAUGUGUAGAAAGUAAAGAUAGAGAUAAAAGUGAAAAUAUUUCAAAAGUUAAACAAACACCAGAAAAAUGAAGUAAGAAAAUAUUUUCAAUAAGCUAACCAAACACCUGAAAAUGAUGAAAGGGAAAUGAUUUUCAUGGAAAAUUACUUCCACGGAAAAUAUUUUUCCAAGGAAAACAUUUUACUUCCAACCAAACAGACCCUUCAAGCAAAUUCAAUUAAGGGGGGUUUUGGGAGAUUCAAAAUUAAAAUAAAGUACUUAAUGAAAAUAAAACUAAUUAAAUAAGAGUAAAUUAAAUUAAACCAAGGAUUAACAAGUUCCAGCCAAGGAAUUAACUCCGGAAGUGAUUCAUACAACUGAUCAUCGAUGCAAGAAUCAUCUCAAUUAUUUGCUAAUAAACAGGUUAUAAUUAUCAUACACGCGAUAAACAACCUUCUUUUUCUUAAUGUCUCAAUAGUUAAAAUACGCCCGUUAACUACUUCCCUAAUCAAGAAACAACCCUAGAUACGCCCGUAUAAUUUAAUUUCUUGCUUGCAUUAAAAACUAGAAAAACCCUGUUCUAAUCAAUAAAUGCACUACUAUGAUUUAUUUAAAUUCGAUUGUAUAUCUCUCUAACGUGGCCCCAAUCACAUUUGUUGUUACUAAUUUAAAAUAAUUAAACAAUUACGGAUUUAACUGUACUAAUUGACAAUAGUUUAUUAUCAAGCGCCUUUGAUAUCCAAACAACUAACAACCAUGACAAAGUAAACUAGAAAACAAACAAAUACUAACGAAUAAAAGAAAUUAAUAAAAACAAUUAGAUCUCACAGGUAUUGAUGAACCAAACCCUUUGUUAUUCCUCGGCUAGAAAAAGGAUUUAGCUACGCAUCAUCGGGGGAAAUCCACAAGACUCCAUUGAUAACAAUUGCAUAUGGUUUUUUUUUUCCUAAAACUAAUGAAAGAUAGAAGAAUAAUCAAAUAAGUGACGGCCGUGUCUGAUAUUUCAAAGAGUCUUCCCAAAAUUGUUGCUGGCAAACUCCUAAUCAAACUGGAUUCCAACUUUUCCUAUUUGCUUUUGUUUCCUUACUUAACCUCAAUUACUAAUAUAAGAUAUAUUCCCCAAAAUAGAAAAAGGAAACUAUUAAAGAUAAUAUUCCAAGUUUUCUAAUCCAAUACUAAGAUUAAUAAUGAGAAUUAAAGUCUUCAAAAUCUUCCUCCAAAAACUGCCUUGAAUUCGACUUGGACUUGAAAACCGACCUCAAACGCGUCAUCAUCAAAGUAACUCUUAGAAUGCUGAAAAAUUGCUCCUUUUAUUCACGUCUCACAUAAUUCCCUACAAUUAGCACAAUUAAUCAAAUAUAAGUAGAAUCUAGUAAUUAAAAUAAUAUUUGACUAAAAUCAAGGAUAAAUAAUUAUAAAUUAAAUAACAAUUUUGCUCCCUAUCAAAACAUACUGAAAUACUUGCACAUAAGAGUUAAAAAAAAGGCAAAAACGUCUUGAUAGUUUUAGACACACAAAAUUUACCAAGCAUCCAUCAUUCUCGUUACAAGAAAAAAUAAAUUUUCCAGAAGAUAUGACUACAUACCAACACCGUCACAUCUUCCUCCUCCACCACAACCACCACCUUCCUGCCACCUAAUCUAGCACCACCUCCUUCACCAUUACUCCUCUCCCCAACUCCCACAUUCUCCCAUCACCGCAAGCCCUUCCUCUUUUCUUCCUCUUAGUCCUUUCUUAAUUUUCCUUCUCUCUCUUCCCAUUGUACUCCCCUCCUUUCUCUUCCUCCUUCCACCACCUCAACCCCUUUUCCUCCUCUCUCCUUCUCCCCCUCUUCCGUUGCUUUUCUAAACUUCCAAUGCUUUUCAUCUAUGCUUAUUUAUUCCAUUCUAUAUACAACCUUGAAUAUCCAACCAUAUUUACGUAUAGAUUACUAUAGACCUAUGGCCCAAAUUGCCAUCAAAGCUUGCUGACCAAAAUCAAUUACUUAGGAGUCAACCCAUGCAAAUUCGAUUCUAGCUACCUAGGAUACAUGGGUACAUAUAUGUUACGUUGUAAUGCAAAUUGACUCAGGAUCAAAUAGAAAAAGCAACAUAGGUGUGAAUUUGUUUUCUCAACACCUAUCCUUUCAUGAUAGUCAUUUCUACUCCCAUUAAUGGAUAGAAAACUAAAAGUUUUGUAACUACUUAAGAAGUAAACUCAAAUUUAUCCCUUCAUUAGUUCACAUAUUAAUAACUUGCAAUAAAUCAAUACUUAUCAUUUCACAAAUUAUUUCUGGCUUUAUUUCUUGUAAGUGGCACAAGAGAUGUCUAGAUACUUGAAAUUCCCAACAUUUCCUUUUCUUUGAUUUUUCUAAUAAUCAAUUCCUACUCUUAGUAUUCAAUAUAUCCUUAUUGUUGCAUAAUCAAUUACUUCUAAAUCAAUGAAUUUCAUUUAUAAAGAAAUCAUUACCACUAGCAUACUUAAAAUGUAUUCUUACUAAUCACUAAAUUAUUCUAAUCUAAGUCUUAUUUUUCUUCACAUAACUAAUCAAAUAUAAAGAGUUUUAUAACCACCACAUAAUAAAUUCAAGCUUAUCUCCUUCUUAAUAAUUGCAUACUUAUCACUUUACUUAACAUAUCUUGUAUUUAUUUCUUCCUAAUAAACUUAUCUAGUUAUAUUCUUGAAGGUUUGUAGCAGUUCACAACUUAACCCAAAUAAUCAUAAAUAUGCAAUUAACAAAUUUUCUUCUCAAAUAAAAAUUAGUCCCUAAAACAAGAUGUGCUUCAAAGUAAUAUGUCUAAAGUUUGAAUCCAAAAUUGUGGGGUGUCACAAACUCUAUAUCUUUCAUUCUCCUAAUUUUGCUUACACUUUCCUUCAAUGAAACAUCUUUCAUUCUCCUAGUUCUCCUUAUACAUGAUUAAUUUGUUUAAAAAAAUUCAUGGAUUGUUAAAAAAAAUCCAAAUAAGAAAACGUUUUCCAUAUUUAUCACUUCAGAAAACAUUAAACUACUAAACAUAUAAAUAAAAGAUUGUUCUUUUCAAUAGUAUCGUUUAUGUUUAAUGAUUGUACUAUUUUUAUUGUGCAGUGCAAAAUGGUUUGAUUGAAUUACAUUUUCUACUAUCAAGUAAAAAAUGGGUUCUACAAUUGCAGACAAUAUGCUCCAAGUAUUGAACGGUUCUCCAGUUGUAUAUGUAUGGAUGAUUAAAAAACAAAUUCAAAAUAUUAGAACUUUUUUUUUGUUUGAUGUACUACUUGCCAUGUUAACUAACUGAUGUGUGCACGAGCCUCGGCCCACGCGAUUACCCAGUCCGAGUCCCACUGGGCCCAGUCACACGUUCACGGGUCAAGCUGUUCAAAGAAUCACUCCAAGCCCUGGUGAGAGUCGUCCAAGACCAAUAUGGAGUUCACAAAGAUAUUGAGGGUUUAGAGAAAGACCACUGGGCCAAUUACACCUUGAUCCAAGCCCAUGACGACUCAAGUGGGUCUCCAAGGGAUUCGGCCGAGUAGGGCCUUAGCCUUUGACACUUAUUGGAAUAGCUUACUUAGUAGAAUGGGCCGGCCCACCUUACACUAAGAUGGCCGACCACCCCUUUUAGGAUUACUUAGGGUUUCUUUAUUGUUUUCCUUAGCCUAUAAAUAGGCUAGCUUUGUAAGGUUAAGAACUAGUUUUUGAUUAAUAAAAUUCUUAGUGCAUUCGUUUUCUUUCAUAAAGAAUUCGUGCCUUUAACUUGCUUGGCAAGGGUUAUUGAGCAAUCUCGCGUCCUGUCCUUGAUUGUUCAUCCGACCUAUUUCCCUGGAGUAUUCACCUUCAUCGGAGUGUCGACUACCACCUCCAAUCAAAUCGAGUUGUCCGUUUGAGUAAAGGUUCCGCAAACUAAGCGUAGGACAUCCCCGCUAGAUCCUUGGGCAAACGUGCUACGUGUCUCGACCGUGGAUCGAGGAACGUAUCAGUUGGCUUCAGAGCUUUCGUGGAGGUAUCUUCCGUUAUAUCCGUCGUCUUGUCUUAGUUUUCCUUAAUUUUCCGCUGCCUUGUUUGUUAAAAAAAUAUAUAUAUUUUUUUCUGUUCGAAUUGUUACUUGUUGAGCCGUUUCCUUCGUUUGUUCUCUAGAAUUCUGGUCGUUGCUUUUGUUUUGUCUUACGUUUCCAUAUCUGUUCGUUUUGAGUCUGCAAGUCUGUCCGUUGCUGUUUUGUUCGUCAAAAAAAAAAAAAUUCUGUUCACUAGUUCUUGUUGUUGUCGCAUCAAAUUUCUGGACAGCUGUGUGGUAUUAUUGUUAGUCCCAAUCUGCCCAGAUUUCAUACUCUAGUGACAUCCAUUCUGCCCAGCAAUUAGCCUUGCCGAAUCUGCAUACAAAAAACAAAAAAACAAAACAAAACAGGCGCGGCUAGGGUUUUGUUGUUUGUCCGAAUCUGUCCAAGUAGUUAUUGAUUAUCCAAGUUGUUUGCUUACCUUGUCUAAACUGAUUUGGGGGUAAAAACUUGUUGGGUUGGUGAAUCUUGAAUAGCACCCGCAAGGUUUGUAGGGUUCUUGAAGUUCUUGAACACUUUCUUGAAUUUCUUGAAAGUCUUGAAAAACUUUGUUAGUUUGAGGGAGUAGGGUGGUGCGUUCUUGUGUGUUUCGGGCAGACCUUGUUUCUGGGAUUGUUUCUACUCAUUCGGUCAGGUGUAGUCUAUUACCAAGUGAAAAAAAAAAAAACAAAGCAAAAGAAAACAGAACCGAAGAGAAAAAAAAAAAGAGAGCAAUCGGGUAACAAGAAACCCAAGAGGGAACACCGCACUUUUAUUGCCAAAUCUGUCUUAUUGUAUCGUAUACCCAACCCAGAAAUUACAUCAAGAGAGGGGAAAAAAAAAAAAAAGAGGAACUCAAAAGUUUUGACCAACCUCUUCUUGAACUUCUUGAUUCUUGAUCACUUGCACAACUCUUCGUUGAGGCUCUUGACCAUCUUGAGUCUUGAAGACUUGCACCUCUCUUCGAAUAAAGAGUUUCUUGUAAGAUCUUGCAUCCAUACGAGGCUUUCUUGGCUUAGGUGUGAAUUUCUUGGGAGAUUCUUGAGUAACAUCACUUGCUUGACCUUGGGAGUCCAUUGGAGCAGAAUUUCUGGAGUGCCAAGAACCGAAACUGUCUUGUUAGAAAGAGGGUCGAAUUUCUUGUUCUUGGAGUAGAGAGAGAGCCGAAUUGUUUGGGGUAAGUCGCGGCUGUGAAGAGGGAGUCUUAUAGGAAGGAUAACCGACUUAGGGAAGGGUUUCAAGAAGGAAGAAAUCUGGAAAUUUCAGUGGCCCAAUUCUGGUUUGUGUUGUGAGCAUAGUGGGCGGCUGCUUAAGAGGCCUUCUAAGGUUUCUUGUAGCCGACCUUAGGAAAGGAAUAAGAGGGAGGAAUUCUGGAAAUUUUAGGGUUCCAAUUCUGGUUUGUGAGUGGGAUUUGAACCGACCUUGGGGUGGUUUUUGUGAGGGAAAUUUCUGGAAGCUUGCGGGUAAGAGAGAGGAGGAACCGAAUCUGCCUUGAGAAGAAUUAGGAAGUUUCCAACUCCAACUUGUUUUUCCACUUCGUUUAGGAGACUAAGUAAUAUACUUGGAUAACUCUUGGACACCUCCUAUAUUUUCUCCUCUAUCUUAGGAUAUACUGCUAUAUUUUCUCCUCCACUUUAGGAUAUCCUACUAUAUGUUCUCAUCCUUUUUAGAAAACCACUCCUACAUCUUGGGGUCUUAGAGUUUCCUUCCUUGACAAUACUUCCCAAAUCUGUCCACCGCCUUUAAGCUUUCCCAAAACCGUCCUUCCCUUCACCAACAACAAAGAAUUCUUGUGUACUCUUGUGGGGGAUAAGUUGGUGACAAUUAUUGGACUCGAGCAACAUUACUCAACUACCUAAACCAACAGGUAAGGUACUUGGUAAGCUUUAUAGAGUGACUUGCACACUACACACGAGCGUGAGGGAUACACUAAGGGAGUGAAGUGCGGACUAUAUUUGCAUUUUCUUUGUUUCUUCUAACCUUUGCAGGGGCAACAAAGGAAGCAUGGAGCAACAACACCACCAUCAACAACAAGCAACCACUGAUCCUUCCUUAUUAUUCGCCGCCAUGAAGAAUGAGCUCAGGCGAAUCAGUGAGCAACAAAUGGAGACACUACACACUCGUUUUGAUGAAUUGUCUAGGAGCCUUACGCGAGACUCUCGUUCUCGGUCCCAUAACCGGAGUAACCAUGGCGCCAAAGACACAAAUGGCGAAGACUACUCUGCUAGUGAGGGUGAGGAACGACCUGAGAGGCCUACAAGGGACAUGCCCAAAAACGAAAUCAAGGGGCUUAAAAUACAAGUUCCCGCAUUCAAAAGCAAAAGUGACCCUGAGGCUUACCUGGAGUGGGAAGGCCGCAUCGAGAUGGUCUUCGACUGCUACGACUAUAGCGAGGAACAAAAAGUGAAGGUUGCCACCGUGGAGUUCACCGACUACGCACUAGUCUGGUGGGACCAAGUGAGGACCACGAGGAGGAGGAUGGGAGAACCACGUGUCCGGACUUGGCGAGAACUCAAGGCACUAAUGCGCAAGCGAUUUGUUCUUAGCUACUAUAAUCGUGAUCUCCACUCUAAGCUUCAAACACUCACGCAAGGCAACAUGAGUGUGGAGGAUUACCACAAAGAAAUCGAGAUGGCCAUGAUGAGGGCCAACAUUCACGAAGACAAUGAAGCCACAAUGGCUAGGUUCCUUAGGGGUCUCAACCCUGACCUUCAGGAUGCCUUGGAGCUUCAACAUUACUUGGACAUGCACGACCUUCUAGAACUCGCCAUCAAGGCCGAACGGGGGAAGAAAUUAAGACGGGGAGCCCGUACUUUCCAACUUUCCACCACCACCUCGUGGAAAGGCAACCAACCACGAAGAGUGACCCACGAAGUUGGAAAUGCAACCACACCAACCUAUUCUAACCGCUUCCAAGGUAAUGCUUCUACCCGUAAUGCGUAUUCGACGACUAACAAGGUUUCUGAUGUGUGCAGGUCUACUUCUAAGGCACCGCAAGAAACUCCUAAAGCUAGGAGUAGGGACAUCAAAUGCUUUAAGUGCCAAGGAUUUGGGCAUAUUCAAUCUCAAUGUCCAAACCAACGGGUAAUGCUGCUAACUCACAAUGGCGAAAUCGUGUCGGAUGAUGACGAAUGUGAGGACAUGCCCGAACUAGUAGGAGAUGACUGCCUGGAAGAAGCGCCAGCUGGGGAGGCUUGCUCACCUACACGAGGAGAAGUAGGUUGCCUAGUAGCACGACGAGUGCUAACCGCCCGCGUCAAGGAGGAUGAGCAACUACAGCGUGAAAACCUAUUCUACACCCGCUGUAAGGUAGAAGACAAAGUAUGUAGUCUCAUCAUCGACGGUGGGAGUUGCACGAACGUGGCCAGUUUGCUCAUGGUUGAAAGUCUAGGACUCCCCACUACCAGGCAUCCACAUCCUUACCGCCUCCAAUGGCUAAGUGAGGAUGGUGAAGUACAAGUCUUCAAACAAGUACGCAUUCCCUUCUCCAUUGGUACCUACAUUGAUGAAAUCGUGUGCGACGUAGUGCCAAUGCAUGCUACACAUAUCAUCUUGGGAAGGCCCUGACAAUUUGACAAACACGUCACAUUCGAUGGAAGAGCAAAUAAGUACACACUUUUGCACGAUGGCAAACGUAAGGUCCUUACACCUCUCACGCCUGCACAAGUUUAUGAGGACCAACUACUAUUGCAAAGAGAGUGUGAACAAGACCGUCAAAGGAGGAAACUCAAGGCGGUCGACCCUGGUCAAGGCUCCACAUCUACGACUGAGCCAUCAACCAAGGGUCAAGGGAGCACACCUAGGGGUCUACGCGACAAACCACCUGCCGCACCUCCCACUAAGAAGCAUAACAUGAUUAUUAAGACUAAAGAUGUUAGAAAAGUGGUAAACUCUAAUCAGCCUAUACUUCUCAUGAUUUGCAAGCAUGUGCUCUUAGAUGUUGCUGAGCUCGACAAGACGCUGCCUGCAAGCAUAGUGGCUCUCUUGCUGGAAUUUGAGGAUGUUUUCCCCGACGAGGUCCCUGAUGGCUUACCACCCAUUCGGAGAAUUGAACACCAAAUCGACCUCGUUCCUGGAGCACCAUUACCUAACAAACCUGCCUACCGCAUGGGUCCCGAGGAGACCAAGGAGCUUCAAAGGCAAGUAGAUGGCCUGUUAGGUAAGGGAUGGGUGAAGGAGAGUCUAAGUCCCUGCGCUGUGCCUGUGGUCCUUGUCCCCAAAAAGGAUGGCACUUGGCGCAUGUGCACUGACUGCCGGGCUGUAAACGCUAUCACUGUCAAAUAUCGGCAUCCCAUUCCUAGACUUGAUGAUAUGUUGGAUGAACUCGAUGGUGCUAUUAUUUUCACCAAGAUUGACUUGAGGAGUGGCUAUCAUCAAAUUAGGAUGAAGGAAGGAGAUGAAUGGAAGACAGCCUUCAAAACCAAACAUGGUCUCUAUGAGUGGUUAGUUAUGCCUUUUGGCUUGACUAACGCCCCUAGCACUUUCAUGCGCCUCAUGAACCAUGUUUUGAGACAUUUUAUUGGUAAAUUUGUCAUUGUUUACUUUGAUGACAUUCUGAUCUAUAGUCGUAGUGAGCAUGAGCACCUGGAGCAUGUAAGAUUAGUCCUCGAGGCACUUCGACAGGCGCGUCUAUACGCUAACCUCAAAAAGUGCACCUUUUGUACUAACGAGCUUGUGUUUCUAGGCUAUGUUGUGAGUUCGCAGGGCAUCAAGGUGGACAAAUCCAAGAUUGAGGCCAUCGAGCAAUGGCCAACCCCUACAUCCGUUCCUGACGUGCGCAGCUUUCUUGGAUUGGCGGGUUUUUAUCGACGAUUUGUCAAAAACUUUAGCACCAUUGCCGCCCCAUUGACCGCCGUGACAAAGAAGGAUGACAAGUUCCACUGGGGGGAAUCCCAAGAACAAGCGUUCCUCGCCCUUAAGGACACACUCACCCAUGCACCUGUGUUAGCAUUACCAAACUUUAACAAGACCUUUGAAAUUGACUAUGAUGCUUCUGGUGUAGGUAUUGGAGCAGUCCUCAUGCAAGACAAGAGGCCGUGUGCCUUCUUCAGCGAGAAACUGGGAGGGGCUGCGUUAAACUACCCCACGUACGACAAGGAAUUGUACGCACUAGUGAGGGCCUUGGAGACUUGGCAACACUAUCUUCGCCCUAGGGAGUUCGUGAUACACACUGAUCACGAGUCAUUGAAGUACCUCAAGGGACAGUCCAAGCUAAGCAAGCGACAUGCCAAAUGGGUAAGCUUCAUUGACACCCUUUCGUAUGUCAUUAAAUAUAAGACUGGCAAAACGAAUGUAGUGGCUGAUGCAUUAUCACGCAGACAUUCAUUGCUGGCACUUCUGGAUGCCAAGUUACUAGGGUUCGAAUUGGUUAAGGAACUCUAUACACAUGAUCAUGAUUUUGGUGAUAUCUAUGCUGCUUGUGUUAAGAACCCGCAUGGAAAGUACUUUUUGCAUGAUGGAUUUCUAUUCCAUGUAGAUAAACUGUGUGUGCCUAAUUCUUCCAUUCGUGACCUUUUGAUCCGAGAGGCACAUAGUGGUGGUCUCAUGGGCCACUGUGGCAUCGCCAAGACUCUGGCCAUGUUGCAAGAGCACUUUUACUGGCCCCCAUAUGCGUAGAGAUGUUGAACGCAUGAUUGGUAGGUGUGCUACUUGCCACAAGGCAAAGUCUAAGACAAAUCCAUAUGGUUUGUAUACCCCAUUACCUAUUCCACACCAUCCCUGGAUUGACUUGUCUAUGGACUUUGUAUUAGAAUUGCCUAGAUCACCAAGGGGUAAUGACUCCAUCUAUGUUGUGGUUGAUAGAUUUUCUAAGAUGGCGCAUUUUAUUCCUUGUCACAAAACUGAUGAUGCAUCUCAUGUUGCUACUUUAUUUUUCAAAGAGAUUGUCCGUCUGCAUGGCAUGCCUAGGACUAUUGUUAGUGACAGGGAUGUGAAGUUCCUGAGCUACUUUUGGAAGACUUUGUGGUCCAAACUUGGCACUAGGUUAUUAUUUUCCACCACUAGUCAUCCUCAAAGCGAUGGACAAACUGAAGUUGUCAAUCGCACACUUGACACUUUACUUCGGGCCUUGAUUAAAAAGAAUCUUAAGUCUUGGGAAGAGUGCUUACCUCAUGUUGAAUUUGCCUACAAUCGCACUGUGCAUAGUGCAACUCAAUAUUCUCCCUUUGAGAUUGUUUAUGGCUUCAACCCAAUCACCCCCCUUGAACUGGUGCCCUUACCUUCCUCUGAGCAAACAAGCUUAGAUGGGGAAAAGAAAGCUAGUUUUGUACGCAGGUUACAUGAAGCUGUGCGAGCAAACAUCGAGAAGCGCACGCAGCAAUACAUUCAACAAGCCAACAAGCACCGCCGCAAGAUGAUUUUUGAGCCUGGAGAUUGGGUGUGGCUACACUUAAGAAAAGAGCGUUUCCCCAAGCAACGUCAAAGCAAAUUAUCCCCAAGAGGGGAUGGACCCUUUCGGGUACUCCAACGGGUCAAUGACAAUGCAUACAAAUUGGAGCUGCCUGGGGACUACAACGUUAGUGCAACCUUCAACGUUGGGGACCUCAGCCCAUUCCUUGACGAGCAGGAUCCAGAUUUGAGGGCAAAUCCUUCUCAAGCGGAGGGGACUGAUGUGUGCACGAGCCUCGGCCCACGCGAUGACCCAGUCCGAAUUCCACUGGGCCCAGUCACACGUUCACGGGCCAAGCUGUUCAAAGAAUCACUCCAAGCCCUGGUGAGAGUCGUCCAAGACCAACAUGGAAUUCACAAAGAUAUUGAGGGCUUAGAGAAAGACCACUGGGCCAAUUACACCUUGAUCCAAGCCCAUGACGACUCAAGUGGGUCUCCAAGGGAUUCGGCCGAGUAGGGCCUUAGCCUUUGACACUUAUUGGAAUAGCUUACUUAGUAGAAUGGGCCGGCCCACCUUACACUAAGAUGGCCGACCACCCCUUUUAGGAUUACUUAGGGUUUCUUUAUUGUUUUCCUUAGCCUAUAAAUAGGCUAGCUUUGUAAGGUUAAGAACUAGUUUUUGAUUAAUAAAAUUCUUAGUGCAUUCGUUUUCUUUCAUAAAGAAUUCGUGCCUUUAACUUGCUUGGCAAGGGUUAUUGAGCAAUCUCGCGUCCUGUCCUUGAUUGUUCAUCCGAUCUAUUCCCCUGGAGUAUUCACCUUCAUCGGAGUAUCGACUACCACCUCCAAUCAAAUCGAGUUGUCCGUUUGAGUAAAGGUUCCGCAAACUAAGCGUAGGACAUCCCCGCUAGAUCCUUGGGCAAACGUGCUACGUGUCUCGACCGUGGAUCGAGGAACGUAUCACUAACGGUACAAUUUUGUUAUUCCAUAAUACAAAAUUGCUUCUUCCAAGUACAAUCUUCAUGAUUUUAUUAAUUUUUUUCAUAUAUUAUUUUAUCCAAAAAAAAUUUACUAACAAAAGAUUUUAUAGUUUUACAGCUAUUAAUUCUUUGGAAUAGUAUAACCCAUGUUAAUUGAUGGUAUAGUUAUCCUAUUUUGGGGUACAAUAUUUUGUUGAUUGUACAUUCACAUUAUCGAGUAAAAGUAAUUAUAACAAUUGUAUUUUUUUCCCCUUUUUUUUGUUCUAGAUCAAAAAUCAAAAGGCUCUCAUGUUGUACAUGUACUAAUAGUUAUGAGUACUAAGUCAAAAAAUUAAAAAAAAAUCAUUUAGUACCAUCUAUGUUAAGUGAUAGCACAAUUUCUCUAGCUUUGGUUAAUUUUCUUUUUCUACACAAUUGUUAGUCAAAAAAUUGAAUAUUCAAAAAAUAUCUCUAGUUUCACAAUCACAAAAUAUUCAAUUGCUAAAUUAAUAAGUGAAAAAAUGAUUUUUUUAACUAUAUAAUUGCUAUUGUUUAGUAAAAACAUUUCUAUCUUUUUCAUUAUUUCACAUUAAUGGUUGUACACAAUCUUUUCAACAUAAAAAAAUGCUCUUUGGUUGUGUGUGUAUGAAUAAUUAAAAUAGUAAGUUGAAAUAUGAAAAAAAUAUUUUUAUACAAUAUUGUUAUGUUAAUUAUUGACACAUUUUAUACUUUAAAAAUGGUUUCUACUAGUCUUUUUUUCUACAAGAUUGGUUAGUCAAAAAAAUUUCAAUAUCCAAAAAAGACUAUCUAGUUUUCCAAUUACAAAAUAAUCAAUUGUCAAAUUCAUAGGCCAAAAAAAAUAUUUUUUUGCCAUAGUUCUUCUAUAUCCUAUGAUGGUAUAAUUUUACUAUUUGGCAACAAAAAAUGGUUCCCUGGGCUAUACAUUCAUUAUUACUAAGUGAAAAUGGAUUUGGCUAUUCAAUUUUUUUCUGAUUCAUAAUUCUAUCCAAUGUUACUUAAUAUGUAAAUAUGAACAAUUACUUUUCUAUGUAACAAUUACACUCUCAAUUGACAGUACAAGUUGCUGUUGUACGAUUGAAAAAUAGCUUCUUGUUCAUAUAUUGUUCACGAGUAUUACUAAUUUCAUAUUUUCACAUGAUUGGUUUGUCAAAAGAAUUUGAAAUAUUGAAAGGUUUUGUAGUUCUGUGACUACAACAAAAUUGAAUAUCCAAAAAUCAUAAAGAAAGAAUUAUUUUUUCACAAUAGAAUGGUCCAUUUCUGGUGGUGGUAUAUUUUCUAAUUUUGAAGUACAAAUUGGUAUUACUGAUUGUACAUUCACUAUUAUCAAUAAAAACUGCUUCUAGCCAUUCUUUUUUCUUAUUAUUUAUUUUUGCAUUUUUGGCUCUAGGCAAUAUGUCCAAACAUCAAAAGGUUCUCCACUAAUAUUUAAAGUACUACAUCAAAAAAAUUUCUUUUUCAUGUAGCGUCUACUAUGUUAAAUGAUAGUACAAUCUUUUUUAUUUUACAGUAUAAAAUGACUUUUACUAAUUUUCCCUUUCUACACAAUUGGUUAGUUACCAAAUUUUCGAAUACCAAAAAAUAUCCAUGGUGUUAUUUAUAGAAUAUUCAAUUGGCAAAUUCAUAAAUGAAAAAUUAUUUAUUUGCCAUAAUACCUUUCAUGUUUAAUGAUGGUGCAAUUUUACUGUAUAUAAUAGUUACUAAUUUUCCCUUAAUGAUGGUCCUUUCAUGUUUAAACAAAUAGUUUUCUUAAAUGUACAAUCACUAUAAUUGAGUGAGUGAAAAAGUUCAAACAUUCCCAUGUAGUACAUUUUUUUUUCGAACAGAGUACAACGCUACUUCUUAAUGGUAUAUUUAUUGGUCAUAAUACCUUUCCUAUUCAACGAUAGUACAAUUUUAUUAUUUAACAGUAUAAAAUGAUUUUCUUAAUUGUACAUUUAGUAUUAUCGAUGUAAUAUAUUCUUUACGUAUAGAUGGUACAACUAUAGUACGUUUGUGGUAAAAUAUGACUUCUUGCUGGUAUAUUUGAUUUCCAUCAAAUAAAAAAUAUUCAAACCAUUCUUUUCAGUAAUCAUUCAUUGGCAACAAAGAUUUGAAAUAUUAAAUGAUACCAGUUUUUUCACACACCAGUAAUUAAACUACUAAGGACGACUGAAAACUUACUAUUCUGUGAAUCACCUUCAAUUUUUAGUUUUAGUACUCUUGUGCUAUGAAAAUGCAAAAUGGUCCCACCAAAUAUUACUAGCCAAACUUUUAAAAAUCUUAAUUUUAGAAAUUGUAAUUUUCUAUGCAAAAAGAAUAACUUAAAAAAAUUAUCAAAAUUUAGAUCUACACCAAUGAACAUAAUUAUACAUUUCACACACUAGAUAAUUCAUGAGUUUUUAUGAAAUUGACAAGGUGCAGAUUCAGAAAAAAAAUACUACUCAAAUUUUUAAUAAAAUCAUUGUGUCAUGGUUGUAAGAUUUGCCUAUAAAACGAUCAUAUAUACAAAUAAUCUGGUAUUGAAGAAUAUAUAUAUAUUUAUUUAUUUAUUUAUGUACUUACGUACGUGUGGUGUGUAAUUUGUGCAUGUCGACUUAGAAAGGAGACCGAACUUUUAUUUAUUUUGUUGCCUUAAAUUGCCACAAUAUGCUAUUUUGGCAAAUAUGAUGUACCUCACUGAUGAAAGUUUCUCUCGUGUGGACUUUCUCAAUGUGACCCACAAAUACUAAUGUGGGGGCACCUGCUCCCCCAAGAAUUUAAAUAUUCCUAAGACGUUCUAGGUAUUAUGUUGAAGAAAUUUUAUUAUUUAAAUUUUUGUCCACCCAAAAUUUUUUAUAAAUAAAGUUUUCCCACAAACUUUUGGAUAUGUAAACGAUGGUAGUACGAUAUGUCAAUAAUGGUGCUCUAAGUCCAAAUUACAAUCACUUUUUUUUUCCUGAAUUUGGACUUAUAUAUGAAGUUUCAAGUUUUCAGUGGGCAUUCACUAGCACACCUAAGAACACAUAACUUAUUAUGUGAUGUACACGUUAACAUUUAUUAUUGCAUUUAGGCGUUUUUCUUCAAAUUAAAUUUUGUCAAAAAUUAAAACAUGGUAUCUAUCUAUUUUAAAAUAGUGGAACCCACAAAAAUAUUAUAAGUUCAUGUAUAUUGCGGAUUUGCCUAUUGGUGGCACUCGUUAAGAUGGCUUUAGGUAGUAAUUAUUUAUGGGAGCGAAACUGAUUUUGAUAAAGUGUCGAAAUGUAGGAAUGUAAUAAAUAUGAAUAUGUGUAUUCACAUAGUAAGUUAAAUAUAAUUUAGACAUCUUAGCAAAUGUCUUAGGAAACCACUAGGAUUAGUCCAGUGACUAUGAGAGGCUGUUGGAGGCUUCUCGACUCUCAAGUUCAAGAUUCGAAUAUUGUGCAAGUGUAUAGAAAGGGGUAGGAGGAUUAAAAAUAAAAAAAUGUCUCAGUAGCAGUCGCUAAAACAAAUUUAUAUACUAUACAGGAUCCUCAUUAGAUAAGUUUCCAUGCUCAUUAAAUGAUAAAAUCAAAACAAUGAAACUGCAAGAUCAUCAACUGAGUCUACCAUUUAAUACAAAUAAACACAAAAAAGAACCCCGAAUAUCUUUAUAUCUAGUUAAUUCAUCCUUUUUUUAUAUUAUUUGUUCGGUAUAGGAAAAAAAAUACUUUUUGAAUUUGAAUAUUAUGCUAUGUUUGGGUAAUUUUUAUUUAUUUAUCAAUCACAUGGUUUGCUCUCUACAAAAUUCUUUAUGUAACUGUAAUUUUUGUUUGACACAUAACUUCUCUCCCCAUCCCACUUCCCCAAAAGUCCAAAUCUUGGUUCCGCCGGUGGUGUGUCUAUGAAGCAUCAACGAUAUCCUAACAAGCAAAAGCUGCAUCGACAACAAUACAAAAACAUUAAAUGCGGAGCUAAUUAUUAGGUAUUAAAAAAAAAAAAAAGUUACAAUAUUGAUAGCUUCCUUAGACAUGAUGGUGGCAUAUCUCUGCCCUCCCCGUCAAAUGAUGUUACAUAAGUUUGAAUAUUUACGCAGUAGUAAAUCUUCUUGAUAGGUGUCGUACAUUAGAUUCAUGAAAUUCAAACUGUUAUAAAAUAAGCGAGAUCACAUGACACAAGUAGGUAUGAUAAUUUACAUCGUUGCAAAUUACCUCCAAGAAACCCGGAUCUUGUUGAUGAAAGUAGUACAAAGAUACAAAAAAAAAAAAAAGUGCAAAAAUUUCUAUAAUAAAUUUCACUUAGAAGAGGGGAUGUAAAUUUCUUGAGGUGCGUUGAUAUACUAUUCUUAAGAUUUUUAUUUUUCCCACUACAAUCACUCGUUUUAGGGGGUGACAAUUGAGUCGAAUCGCAUGUUGGCGGGUCGGGUUGAGACUUGGGUAUUUUGGACAACAUGUCAAUCCGAACACAACCCAAAAAUUUAAAUGGUUCAACUUUUUUUAUCCAAACACAACUCGUUAAUUUCGCAGAUUACUCGAACUUGACUUAAAUAACCUAUAUGAUUAACUUUCUUUUUUUUUUUAACCUUCUCACUUUGGUGAUACGGUGGUUUUUUUUUAUAAUGGAGUUUCCAUAAGAUUAAACAAAAUUGCAGCCUAAUCUCGUAGUAAUUUUUUUUUGUACAAAAAAAAGCAUAAACAAAAAAAACUACGACACUUUCACAAAUAAAAUACCUUAUUUUCGCAUAAUAUUCAUGAUUCCAUUUUCGUAAUACUAAUUUAUAGCCAUAGUUAGUUUUCUUUUUAUUUACUUUAUGCCUAUAAUUUAUUAAUUAAAUUAUAAAAUUACAUAUUAACAUGUCAGACAGAUCAAACGGGUUAACCCCUGUUGACCUAAAUUGGACCUAUUUGUGUAGCGGGUCAUUUAGGUCUAACUUGAAUUUGUUCCGGACUCAUGAAGAGUAAACUCAUAUCUGUUAAUUUUGUAUUAGAUUCGAGCCAUAAUUUCAGAUUAUGCCGAAAAUUGUCACUCGUAACUAGUUUGCUUCUGGAUUGCUUCUGGAUUAUAUCAAUUAACCUCUAGAAUACAACAAGAAUAACGAAAGUUCGAUAGUAAAAUCAAAGUAUCCUGCUAAGAAAUUAUCAAAAGCAAAAAAUAAUCAAAGUGCUUUAAGACUUGUUAAUUUAUGGGAAAAAUGUUUUCCCUGAAUUAGCACAAUUAUCAGAAAACCAUCUCAAACUGUGUUUAGAUAUCAAAUGGUUAGAAUCAAUCACUUUCAAACAUGAAAAGAUGUCAAAAACAAUUUCAAAAAUUCUAACCAUUAUAAAGGAUUCGGCUACGCAUCCAUGUGUUCAUAGAACCGGAUCCAUGAUCGAGUUUGAUUAUGUGUUUGGGUCAGUAUGGAUUCGAUGUCAGGUCACAAGUAAUCUGGACUUGAUCCAAGGUCGAAUCCAAUCAUGAAACUGGAGAGGUCUCUAAUCACGAUCCAAUCUCGAAUUUGGCUUGAAUCUAGCUCAAAUCCAGCGCUAGAUCCUUUGUAAGCUCUAGCUCUUUCAAUUUCAUUUCCAGGUCUCAUCCGUUGUGCAAUUCAACUUCCAAACAUACAUAUUACUUUUUUUGAGUAAAUUUUAUCUUUAUUGGCAAUCUAUAUACUAUCAUCGUUGAAUCUUAAAUCCAUGAUAUAUGUAUAAAAAUUAAAUUUUAAAUUCAAAUCUUAUAUAAUUGUUAUUCAUUCAAUGUUGAGUGUAAGAAAAAUUAUUUUUUUUUUUUUGUACAUUUAGAGUUUCAUUUGCACAUUACGUACUUUACUUGACAAACAAGCUAUUAUGACAAAUAUCACAUGCACUAUCGCAUAAUUAUGCGUAAUGACAACACCAUUCCUUAUCUAUUAUGUUAGAAUACAUAGAACUUGCAAAGCAAGUGCUUCUAGUUAUACCGCCAUCCCAGUAUGGCCAAUUGACAACAGCCCCAGGUUUUCUACGUGCUACAGUGCAUCCACAUAUUUAAGAAGAUUACAUUCGAACGCUCAUUAGACGACCACGACCAGUACAAACUAGGAUGGGAUUAUUUUGGAAUGGGUUUAGAUUGAUUCAGUUCAAUACCCAAAUCUAUUUUUCUGCAUUCUUCUUUCCUUUAAUUCUUUUUUUAUAUAACUUUUAAGAUCCUUAAUUUAUUAAAUUUCUUUUGGUCUUGUUGGUUCUGAUUGAACUUGCUUUGAUUGGUACCAAUUAUUUUGGGUGAAUUGGAUUGAGCUUUUCCUUACAAAAGGUAAAGAGACAAUUGGUGAGAGAUGCCAUUAAGAGGGUUGAGCAUUUAGCUGAGGAGUUUGUGAAAGAAACUGUUAAUCGGAUGGACUUUACUUAGAGAGUCUGUGAGAGAUGCUGUUGACAGGGCAGCGGUGAAAGAGGCACGUGAUGUAUGUAAGACUGUUAGGGCUGCAAACGAGUCGAACCGCUCGCGAGCCGUUCGCGAACCGCUCGAGUCGAGUUCGAGCUGGCUCGAGUCGAAAUCGAGAUCGAAUUCGAUCUCAAAAUAUUAAAUUCGUUGGCUCGCGAUCUCGAGUAUAUAUAUAUACAUAUAUAUAUAUAUAUAUAUAUAUAUAUAUAUAUUUUAUUUUAAGUAUAUAUUUUUAUUUUUUUAAUUUUAAUAGUAAAAUUACAUAUAUAUCCUUAAUAUUUUAUUAUUUAUUAAAAAAUAUUAUUUUAUUUAUUUUUUAAAAAAUAAAAUAAUUAUUUUUUAUUUUUUUUGAGCUCGAGCUCGGCUCGAAUCAAGUCGACCUCGAACUCGAGUUUGAAAUUGUCAGCUCGUCGAGUUUGAGUUCGAGUUCGAGUUUAAUGAAAUUAUGUCGAGACUCGGCUCGAUUAGGCCAAAAUUUGAUUCGACUCGGCGCGUUUGCAGCUCUGGUUCUUGACCUGUUUGAUUUACUUGCACUCCUGGAAUGAAAUCAUGGACCAAAUUGAGGGCUAAAUUAGUUGAAAUGACAUGUAAGGGACCAAAUUGACCAAGCUACUUGCACGCCUGGAAUGGAGUCAUGGACAAAUUGAAGGCUAAAUAAGUAGAAAUGACAUGUAAGGGUUGACCAAGAAAGAAAAAUAAAGUCUUAGAAUAAUCAUUUUCCCUUUUAUUUUUGAAUAAAGUGCGACAAUCAAGAUCACCUCAUUAAAAAAAAGCUUUACACUAGGAAUAUAAUAAGAUUAAUUCACAUACUAACUCGAAAUCUUUUUUGGAAGUUGUUAAAGUGAAGAGAGCCAAGGACAUAUCAAGGUUUUUUUUUUUUUUUUUUUGUAUUUGUUUAAUCUUGAUUGAGUUGAUGCUGAUGAAUAAAAUGUUGUUGUUGUAUUUUCCCCUAAGAUCUGCGUCUUCCAAUUUGUUAUUGUCCAAUUUUGCAGAAAAGGAUCUUGUAUCCCACUUUUUAUAUUAUUUCUUAUCCCAAUAUUUAUUAAAUCAAUAAAUAUUUUUUUUUGAACAUCUCAUUUCAAUUAUUUUUCUUUGUCCCCUUAAGUUCCAACAAAUAUUUAAAGGUUUAUAUUAUUUUUUAUCCCAACAUUUAUUAAAUCAACAAAUAUCUUUUAUGAACAUCUCAUUUUAAUUAUUUUUCUUUGUCCCUUUAAGUUUCAACAAAUACUUAAAGGGCAGAAUACAAAAAGAUAACAAGCUAAUAAUAAUAUUAUAUAUAAAAAAAUUCAUUAAAACCCAUAUUUUAGUCAAUUUUUUUUUAUAAACUGUUAUCUUCUGUAUUCUGCCCUAUUAAUUGUGUUAAAAUUUAAAGAGACAAGAAAAAAAUUAACAUAGAAUAUUCAAGAAGGAUAUAUAGUGACUGAAAAGGUGUUGUGACUGAAAAUCAUACAGGAAGUGGAAGAAAAAGAUUCUUCACGCCAUUUUUGUCUGUUUAUCUCUCUCUGCAAUUGGCACAGAAUAUGCCAAGUUUAGCCGCAAAUAUGACCAAAGCACAACAAAAAUAUCCACCCAACUUUUCCCUGACUUCUGUGGCGGUGGUCGGUGCUGACUGUUUUGUACCAAGGUCUCCUAUAAAUUGUUCUUUCUUCCGCUUUCCUAUUUCCACCAGAAUUGACUCAAGUCACGUGUUUUGCCUUCAAUUAAUUACCGCAUCCAAACCGUCUGUCCCCACCGAAUCAUACCAUUAUUAUAAUAACAGCAGAUGCCUAGGAAACUGACAAUAGGAAACAGGUUUACCUCCUGAAAAUUAAUUUUUUAUUAUGAUGAUUAGAUGGCUAAUUCCGUACUUCUGUAAUUUCAAACUCAUCGUUUUAAAUACUAAAUGCUGGUAAAAAUUUUUGUUAUAGUGCUUUAUGUAAGUGCUAGUUUUCCAACUCAUAAUCAUUGUUCAUUCUUAAGAUUUAUUCAACGUAGUAGAAAAUUUAUGGAAGUAAUAAGGAUUAAAUCACAUGUUUCUAUUUUUUUUAUUUAUACCUCAGUCGUACAGAAUUUAUAAAAAAAACCGUAUAUGACUUGUCUUAUUUAGAGGUGUGCAUCAAAUUCAAUUUUGGUAAAUUGGAACUCUGUAUUCAGAAUUUUUGAAAAUUUGCAAAUUCACAAAUUUUGUUCCGAUUUCAUUUUGAAAUUCAGUUCGGUAAACUUAUAAGUUUAUAACAAAAUUUACUAAAUUAGAUGCUAAUUUUUGUUUCCAUAUAACAAGAUUAGGGUGCAUUUGAUAAAACUGAAAUUUAAAAAUUGAAAUCUAAAGUCUAAAAUUUGAAAUAUAAAUUCAUUAAUUUAUUGAAUUAUUAAAUAUUAAAUCUAAUACAUUUGAGUACAUAUCACAUUUAUUGAUAAGUGAAUAACUUAUCAUUUAAUUUUAGAGCAAGUUUUACCUAGAAAAUUCAGUGCAACUUAAUUAAUUCAGAUGUUCAAUUUUUGGUUAUCUUUGAAUAUGUUAAGAUAUGAAUUAAUUAAAUUUAAAUGCUGAAUUAGAUUAUCAAACAGGGACUUAAUUGGACUCACUAUUAUUAUACAAUAUAAUUAGUAAUUAGAGCUUAGAGGUAUUAUUAUAUCACAUAUAUAUUUUAUAUAUGUAUUAAUAUUAAUAUAUAUGCUUAUGUAUAUUAUAUGUACGAAUUUGAAUUCAAAAUAGGUAUUCAAUUAGGAAAACAUAAUUCCGAAUUCAAACCUAAAUCGUGCAAUUCGUAAUCAGAAUUUCCAAUUUCCUUUUUGCUUUCCGUUUUUUCCGAUUUUGAAGUUCCAAAUUGAAAUCAAAAUCGAUUGAUAAAUCUUUUUUUUUUUUAAAUUGCACACUCCUAGUCUUAUUAGUAAUAAAACUUGUACGUAAUUUGGAAAUUCUUGGAUAUCUGCAUUUAAUAUUUGUCUAGCUUAUCUUUUAAUAUUAUCCAAAAUAAAAGAAAUGUCACAAAUAAAAACUAACAAAAAAAGAAAAUUUAUAUUCAUACUAUUAUAUUUACUAAAGAAACUCACUUCUAUUUGAAUCCUUUUGAUAAUUUAAAAGACAUGUAUACCCUUACCCUUUUUUCUUUUUUCUUUUUUUUUUUUGCAGUUACAAGUUACAACUAUCCAAUGCUGCAAUUGAGGGAGGAAAAAAAAACAUAAGGGUAUAUUUAUCUUUUUAUCUAAUUAACAAGAAAAAAUAAAUAAAAAGAAGUCCAAUAUAUGCUUUCAACGAAUUCGGGUGCGUAAAUAUAUAGCAGUUUCCUAAAACUUUUCUUUAAUAAAUAAAUAAAUUAAUUUAAUUACUUCUACUCCGACUCCGAGUAGUAUUACAAUUUACGAGUAGGUGUUAAAUAGGAGUGCAAUCCAAGCCUACCCCCGGCGCCUUCUCUCGUUCGCUCUCUCUCUAGAUCGCAACAGCAGCAGCAGGUACGAGAAAAAACCCACUGCCUCCGCUUCCUCCUCCUCCUCAUUCUCCCGAUGCCCCAAUAUUCCUCACUUUUUAGUCUCAGUCAUUUAAUUGUUUUUUAUGUGUUUUAGGCAAAGGAAUUGAAGACGGAGAUCUGAUGUACCUGUUGGUUGAUUUUAAUUUGAUUGACGACGAUCAUCAUGAUUGCUGUAGAGCAUAAAGGUGUGAUUUCUUCGGUUUUUUUUUUUCUGUUUUCUUUUGUUUCUGUUUGAUGUUGGUGUUAGUUGGAAUUUAGAAGGCUUAGACUGAGCGAUUUUGGUUUAUGGUUUAGUUGUUGUUUGAAUUGUUUGAAUUAAUUUAUAUAUAUAUAUAUAUAUAUUUAAAUUGGUGUAUUGUUGUUGGCGUUUUUGUUUAAUCAAGUGGCUCCAAUGCAGUUGCUAAGAAUGCUGAGAAUGAUGGUAAUUUUUUGAACAUUUUUUUUGGGCUUUUUGGUGUGGUUUUACCGUUUUGGUUCCAAUUGAUGUGAAUUUCGGUUUAUAUAGCGCAAUGAUGGUAGCCGUAAGAAAACUAGUAGAAGCAGAGACUUCUGUGUACGUUUAGGUGUGGAAAUUGAAAAACUUGAGGAAUUUUCAACUGCUUAUGGUUGUAAGGAGUCGGUGGGAAGGAGAAAGCAAUUGAGUCAGUGGAGUUGUUGUUCUUUGCUAAGAAUUUGAAAGGAAUGCUAGUGAGCCAUAGCUUUUACUGACAGCUUGAAGUGUGGCUGUGCUAAAAACCAAAAAAAAAUAGGGCCGUGGAAAGGGGGGUGCUGUGGUUUUUGCCCCCCCUCCCUUUUUUUGGGGUUCGAAAUUCUUAGAUUUUGUCCAAUGUUAUAUAUGUCUAAAGAAGUCCAUUUAUUUUGGAGACUUUUCAUUAAGUCAACAUAUAUGAAAUUGAGCUUUCUGGGAGAUGAUUCAUGCAUUUUAUGUAGAAUCUCAUCGUUUCAUACAUCAUAACUUUCUUAUCUGAUUUAAUCAUAAUAUGGUUCUAAAACACGAGAUGUUGCCUUUGGAAAGCUGAGUCUGUUAGGCAGUUGAGAACUAUUAUAUGUUAUGGAAAGUAUGAUGCUGGCACUCUCUCUCUCUCUCUCUCUCUGUGUGUGUUUUGGGGGGGGGGGUUGUCAUCUUGGUAGUUUUCUCUAAUUUAGCGAUUUAGCUUAUGGUUAAUAUAUGGUAUACGUUCAUGUCAUAAAGCUUGCACUUUUUUUGGAUACUGCAAACUUGUGCUUUUUAAUUCAUAAAAUGAGGAGCAAAAAGAUAUUUUGUGAAGGGGAAUAGAUGAAAAGGAGUACGACUUAUUUAGGUAGGACAAUAAGCAUUUGGACAUCUGGGUAAAUUUGAAUUACAAGAAAGUUUUUUUGCACAUUUUAAUGUAUCAACAGUAUUGGAUAAGGAUUACCUAUUACACUUGUGAUUGAAAAUCUCUUGUUCCAGUGACUGUUUUGACUGGUGCAUUACCGAAAGUGUAUCUUUUUCUUUCUCCUUUGGCUUAUUCCUUAUUGUAUUACACUAUAUGUGAGCAUCCGACCUGCUUCCUGCACUGUUACCCGACCUUUUUUUCCUAGUAGUGUCAUGCCAUGUCUAUGAAAAUAUAAUCAUCGAAAGUAGUAACAUGAAAAAGUUAACUUCUCUCUAAUAGAUGAUAUUGUCGCUUAAAUUGAAAAAAUGAUCAAUUGCAUAUUUUUCUUAGUCUCUACUACUCUUUUUGUUCCUCUUUUUCUGGUUUGUUUACCUUGUGAUUUGUCAUGGGACUACUACUUAGUGCAAAAGUUAAUUAUUUUGAUUCCCAACUGCAGAUUCCAUUGAGCACAUCCCUCGUGAGGUGCCAGUGAAUUGCCUCCAGAACAAUGGCUUCCCUUGCAACUUGCAGUAUACGAGGAUCCCAAUUGAAGGCUUUCAGGAGCUCAAAGAUGGGAUCCGUGGUCAUCCAGCGAGGGAUAUUGUGGAACCGGACAACUCAUUUAAUAGUGAUUCUCUCGAAUCGCCUAAAGAAACUCCAAAGAAACCCAUCAAUCAGCAUGAAUUCAGCAUGUGGUCAUCCUAUCAUCCAGAAUCUCCUAACAUGACGAUGUGCCCUAUGAAUGCUUUUGAGGCUCAGUUCUACCCUUGCUUUGUGGAUAACAGGAUACGUUAUGCCCCAUUGAACAUGAUUCCUCAAAGUUACCCUCAUGAAUACCAGUUCCAAGAUUUUCAAUACUUUGUUGUUAUUGACUUUGAGGCCACAUGUGAUAAGGAAAAAAAUCCUCAUCCACAAGAGAUAAUUGAGUUCCCAUCUGUGAUAGUGAGUAGCAUGACUGGCCAGCUCGAAGCCUGUUUUCAAACAUAUGUGCGUCCAACUUGCAAUCAGCACCUGACCGAUUUCUGUAAGGACCUCACUGGCAUUCAGCAAAUUCAGGUGUGUUUGUCCAUUCUUUCUGUUUCUCUUUAUUUAUUUUUGCAGAAGUGUUAAAUUUGUAGUUCCAGUUUUCAGUUAAGUUUCUGGUUAGCUGAAUGUUGAAAACUGUGUUUCUGCCCAGAGUAUAAGUAAAUGGGCAGCUUAAUCUGGGAAAGUUACACAGGCUGGAAGAAUGAUGGGGUGUUUUAAUGAUAUAUGUAAGGAUUAUGGGAGCUAUAGAAGCAUGGUUUUGUCGUUUAGGGAUAUUUGACUUUCUUCCUGACCUUCUCUUGCUAACCAUAUCUUCGCCUUAUCAUUCUAGAUUGGCUGACUCUUGUAUCAAUGAUGUUGGGACAGUCAUAUCCAUUGCAUCUAAUUCUUGAAACGCUUAAUAAUAAUUACCUGGUAGUUUGGAAAGCUAAAUUCCCUUAGAGUUUUAGUUUAAGAAAGUUCUUCCCUACUUUUGGUAAUAAGGAUUGAGGACCCAUCAUCUUCUGCUCUUUUCAACUGACAUUACAUCAGAGUGGAUAAGUUGGUUUUGGAUAAGAACUAGUAUUAGGAUUGUCCUAGGUGGAGGGUGGGUGAAGGCCAUCAUUUAGCUAAUUGCACUAAUGGAGUCGUUCAUUUGGGAAAAGCAAAAUUGUAGUGUGUAAUGGCUAGACUGAUAAUGGAUUUAUGUGGUUUUAUGCUAUUUGGUUUGUAGGAGAGACAAACAUGAGGGAUGUAUAGAUGCGGCAGGAAGUUUUCUCGCUAUUUAAUGCAGUUAGACAUCAACUGUAACACUACUCAUUUGAUUGGAUUUGGAUCACAUUGCUGUAAUACUUUGUGUCGAUUUAUUAGCUGCUUAAAUAUUCAUGCUUGCCAAUGCCUCUGAAUUUGUCAAUUCACUUGAGGUUUUUUUAGUACCUUUGGUGUUUAACAGUUAGAUGUUUUAUUUGUUUGGAGAUUUUAUCCUCCCCCCCUCUCCACACUAUGGCUGUAUGGAAUCCACCACCUUUGCAGCCUAAGCUACAUGUUUAUCAUGCAAUAUUGUUUCCUUGAUUUUUUACUGUGAUAUUUAGUAUAGCAGGCAUCUGUAAUUCUUUAAUUCAGUUUGCAUUGUGCUUGGAUCUAAAUUCUCAUAUUAAUGAUGCCAUGUUGUGCUCAGUUACGUACAUUUCAGCUUAUAUUCUUUUUGGUUCCUUUUCCAGGUGGAUAGAGGAGUUACUCUCAGUGAAGCUCUCCUAAGGCAUGAUAAGUGGCUGGAGAAGAAGGGGAUAAAGAAUACCAAGUUUGCUGUUGUUACUUGGUCUAAUUGGGAUUGUCAGGUGAUGUUGGAAUCAGAAUGCAGGUUCAAAAAGAUCAGAAAGCCUCCUUAUUUUAACAAGUAAGACUUUCACUACUCCUUUUUUCAUAUUUUUGAUAUAUAUAUUUAUAUUUUUUCUAGCUGGGGAGGGGUUGGGAUUUAAAAUUUUCUGGAUAUAUGCUAUAUCUAAUUAAGAUGAUAAGCCAGCCUUCUCAUUUGAAAAAGAAAAACUUUUUUAUUUGGGGGGGAAAUAUAUGGUUUAGCUAAAUUAGCUUCAAUACUGGCCUUUAGGUUUGUCAAUGUUUAACUUUGACAUCAGUAUUUAAUGUGAAUUUAACUCUUCUUUCCAGAUGGAUCAAUUUGAAGGUUCCAUUCCGUGAAGUGUUUGGUGGUGCAAGAUGCAAUUUGAAGGAGGCAGUACAGAUGGCUGGCCUAACCUGGCAGGGCCGUGCUCACUGUGGUCUUGAUGAUGCAAAGAAUACUGCCCGCCUUCUUGCUCUUCUUAUGCGCAGGGGUUUUAAAUUUUCGAUCACCGACUCUUUAAUGUGCCAGCCUGCAGAUGAGACUUUCAUGUGGAAACUUCCUCCCCUGGAUCACCCAGCUUUUACCUCAUACCAACCUCAAAAGAUGAGGACCCUGCAUGUUCCUGUAUUGCAGCUUCACCCUCACUGCUAUUGUGGGGUAAAAAGCAGCAAAGGGAUGGUUCGG